UUUGAAUAUUUCUACACCUUUAAACUUGCAAACGGCUCACUACGACCAUUGAAAUUUGUUGAUUUUGAGCCCAUUCGAUCACUAGGCAAAUGAUAUCGAAAAAUAAUAAAAUUUAUUUUUUAGGUACUCCAAAUACUCUAGAUCAAAUUUAACAGAGCCGAUCGACGAUUCGAAAGUCGCAACAUCGAAAACGAGCUGAAAACACGAAAGGCUCCGUGCUUCUGAUAGCAUAGUAGCCUCACUCCAUAUUUAAGUACUUAUAAGACUAAUACCAUGCACCAAGAAAACCAAAGGACAAACAUAGCAAUAAAUAUGGCCAAUGUAACUUUGUGACCUCCAUGCAUGCAUGAUUAAAGUUUGCAUUUAAUAUGGGCUUGUUUGGUAUUGCUUCUUAUCUACUACUCUAAAGAGUAUUUUACCAAAAAAUAAAAAAUAAAAAAUAAAAAUAUAUAAAACUUAUCUAAACUAUAAAUUAUUUUGAUUUGACUAUCCAAUCUUUCAGAAUUUUAAUUUUAGUAUCUAAUUUUUUCAUUUAUUUAAUUUAAGUGAUUUGAAGGCUCUUUAAUUAGAUAUAAAAUUUAAGCUAAUUGCUCACUUUAAUGAAUCGUAAAUUGCAUAAAAUAUGCUAAGUAAAAUAGUAAAGAUAAAUGAUGCAUGUACUAAAAUUUUGAAGUUAAAAAAUUACUAAUUGACUCUAGUUAAAUAAAUUAAAGGAUCAGAUAUUAAAAUCAAAUUUUGUUAAGAUUUAAGUAGUCAGAUUCAAAAGAAAAAUAGUUAAAAUAAAUUUUACACAUUUUUCCCUUAUCUUAUAUUAUACUAUUAAAAAAUAAAAAUAAAAAUGAACUUUUUUAAGAUAGAAGCUCUAUUUAAUAAUUUUGAAUCUGCGAUUAGAAGAAGACGUUGGAAUAAAUUAAUAUUAUACUUAUUAUAAUAAUAACGCUACUGAAAUAAUACUUCAUAAAAGAGCAAUAAUCUAUAAUAUAGAAGUUUUUUUUUUUAUCCUGAAUAUACCAAUUAUUGAUAAUUAGAGAGAUAUUAAUGAAUAAAACUAUUGGAAUAUUUGAAGUAAUUAUAAACUUAUAAGUUAUAACAUGUCCUUUUCUACCAAGUCUUUGUAAUUGUAACGGCACAUAAAGAAAAGUUAGUCUUUGUAAUUGUAACGGCACAUAAAGAAAAGUUCUAAACCCUAUAGAAAGGUAUUUAUGUCAUUUUCUGAAAAGGAGAGGCAAGGACCAACCAUUUUACCAAAUAGCUAAUCUCUCUCUCUCUCUCUCUCUCUCUCUCUCUCUCUCUCUUUCUCUCUCUUCUUAAGAUUAAUAAUCCCAUACAAGAUAGCAAACAAUAACUUAAUCUGUAUAUAAUAUGAAGAGUACUCAUGAUUGAUUCAAAUCUUGUAACAUGAUAUCAGAGUUUGAUUCACACUUUUCUAAUCUUUUUUUUUUGUUGGCAUAGCCACCUAGUUGCAUCUAACACGUAAAGUUGUUCAUAUCAUGUGGUAGUCGUGCCAAACAUUAUAGUAUAUGAACAGAGUUGAGCCGUGUAUCAUAGCAGUUUAAUACACAUUUAGUCCGAGUGUAUUCAAUCUAUGUUGGCCCCAUAGUAUCUGGUAAUGCUUAGCACGUAUUUAGGGGCAUUAAACAUAAUAACCCAUAUGGGUAGUAAAAACUUGAAGUAGUAAACUGACGAAAAACUUGAGUAAAUUAUGUGUUGAAUAGUAUGAAAUAACAAAAAAAAAAGAGGUUAAAAAGACAUAUCUAAUGAUGAAAAACAUGAUAGCACUAAACUCUUGGUGCUACUAAUAGCAUAGUAGCCGAACUCUCUCUAUCUCUCUCUAUAUAUAGAACUAGCAUACUGUAUUAUUAAUAGCACAAAAUCAUUGGCGCUAGAUUUUCAACCUUUAUAUAAAGGGAUAUAUGCAAUUAGGAUGAUAGUAAUUCCCCAGGUUGAGUGGAUUGUUGGUUGAAUAUAUAGUAUAGUCUAACGGAUGGCGAAAAUGGUCAGAGGGUAGAUCUAACAGCAAAAUACUUAGUAGCACCAAGCAUUUGGCGCUAUUAAUAGCACAGUAGCCGAGCUCUCUCUCUCUCUCUCUCUCUUUAUAUAUAUAUAUAUAGUGCGGCUAGGAUGCUUAUGGAAGCACGGAGGGCUCCGUGCUUCCACUUUGUUUUCAAUGUUCGGACUUUCGAAUCGACGAUCGGCUCCGUUAGAGUUGAUCUAGAGUAUUUGAAGUAUCUAGAAAAUAAAUUUUGAGAUUUUUCGAUAUCAUUUGCCUAGUGAUCGAAGUGGCUCAAAAUCAACGGCUGAAAAUAAAAAUCUUACAAAAUAUGAUGAUAUGACAUUAAAAUUUUAGAUCAAAGUUAUUGAUCUUGUUCUAUAUGGUAUAAAAAAUUUUCUAUCAAAAUUUCAUGUGAUUUGAAUAUUUCUACACCGUUAAACUUGCAACCGGCUCACCAUGGUCGUUAAAAUUAUUGAUUUUGAGCCCCUUUCGAAAAUCGCAAAAUUUAUUUUAGGUACUUCAAAUACUCUAGAUCAACUCUAACGAGCCGAUCGUCGAUUCGAAAGUCCGAACAUCGAAAACAAAGUGGAAGCACGGAGCCCUCCGUGCUUCCAUAAGCUAAUAUAUAUAUAUAUAUAUAUAUAUAUAUAUAUAGAGAGAGAGAGAGAGAGAGAGAGAGAGAGAGAGAGAGAGUACUAUCAGUAGCAAAUGAACUCCCUAUCGAUUUGUUUCCAAUGAUAGAGCCUUUAAAUUGAUGAUCGACACUGUUAAAUAUGAUCUGCACCAUUUGAAUUAUCUAGAAAUUAAAUUUAAUAUGUUUUCAAUAUUAUUUUCUUAUAUAUCAAAUUAACAUAAAAAUAAACAGCUAAAAAUAAAUAUUCUUAAAAAGAGAUGAUUGGAUUCUUGUAAUCAAGAUCGACAAUAUAGAUCUUAUUUUAAAUAGUUUAAAUUUUUUUCUAACCACAAUUUUAUUGAUUUAGACUUCUUUACAUCAUUAAUCGGGCAAAUCCCUCGUGUCGACUAUUAAAAUUAUAAUUUUUGCAACCCUGAUCAGAUACAAUAAUUUCUCCCACUAAAGGGAUUCUUAAGUGGGGUUACUGUACAAAGUUAUGAUGGAAAUUAAGAAUGCAGUGGCCUUUUUUAUUAUGGAUCCUGCAAUAGCAAUUGAAGCACACCUUUCUUGGUCACACAUGCACCCAAAGAGACAUAAAAUAAAAUAAAAUAAGGGAAAUGAAGCUCACUUCUCAAAUGCUACUUAAAUUUUGCAGGCUCUCAUUUAAAUGGGUGUCACUGUCUCCUAUUAAUCCUUGAGCUACCUCACUGCAAAUCUAGGGUUAACUUUUCUUGGUCAAAGGCUUUUAUUGGUGGUUUAAUUAAGGAUAAGAUAAGAUGUUCCAAGUGCUUCUACUUUCAGCUACAGCUAUCUCGAUAAAUCACUCGGUGUUUGUUGUGGCAGAAAGUUAAAAUAAGAUUUCGAACGUCAAAAGUAAAAGCUCUAAUUUGAUGAUUUUACUUCCGCUGCGAGCAGAAGCUACCUUAUGAAUUUUAUUGUAGUGCUUCUUCUAAAAGCAGAAUUUAGAUAAUAUUUUAUCGUACAAUAUUAUACCCUUCUGCAAGACCAAAUAAGCCAAAUCUAGCAAGUGGUUUAAUUAAGGAUGAGAGAUUGGAAGUUAGGGGUGGCAGCCAGGUUCAUUGUUCGUGAGCCAGCUCNAAACCCAACUCAAUUGUAAAAUAGGUCAUUCAUAUGUAAAAUUUCAACUAUUAGAUCGAAGUAUAGCGGAUAAGAUCUUAUAAAUUUAUUUCCUAUAUAUAUUCUUUCUUUUUUUUUUAAUUCUUAUUCAUAAGUUAGAUCGUAUUCGGCUCUUGUUCAGCUCGUUAGUAAACGAGCCGAACACAAGCUGAAUUUUUUAGCUGUUUAAUAAACGAGCCGAACACGAGCUAGAGUCAGCUCUUCGGCUCGAUAACAGCUCGAAUAUAUAUAUUUUAUAUUUAUAUAGUUUACCUAAUUUAUAUUUAUAUGCAAAAAUAAAUAAUUAUAUAUAUAAUACAAAUUUCUAUUAUUUAAUUUUUAGUCCAAUCAAAAUAUAAAGCCCAACUCAAUUAUAAAAAAAUUUAUUUAUGUAUAAAGUUUCGACCAUUAAAUCAAAGACUAAUGGGUAAGAUCCUCAUAAAUUUAUGUCCUAUAUAUAUCCUUUCUAAUCUUUUAACUCAUUCGUGAGCCCGCUCGUAUUCGUCUCGUUAAAUAAGAGAGUCGAACGCGAGUUGAACUUUUCAACUCGAUAUUUUAAUGAGCCAGUUCAAGAUCGGCAUGUUUAGGAAACGAGCCAAACACAAGCCAACCCCAGCUCGCUCAUGUUAAGCUCGUUGACACCCCGAUUGGAAGUGGUUCUUCUACUUUCAGCUGCAGCUAUCUUAAUAAACCAUUCAGUAAGUUAGAACAAAAAAUAGGAUAAAAAUCAACCCCUUCCGAACCACCAAGGAAACAACCGUAGGUAGAGAACCCCUCGCGCUCCUGAAUCCGUCCCAUUUGCAUCCCUACUUUAAAUGGUGAUUUACAGUUGGGCCAAAUUCAACUGGGCCCAAAAUUAUUUCCUUUUUUUUUCUUUUUUCAUACAAUGAAUAUGUUGAAAAAAAUAUUUACUUGCAUAAUUUGUUAGGAUAGUUUAUUUCACCCAUCAUAUAAUUUAUUUUAUUUUAAAAAAUAUAUUAUACGGAGCCACUGUAUAAAAUAACCCGAUCAGGACAAAAAAUAAAUUGUAAUAAUUAUUUUAUCAAAAUUAAAAUUUAGAUUAAAUCUGAAGAAGAAAAAUCCGAACAAACCGGAAGGUAAAUUUCCUUUUUGUUUUAAAUAGUUUAUUUUUAGAUAUAUAGAUAUAUAAAAUCUCUCUAUAAUUAUGAUGUUUUUAGUUUGAAUUCACAAAUUUUUCAUUCAAAUUUCGAUUUAAUACAUGUUGUUGUUUUUUUUUUUUUUUUGAAAAAAAAAAUGAAUUGAAUGUGGAUUAUUAAAAAUGACUUGCCUGGUAAAAUAUUUGUCCCAAAAUAAGACCUUGAAAAACUUCAUACCGAAUAAAUUAUUAUUAAAUACUUUANAUAUAUAUUUGUUUUAUUUAUUAAAAAUGACUUGCCUGGUAAAAUAUUUGUCCCAAAAUAAGACCUUGAAAAACUUCAUACCGAAUAAAUUAUUAUUAAAUACUUUAUUCCAACAUCUAAACAGAUAGAACUUAUUCCGACAUCCAGAUACGACUUUUAAAUAAAUAAAACAAAUAUAUAUAUAUACUAAAUAGGAUAUUCAUUAUCAUCAUAAUAAAUUAUUAUUGAAUAACUUAUUCUGACAUCCAAACAGAAUUUUUUACUCUAAAAUAAGAGAUAUAUGUCUAACUACUGUAAAAUAAUGCAUUUGUCGAUACCUUAUUCCAGUCAUAUAUGAGUUCAGCUACUAUACUAUCGAUAGUACCAAACUCGAUACUAUCGAGUUUUCUGCCGUUAAAUCUACUCUUUGAUCAUUUCCACCCGUUAGAUUAUACUAUUCAACCAACCACCCACUCAAUCCUAAAAGACCACCAUCAUUCUAACUGAAAACCACUAUCAUCUUAACCGCACAUUCUUAUUGGCUUAAAUAGGCCAGCAUCCUGCCAUGUGGCGAGAGGCCAUGUUGGGGCAAAUCAUAUUCGAAAUGGCGUGAGGCUGGAUAGGCCGAGUCAUGUUCGAAAUGGCGUGAGGCUGAUUGGGACAAGUCACAAUCGAGACCCACGGGCGCUGUAUCUAUACGCUUUAAGUGAAUUAGUUGUGUAUUUCUAAUAGCUCGAGCUUUUGGGAUUAAUGGUUAGAGCCAAUGAUCCGACAAUUCGUUCAUCCAACGGUCGAAAGCUCAAUAGCACCAAGCGCUUGGCACUAUCAAUAGUAUGGUAGUCUAAUUCUAUAGAUACAUAUUGAGUUCAAAGUAUUAGUUAGAUGAAGAACCAGCAAAAUUUUUAGCCCACAAAUAUACAGAUGAACAAGGCGCAAGGUAAAGUACUACAGUAAAAUAUUUCCCAAGUUAGAAACCAAAAUGAAAAUAUUGCUAAAAGUUGGAGGGCCAAAAUGUAACCUGAGUAAAAGCUCAGGGACUGGUGGUGCAAUUUAACCCACAAUAAAUCUAUCUACAGUAAAUAUACACCAAACCAAAGUACCAAACCUGCUCUCCAGCUGCAGCUACUACUUUUAUUGGGGGGAAGAGAAAAGGUGUGUUCCAUUUUCCAUGGACCACCUUGGCAUAGUGGUGAAAGUGGUUAAGAUAAAUUCUGAAUCAAAUUCGACACCGAAUUCGAUAGGAUGCGAACAUGAAUAUUAAAAUUUAGCAUUCGACAUAUAUUCACAUCUGACUUCACAUCUUAUGAUUUCUUAAAAAGUCGGACCGUAUUUGACUUUUUUCUCCCCUUAGUGAUAAGAAGAAUAUUAAUAUAUAUUGUAGAGAGAUAAAGUUGUUUUCUAGCGUAUUUUUCAUUUAUUUACUAUGAAUUUUAUGUUAAAAUUAUAUUUAUGUUUGUGAAAAUGUUAAAUUUUAUUGAAGCACAUUAAAUUUGGACAAGCCAACCUUCGAGAUUUUCAAUUUUACAAUCUAAUCGUUCAAUUCAUUUGAUUCAAGCUUAUUUGAUAAUGCUUUCGCUUCAAAAUUAUAAUUAGAUUAGAACAAGUGAUGCAACCAAAUUUUGCAACAAAGAGAUAUCAAAUGACUUGAAUCAAACAAACAGAAAGAUGAGGUACUAAAAUUAAAAUUCUGAAAAGUAAAAUAGUCAAAUCAGAACAGGCCAUAGUGGAAGUUAGCUCCAUAUCUUUCUUGAUUUGGGAUUAAGUUAAAAAUUUUACCAAAUUUAAUGAUUUUGUUAGUUGUUAACCGUUAAUCAGUCUAGUUUUAUUUGAUAAAAAGUAGUUAAAAGUUACUAAAUUAUCAUCGAAUAUGAUCAAUCUCUGCAAUUUUUGACUAAAAUGACUUCAUUCUGAAAAAACAGAAGUUAAGAGAGUCCCAAUCAAAAUUACUAAAAUAGAAGUUUGAGGGGACCAUUUCAAAAUUGCAUAUAAUUGAGGGGUCUCCAUACAUUUUUACCAUUUUACUGUCACCCCAAAUGACUCCCCUUUGGCUACUAGAGGUGUUGAUUUGCAAGUCCAAACAAAAAGACAAACCAAACCAAAUAAGGUAAUUUGAUUCGAUUUAUCUGAUUUUUUAUUCGAUUUGUUGUAAAAAUAGCUUCAGUUUUCUAUUUCAGUUCGGUUCUGACACUUUUCGCAACCGAAAUGAACUGAAAACUAAAAAAAAUAUCACACACACUUCUUACCAUAAACGCGUACAAAAUUCUCCGCCGACGGCCAAAUUCUCGAAGUUUUUGACUCAAUCAAUUAAGUUUUGACAGAACCCAAAUUCUCUAAGUUAAAGAAUAUGAAACAGUCGUUGUACGCAUAGGACGGUAAUAUUCAAUACUCUCUCUCGCGUCUGAGCUCAAAAUGUAAAAUGUUUUGAUAGGCCCAAACCGUAGACUUAAAAUAAAUGGGAGAAAAUUAAAUAACGCUACGAGCCAGACAGGACUUGAAAUCAGGAUCUCAUGCUUCGAUGCUAUAUUAAGCGAGAACGGUAAACUUAACUCGAAGUUCAAAGAUCUAUCUUGAAAUGUGAUAUUGAAAUGGGUCUCAAAGCAAAUGCUUACUAAAUAGAAAACCUAGUCUCAUCUAGUUAUUGGCAUUUCAAAAAUCUAACAAAGCAACAUCAACUUAAUGCAAAAGAGAAAGCAGGAAACUAUAUUACUUUAGUCGCGACUUCGCUCUUACUGGGAUACGGUCGUCUGAAGGGGCAAAGAACUCUCGACUUCUUUAUCCUCCGCAGCUCUUUCUGCGACGGCCUUCGACAUGCCGAACAUCUGAUAGAGAAAGAAGAAAUUCUUUGAGCCGCAUACAAAAUCUUAAUAAGAGGUUGAUCACAAAUUUAGCCCCAGUUUCAACAAUGUAGUCCCUAAAAGUAUGACCCACAAAUUUUGAACGAACUACUAACAAACAGAGUUAAUUGUUAUGCAAAACAAACUUCAGGGACUAGAUUGUGGCGAUUGGACCCAGAAGAAAGACUUAAGAGCGGCAUUAAAGCGCUCAAAGUCGUCAACUCACGCGUAAUCUCACUAUCUUAAAAAGUUUAGGUGAGAUCGAACGACCUUUUUGAUCGUCUUCUGGAAGCAAGUCUUGUGCUCGUCCAUCGAGGCGUGAAUGAACUCAUCGAUGUGGUCCCUCAGAUCCCUCACAAAACUCGCGCCCUCCGUUUUCUUCUUUCUGCAUGAGCUCGCGGCUGGAUACACCGGCAAACGGGGCUCUUCAGGCUGAGGUUUCGAAGACUCCAUUUCUGAGGUUGAACGGCUCUACUUCGACUCUUCUAAACAAAAUAAAACCGAUUUUGUAUUAUCAAUAAUGAAUUAAUUUCCGAACAUAAAUAACCGAAACAAGUUGUGGAAAACACGGUGUGACCUAGUCGGCUACCAUAAACAAAAGCAUCAAAUGUAUACAUCAUCGCAACGAGAAGUUAGUGUCCGCAAAAUUGAAACCUAAGAAGGUCUUUUAACAGCUCUAUAGAGGAUUUCGCAACAACGUUCUCACCAGAUAUAACAAAACGGACUCUCUAUAAAAUAACUAAAAGAAAACCAUCGUUAUUUUGCAAUACAUGGCAACCACAAAUUUUCAAAAGUGAAAAGCAUUGAAACUGGAACUUGUGGAAAGGGAUGCAAAGAGGCCUAGGAAGGGCGAAAUCGUUUGAUCGGGCCGGGUCUAGUAACUAAAGCAGACCUGCUAAAAUGCAAACAAAUGACUAUUCGGGUGGCCUAGUUAAGAGCAUACAGAAAAGAAAAGCCUCUGAUGUGGGGACAAUUCCCAUGGUGAGACAGUUCCAUCUACCGUCCGUCAUGCUUUAAGAUAAAUUCAUGCUAGCCCACAUGACGGAACAGCGGAAGGGACCGUCUCACCAUGGGGUACUGUCCCUAUAAAAUUUUGCUCGUACGCGUUGUAUGCUACUGACACAGUCUACGGGCGUCACGGUAGAAGGGAGUCGAACCAAUAAUUUUUCAAUGUAAGAGGAUAAAUUAGCAAACGACAAAAAAAUAGCAAACAAUGUACAUGCCGUAUUUGGUAUAUCUCCUCGUUUGCUCAAGAAACAUGAAGUAUUGGUUGAUACGUAGUGUGAUCAAAGGUCUAAAUUGGAUACUAUAUUUGUCCUUCAAGUUAUCUUUGAGGAUAAGAUAAAUCAUUUCGUAGACAAAGUAUGAUACAUCCUACCAGAUCACAAAUGCCAAGAUCUUUCAGAGAGCGAAAAUGAAACUCCUACCUCCCAAUCAGUUUUUCUAACAUCCAGAUAGGCCAAAGGUUGGUAAUGGAAGUAAAGCAAGCAUGGUGAGGCUAGAUAAGAGUACGGCGAGCAAAGGACGAGAAAAAUAAAUCAAAUAGAGGCUAAUUGUAUAUGUAUGAAUAUGGAGUGGAGCUUCUCGGUUAUGUUACUCGAGGCCAGGGGAAAUAUUUCAUAAAAUGCUAAUAAUUUGAUUUCUCUAACACAAAAGACAUGUAAACGGUAGCGUCAUAUACAAAAUUCCUAUUCAUUUGUACGGCUAAAAUUUCCGUAAAAGGAAAACCAAACCAAACAACCAACAAAGUCAUGCAGGAAUAUUUAGCUUCAGCCUUAAAACAAACAUGACAACAAAUUCUCCCUAAACAUUUGUUUGCUAAUUCACCACACUCUUCUAAAACAUACCAACCAAGGAUUUAAGUGCCUAUCAGCACGGACCGUAUCCACUGUGCAGUAUCGUGAUACAGCCGCCCUGUGCCGAUGGCACAGCUUAAAACUCUUUUUUUAAAAAUUAAUAAGUAAUUUUCUCAAUCAAAUUUUAAAAAAUUAAUAAAAAUACAUAAUAAGCAAUUAAAAUAUUCAUGUCAUUACGUGUCAGCACACAUGUAUAUUUUUUCGACCCGCACGCAUCAACACAGCCCGACACGUACUGUGCCGACAAAUUUUCGGCACGACUCUAUGUCACGGCACUUAAAUCCUUGAUACCAACUAUCUCUACUUCGAAUUUCUACAAACCAAGAAAAAUAUUCAAACAAAUUUGCUUAUUUUCUAUCUUUAAAAGGAGCCUGCAUAAACUCAGGCCUCAGCAAAAUACAAUAUAAGCCUUUUUGUAGGGAUUUAACUAAAAUUCCUACAAUGGUUUUUCAGUGCUGCAUCAAAAAGCAUAAGCUUCAAACCAUAGCCCCAAAUCAGAGAUUCUGCUUUUAUGACUCAAAAGCUUCUAUCGUAUGUAUAAAUUUCGUAAUAACUCAGUUAUGAUAUAAUUUCCGAUCGGAAAAUGAAAAAGUAUAUCUCCCCACCCUAAAAAUCUGAAUAUAAUUAAGCAUAAAUUGUAAUCUGAAUAUAAUUGAGCAUAUCUCCCCACUCUAAAAAUCUGAAUAUAAUUAAACAUAAAUUGUAAUCUACUCACUUUUUUAAAAAAACAAGUAAAACUUAAUUAAAAUUUAAUGAUAUGAUACAGAAUCACAUAAAUGAAAUAAAAUUCUUAUUUCUUCCUCAUUUUUCACCAUCUAAAAUCAAAAUUUAUACAUACACAAAAAAAAAAAAUCAAAAAAAAAAACCCCAAACGAAUCACUUGAAUAGGAAUUUAAUACAUAGCUGCAUACGUAGGAAUUUAUCAAAUAUUACCACCAAAAAUAAAGGAAAAAAAAAUAAAGAAAAGGAAAAGUUCGAGCACUCACCGAGUAUAUUGUGAAGAAUAGGGGGAAUGGUUUUUUAUUUAUUUAUUUUCCAUUUAUUUUCUUGGGGAAGAAGCCGCGAGGGAGAGAGAGAGAGAGAGAGUUCUAGAACCCGCUAACGGGUUGCAAAUGGGCCGGGUCAGGCCCAUUAAUGAGCCCGAAUCCGAAGAACUUCGCUAUACACAUUGUAGGGGAAAUGGGGAGCGGCAAAAUGCGACCCGAAUCCGAAAAUUAAAAACUUUUUAAAAGGGUAAAAUACAUUUGCAUCCGCCAACCCGGAUCCAUUUGCACCCGUAAACAAGUUAAAAACAAGAUAUUUGCUGCAAUUAAACUGGUUCUUGUGGAACCUGUAGGGGUGAAAAUGGAUCGGAUAUUAUCCAAAAUUAUCCGGAUCCGGAUCCGUAUCCGCGAUUUUUUGGAUUUGGAUAGUUUCUAUCGGGAUCCGGCCUGAUACGGAUGCGGAUAUGGUUUGGCAAAAAUUCUUGGAUAUCCGACAGAGCCAGAUCUACAUCCGAAUAUUUGAAUUUUUAGUAAUAGAUAAAGGUGAGUGUUAAUAUAUAUUGUGAAAAAAUAAAGUAAUUUUUUAUAUUUUUUUUAUUUAUUAUGAGGUUUCUAUUAAAAUUGCAUAUUUUAUUAGUGAAAAAUAAGAUAAGUAAACAAGGUUAAAAAAUAAAAUAAUUUUUUACAUUUUUAUUUUCUUUAUGCGCGCAUAUUAGUGUAUAUUAGUAUUCAAAUAGUAUUCGAAUAUAUAUCCAAUCCAUAUUCGAAUCCGAAAAAAUAUCCGACCAUAUUCGCAGACACAACGAAAAUUUAACAUCCAACACAUACCUAUAUUCGAAUUCAUAUCCGAAAAAAAAAAAUAUGGACAUGGAUACGAUCCAAGUUCAAUGUGCCUGUUUUAGGUUACAAAUGUCACUUGCAGUGUAUUUACUUCCACCAUUGUUGACGACCAACACCGUUAAAUAUUGAAAUAAAAGUAAAUAAGAUACACUCUGAUUGAAUGAAAAAAAAAAAAAAAAAAAAAAAAAAAUGUAUCAGAUUUCAUCGUCAAUUCCUGUAACGCGGCGUAAAAAAUAAAAAAUAAAAAAAUAAAACAAAACAUCCUAAAAAAGCCUCCGAGCAAAGCAACAAGAGGAUUCACAAUUCUAAACUAGGUUAACUUCAUACAGGUCCCUGUAAAUAUAGUAAAUUAUAAAUAUAUUCUUACGAAAUUCAACUUUCAUAUGUUGUUCCUGCCAUCACAAAUGUCCCUCCAAAAAUCUUAAUUGAAGAGGGGUAAAAAGGAUUAUUCGCUUCAUUAACUAAACAGGGUUAAGUAUUUUACCUAUGAUUAACUAAUUUUUUUCUAACGGAUCCUAAUGGCAGAGAUAUAGUUGAAAACAUCAAGACUUUUGAAGGAACAAUAUAUGAAGUUGAACUUUGUAAAAAUAUAUUUAUAAUUCACUAUAUUUAUAGGGAUCUGUAUGAAAUUAACCCUUCUAAAUUCAUCAGCCAAACUAAAAGCAAAUUUUCUCUUAGAAAUAGUACAUAUUAUAAUUAACAGGUAGAGUGACUAAAUGCUACAUAAAUAUGCAGAGUUCAACAAUUGCAAUAACAGUGGAAAUGAACUAUGAAUCUGUAAAAUAAACUGUUACAGCAGCAGGGAGAAGAUCAAAGAACACAGCAUACCAAAAACUCAAGAGCAACAAAAACCUAAUUUCGUUGCAAAAUAGUAUCGAAACCGGUAUACGACUUACGAUCUUCUGUUCCUCACCACAAAGCUUUAAGACUCGAAAGAUCGAUUACUGUGUUAUGAUGCUGUACUAAUCAAACCCUAACGAGAUUGGAUCUCCCGGUGAGCUGGCCGUGUCGUUUGCGCCUGUAUCGCUCUCGCCGCCGACCUUUGAUGGCCCAAAGAACUGAAUCACACAAAUCCACAUCAAUCAAAAACAGAUGCUAUUCGAGAUUAAAGCUGAUCAAACUGAAAAACUCUGUCUGAAAAUUGGUUAAAAUAUAUGAAGACCGCCUCAACUACAGGCAAUUUAGAACUAGAGCUGCGAAUCUUUGUUUCUUUCGAGUCAUAUCCAUCGAACAAACUGAGAAGUUCAAUAAACUUGACAGUAAUUCCGUCGAAUAUUAAUGCUUUUGCCUCCCUUUUGGAGCCUUUAAUUCUGACGGAAUUACAAUUCAUCUGACGGAACUUUAAUCGACAGAAACGAGCAAUACUGACGCCUUUGUACAACAGAAGCAUCGAAAAUGAAGUUACGAUAGAAGGUGAUCAUAUCCUCAUUGUAGUGACCCUAUGAGCUAAUAAUUCUGCUCAUACAACCCAGAACAAAGUUGUAUGAAUCAUUGAUCCGAAAUCGAAAGUCGAGAGGAUAUCAACAACUAGUUGAAGGUUUCUCUAUAUUAUGUUUCUUUUGGCCAUCAAAAUCUCAAGGGUAAACUGCACAUUUGCUCCUCUGGUAACACUUUGGUCUUCAAACUUUAAUUUGUUAUAAUUUUUUGUUCAAACUUUCGGAAUUGUCGCAACCAAAUCCUAUAACCUAAUUUAGUAGCCAAAUAUUGAUAUAUCGUUAAUGCAGAAGUGAUGUAGCAGUGCUAUGAUUGAUGAUGUGCCAAUAAUUAAGAUGUUAUAUUGCUUUUACAUCAACGAUGCGUCAAUAUUUAAUCAACUAAAUUAAGUUAUAGGACUUAAUUGUAAUAAAUCUGAAAGUUCGAUAUAGAAAUUGCAACAAAUUAAAGUGUGAGGACUAAAGUGUCAAUGUUUUAAAAACUGGCUGGGCCUAGCAGUGACCCGAAAAUAUUACUAGGCCAAGGGUCACUGGUUCAAGUCAGCAUGACGCUAUAAAUAUUUAAUUAUUAUUUUUAAUUUUAUUAUACAGAAAAAUAUACAUAUACUAUUAUUAUUCUAUUAUCAUACUUAAUUAUAAAAUAUUGAUUUCUGGAUCAAAUUAAGUAGUUAUUAGACUAAUUUUUGGUAAUAGAAAAAAUAAAAUUAGCUAAAUUAACUUUCAAGUCGUUGAAUUACAAUAUGACUUGAUAGAAAAAAAAAACCCUACCGUUUGAUUAAAAUACGGGCCGUUCCGAAUGGUUCACAAUGAUUUUUGACUUAUCCGAUUCAAAAGGGUUGAUUAGAACCGCUUUAUAAAAGGGGUCACGGUCGGACCGGUGUUCAGUGUUCAAGCAUCAAACGAGCAAUUUACCCUAAUCUAAAUUAGAUAAAGACAAUGGUAAAUUGCAUGUUUGGUCCUCAAAACUAUGGGGUAGUUGACACUUCAGUCCUCAAACUUUAACUUACUGCAAUUUCUGGAUCGAACCAAGAAUUUAAGUNCGACCAAAAAUCCGAAACCCGAACCCAAACCCGAACCCGAAAAUUUGAACCCGAAACAAUUAUUUCUUUUUUCAAUAUUUCAAAAUAUAUUAUAUUAAAUCUAAAUUUUUAAAAUACAAAUUCAAAUAUAACAUCAAAUUUUUAUAUAUAUAUUAUAUAUAAUACAAAAUAAAUUCGGGUUCAGGUCGGGUUCGGGUCGGAUUUGGGUUCGGGUCGGGUACAAUCAAAAUCCAUAUCCGAAUCCAUAUCCGUCGGGUUUUUAUUUUUUAUAUCCAUAUCCAAAUCCAUAUCCAUAUCCAUCGGCCGUUUCAUUCAGGUUCGAGUUCGGAUAAAAUUUCGGGUAUCCAUACCCAUUGAUAUCCCUAGUCACGGUCGGACCGGUGUUCAGUGUUCAAGAAUCAAACGUGCAAUUUACCUUAAUCUACAUUAGGUAAAAACAAUGGCAAAUUGCAUGUUUGGUCCUUAAAGUAUAGGGCAGGUGACACUUCAGUCCUCAAACUUUAACUUGUUGCAAUUUCUGGAUCGAACAUUCAAAAUUGAUACAAUCAAGUCUCACAAUCUAAUUUAGUUGACUAAAUUUUAGUGUAUCGUUAAUGUAAAAGUUAUGUGACAUUUUAAUUAUUGGUGCACCAUUAAUUACAACCUAGCUCCAUCUUCUCUAUAUUGGUCAUACAUCAAAAGUCAAUCACCUAUAUUGGGUUAUUGGACUUGAUUGCAACAAUUCUGAAAGUCCAAGCCAAAAUUUGCAACGAAUUAAAGUUUGGGAACAAAAUGUCACCGAUCUCAUAAUUCGAGGACCAAAUUUGCAAUUUACCUUAAAAACAAGGCUAAUAAACAGAAAACUCCUCUAUAAAUAUCAAUUUUUUUUUACUUUCUCCUCCCGACUUUCAGAAACCUAUAUUUCACUCCUUCAAAAUUUUAAAUUAUUGCAUUUAACCCCCCUUCGUCACUAUUUCGUCGAUUUCUUAUAAUUUAUACCGAAAAUAUCAUUAAAAAUGACAAAAAUAUGUUAAAAAUUAUUUUUUUUCUUAUAAAAUAAGUAAGGAUAAUUUGGUUAUUUCGUCCAAUCCAUUAACACCAUAACCAAGAAUUUAAGGGCAUGUUUGGUUCACCUAUUUUAGACUAUGGAAUCGGAAUGGAAUUCAUUGAUUCCGAUAGUUGCUUUUUGUUUUAUAGGAAUCAGAUUCCAGUUCCCAUUCUACUCCGGAAUGGGAACGGCCAAAUCUAUUUAUGACUCAAUCCGGCUUUGAAUUCCGAAUUGGCCCAUUCCAAAGUAAACUAUUCAAAAUUCUCUUUCACUAACACCUACCUCAUCUUCCUUCAUCACUUUCCUCUCUCGUAAUCAAAAUCCUCUCUCAAAAAUUCUAAAUUUCCAUUCCGAUUGCCAUUCCAAUAAUGAACGAAAUAUUUUUGGAUGAUUCGUCGUUCCAUUUUCCAUUCCAAAACAAUUCAAUUUCAUUUCUCAUUCCUAUUCCAAUCAUGAACCAAACAUGCCCUAAGUGUCCAUCAGUACAAACCGCCCUCGUGCCGAUAGCACAUCUCAAAACUCUCUUUUUUUUUAAAUUAGUAAGAAAUUUUCUCAAUAAAGUUCAAAAGACUUGAUAAAGAAGCAUAAUACAUGCAAUUAUGUGUCGGCACACAUGUAUUUUUUAUCACUCACACGCAUCGUGCCAUACCGCACCGACAAAUUUUCGGCACGAUCCAAUCCCACGGCACUUAAAUUCCCGGUCACGACCUCCUGAAAUUAUUUUUAAAAUUUUAAGGAGACAAAAUAUAGAUUUCCGAAAGUGGAGAAAGGCAGAGAUUUUCUGUAUUUUAGCCUAAAAGCAAUCAAUAAUCAAGCAAAUAAUUUCCAUAUAUAUAUAUAUAUAGAACUAGGCUGGAAUACUAGCACCAAUGACUUGGUGCUAUUAAAUUUUCUCCCCUUGGAUUAAAAGAUGCGUAGCUAGAAUGAUGUGGGUCCCUUAGUAUUGAGUUGGUGGUUAGUUGAAUAGUAUAAUCGAACAGAUGAAAAUGAUAAAAAAGAUAAAUCUAGCGGCAGAAAACUUGAUAGCACCGAAUGCUUCAUGCUAUUGCUAGUAUCCCAGCCGGACUAUAUAUAUAUAUAUAUAUAUAAUAAUAAUAAUAAUCACCGCGGCGAAGAAGGUGGUGUUCUUGGCCCGGCGGACGGUGUUCUUGAGGCAGAUCCAGUGGCGCUCGGCCGUGGUGUUCUUGAACUGGUCGAGGUGGUCGCGCGCGCUCGCCAGAAAGUCCUCCCCCUCCCCCUCCUUCCUCUUCUUGUAGCACGGCGUCGGCGACUGUCUUCCCGACCCUCCUUCCCCGCCUUCCAUGACGACGACAGACUUACUACGACAGAUUGCUGGUGCUGCCGCUGCUGCUGCUGCCGGCAAGAAAAGGUAAAUCUAAACCGAUAGAAUAGUUGUCAAAAAAAAAAUUGUAAAAAAAAAAAGACGCACUCAAAAUUUAGUUUCGGGGACUGGAGAAGGGGAAAGUGUGAAAAAGCUUGAAGAAGGAGAAGAGAGAGAGAGAGAGGAGAGAGAGAGAAGGAGAAGAGGAAGGGGGGCAAAAAAAAGGAAAAUAAAAGAAGGAAAAGAAAAAGUGAAAAUUAAUGAGAACCCCUCAACUAUAGAGAAUUUUCUGACAGAGGCUCUUUGAAACUCACUAUAAUUAUGGAGAACCCCUCGACUAUAGAGAAUUUUGUGGAACAGGCCUCAUUAAUACCUUAACUUCGAUUAUUUUUAGGAAAAACUUUAACCGUGUGGUUUCGCACUUUCUCAAAUUCUAGUACUCUGUGUUAAAGUGUUAAUCAAUUUAGUGCCCUACGCAGUCUAUUUUUUUUUAUUAUUAUCUAAUUCCGCAUUAAUUUUUUUUAUUUAAGUCGAUGGCAAAGUUAAAACAGAUAAAGUAUAUUUAAUAAUGAAAUUUUUUUUGUAUAUAAUUUAAUAAAAUAUUAACAAAGAUACUACAUGAUACUAAAUUGAUAUACUUUAAACCACAUGGGUGGUAUUUGAAGUUUACCUUAUUUUUUUUUUGUAAAGACCAGUUUUUAAUAUUUCAUUUAGAUUAAUUUCAUAAGGUUUAUAUAAAAAAAAAUCAAAUAAUAGAUAAAUUUCUGCAAAAUUAAAAUAAUCUGAUUUACUCUUCAAAAUUUUUUUGGUUUACAAAUAAUAGAUAAAUUUCUACAAAACUUGAAAUAGCCCCAUUAAUUUUUAUAACUUUUUUCAUUGGCACUCAUGAACUAUUAAAUUUUUUGAAUCAAAUAUUUUUAACCGAUUAGAUAGAAAACUUUAUGAAUUUUGUUAGUUUGAUUCAUCAAAUUUAAUAACUUUAAUUCUUUUUUAGCAAAUAAGAUUAGACAAUUAAUGACUAACAUCAGAUAAAGCUCUUUAAUUUGAUAAAAUUUUUAACUUAACUAAGUAGAAAAACAUGAAUAAAAAAACAAAAAACAAAAUAGUUGAGGGGUCUAUUUCAAAGUACCGUAGAGGUGAGGGGUUCUUCAUACAUUUUUACCAAAAGACAAAAAAAAAAAGAAAAUGAGAGGAAUUAAAAAGGAAUAUGAUAUCCUUGGAGGGAAAGAUACAGGAUAAGAGGAAUCGAGCAUUUGUGUAUGUGGCCUUAUUCUAUUGGGUGUGUAAAGCUGAAAUCUUAGAGGGGCUAAGAGAAAAAAAAAAAAGGUAAAUUGCACAUUCAGUCCUCCAUUUACUCCUUAAACUUUAAUUUAUUAUAAUUUUUUAUUCGAACUUUUAGAAUUGUUAUAGUCAAAUACUGUAAUCCAAUUUAGUUGGCUAAAAAUAUUGAUAUACUGCAGUGAUGUAACAAUGCACUGUGACGCGCCGCUUCCCAGGGCGUCACGAUUAGUAUCGAAGCCAAUCACUAACCGGAAGUGUGAAAUGAGUUUUAAUUGAGUCAGCUCUCCACAAAGUCGGCUAAGACUAGCAAGAUAAGUCUCACAUUACCUACUGCUUGUGAGUUUCAAAAUCUGAUUGUAGCAUUUUGGACGAUGACUAAGCCAAAAAAGUUAAGAGAAUUAAUUAAAUAUACUAAGACUAAAAUAGUUCUAAGACACCACUGAAAGGUAGAGUGUCACAGCUGCGAUUGAUGAUGCGCUAAUAAUUAAGAUGUCAUAUCACUUUUACAUCAUCAAUUGUUUAAUAUAAAGUUAAUUAAAUUAAGUUAUAGAACUUAAUUACAAUAAUUCUGAAAGUUCGAGUCUUAAAUUUUUCUGCUCUUUAUUUUAACGCGCCAGCUAGCGUUCAGCUCAUUAACAACUCUAGGCGGGAGGCCCCUUUCUUCCUUUGAUCUGUUUUGAUCCUUUAAAAAUUCGCUUCCGCCUCAAUCCGUCUUGAAUGAAACAGUAAGUGCGGGCCAAACUAGAACUAAAAUUAAUGCACCAUGAUCCGACAAGAAAUGGAGCGGAAGGAGGAAGAUUCCUCCAUCUCCUGAAUCUUUCGCAUCCUUAUGUAUGGUAUUUCCAAAUUUAGAGGGGCAUCGGUAAAAUUACAACUUUGUUGGAGGGUGUCGAAGAAAUUAACCCAAAAACAAAAUACAAAAUUAUGGCGUGGUAGACCCGGUUCACCAAAUAUUCCUCUAUUUAUUGGGCCCUUAUUGGGCUUACUAAAAAAAAAAUCAAAUUCACUAUAGGGCCUACGAGGCCCAUUAAAACCCUAACCCUAGCCCCCCGACCCUCUCUCUCCAUUCCUCCUCCGCCGCCGCCGCCGCGGGGCGCCGCCGUGCGCGUUCGCAGCAUCGUUCAGUGUUCGUACUCUGAUGCUCUCAUCUCUUUUUUUUUUUUUUUUUUUUUUUUUUAGAUCUGAUGAGAGCGUCUUAUAAUGGGAUCCGUCGUGUUCGUUCGAUCUCGCCCAAAUUUUGUUCAUACGAAAAGCAUUUUUUUUUUUUUUUAGCGUCGAAAGGUGGAUUUUUGCCUCCAUUUGCAAUCGCAUUUGGUUAGUUUGUGGAUAAUUCGGUGGAAUUGGAAGUGGCAGUGGUAGGGGAGAAACCCUAGAAGAAGUUUUUUGCUCUGGGAACUAUUGUUUAUGGGGAAUCAAUUUGCAUUGGAACCCUAGGUGGAGAAAAAUUUGAUGAAUGGGGGUUUGUGGUGUGAUGUUUGAGGAGGAAUAUAUGCUUUACACUUCGUUUGAAUGGAGAGAAAAGAAGAGAAAAGAAAGGAAAGCAAUUGCCUCUCAUGUUGUUUGGUUUAGAGUGCGUUCGUUUUAGGACAUGUUUGUUUCAACGUAAGUAGACUUGGGGUGGAAGUGAACUUUGAGUUGAAGUGGAAUUGGGGUGAAAAUUAGUUCACUUCUGCUGUUUGUUUCUAACUGUGGAAGUGCAGUUCUGCGAGUUCUGUUGUUUGUUUGGUAGGAAGUUGGUGACGUAAAAAGUGUAGCUCUCCACCCUCGGUAUACUUACCUCCAAAGUGAUAUCAUUGUCUAUUUUGUAACUUAUAAUGAAUAAUAAAUUAUAAUAAAUAAAAAUUAAUAUAAUUAUAUAUGUAUAUAAUUAUAUAUAUGUAUAAUUAUAAAAUAAAAUUUUAAAAAAUUAUAUUAUUUGUUUGCAUAUAAAUUAUAAUAAUACAACAAAUAAAAUUCUAAAGUUAAAAAAUUAUUAACAUUUAACAAAUUCAUUUUUCAUCAUUUUCUAAAUAUACAAAUUAAACAAAAAAUAUAUUAAAGCUUACCUAAUCAAAUUUGAUCAUAUUUUAGAAGAGGUAACCCUAACACAUUAAUCCAUUCUUGCCUUUUUUUCACUUCACCGGAAUUGACUUCGCCCAAUGGGAGGGCGAAGUCAAGUUCAUUAUUUUAGGUGAACUGGACUUUCGGGCGUAAUAAAAUUAUGGUGAACCAAACAGCGGAAGUGGCUAGUUUUCACCGAAAAUCACUUCCUCCAUCGCAUGUCCACCCCACUUCCCUCGAAACAAACAAGGGCGAAGUAGUUUUCGGCCAUAAAUGCCCACUUCUGUUGUUUGGUUUGCCAUAACUUUACUUUGGUCGAAACUCAGACUCUCUAAAAUAGCGUGAUUGACUUUGGGCCACCCCAGGCCGAAGUCAACUAUGGAAAACAAAGAAAAGUGAGGAAAGAAAGAAUAAAAUAUCAACCAUCUCUCACACUUCCAGCUUUUAUAUUAUUUUCUACCAAACGAACAGCAAAACUGAGGGAGCUUUAGUUUCAUAGUCAUACAAACAAACAACGGAAGAAAAGUAAUUUUUAUAUAAACUGUAGUUCACUUGAAAAUUUGCUUCAAUUUGAACUUCACUUCGGUGAAACAAGCCAGCCCGAAAGGAAGAAAAUGGGAGACUAACUUUCUCUGCCUUUCUUUCUACUUUUGGAGAGAAAAAGUGAACCAUUAUGGAAGGUCAUUUUCUCUCCGUUUCUCUCAAUUUCUCUUUUUUUCUUUCCUCAAGUUUUGAGCCAAACAAGAGCGACUAUUUUGUAUAAGAUCAGUAUGUUUUCUCGACCGUUUUCUAUAAUAUCAGUAUGUUUGGGUAACAUGGUAUCAAAGCCAAUUUUAAGCCAUCUCAGAUGUUAGAGGUUUUAAAAUUCGAUUCCCCACAUCCGUUAUUUAACAGUAUAGAUUCUUGACGGUUGUCUCUUUCGUUAUAUUUUCUAUUACUGCAUGUGGCGUGGUUCACUUGAUCUCCACCAUGCACGUAAGGAUAUUAAGAGGCUUCAUUUAGAUAGGGAGAAAAGGGGAUAAAAGAAAAGAAAUUAGGAGAAAAAAAAAAAUGUUUUCUCUUCUUUGGAUUGAAAGAAAAGAAAAAUAAAGCGAUAAUAACCUUCCAUAACUAUCAAUUUCUCUUCCCUUCAAAAGUGGUGAGAAACGGAGAGAAAAGUAAUUAUCUUUUUUUCUUCCCUUGAUCCAAAAGUUUAGGGGAGAAAAUUACUUUCUUUUCUUUUCUUCUCUCUUCUUUUAUUUUCUCUUUUUUUCUUUCCUAUUGUCUUCAUCCAAAUGAAGCAAAAGAUUAUUCCUGGACAAUUUCCUAUUAGGUAUAUCUUCUGAGCAGUACAUAGUUUUCUCUUUUCAUGUAAAAUUCUAAGGUCGGAAUUUAAACUUAUCUAUAUUCACUCUUUAAUAGGAAACGUGACAAUUAUUUGUCUUUUUUUUAUUUAAUUAUCUGAAGCUGGAAAAUUGGGUGAUAACUUUUGAAAACUAUCUGAAAUUUUACGAAAUCAAUUAGUUUUGACCUAGUUUGGAUUACUGAUAACAGAAUAAGGUGUCUGUAUCGGUAGAUGGUACACAAAAUCGCCAUAUUCUGUUUCCUUUUGCAGUAUCUCAUGAAUUUAGAAGCAUCCAAGUUUGGCUUUCUCGUGCAUGUCUAGCAUCUUAAGAUUCUGAAAUAGCUAGUUUCUCUCCUUUCUUAGCUCCUAAGGUGUCACUUUAGACUCGCUAUAUUGCUUUCAGUUUAUAAUAUGCACCGACAAUGUCGAGACUUCCCCUAUGCAUAGUGGGUUACCUCAGAUAAUGAUUUUUCAGAAUUAAGAUUCAUCAUGUCUACUGGAGUUAUGUUAGGUGACUAUAAUAGACGGAUGUGAUACAUAGUAAAUCCCAAAAAGAACUCCAUGUUUACAAAAGGAAUCUUGAAGUAAACAUGGAGUAAGAUUUAGCGAAAAGAUCCGACAUCAGGAACUCGACUCUCUCUCUUGUGUGAUUCUCUAGUUUUGAGUUAUACCGGAAGAGCAUUUCUAGAACUAAAUCUAGAGAAGCAUUGAUAAAGGCAUGAAAUAUGUCUUUCCAUCUAUGCCUAUAUAAGUCUUUACAUUACCUGCGUUUCAGGGAAUUACUUUAGCAGUUUUGUUUGUUUGUGCACUUCUCCAUGUGGCUUCUUACCAUAUUCAUCCGAUCCAUGGAGCAAGCACUGAAUGAGGGAAAAAGUUAGCAGAAUGUAUCCUAUAGGACACCUGGGAAAUGAGCUGUCGGAUAGCACUUUACAUUGCUUUAAGAUCUGCAAAAGUGCUAUCCGACGGCUCAUACCCUGAGUGUCUUAUUGGGUGCAUCUACUGAAAUUUCUUUUCCAUAUUGAGUUUCUUACUUUCAAACCUUAGGAUUAGUUCUCAUUAAGUUAUCAAAUUUCAACACGCGGGAAUCUCUUUUGUCAAUGAUCAAGGAUAUAAAAUAAGAGACAAAUGUUAUUAAUUAGGAUGAGCAUUGACCUCCCUUUAAGCGUUGAACCGCUGGGAUGAAAUGAUUAGUUGUGGACCAUCAGCUUAUUUUCUUCACUUUCAACAAAACGGCGAUAAACCAUAUCUGAGCUAAAAACUAGUUGAGUUAUUCAUCUGUCUUUGGCUGAUUCUUAGAUUUGCAUUUUUACCUUCUUUGUAUGAUGCAUGCUGGGGCUGCACCAAUUUUGAGCAGAGGAAAAUCAAAAAAUAUGGCAUAUAAUUCUAGGCUUGUGUCAAUAGAAGCUGAUAUUGUCAGAUGGUUCAAAAGACUGUUCCAAAGCCUAUUCUGUUUUUAUGGAUCUACCUUAACUUCAGCACCUGUUUGUUUCGUGGAUAAUUCUGCCGAACAACAUUUUUUUUUUUUUUUUGAACCUUUUGGAGCUAUGAUUAGCAGUUGUAGCAUAAGUUGUUCUAUGUUAAACUAGGAUGUGAAGGGAUUAAGAUUAUGCUUACGGUUUGCUUAAAAAAUUGCUGGAUUUCGUCAUCGUCAAUUAGCAAAAAUAGAGGAAUAAAUGCUGGUAUGCGAUCAAGUAAUCCUGAUUCCUGAGACUAUCACAUAAUAUGAUAAUUCUAAAGGAAAGUUUAGUCCACGUCUAAUGUGCAGUGUUUGCAUCUCUGAGGAUUUGAUUCAUCCUUACCUUAUUCCGCUCCCGGUAUUGGUUAAUCAUACUGAAUCUACUGCUUUUCCAGGUGAGAUUUUUAUCUAAUAUUCUAUGUGCUUUUUAUUCUUUAAAAGAUUAAAAAAAAAAAGUUACAGGGGGAACAAAUUCGAUAAUGGAACUAGCAAAGGACUUGUUUUCACUGUUUCUUUCUCUUUAAGAUUGUAUUUCAUGCUCUUUGCCAAUGUGUAGAAUAUCUCAACUUACAAAUUUCCACUCGGAUUAUCGUAAUUGCACACUAGUUCCUUUUUUGGAUAAUUACCUAUAUACUCCUCAAAACUUCUGACAUAUCUUAUAUAUUCCUACUUUUUUGUUUCAAAUAUACCUUCAUAUAUUUCUCCGUUAUUCAAAAAUAAUCUCGCUGUUAGUACCCGUUAAAUCAUUUAACCCUAGUUAAAUUUCUACCAAGAGUUAAAAAGAAAUCAAAAUACCUCUUUUGCUUCUAAUUUAAAACCAAAUAAGAAAAGUUUGUGACGGUAAAAGAAUAUAUUUGAAAGGGCAAAAAGUUAAAAUACCUAUUUUGCUCCUAACUUGAGGGUAAAUAAGGAAAGUUGGUGACGGCAGAAGGUUAUAUUUGAAAGGGCAAAAUACCUCUUUUGUUCUUAAUGGUUCAGUAGCAGAAUGUAAUUUUAGGGGUAUAUUUGAAGAAUUUGGAACGUUAAAAGGGUUUUUUUUUAUUAGUCUUCUAAGCGGAGUAAAUAAUAAAGUCUGAAACGUUUUAGGAGUAUAUAAGCAAUUGCCCCCUUUUUUGUGGCAAAAUAUUAAUUUUUUGUCAGAUUAAAAAUCGACAAGCACUUAUGCUGUCAGAUCAGCUGCAUCAAAAUUUUCGCAGAUGGAAGCAAAUUCUUCCGGUUCCUCAAGAUCGCGGGCGUCGGGUUCAAAGCGAGGACCGAAUCGGAGGGCCGGCAGCUGUUCCUGAAACUGGGCUACAGCCACGAGGUGGAGUUCGCGGUCCCUCUGGCCGUCCGCGUCUUCUGCUUCAAGCCAAACAUCAUAUGCUGCACCGGUAUCGACAAGGAGCGGGUGCACCAGUUCGCGGGGGCGGUCCGGAGUUGCAAGCCCCCUGAGGUUUACAAAGGGAAAGGGAUAAUGUACAUCGACGAGGUCGUGAAGAAGAAGCAAGGUAAGAAGUCGAAGUGAUUGCCGGGAAUUCGAAGUGCAAGUCAUGCAGUGUUUAGGCUCAUUGAGAAGCAGAUCAAUUGCAGUUUUUUUUUUUUUUUUUUUUGUUCGCGUCGAUUUGUGUAAUGCUCAAUUUGAGGAUCAAAUUGGUGUUAUGUAAUAGUUUCUGGUGCUAGUAAUUUUACAAGCCUUAAUGGAGAAAAAUUCUGUAUUAUUGAAUGAAUGGAGAUCCCCAUUGAAAUAGGCUCCUAAACUCUCUUCUUUCUUCUUCUUUUUUUUUCCUUUUUUUUAAUGAAUUUGCACUCCCUUGUAUUUGUUUUAUGCGAUUCAAGAGUUAUUUUCAUCAUAUGUACUGUUAAUUUUGUCAAAUGCGAUGAUAAUUUCUUGUGAUGUAAUGGCUUGCUUGUUUGUAGAUUUCAUUACCAAGAUAAUGGUAUAAAGAAGUCAUUUGGAAGCAAAAAGCUUGGAGAGUGAAGAGCUUGUGAGUUUCGUGAACUCGACUUCGCCUCCUACCCUACUGAAGUCAAAAGGUCGAUUUUCGUACAAUUGUGAGUGAAAAUUUAGUGAUCUCGUGACUUCAGUGCCGAAACAAAUGCUGACACUGACGAUUUUCUCUGAGUCACGAGUACGAGCAUCGUGAUCCGAAAAAAAUAAGCAGGCUCUAAAGUUGUGUGGAUGUUAAUACUAAAAAGUAAAAUUUAGGGGGCAAUUUCAAAAUAGCCCAAAGGUGAGGGAGUCUUCACACCUUUAUUUCUUAUCGGUAAUGGAAACAAAUUGAAGUAGGAGUCUUAACUAUUAAUUAUAUUAUGUUCUGCAAAUUAUUAUAAAAAUUUCCUAUGAAAUUUCAUUUGUUAAUUAUCUACUAAUUUUACUCCUGUAUAACUACUACUUAAUCUACAGGUCAAAUUUACAAAGUCCUUGAAAUAAAAUCAAUUGUCCAUCAAGUUUUUCUUUUUUUUUUUCUCUCUAUCCAUAUUUAUUGAUCAUCAUGUUUUAAAUUACCCCUUUUCUUUUCUUUUACUAGUUUUAUUCUCAAAAGGGAAUCUUGUGCAGAUGAAUUGCAAAGUCAAAUUCAUUACUUUUUAGACACUAAUUAAUCACUAAUUGUUAUAUUUUCCAACACAAUUUCUACCACAUUCCAUGUGUGACUUCUUAGCCCAAAAUCACCCAACUACUUUUUUGGCUAACAAAUCAGCUCUGAUACUAAAACAAUCCAGCCUACUAAUGCUAAUAACUCCCUCUCUUUUUUUUCCCCUUUUCUUUGCCUCCCCUUUUCUUUUUGUCUCAUUUUUCAUCAGUUGAUGCCUCAUUGCCUCACUUUCGUAGCUUAAUUCAUUUUCUAAAUGAAUGAAUCAGAUAGCAACUAUCUUUCUCUACUUCCAANUCAAGUUUUUCUUUUUUUUUCUCUCUAUCCAUAUUUAUUGAUCAUCAUGUUUUAAAUUACCCCUUUUCUUUUCCUUUACUAGUUUUAUUCUCAAAAGGGAAUCUUGUGCAGAUGAAUUGCAAAGUCAAAUUCAUUACUUUUUAGACACUAAGUAAUCACUAAUUGUUAUAUUUUCCAACACAAUUUCUACCACAUUCCAUGUGUGACUUCUUAGCCCAAAAUCACCCAACGAUAUAAACUCCAUCUUACUUUUUUGGCUAACAAAUCAGCUCUGAUGCUAAAACAAUCCAGCCUACUAAUGCUAAUAACUCCUCUUUUUUUUUUUCCCUUUUCUUUGCCUCCCCUUUUCUUUCUGUCUCAUUUUUCAUCAGUUGAUGCCUCAUUGCCUCACUUUCGUAGCUUAAUUCAUUUUCUAGAUGAAUGAAUCAGAUAGCAACUAUCUUUCUCUACUUCAAAAAAAAAAAAAAAAAAAAAAAAAACUCAUUAUGACUAAUGAGUUGAGUCAUUACAAUUCAAAUGAGAGGCCUUUCAUGUUAUAUAUAUAUAUAUAUAUAGAGAGAGAGAGAGAGAGAGAGAGAGAGAGAGAGAGAGAAGGGCUGCUGUGCUCACGGAGGCUUUCGUGCUCUGAGUCAUUUUCGAUAAUAGAAUUUUCGAAUCGACGAUCAGCUCUGUUAGACUUGAUCUAGCGCAUUUGAAGUUUCUAGAAAAUAAUUUUUGCGAUUUUUUGAUAUCAUUUAUCUAGUGAUCGAAAUGAUUCAAAAUUCAUAAUUUUUAAUGGUUAAUAUCCGCCGUUUUUAAAUUUAACGGUGUAGAAAUAUUCAAAUCAUAUGAAAUUUUGAUACAAAAUUCUUUAUACUAUCUACAACAAGAUUAAUAUUUCCAAUCAAAAAUUUUAAUGGUAUAUCACCACUUUUUAUAGGAUUUUUAUUUUUAGCCGUUAAAAAUUAUUGAUUUUGAAUCAUUUCGAUUGCUAGGUAAAUGAUAUCGAAAAAUCACAUUAUUUUUUAGAAACUUCAAAUACGCUAGAUCAAGUUUAACGGAGUCGAUCGUCGAUUCGGAAACUCCAUCAUCGAAAACGGCUCAGAAGCACGGAGACCUCCGUGCUCCUGAGAGCACAGCAGCCCUGCUAUAUAUAUAUAUAUAUAUAUAUAUAUAUAUAUAUAUNAACUCAUUAUGACUAAUGAGUUGAGUCAUUACAAUUCAAAUGAGAGGCCUUUCAUGUUAUAUAUAUAUAUAUAUAUAUAUAUAUAUCAAGUCAAAUAGAUGGUGAUGUUAGAUACAAAAAUCACUAAAUUAAAAAAAAUUUAAGAUAACAAGUUUUUCAGUUGGUACAACAAAUAAUCCCUUCAUGAAAUAGAUAUGCAAUAUUACACCUUGUACACACUCAAUUUUUUAACUUUUAGCUCUCCCAUCAAAGCCAUAUUCACUUCUAAUAAGCAUUCAAGGAGCUCCUCCCCCUUCGGAAAUUUUGAGUAGUUUCGAGAUUCUACUUCGAUUAAAGGGUUUAGAGAAAUUCGCACUCCUGCAAAACCCCUCGCCGCCAACUUUUCCUUUGCCUCGCCGGAGCAUAUUUGCUCGCUCCCUUUCGCUUCAAGGGAGUAUAUGUGUGUGACAUAAAUAAUUGCACAUGAAUAAAAUGUAAUGUGUGGCUUAUCUCCCAACUCUUGGAGCCUUGAGGAGAUGCACACUCUUCACCAGCCCUUUUCCCACCUCCCCAACUUGCUUAAGAAUCUCUAAUGGAUCUAUUCUCAUUUCAUCUUCCUCGUCCCGGUUACGUUUCUGCGAAAAGAAAAAUCACCAAACAUAAAAUUAAAAACCAAAGAAAAUGAAAUCACGCUAUCUCUCCGUAUGGUUUCGAGUAUGACCAAUCACCUUGGAGAUCCUUUUCUCCCAUGUUAGACCAAUCGCGUCCCCUCCGACGGAAUCAUACCACAUCUUAAACAUGUCCGGGAAUUCUUUCUGAAAUUAAAUCGACGAGAAUAAGAAUUUAGCUUUCCUUUUGAAAAGAACAAAUGUAAUUGAUUAAUAAGUAUUUUACCUUAAGAUCCUCCAGGAAACAUGUGGUAGGAUCAAAGUUUACCAAUAGCUUAUCUCUCGCAUCUUCCAGACUUUUCACAGCACCUCGAAGCGGCAUGUAGGGAUUGAAGGCCUUACUUGGUUUACCACAAAUUACCAGCUUACCUGCAAAGAUUGCCAUGGCACAGAUUUUGUGUUAAGAAGCCACAAAAGUUAUGGUUUUUGCAUCCUUAGUCCUUUUUGGGCCAUCAUAGUUUUCACUGACUGAAAAGCCCGAGAUCCGAAUCUCUAAUGCACAAGUUUGCAGCACCACGGGCCGGGGACAUUUCGGUUCAUUAAAAGAUUAUUUCAAAAUAUUAAGAAUCUAAAUGGAGGAAAGAAUGGAAUGUUUUUGGAAAGAGUCUAAAGAACUAACCAGAUUGAACCUCGGCAGGAAAAAGAAGGUGGCGCGGACGAGAAAGUUUAUCACGAUGUAGAAGAACUACAGCAUCAUAGUUGUUCAAAGGAGUCCUAAAAACGCACUGCGACAAAAGGGGAAAAACAGAGUGACUGACGCCAAUUUUGUCGAAAGCAAUUGUAAAGUAUGGAAAGAGAGGAUAUUUUAUGUUUACCUCCCAUGUGUAUGGACCAGAGGGACCUUGGAGGAUUAAAUUGGUUAAGAGGUCCGCACUGCUUCGAGCAUAAGCGGCUAUUCGCUUCAGCACCUUCAGAAGAAAAGUCAACAGCAGGGAGAAAAUUAAAAGAAUAAUUGUUUAAAGGACUAGAAAUGGAUAUGAGAUAUGAAUCAUAUAGAAAAGGUCACGACAAAAUAAUCAAUGAAUUAUUUAUAUACAAAUGUUGGGAUUUGGGAAAUAUUAAAUGACAUGAUGUCGGCUUUUUAACCUCAAGUAAAAAGACAAAUACAAGGAUAAAAGAUAUGGUACUCCCUGAACUUAUUACAAAAUUACAAUACUUAAUAUUUCAUUCAAACAGAUUGGUCUCUAACUUGUCUGGAUUUCGACUAUGUCAUCCCUGGGUUACUGAAGUUGAAAUAUUAGAAUUUUUUACGAAGAAGAGAUGCCAUUGUAGGCACUCGUUCCAGGGCGAAAAAAAUUUGACGGUCUUCAAACCUCUUAACUUACAGAGGGAGAGGAAAAAAAAGGCCAAUAAUUGUGCUAGCUUGGGCACAAUUAGGGAUGGAGAACUGCUAAAAAUAUCCAAACGAAACCAACUCUGACUUCAUUGCGGAUAUUGACCGACUAGAAAUGAGUAGAUUCAUAGGCACAAGAAUGGAAAAAGACAAAGGCUAGCUUAGAAUAAAGUCGAUCAGAUAAAGGUAAAAUUGUAUAAAGAACACCUCAAUAAUCGGCGAUUUUGAUAUAGACCUAAACUUUACCCUUUUUAUUUGAACUCAAACCUGUUUUGUUUGAUUUAAUUUUAGUUCCAACAUAUAAAUUGGAUAUUAGGAUUAAUUUAACCACUCUACCUGUUUUUAAGCUGACAAAAUUCAGGUUUCCUUCAUUGUUAAUGAUUGGUAGCUAAUGAAGAUAAUAACCUUAAUGAUCUCCUAGUUCAACCUAUAGAAAUAACUGAAAUAAAGAUAAAUAAAAGUUAAGCGGCUAUCUAUCCAAAAGAAUGAAGUUCAGGCGUCAAUUUCAAAAUGGCACAUUGCUCAAGGGUCCCCUAUUGUCUAUACAUUUUUACCUUCUAUGAAACCCCCCAAUCUACAUAACACUAAAUAAACAAACCAAUAGUAAUCAAACAUUAUGCCAUUUGCUACAAGAUGAUGCUUCUAAGCAUCAGAAAGAACGAAAUACACUGCACUUAAGGAAAUAGAAAUACCAGCUUGUUGGGUGAGUACUUAGUCCACGCUUCAGAUGUUUUAUCAUAGGAUGUAGCAAGAAACAUAGCUCGUUCUAUAUCAUCAGGAUUUUCUUCAUAAGAUUUUCUGUUCAGUAAGAAGUUUUCCUACAAAAAAAAAAAGGAAAAGGAAUUAGAGCUUGAAUCUCUCUGGUAGAUUCCCAGGAGAAGUAUCAUCUAUUCAAAUGGAUCACAGGAUACUGACAUUAAUCUCUUUUUCAUCCUUUGCCGUGAAAUCGUUGUUUAUAUCAACAAUCAGCGGAGAGAAGGUCCAGUCGAAAUUGGACAGUAGGCGCAAGAAUCUGCCAUUACAGUUGAAUUAUUGAUCCAUUAAAUAAAGAAAAUCAAAAUAAAAGAUAAACAGCUGCGACAUAAAUUGAUCAGAUGCCACUGAAGAUUAAAAAAAGUCAGAUCCCAGGACAAUUUUGUAGUGAUUGUACCAAACUCGAUGUAAUUAAGAUGUAAUUUACAUUGCACCAAUACCCAUUUAAUGCAACACCCCAUGUAAAAUGCUGCCAAACAAUACUAUGUAGUUAAAAAUAUAGGAUCUAACAGAAAUUUAUAGUAUUUAAGCAAGUCGAAUCCAAAACAAAAUAAUAAGUUUUUAGCAUUAACUAAGAACUGAAUUCACCGAUGGAAAUCAAAGACAGAACAGUGCCAUCAUUCAUUGAACCAAACAAGUCACACGGUGUAAAGUUGCCAGCUGGACCCAACUACCAAAUUCGGGCCCAAAGUAGCCUCCUAUUACUCAAGGUCACAUGCUUUGUAGAUCCAAGAUAAGGCCCAUUAAAUUAUGUACAGCAGAAGUCUAAAGUCUAGUUGAUAUACAACCAACAUGACGCAAAAUAUUGAGAUGUGUAACAUAAUUGUUAUCGUCUGAAUGACGCCUUAAAAGUUACAGAAGCCUAAAAGUAGAGGCAUAAUUCCACUAUUAACUCAGUACGCGGCAUGUGAAAAUAAACAAUGGCCUGAACAGCUUCAGCAUUAUCUAAAGAGAUGUGUAAUAUGAAUAAACAAUCACAAGAUUACCCUGCUGAGGCAAGUAGACUGUUAAAAAUGGCACAAGUGUGUGGAAAGUAAUUAAAAGAGAAAAUUACAGAAAUUUACCUAAGAAAUCCAGUGAUCCGCGAACAGGGAGCAUUAAAUGGAAAUGGCUUCAAAAACAAGUAGGCAACUACCAAUUCGAUCGCCUCCUCUGCUAGGAAUAAGGAAAACAAAUGUGCAGAAACCCAUCGUUUUGCAAGCCUUCAUGACAUGAGCAGAAGAGAAUAGGGGGCUAAGAUAAGGUGCAUUUUCAGACGUAAGAGCACAAAAGCUAAAAAAUAAAAAUAUAGUUUUGCACAUAUAUCCUUGCGAAAAAUGAUCUACCCUACUAUAAAUAUGAACUUUCACAUAUGCCCCACAAAAGUGCAGUUUACUGCAGAAAACCACAUCCUCAAGUUAGGGAGUCAUCAGUCCAUGGGAAUGAAGUGGAUUUAGUAGCCUUCUCGAAGUAGGGGUAUUUUUUGAGCGCAAGGGGUUUCAUAAUAUUCAAAAUUCUGAUUUUGCAGGAGUAUAAAAAGGAUAGCAUUGCAUAGGUGUUUAUUAUGUCAAUAUAUUGGAAAGAAAAUAUCUCACCUGACAACUGGCCCAUAAAUGGGGUAACGGCCAUGCAAACCAUUUAUCAUACUCGAAUGCUGGCUUCUUAAGAAUAGCUCCUUAUCUAUGGAUGGAGUAGUUCUCGGCUUGCCAUCAGUACUAGCUACAAGGGAAGAGAUAAAAUGAACUUAAUAUCAGACCAUUGUUAAAAAAGAAGGCAAUAAGAAACACCAUUACCGGCAAAACCAAACCUUGAUUUUUCAACAUACUCAAGCCUCUUUCAUGCAAAAUUUUUAGCGAAAAUGAAUAUCCAGAUGUAUGGACAUUCACCUCAUCCUCAGUGGCUGUACAAAACAUUCCCCACCGAUCCUGAAGACUGUAUUAAUUAAAAAGUUGAAACCAAGUCAAAACAAUGAAAGAAAACUUCAGGCAGCUAAGACAGUAGACAGCUUCAUCAAAAUUCGCAGGGUUAAUUGGUUGGUUACUCCCUAUACUUUCAAAAUAUUGCAUCAUAAUUCAUGAAUUUUCCAUUUACAUUUUACCCGCUUGUCAAUGGCAAGGGUUAAAGUCACAAAAUAUGAGAAAGUCACCAUUGUAAGAUCUCAUCUCAAUGGCAAGGGGUCAACUCCCAAAAUAUGAAAAGAAAAGGUAGAGGGACUAAAGUAUUAAAAUGGAAUGUUCACGGACUACGUCACAAUAUCGGUGUAGCACAGGGACUAUCAAUACAAUUUACCUCAAUUGUUAACAGUGUACCUUUCUGCAAUUUUUAGAAGAAAUGCAGACUUCGUCUUCUCAAUAGCUACAUGGUCCAUGGGCCAGUUACCUGAGCCCUCUAACUGUCCAUGAUCAUAGAAAAAUCUUCAGGCACUAAGAAUCAAAUACUAGAUAAAAAUUGUGCGUAAGUUCUAGGGGCUUUUACAUACAUAUCUUUCAAAAUCUUUGACUUAUGCAUAUUCGUAUUUUGAUAUAAACAUCAUCGAAAGUGCUAUUUCUUAAAUAAAGAACUUAAGCUGGAAUUCACACAAUUCAUAAAGUUGGUUUUGGAUUAGUAAGAGUUUUUGAAACAAGGAAUAAUUUCACAAGUAGAAGGGUUUAUAGGUAGGUACUGAGCUUUUGAAGUGCAUAUAUGAUAAUUCAGAGUUUACAAGGGAAUACAUGUAAAGAGAUAGUGUGGCAGGGGCAUGUAUGUAACUAUCUCUAGCUUCUAGAUUUAAGCUAGUGCGAGAGCAAGCAUGAGGCAUGAGGAGCUCGUAUAGCUCAAAAAAAUAAUCAGCCAGAUGGAAAACAUGAAAUGAUGAAGAAAAAACAAAUGUACUGAAAAGACUAUUAUUAUGAUCUUAGCAAAAAUCCUUAAAAACAAAAGAAACGAAAAGAUCAUGUAAAUUACCUGAAUCAUAACUUCAAGUGGUUGAAGACAAGUCGCCACAAAAUUUGGUGGUCUUUUAUUAGAACUCUUCUCAAAAGCCAAGGGAUGAGGUUCGGGAGGGAAGACAGACGUAUGCCUGAAAGCUGAUAGGACCAGCAAUGAUGAAAUAAGUAUAUUGCAAAAAGUCAGAACCAUUUUUUUUAUAACAAAAAAAAGAACUACCUAAAAAUGCUAAGAUAAAAGAAAAUACAGCACAAAACAAUCGAGUUCAGUCAAGAAUAACACAGAUUAAUGUUUCCUACAGAAAACAAGUAUUCAGGAAGCAGCCUUUACAGAAAAGAGAAUAGUAACAUAUCGAAUAGUAUCAACAUAAGAAAUUUAUGCUGCAAGCUUAAGAUAAAUGGCCGAAAAACAACAAUGUCCUACUUCUUUUAGGUUAGAAUAGUAGUUUGGGUUUAAUUAAAAUUGGGUCAUUACACCACGUGUUCAGGCCCAUAAACUCAAGUUAUUGGCUCUACUUGACAUCAUAAAGCAACCAUCAAUGUAGGAUUUUAACAUGAGUGGAAAGAUAAGCACACCACUUUUCCAAUUUGGAAUGCAUAUAUAAGAAAUUAGGAAAGGAAGUUAAUAGUUAGGAAAUAGCAAUAUUGUUCUGUCAGGUCAUCUAAAUACAUGAGUGAUCAACAAAGGCAUGAAGUUGAAGUUGAUACACAAGUAUUGGCUAAAUUUUAAAGCUUCCUCUAAAAAUAAAGAUAAAACAAACCUGGAUCAAGAGGCUGCACACUGGACACUUUCAAAGGGAUUUCGUCUAAAAGCCACAGCCGCUUAGAUAAAACAUCAAAAGCUCCAAGAAUAAGUCCUGAAUAGAAUACGGGAUCUACAAAAAGAAAUAAAUAGGAUAAAUAAUAUUUGAUAAAAAGAUAAUAAAAGAUAUACGGAUGAAUUACAAAUUUGGUCCUUUCAAUCAUAAAAAUCUAGUCCUCAGAGUUCUUUCCAUUUAAAAAUUGUCCCUACAUUUCUCUGUCAAAAAAAAGUCCAUACAUCAGUCUAUCACUCAAAUAGUGCCAUGUUGACACCAUCAUUAGAUUUCCUCCACUAAUAUUGAAACAUCUAGGAGAAAACUGAAAGCAAUUCCAAACUAUCAGCACAAAAUUGAGGUCAGACUUCAUAGUUAAAAUUGAAAACUAUUGAGUAUGAAAUUGCAAUCAGGCAAACUUCAGUAAUUAAAUUAUUAAAAUUAAAACUAUUCAGUGAAACUUCAGGGAGCUGAUAAUUAGUUGAUCCAAAAAAAUAAAAAUUAUGCAUAGGUGAAAGGUAGAAAUAAACACACACCUUUACCACCAAGAUGCAGGGAGAAGUCAAGCUGAUCAACUGUAUGAACCAUGUGUUCUUUUAGUAGUAGAAAAUGUCUAGAGAGCACAUAUUCCGUGAUUCUCUUGAUAAUCAGAUGUCUUUCCCAGGGCUCACAAUCCCACACUAAUAGUCAGAAGAAAAAGCUAUAAGUUCUUCAGCAAUUAAAUGAGUAAUCCAGCAGAUAGUACCUAUAAAAAGAAGGAAAGCAUAAGGAAAGGAAGAAAGGGAUGGGGAAAAAGGAAUACCAGUGCUCUCUGCAAUUGUCCCGUCCUUAAAUCUCCUAAGUUCUGCUUUUUCUCCCCAAAACUUUCUGAAUUUGAUGGCCUGAAAUGAUGUUAGUAUCUACAAAAAUACAAUGAGUAAAAGCAAUCACUAGACUUCAAUGAAAAAGGAAAAGAGAUACCUCCUCUUUGUUCUCAGGGUUUGGGCCCACAUCAACUACUCGAAAACUUGUAUCCUGGGAGCUAAUUGAUAUACCGACAAGCAUUUGCUCAUUACCAAAAUUUGAAAAUCCCUACAAGACAUGUUCAUCAUCUAGGUUAUAUCACCAAUAACUAGGAAAAUAUUUGAGAUAUAUUUACAUAAUAUAUAUAGCCCUCCAAAAUUAUCUGUUCACAUAUGAAUAUAUCCAGCAUUAUCAAUCUAAUAUGAAUGAUAUCCAGCAAAAUCUUAACAUAAAGACAUCUUAUUCAAAAUAAUUUUAUUCCAAUACAAAACCAACUUCUCAUGAAUUAGUCAACUCGCCCAACUUAAGAAGUUCUCUUUCGUAGGAAUCUGCACUCCGAAGGGGCAUAUGUGGAAACUUGCACUUCAGAGAGGUACAUAUGUAAAAACAUGAUUUUUCUUUGAUUUUUGAAGAGAUAAAUAUAAUUGUAAAAGCGUCCAAAUUAAAUUAGCAAGGAACAGAGAAAGCAUACAUCAUCGAUUCUCCAUUCAGACGGCAUGUUUCUCCAGAUAGCACGUAUCAGCUUUGCUCUAUCAGUCAGUCCUUGUUGCAGAAGAGAAUGCACAUCCUUUUCACAUACUCGCCAGCAUUCAUCAUCCAAGCAAAAAUCCGAUGCAAAAACCUUAGAAUUUCCUUCAAGGUUUAUCCUGAAAAUAACCAGAAAGCACCUAAGGAACUUUCCACAUUCACAACUUAGAGAACGGGUUAAUUUUCAUAUUACCCUCAAAAGUUUGAAAAUAUUGUACUUAUCCCUCGAAAAGUCAAAAUUAUCACACAAGUCCAAGUAAAAUUUAUAUUCUUUGUAAAUAUCGUUUUUGGAGGGCAUUUAGGAAAAUUGAAGUAGCAUUUUCAAGGACAUCUAUGAUAUUUUCAAGGAUAGUUUAGAGUAUUUCCGAUAGCUAGGGCAUUUAUGAUAUUUUCAACUUCUGGAGAGCUUCCGUAAAAUUGUAAGACUUUGAGAAGCACUUAGUAAUCUCUUAAAAGAAAUAGAUAAAGUUAGUCAAACUAACAACUGAGCAGUAAGCUAAGCAUGUAAAAGCUUGUACAGGGCGUCGGAAACACAGGUCUAAUUCACCCAACAGGAGAAUUCAGAAUUCUUAGGUAAACAGACUGUGUUAUAGAUUAUUUGAAGAACUACUAAUUUAUGUCCAUGGCUAUGAAAGAAAGCCUUUCGCAUACUGACCAAAUUGACCAAAUUCUCUACAGGUUAUGCAGAAGCUGUCUUAAUCAGGAAAAUAAACAAAAGAUAGCUAUUAACUAUCAAAUUGAGACCUACAAUCUUAUGAAUUAAAUUUUGUGAUUUGAAGGUUCUGUUCUUGCAAUUCAAUUCUUAUAUCACAAUCUGAACACUAAGGUUGACUAGAAAUGUUUGGUAUGCUUAAUUGACACAGAUGUAAUUAAUAAAGGCAAAAGUUGUAUAGAACUUGGCGUCAUUAAACAUUUUGUGAUUUUCAAGAUAUGCUUCUCUUUGAAAAAAUGGCAACAAUAAAGUGUUAGCAUGUGAUAUAAAUAAUCAACAAAUUUGUAGUACCUCAGGCAAGAAUCAAAUUUAGAAGCGAAGUCAACUUUAUUUAUGAAAAUCUCUUCAAACCCAGCAUCUCCACAUUUAUCAAUGCAAUUAAGUGUGCGAGCAGCCUCAUCUUGAAGCUGAAUAAGCAUUAUUGUCAGAUCGAAAUACAAAAGAAGAAAAACAAAUUGAGAAGCAAGCAAAGUUAGUCCUAAAAGCGUAACAAAGAGAUAUUUACAUUAUAUAUACAUAUCAAUGCAAAAUUAAUCAGCAAAAUUAAUCUACUUCAUGGAUCUGGUAAAUAUGAAUCUUUAUACACACCCUUCAAAAUCUUAAUUUGUUACAUAUAUAUACACUUACAAAAGUACCCCUUUCGCACAAAAAAACCCCUUCCAAUAGGGAAAAAAAUAAAGAAAAAGAAAAAAAUAAUUUCACCAUGAAUUGGAUGAUUCCCCACUUUAAGAUAAGGAUAUAUUGCAAGACAUUGCACUUUUGAGGCAUAUGUAUGACAACACACAUUUCAUAGGGAUACAUAUAAGUAGAUGGAUGAUAUUGCAAUGACAUACAUGCAAAACCAAUAAAUUAAGCAUGAAAGGGAAUAAUAAAUACAAAAAAAACAUAAUGUGAAAAGGAGAAGCGCAAAUAAUGUAUUUUCCAUCUCAGUAAACGACUGCAUUACAUACCUCUACGAAAGCUGCCCUAGUCAUCCGGAAUGCCAAAUUUAAAUGGCCAGAGACAUCACAAAUGACAACAGCAAAUGAUUGCAAAUACUGAGUCAUAUCCUAUAAUUUUUCAAUACAAUAUAGUCAGAGGGGAAAUUAAGGCAAAAGAAAAAAUAAAUAAAUAAAGCAUAGUUUUAUUAGACAUGGAAUUGCAAUAAUAACCAAAAUGAAUAAAAAAAAUGAAUUAUGUCAAGAAGUCAAUAAGUAUUUAAGUAUGUAAAGGCAGGAAUCAAGCAACCAACUGGCGUUCAUAUAGAAGAAAGGAAUUAUAAUUGGAAUUAAAAUGAAAUAUAAGCAACAGACCUUGGGCAAACUAUGCUUCCCCAUUGGCCUAAGUGCUAGGCCCUUCUCCCAUGUAUUUGAAGUUGCUGCAAGAACAGUAAAAACCAGUUUAUCAAAACAAGCAUGCGCAAAUCUCAGGUAAAUAAGAAAGCUAGUUUUACUACAUUGAGACCUUAUGUCUUACAUGAUUAAGGAUGAAAAGGAUUAACUGCAAAUUUAGUCCCCAAAGUUUACUUCAGAUUUCAAUUUUGUUCAUGGAAUUUCAAUUGUAAUAAUGAGUCCCUGAAGUUUAAACUUAAUUUGAAUAAUCCAAUUUCCUUUCCAUAGCCUCACUUCUAACAAUUCAGCACCUUGACUUUAACCCAGAUUUCAAUCUCCAUGAGGUUUCAAAUUUAACAAACAAAAGACCUGACAUGGAACCAUUUUUAAAUGAUAGAUCAAAAGAGGACUUGAGUAGUAAAUUGCUGCAACAAAGCUAUGAAGACAAAAAUAUCAAGGUCAAACUUCAGGGACCAUCAGCCCUAAAGGAAAAAAGGGUCAAACUGUGCAAGUAACAGGAAAAGUAAAUGAAAGAUAUAUGCGGAUCUUGGUCCUUAAUACAUGUAUAUAAUGUGUUUCUGAUGUUAAAUUCCCAAUUCUUGAAAUAGUCAGAGAGCUCGACCAUUUAUAGAAAACUAGAUGCAAGAAAACUUUCGUACCAAUAAACUUCAAUGUGACACGGAAAAUCUGCAGCGCACUCAUUGACUUGUUAAUAAUGUUCCCUCCAGUUUCUCCAGUAAGAAAUGCCACAAGGAUAGAUAUCAAGUAUCCGUUGAGGCAAUCAUGCGUAAAGAGAGAACUUCUUUGGCGUGCCCAAACCUGCACUAUUGUAUUAAAAGCUUAGUGCGUGCAGUCCAGAAACUUAACUAAGUAUGUUCUUCGACUGGCUUCUAAAAAUGGUUCUAUAUUCCAAAAAUUAACAAUUAUUGCUUCGGAAACAAGCAUGGAGCUUUUGUUGUGGCAAGAAGCUGAAAUGAGCUUCUUAAACCACGAAGCAAAAGCCCUUUUGAAGAUCUUCCUGCUUCCACUGCAACGGAGGUAUUGAGGGGAUAUUAAGAAGAAAGCUAUUUUGAAUACUCCAUACCACCACUGCAAAGCUACCAGCAGCCCAAACAAGCCACAGCAUAUUACUUAUACCAGUAUAGUAUAUUUUAGGAGGUGUCUAUGGUAAUUGAUUGAUUAAUAGACAUCAAUAACAUAAUAGCUAAAAGAUAAGAAUUUGUCUACUUACUUUUAGCAAAAUUAAAGCCUCUUCUAGAGUUUUCCAGUCCUGAAAAGCUUUCUUCACAAUCCCAGCAUUUUCCUCCAAGAACAUGUCUUCCAAUAUACUACUAUUGUACUUCGGAGUAGCCUGAGUUACACCACCUGCCAAAUCAAUUAUUAUGUGGAUAAAACAACAGAGUGAAAACAAUUGAUAAAUCAACUUGCUGAAAAGAAGAACAGUUUGUCAUCUACACUAGGUUUCUUCAUGACUUGAAAGACAUAUGGGAUGUUCCAGAUGCAUAUAUUACCUUGGUUAAAAGCACGGACAUUAUUCCUCGUCAAACUUAACUUUGCCGGGCUGAAGAGUGAUGUGGCAACCGGAAUUAUCCGAAUGUAAAACUCAGUAAGUUCAGGAAGAUCCGUCGCUACAAGAUCAUUUCGUGAAUGUGUAGCAAUUAAGAUAACAUAACGCACGGAAGAUAGUAAGAUAAUUCAGACAGAGAUCAGCAGAGGGAAAAGUUAAUGCAAAAAUAAUUUAAAAAACCUGGAUAUAUCAGCAGAACAGGUUUUCGAGCCUCAUUCUGAAACGUAGACCAUUUGAUCCUCCGAAUUGAUGGUAAAGAUCUCAGACUCCUCUCUAUAACACAUAAGUAAAGGCAUCUCUUUGCAUGAUACCGAUGAUUCAGAUAAUCCUUCUCAUGAAAGCACUCCUAGAUAUCACAGCAAUAGCGACCACAUUAUCAAAGUAAAACACAAAUAUACACCAAAAAAGGCUAAAUGGCAAAAAAACCACCCAGCAAUUUCGCUUGUGCCUCAGUUGUCCUCAUGAAUGAAAAUUUGCAUCGAUUUCGCCCUACACUUUAUCAGUGGCUCAAAUAGAUACUCAUGCAAAACUUCGAUAAAAUGAGUUUGCAUAUUACAUCAUUCUUUGUCUAAAUAUCUAUCUAUAUUACAACAACAUAAUUGGUAGAUCUAAAACUAGAUAAAAGGGAUUUCCUUCUUUACUAUAGAAACCAAAAUUGGCCGUUUAUUAUAAAAUUUAUUCAAUUUACGCGACUCUCCUCCGCUAGAUAUAACCUUCCAUGGGUUUUGCAUAUAAACUCAACAAUCAAAACUCAAAUUUUUGGACCUAUCAGAAACUUUUUCCAAAGCGCAGGAUCGACAUUAAUGCAAUUCUUUAUGAAAUAAGGCCAUUGAGACACUAACAGAAACACACUUUUUCAUAAUUUGGCGUGUUUUUUCCGUCAUAAUUUAGCCACAAAAAAAUUUCUUUUUUUUUGUUCUACCUUUGGCAUCCGAACUAGAAGAUCGACAUUGACAUCGGGCUUCGCGACGCACCCAACCGAGUGGCUUCCCGAAACUUCUACGGCCUCCGGACGCUUGAAUGUGAAGCCGACCUUAUUAUACGCGACGCGGAGGUCCCGAACGAACCCGAGGCCAGCAUCGGCGCCGAUCUCUUGGUCGGGGAUCGACCCAAUCGCCUCGGCGACGGACGAGACGAGUCGAUCUAGGGUUUCUGCGGCGGAAUCGCCGAGCCGCACCUCUCCCAGGAGCUCUCGGAGCUUCAGAUCCAUCGACGCCGUCUCCAGCGCCAUUGGAGGCGGCGAUCGUGUCCUCCGAUGUGUUUAGGGUUUCUCUUAUGCGGCGGCGACGAGAAGUAAGGGUUUAGGGUUUUGGAGGGGACGGGGAGGGAAAAGGUUUUAGAGCGUCGCGGGAGAGAAGGAAUUGAAAAGCUCGGUGUCUCAUGUGUAGGGGUGUGAACGGUCGGAUUCGAAGCGGAUUUUUAAAAAUCUGAACCAAAUCCGACUCCAAACCCGAAAUUCGAACUCCACAUAUUUUAAAAAUUCAUUUUCAAAUCCGACCAAAAACUCAAAAUCCGAACCCAAACACGAAUUCAAAAUAAUGAUUUCUCUUUUCAAUAUUUCAAAAUAUAUUAUAUUAAAUUUAAUUUUUAAAAUACAAAUUUAAAUAUAAUGUCAAAUUUUCAUAUACAUAUUAUAUAUAAUGUAAAAUAAAUUCAGGUUUGGAUUGGGUUCGGGUUCGGAUCGGGUACAGUCAAAAUCUAUAUCCGUUGGGUUUUUAUUUUUUAUAUCCAUAUCCAAAAUCAUAUCCAUUUAAAUUCGUUCCGUUCGGGCUUGGGUUCGGAUAAAAUUUCGGGUAUCCGUACUUAUUGACAUCCCUAGUCACAUGGAGAGGCUUCAGAGCUCCACUGUUGGAUCAUAAGAUCAAGCCCUUCCGUCUUUAUGAUGAGAAAAUUAGCGCCUGGACCGGGUCCACCAUAAGGAAUUGUGUAAAUUUUAUGCCUUGUUUGGGUGCACGGGUAUAGAGACUUUUCCGCUAGGCUGGUAAGUUGGCCAGUUGAGCUGAUAGGUUUAGGUUUGUUUCUAGGGCACUAGGAGUGCUCAGGUGUCAUAUAUUGAUCAUAGAGUAUAAUCGUGAGCAUUCUAACAUAGUUCAAUUAAAUAUAAGUAUUGUUGAUUAUUAACUCUGUCAUAUUGUAUUCUAAUCACCUGAGACUUGCACCUACUGCUUUGCAAAUAGGACUGAAGAGUGCACUCAGAGCGGACUACACAGUAAAAUAAUAUGAUUAUAGAUAGUCUAUAUUUAGGGCGUGUUUGGUUCGAAGUCGGAAUCGAAAUCGGAAUCGGAAUCAAAAUAAGCUGGAAUCGGAAUCGGAAUGACUCAUUACCUAAUUCUGUUUGAUUUAUCACCUGAAUCGGAAUCGGAAUAAAUCAUUCCCAUUGUCGAUGUUUGGUUCAGGCGGAUAUAAAAAAUGUAAUCAAAUUAAUAUACUAACAUUAUCUUUAUAAUAUAUUAAUUUAAAUUCAAAUUAAAAAUUAAAUAUUAAAAAUUUACAUUAAAAUUUUGAAAUAAUGUUAAAAUUUUAAAUCUACUUUUUUUAAAAAAAUUAAACUUUGAAGUUGAGUGGAUAAUUUAAAAUAUGAAACUAAAUUUUGAUUUAUUCAAAUUCAAAUUUAAAAUUACAAUUUAAAUUUUAAUUUGAAUACAUAAAUUUAAUUUAAGUUUGAAAUAAAAUUUGAAUAACAUUUUAUAUAAAUUAAAAUUUAAUUUAAAUUCAAAUUCAUAAGUUAGAUUCGAAAUACUUGAUUAAAUUUUAAUUUUUAAUUUAAGUUUAAAAUUUAAAAUUAUAUAUUUAAUUUUUAAACUUUAACUCAUAUUUUAAUUAAAAAAGUUGAAAAAAUAAAUUUAAUCCGAAUAAAUAUCCAUUCCGUCCGGAUUCAACUUUCAAUCCGGCCUCCUAGGCUGGAUUGAAAAAAGAGGUGAUUGGGGAAUUCCCAUUCCACUCGGGAAUCGGAAUCGGAAUGGAACUCCCGCGUACCAAAUACCCACAAACGGAUUUAUCAAUUCUAAUUUCGAUUCCAGGGUGAAAACGAAGCGAACCAAACACACCAUUAGUUAUAGUAGUUUAUAUUGCACUAACUUAUAUUAUUGUAUAUGCGCAGCUAGAUACUCUGUUGUGUUGCUCUGCGAGAAUUCAUCUUCAAAAAGCUUCCUCCCUCAAGGCGAGGCCCAAGAGUAGGAUAGUUAAUUAUAACUUUUUUAAUUACAUUAUGACAAAAUAAAAAAGAAGCUAAACUAUAAAACAGUUAAGUGCAACUUUUCAAAACCACGAGUAACAAAGUAAAAUAAGUUAAACCACAUGGGUGCAAUUGUGGUUUACCCUAGUUAAUUAACUUCUAAUAAAUGAAUAUGGAUUGGGCUUUUUAGAGCACUUACAAUUAAAAAUUUAUAUGAGAAAUGAAUAAAAAAAAGGUUCAUUACAUAUAGCUUCCUGCAAAUACAUCAGAAUACAAAUAUAUCCCUCCAAAAUUUAAGUGAUUAAAUAUGUUCCUCCAAAUGUGUGACAUGUUCAUAUUUUUCCUUUUUGUUUAAAGCAAUUAGUAUUAUAUUUAUUUUUAAUAGUUAAGAAGUGAAAUGACAAUAUUAACUUUACAAAUAUUAUUAAUAUGUAGAAAUAUAGAAAAAUAUUCUCCUCACAAAGGCAUGAGAUUAACUUUGAAAAUGUGUCCCACCAAAUACUAGAAUUAUAUAAAGAUGUCCCUCCAAAUGUUGAAUUCAUGGUCACUAUUGCAAAUAUGUCCCUUCAAUUGCUAAAUAUAUGUAAAAAUACUCUUUCCCAUUGUCUUCUUUUUUCUUCAAGAAAUGUUUUCUUCUUUUUUUUUUUUUCCUCUCAAACUAGUAGUAUAUAUUGUUAAGAUUUAUGAUACUUUUAUUAAGGAUGCAAAUAUAUUGCUAAGAUUUAUGAUGCUUUUAUUAUGGAUGCAAUGUAAUGACAGUUUUACUUAUUUGCCUUUACUACGAAUAAAUAAUAAGCAAAGUUGAGCGAGUUAUUUCCAAAUGACCUAUAGUUCAGGGGUCUCCAUGCAUUUUUUACCAUCCUCCUAUAAACACUAUCACCGCCAUGUAGCGAACUUAUCGUUUCCUUCUCCCACUUCCUCCUUGCUCUCCUCUUCCUAUACGUUCGACCUUGCCCCUCUCCUCCGAUGGCAUUCUCCACCACCUAUCUAAUUGAAAUCCAUUCCUCUCCUACUUCUUCCCAUUUGUAGCUAGAUCGGGAGAGAGGGCUCCACUCAUCACCAUUGUUGUCGUUCUCCUUCUCUAGUGUCAACUUUAAUACGGUAGCCUCAGUGCCACUAUGGUAAAGAGUGAUAGCUUGAUUGUACUAUCUUGCCCUUAUCGUCAUAUGUAGUAUAGCUGGUGUUGAAGAGGGAUUGAGAUCGUCAAUGACGAUGACAUUCAAGGAUUUACGGAAGGGCUUUGGAAUCACAAAUGGAGGAAGAGAUUGUGAGAGAGUAAGAAGGGAGACGAAGAGCGCGAGUGUGGGGAAACGGGUUAAGAGAGAAGAGAUACUAAUAGUAGAGGCAAAUAUAAAUAUAUUAACACAUUUAGAUUAAUUAAAUUGUAAUAGGAUAUAUUUAUAAUUUGAUGUGUUUGUAGGGAGUUGUAUGCAAUUAACUCGUGUUAUUUGGUACGAUAUGUCAUGGCAUUAUUAAACAAAAUAGAGUUAAUAAUAUUGUAGUAUAUUAGAAUUUACUUUUUUUAAAAUUUUACCUCAUAUUAUUAUUUGCUUAUUUUAAUAUUAAAAUUUUUAAGUUACAAAGAGACAUUAUUUUAGUAAGGACCGUUAGCAUUUUGGUUUUGAUGGAAACUAAUAGAAUUCUAGAGUUCUAGAGUUCAUAUCUUACACUUAUUCUAGAAAAUUUUAAUUAUCAAAAUUAAAAGUUCACACUUAUUUAUCUAAACUAUACAGAUACUAGAACCAUAUGAGAUAAAUAGAAGGCCAUUUAGGAUAAGGUUAAGGAUAAUCUUUCUAAAAAUGUCUAUCGUUGAUUUUAGAGUUGUUGUGCGAGCAAAACUUAGAGGUCUUUUAGUUCAAUAUAAUUAAAAAUACAAUAUAGUUGGAGAUGCAUUCUCUCACGCUCCAAGACUACCCAAUUUGAGCCCGCUCGAACACGCACGUAAACCUGCCGAACGAGCAAGACCUCCCAUACCCGAACAAAGCAGUGGCAAACACCAACAUGAUAUGUGCAUAUAAAAGUAAUGUAAUACUGGAAUGUAGUAUUUAAAGCAUUAUUAUGUUUGGUUCAAUCUAUAAAAUUCAAUAAUCUUGACAAUAAAAUAUAAUUUAUUCCAAAAUUGUCCUUAGCCAUAUUAGAAAUUUUUUUUUUACUGUUACAAAUAAUAUAUUUUUACUAAAUUUUAUUUUAAAUAAUUUAAAUUUUUUAAAUUUUAAAUUUUAAAUUUUAAAUUUCAAAAAAAUAUAAAAUUUAAUAUUUUAAUUUAAAAUAUAAAUAUGAAAUUUAUAAAUUUAAAAUCUAAAUUUUAAAUAUAAAUAUAAAUUUAAAAUUUAAUUAAUAUUUUAUUUUAUAAUAUAAAUAUGAAACUUAUAAAUUUAAAAUCUAAACUUUAAAUAUAAAUAUAAAUUUAAAAUUCAAAAUUUAAAAUCUAAAUUUAAAAUUUAAAAUUUAAAAUUUAAAAUCUAAAAUUGAAAAUUGAAAAUUUAAAAUUUAAAAUUUAAAAUUUUAGAUGUAAAUUAAAAAUUUGAAGUUUAAAAAUUUAAAAUUUAAAAUUUAAAAUUUAAAAUUUAAAAUUUAAAUUUAAAUUAAAAUUUUAAAAUUAAAUGUUGACAAUUCAAAAUUUUAAAUUAAAAUUUUUAAAAUGACGUAUUGAAAGAAUUUCGAGAGUUGGAGGGGUAACCUUAUAAUUUUAUAUAACAUGUAAGAUUAGCCGCCUUCAGUAAUUCAAGAUACACACACCCCCCGGUAAUAUUUUCGGUGUAAUAUUAUACCUGUUGUAAUGCUACAAUAUCGAAUAUAUUACAUACUGGAUGAAUCAAAUGCAGUAAUCCUGAUAGGAUUGCUUGUAAUCCUACCAGGAUGAUCCGAACCAAAUGCACUCUUAGGGUUAUAGUACAUAUCCAUUGUUUACCAAAUUAUUCUAUAGUUUAUACUUAUUCUAGAGUUCAUAUGUCUUUAUAUCUUAUCUUAGAUUUUGAUUUAAGUUUAGAUGACACUCAUUUUAAUCUAGAUUUUAGGUUCUCAUCACUAUUACAUACAUCUAAUCGAUUUUUCAUUUUAAUCUAGAUUUUAGAACAAUAUUUACUAAUUUAGCAUAUUAAUAAAAUUAAGAACGAUGGACAAAGAGUGAGAUCACCAUUUUCGGUGAUAUUCUCUACCUUUGCUAGGUUUUUCUUCCAAAAGAUGGAUUUAAUCUCUUAAAACACCAAGAAAUCCUGGAAAAACAACUCCAGCAAUAUCAAAAUCUCAAAAAUCUUCAUUUUCAAAAACUCUAGAACCAAUAUUUUAAAAUACCCACUUACUUCUUCUACUCUAGCACUUAAAACGUGGAUCAAAAGAUUUUUUUUUCCCUUCUAAAGUCUCCUCUUGAAGCUUUCGACUGAUCCAAAGCUUCUAAAAGGGUCAAUCCUAAGUUUCUCCAAAUAGAUCCAGGGGUCUCUUUUGCUUCUAGAGAGCGAAAAAGGAAAGGAAGAGUAAGGAAGGGGCAGAAAUUUUUUUUUUAGGGUUUUUGAUUGGUGAAGGGAGUUUUAUAGAUAGGCUAGAUUUGCAAAUAAACCCCACAAAGAGUCAUAUUGUAACCUCUCAAAAAUUGCUAUUCAUAGCAUUAAAUACCGGUACAUGAGUUCUGAUACUGCUACACGGGCAGUAGUAUCGGUACUCCCAGCGUAGUUUCGCAGUCUGAACAUUAAUUUCCUCAACUUUCUACUACAUAUUGGUACUCGCUCAAAUCAAUACUAACACUCGAUAAUUAGUACCUAUACUCGAGGUGAGUUUCUCAAAAUCUGAAUGUUGGUUUCUUCUCUACACAGAGAAAAAUUGGCACUAAUAUUUAGUUUCAGUACUCAGUACGAAAUCUGCACUUUCAGCAGAAUUACAUCUCAAAAGUCUAUUUUCACGUUAUUUUCAAGUAGAAAAUACUCGGUUGUUUCCCAAACACCCUUGAAACUAUUGGAAUGGAUUCAAAUCCUUAUUACCCACUAGAGCUUCGCAAUUUGCAAAAGUUCAGUUCAUUACAUAUGUAGUUCGAAUACAACAAUUAUAACUACAUGCAUAUUAUUUGGUUGGAUGUAGUAAAAAGCAUUACAGUUAUAACUAAUUUCUUUGGUGACUUGCAAUUGAGAAAUUUAUUGUCGAAAUUUUAUCACUUUUAUCUAUGCAAUGGUAUAAUACCUCUAAUGCCCUUUUUUUUUUGUUUAUAAAGUGAUUAUGAAGGUGACUUAUCUUUUGUUUAAAUUUACUCUUUCUUAUUACUGAGGUUGGAAAUAUGGCUAAUUUGGACAUAAUUUCAAAUACUGCAAUUGAGCCUCCUCAUACAGUUCCAAUAGCAGCAAUUUGAUUCAAAUGAUUCAAACCAAAUAUCAUAUUUGAAGUUGUACAUAGUUUCGGCUACAAUGCAAUUACAACUAUAUGCAACCAAACAUCCUCUUAGAGGGUUUAAAUCGAUCUGAAAUAUGAUCAAAACGCUAUUGUUCAAUGUUCAGUAACUUCGAUCCAAGCUAAUCUGAAAUAUAAUCAAGAAUGUUAUUAUAUUAUCUAUACAGAAAGAAAAAAAAUAUUUAGACAAGUGGCCUACGUAUAAAAAUAUGGAAGUUCAGAGAAUUUUUGUAUCUUUUUUUCUAAUUUAUUUGAUGUCGGAAUAAGUUAUAUAAGAAUAACUUACUCCAUAUAAGAAUUUUCUAGUAUAAUUAUAAGUAAAAAAGUUUGAUUUUUAAUUUUCAAAAAUCUUACUAUCGAUAAUUUAGUAGGAUAGUAUAUUUCACUUACAAAAUAAUUUAUCCUAUUUUAAAAAAAUAGCAUAUAGGCCAAAUAUGAUAUUAAAUUCUAAAUAUUCAAUUAUAUUCUUUAUCAAAUUGAAUAAAAUAAAAAAUUACAUCAUACGAGAUAUUCAUUCAUUCAAAUAGGACUAAUCUAAUAAAAUCAAAUCGAAACUAAAAAAAAAAAAAAAUCAGAAUUUAGUGUUCAGCAAAAAAUUUACUUAUACACUCUAAAAAGAGUAAGCAUCUUAAAUACCGUUUGGAUUGGGUACAAGAGGAGAGAUAAGGGGCUUAUCUCCCCUCUUGCACCCAAACACAAUUUUGUUAAGAUGGGAACUAUAGUUCCCACCCCGAGUGGGAACAAACUUGUUCCCACCCACUUGGGUGCAGAGAGAGAGAGAGAGAGAGUUUUGUUUUAAAAUAGAAUUUAAAUUUUUAGAAUUUAAAAUUUGUAAUUUUAAAAUUGUAAAUUAUAAAUUCUAAAUUUUAAAGUUUAAAAUUUAAAUUUGAUAUUAUAAAUUUUUAAAUUUUAAAUUUGAUAUUUUUUAUAUUUCAAAUUUAAAUUUGGUCUAAAAUUUAAAAUUUAAAAUUUAUAAAUUUGAAUAUUUAAAUUUUAAAUUUUAAUUUCAAAUUUUAAAAUUUAAAAAUUAAAAAUUUCAAUUUAAAAUUACAAAUUUAAAAUUUAAAAAUUUAAAUUUAAUUAUAGGGGUAAUAUCAUUAUUUUCUAUUUAUAACCAUCAACUAUUUCUCUUAUUUCCAAUAAUCAUCCAAACACAAUUUUUUUAGUUUCGACUUAUACUCACAUUUUCAUCCAAACAAAAAAAUACCUUUGUUCUUAUAAAAAUCCAUACCUGUACCUAUCUUUGGAAUAACUAGUUCCUACUAAUUUCCGAACCAAACGAAGCCUUAGGGUUCAUAAAAAUCUAAAUAAGUUUUAGUAAAAUUAAAAAAUUAACAUAACAAAUUUUAAUAUAUUUUUUUUAAAUAGUAAAUUAUUGCUUGUGUUUCUGAUCACUUUUUACACGGAACCCCUCAUGAAAGAGUAAAUUUUCCUUUAUUAGUAAAUUGUAACAACUCCUCUUUUAUUAGGUACAUUUGUAAAUAUACUCCUCCCCUACAUAUAAAAACUCGCUGAGCAAACACAAUUGCUUAUUCUCUCUUCUCUUCGCCUCUCCCCUCCCCAUCCCCUCCCCCCACCCACGCCGCCUCGGCUCGGAGACUCAUCUCUCCCUCUUCCUCCUCCUCCUCCAUCGCCGCCAUGGACGACGACGACGAGUUCGGCGAUCUCUACACCGACGUCCUCCACCCCUCCUCCGCCGCCGCCGCCGCCGCAGCUGUCGCGCCCGGCGCCGAUCGGAUCGCGAUUGAGGUAUCCCCGUCUCAUCCCCCUCAAACCCUAGCUCCAGCGGCGGCGGCGGGGGCGGCGGCGGCGGCGGAUGAGCUCGGCGGCGGUGGGGACGAUGACGGCGACGAUGACUGGCUCCUCGGCCGCGCGCCGCCCGCCGUGGAGGCGCCGGCGAAUUGGGACGAUGACGAGGAGGAUGGCGCGUCUACGAGAACGGCCGAUGCCGUGGGAUCCUAUGCUCGGGACGAGAGCGGGGCUAGGGUUUUGGAGAAGGGUAACAACGAGGGGAACGGAGCUAGGGUUUCGCAAAUCUCGGAGGGCGGCGCCGAUGUGAUGGAGGAGGAUGAGGGAACUGGGGUUCAAGUGGACGGCGGCGGGGAUCAAUUAUUGAAAGGUAAAAUUGAGGAGAACACGGAUGUUGGCGAUCUGGAUCAGGUCCCGGCCAUCCCGGGCCUCUCAUCUGGCCCGCCCGCUCCGGCGCCGUUUCUGGGCCGCGAUCCGAAGCCCUCCGGGAGCGAAGAUUGGGACAGCGACAGCGAGGACGAUCUGCAGAUCGUGCUGAACGACGACAACUAUGGCAUGCUCGGCGGCCUUCGCGAUGGAAGGGGAGGGGUGGAGGACGGAGACGAAGAUGAGGACGGCGAGGAGGAUUUGGUUAUUGUUACUGAUGAGGAUCAGCUCCACCACCACCAUCUACCUGCCGCGGAGGAGCAGGAUUGGGGGGAAGAGGGUAUGCAGGCGGGCGGGGAUGGGGAGAGGAAGGACGGCGGAGAGGGAGCGCAGAAAGGGAGCGGAGCCGGUGGUGCCGCUGCGUCUGCACGGAUCGGGUACAGCAAUCAUAGCUUCCAUCCGCCACCGCACCAUUCCAUGUUCAAGGUCAGUUUAUGCCUGGGAAAGCUGAAGCUGAAAACUCUAGCAAACUGUAAUUACGAUAUAUGCUGUACAAUCUAGUUGCCCCUGUUUUGCUUGUAUUUACAUGUAAAAUUUACUUGAUUUCAUGGAUAAUAUCAUCUUUGGAUUGUUAUUAUUCUCGAUUACAACGUUGGGAAACACAUACUUUGCAUGGACUAAUGAGUUCCUUCUCCAGAUGAAAACAAUUAAGGAAACCUUUUAUUUUGCGUGAAUUAGAAAUAUGUAACUCUUGUGUUGCGGAGAAAAGGACAAUUCCGUGCAACUCUGAUCCGAAGUUCUUGGAAAGAAAUGAGGUGCUUGCAGUACCAAACACCAUUCUCUUUACUGAAUGUCAUUAUAAUUACUCCAUGGCCAAAUUGGUGGGGCUUUCUUUUUUCUUCCAAACUGCAAAAAAGAGAAAAAAAUUAUGUCGUUGGUUUUUUAUGCAUAGAUCCGCUCACAACACAUGCAAAAUUUAGCACAAGCUCUGUGCUACCACCAUAUAACUCUCCAAAGUAAAUAAAGUUGAAUUCUUCUUAAAAUUUGUUUGAUCACAGCAUAGAAAGCGAUCCAAUGGAUCAAAGUGAAUUUCUUUUUUUUUUUGGGAGAAUAUUACUUACAAAAACAGUUAAUCGUGAGGACCAAUGUCUAAUCCAACAGUGGGAUGUUUGUACCAAACUAGUAGUUGUAUUUUCAUAAUUUGAAGAAAUUUCAUCCCGAAUCUAGUGGUAUUGGCUGAAAGAAUGUAUAUCUACAUCUCAAAUCGCACUAUGUUCGUAACUUUCGUUGCUUCACGUUUUAUUUUAUUUCCUGUUUCUUUGAUGAUUCUUUUGGGAAAUUGUAAAUUGUCCAAAUCUUCUGAAGUUGUCAAAACUGGGGAGCUGGUACUAAAAGGAAAGAAAAUUGCUGUGUGGGGUGAAGUUAGUCGAUCAGUCAUCCAACGAUGUUGGUAGAAGGGAUAAAGAGUGUAACAAAAGAAAAAUAUGAAAUCGACAAUAAUUGCAAAUCCAAAGUAAGAAGAUUAGGGAGAAAAAGGUGUUUGCCCUAAAAAAUUGUCCAAUUUUGAUAAUUUUCCACUAGAAUGUAUGAUUCUUUCGAUGUCCCUUUGGCCAUAAUUGAAAAGAGACCAAGACAAUCCCAAAAUAGAAGGUUCAAAGCAUUCAAACCUUAAAAGGGAUAUGAUUUAAUGAAUACAAGAUGAAUAGGUUUCAAAACCGUAAAAAGGGGAUAAAUUCUCAGGAAAUUAAGAUUAUUGCAGAAAAUUUUGCAUAAGUUGUGAUAGUUCAGUAAAAUGAAACGGAAGAAGGUUAAAGAGAAAGUAUGGAAUAAUUAGGGAGGGAUCGGAAGAGUGAAGAGAGCAGUGAAAGAGCCAUAGAUAUGUUGUAUCUGGACAAUUAUGACAGUAAGUUGAUUGGGAACAUCCACAUCUAGGGAUGUAAAUGGAUCGGGGUUGGUGGAGCUCCCACCCUGGUCCAUCCUGAAUGGGGCGGUAAGUGGGAACCAAAAGUAUAGAAAAAUAUAACCCACCCCGAAUCCACCCCGAAUCCACCCCGAUCCGCCUGGUAAAUGGAGUGGGAGGCGGAAGACCCCUUUCUUCCUUUGAUCCGCCCGAAUCAGUCAAAAAACCGCCAAAAACCUGCUUCCGCACCGAUCCACCCCGAAUGGAGCGAUAAGUGGGGGCCAAUAAUAACCUGACAAGAAUCGGAGCAGGAGGUGAGGGACCUCUCCUGCCCCUCGGAUCCGCCCUGUUUGCAUACCUAAUCAUAUCUACCUAUCUUUUUCUAGUUCAAGCUUUCUUCAUUUCUUGUUAUUUAAUUUUAAAAUUUAUUUAAGCUAAGAAAGCUACUGACCAAAUAGUGAUGAGGUUUGUUUGAAAGUUUGUAGAAAAGGCCAUUCAAAAUCUAAUUGACCUCAUGCAGGACAUGUCUGAAUUUAUUGAUGCAAACCGAACCAACACGACCUAAUUAGGCCAUUCACUCGAAGUAAAUUUGAAUUUUGACCUCUUUACAUGUCAAUUAUUAGAAAUGUGAACUUGAUUAAAUCAAACUCAUACUAAUCUACUAGGUUGGAUCAAUCAAAACUAUUUCUAAACUCAUGUUUUGUUAAGAUACAAAUCUUUUGAGACCAUACAUGACAUCUAGAUUUGUUUCUUGCUCAGGGCCUUGCUCUUGAAUGGUGUUUUUGUCUUUGUUUUUUUUCACUAUCAUCUAGAUGUACUGUUGAAAAUCUGUUGGAAAUCUUUCAAAUUCUCAAAAGCAUAUCAAAUUCAAAUAAACUUGUUUUGACCCAGAUUGACUUGGAAAGUAAUCAGAGCUUAAGUAUCGAGGUGACCUCCAUUGGAUGAAAAUAGCGGACUUUUAGACUUUUUAUUGGACAUAAUCUGGUGUUAAUCUAUCAUGAUCCUACAUUAGCUACAUCAAUCAUCUUCCUAUAUUGACUCGGCCAUUGACAUUCCUUGAUCCAAUGAUAAAUUUGUAUCUGGACCCUCACAUAUUGUGUGUUGUCAGAUUGUUAGGAUCCCCUCCCCCCGUACAAUUAUUGUUGUUUGUUGUGUUACCAAAGACCAAGCUGAUCAUAUUUAUAUCCGCAUGUGGCUUAAAUAAGAAAAGAUGAAAAAACAAAUGUGGCGGCUUUUGAAGAACUAGUUGCAGGAUUCCAGAGUUUGUAUAGAACAAGAGAUAUUUAUUGUCCUAAAGUUAGGUCGUUAUUGACUGGAAGGCCUUUUUUUGGUCGUUGAAUAGCCAGCUUUAUUACACUUUAUUUUACUGCUUUAACUCAUCUUAUUUGAAAUAUCAAAUGCCACCUGUGUCUCAUUACUUAAGACAUAUCAAUUUAAUUUGAGCACUCAUUUAGGAUUUCAGCCUGUUUCCGGCCUAUGAAUGCUGUUGCUGUCAGAAAUUAUACUGUACAAAUCUGCGUAUCACCAUUUUGAUGUUGUAUUCAAGUUCAAGAGGACAAAAGAACACAAGUUUGGAAUCUUUUCAACUGUCCUACAAUAGUUUUCAUAGGAAAUUAUGGUAUUGCAUAUGUUUAAAAUAUAGCUUUUACCUUUAUUGCAUUUGCCAAUUUUGUCUUCCUAUUUUGUGCAGUACGUAAGACCUGGUGCGGGACCCAUAUCAGGUGUUGGCAGUGCUAUCGGCCCUCAAGGUCAAAUCCGUCCUCCUCUUCCAUCUGGGCCUCUUGCUGGUCGAGGGAGAGGUGAUUGGAGGCCUCCGUUAGGUAGAGGCAUUGGGAAUGCGCAGAAGGGUUUCUACCCAAUUGGUUCUUGGAAUAAUUCAUCAGCUCGUGCAUUUGGCACUGGAUUGGAUUUUACGCUUCCCCCACACAAGUAUGUUUGGCGGUCUCCGUGCUAGUAAUUGUGAUUAUUCUCUCAAUAUAAAGUUGACUUGUUUUUAGUUCUUUAGUUGUGCUAGUCCUAAUAUUAGUUACUUUUUUUUUGUUGACUAAAAUGAAUAAAGUUGUUUAGUUUUUUAUUGAAAGCAUGAUGCGCUCUUUUUAUAAUGAACCCUUAGGUUAUAAUACUAGAUGUUUGUUCGUCAUGAUCAGAAUUUGAUGCAUGUCUAUGUUGCUGAAAAUUUGAUUCCAUUAGUUCGAUUGAGCGAUGAAGAAGGUGAUGAAUCUUAUGCAAGACAACUAUUGCCAUGAGCCUUUUGCUGUAUUCUUAUUAGCUGUUAUAAUAUGCUCUUGUUACAUCAAAUAGCUUUCAUGAUUCAUAUCCAUGAAUGAGGCAUCAGUUGACUUCACUGCAGUAACAUUAAAUUUCCGGGAAUUGAUAUCGUAAUUUUGAUGCCAGGACAAGAAUGUAAACAGUAUGUUAGCUUUAUCAUCCUACUAAUAAUACAUGCAGCUUGUUGACAGUCUCAUACUCGGUCUAGCUCAGUGCAAAUAUGGUACUUCAGAGAUACAUUUAUGUCACAUUGUUGGGAUAUGGAUGAUUGACUCUGCGAUUGCAUGAAUUUAAUCACCUGUCUCUAACCGAUCUUUUUUUCUCUCUUUUCUUUGGUAUUUUAGUAAGCAUGAAUACACUUUCUCUACUCGUGGUUGAGAUAUUUGCACAUUCCGUGUCUGUACUUACCUGAUCAUGCUAUCAUGGACAGUAAUCUUAUUUCAGAUAAGCAAAAGAAAAAGAUGGUAACAGGAUUGUGGUGCUAUCCUUUUUUUUGUUUUUCAUGGUGUUUGGUAAGAUGACGACAGUUAUUCGUUCCCUCAGUUUGUACAAGCAGAUGUUGUCCUGAAAUUACUACCAUCUAGGUUAAUUGAAUAUUUAGAAGGAAUUUCGCUUGUUUUAGUAUUCUUGAAAAGUAGAAAUUGCCUUUUUACUGACUUAACGCUCAGAUCCCUCCCAUGCUCAUGGUAAGAUUUUACUGCAAUCGUACUAUCAAUAGUAUUUUGAGACAACAUACUACACACUCAACUUAUGUUGCUGUAACCUAAUAUGCCAAAUUAAGCUACAUCAAGUAUCUUCAAGGGCCAAAUAUAUGGAAUUCCCUCUUCAGAGAUUUAACUACGGGAACUUCCUGCAUGGGUUAGAUUGUUCUUUGCCCACAGCUUCAAAAUCUGGCUUUACUGGCUUUCACUUGCCUAGAAAGCUUGAUUUGAUGAAGUCCUUAAUGUUCUUUCAUAGAAGUGUCUUGUAAGUUGGAACCGUUACCACGAAAUGGAAAUUGAUAUGUUUAUUUUCUCAAUUUUUUCUCAGGACGGUAUUUGAUAUUGAGAUUGAUAGUUUUGAGGAAAAACCAUGGAGAUAUCCUGGAGCUGAUGUUUCAGAUUUUUUCAACUUUGAACUUGAUGAGGACAAAUGGAAAGAGUACUGCAAACACCUGGUAAGUGGCUCUUACUUUGCCCCAUUUACUUCUGCAUAUCAAGUCAAAGAAAAGGUAUGUUACCAUUGUUUGUUGUUUACUUUUUGAUUACCAGGAACAAAUGCGUUUGGAGGCUACCAUGCAAAGUAAAAUCCGUGUUUAUGAAAGUGGACGAUCUGAGCAGGUUAUUCUAUAAAUUGGAUUUAUAAAAAUUGAACUAAUGUCUCCCCAACAAAUCCCUUAUUUUUAGUUUUUAGUUUUUUCCUCUUCUUGGUUCAGGAGUUCGAUCCAGAUUUACCCCCUGAACUUGCCGCUGCAGCGGGCUAUCAUGAUAUUUCUACUGAUAAUGGGCGCCUUAGUAAGGCUGAUAAUGGACAAAUUGAUGUUAAUAGCCAAGGAAGAGGACCUGCUAAUGUUCGACCACCAUUAGUACGACAUCUAUAUUCCAAUAUUAAAUAUCCAGUAGUUUACAAUACCUCACACAUGCCUUAUUUAGAUGUUGCUUAUUAUGUCCUGUUUGGCCUAGCUUUUGGAUCGACUAAUCUAUUCCUGAAAGCAGAAUCUUCCAUAAGUCAGGCGUUUGGCUAACAAACAUUUUGAAGUUUUAGCUGCAAUAGGAAGCUAAAAUGAGCUUUCUGGUUAAGUUCCUUAUGUUGUAGUGAGGAGCUGCAGACAAGAUUUUAAUGGAAAAUCUAUUACUGCUUCUUCGAACAGAUUUUUUCAAGAAGCAAUUUUGAAUAAGUUACAGCCAAGCCAAACAGUCCCUAAAUUAAUAUUUUUCCUCCAUGUCUAAUUGUUUAUCCAGUUCUUAUUCCUAUAUUUAUGUAUCUUUGUCUACCCAGCCAACUGGGAGGGCGAUACAGGUUGAAGGUGGUUAUGGUGAACGUCUUCCCUCUAUUGACACUAGGCCACCUCGUAUGCGUGAUUCAGAUGCAAUUAUAGAAGUAAGUCUCAACUUCUUUAGUCAUUUUGAAUGGUGCUUUUACUGAUGUACCCAUUUGUUGAGUUUCUUGCUUUCUAAUUGUCAUUUGCAGUAUGUACAAAUAAAAUAUGUUGGAUGGCUUACAUCGUUUGUCAAUGAACUUAUUGUGAAAUUUCACUCAGGUCAAACCAAACUUCAAUUUGUGCGAGAAAUUGAGCACUGAUCUUCAAUUUUUGUUUCAAAUCUGGUUGCUCAGUUGAACUCUGGAUAAUUUUCAUAAUGGAAUGUCGCAGUUGAUUAAAUUGUCAUGUCAUCUCAAAGUAAUGAUGUGGUGACAAUGUAACAACUAAUCCAGCUGCCUUGUCACUCGAGGCAUAUGAAUCGACUCCAUGUUAGGAAAAAUUAAAAUAGUGUUUGACAGCAUAACCUGAUAGGAAUAGAAAAUGAAGGUCAGUGUGUAGAUUGAAACAAAUCAAAGUAUGACGUAAGUGAAAUUUCUUGGUAAUUACGGGAUAAUCAUUCACAGCCAUGUUCUAAAGGUGCUUCUGUGAACAGAUUGUGUUACAGGACUCUGUGGAUGAUCCGGUUAUGUAUAAUGGUGUGCUAGAGCAACCUGAGAAGGAUUUCCAGGGUGAACGUACUAAAGAUUCCUAUGAAGUUAAAGAAGAUGAAAGAAAUGACGCGUCAGACUACAUGGAUCACAUUAAUUCUUCCACAAAUAGGAGGGUUCCUACUAGACGAGCACCCUUGUCAUCCGAAGGAGGAGACAAUGCCUUGCUUCCCUCCGAGACUCAAGAUCAGUACCCACCUCCCAAUUUCAAAACUAAGAGCCCUGUAAAUGGUGGUUCUUCUGGUGCACAUCAUGGAGGGAGGUAUGUUAUGCAUUUCAUGCUUAGUUCUUUUCUUUGAGUACAUUCUUAAAUUGUUAAGGAAAAUGAUAGAAAAAUUUAAAUGAUUAGAAAUCUUCAUUUUCUGGCUUUAUCUUCUUAAAUAUAGUGAUAUACUUUUUGAGGGGUGUUUAAUUGUUGGAUAAUUUUAUUAAAAUCUUGCUACAAUUGGUGAAAUCCUUACUUCUUUUUUUGUUUUUUUUGUUUCCGGGGAUUUGUAAUAAUGCCCACUAAUGCUGUAUCUUUACAUCUGCUGUCUGAUUGGAAAUGAAUAUUGGAUAUCAUCCUUUUGACUGUUGUAACCUGCAGUUUUUCUCCUUUGGUAUUCUUCACGCUUAAAAGUUUUUUUUUUUUUUUUUAAUUCCAAUUUACUUGGGGACGUAAAAGAAACAUUCAACGUGCUGGAAAGUGUCCAUCCUCUCUUAGGUUUACAUGGUGGUAGACUGAUGUCCUAUAUUCAGAUAGUAGGUUCACUUAAGAUGUGGACUUAGACAACGCGCUUAUGUCUGUCCUUAGACUUUGGUUUUGUUCAUUUGGGCACUUAACGUCUGCCCAAGUUAAUUCUCGGUGAGGGAUUGGUGCAAUUCAAUGUACAUGUCAUCACGUGAUUAUUGUUUGUAGUACUCUAUCCACUUAAAAUUGGUAUUAGUUUUAAGAUCGAAGCCGCUCAAGUAGACAUGUUCUUGGUACUAAAAAAGUAAUAGAACUAGAAGUUGAACAGAAACUACCAAGGGACGUAAAUGAAGACUGCCUAUAAUUGGAGAUGAUUGUUUCUGUACUCUUGUACGUAAGAAACUUGAUGUCCCUAGGGCUUAUUAUAAAUCUCAGUUGAUAGAGUUUGUUUACCCAUUGAUUGGUUGCAUUUGCUUAAAAAAAGGGAUCAUAAUUCAAGCCUUUCCACCAUCAAAUAUUUAGGGUAAUUGGGGUUUUAGCUUUUUUGUUUCCGUACUAGUCCUUUACAUGUUUACGUUAUCUUCAUGUUAGUUUCUGAAACUUUUGUAUGUAGGUUUAGGAAGAUAAAUCAGUUGAUAAACUUUCUUGAUAACUAUAAAUUACUUUUCAGAAUGUGUUUUGAAAUGAAGUUUCUUGCCAUUAAUUUUCAGGUUGCCUCAACAAAUAUCAACUGCAAGACACUCGCCUUCAAGUGGCAGAAAAUCUAAUGAUGCAAUUCGUACCCAACCUACCAACUCAGAAGGACAUGAUGAUCAUCAAGAUGAUCUCCAACUAGUUGAGAACAGUGAAAUUAAUGAGAAGUCUGAGGUAUCACCCACCAUUGAAGAUAGAUUUGACGAAAACGAAGACAAGCUCGAACUACAUGACAGCAUUGAAGGAGGAGAUGACGCCAAUUCAGAUAUUCACCAAUCAAGUGAGACUCUUGGUGAGGACAAUGACUUAGCCCAUUCUGGCAAGAAGUCGAAGCUAAGUUCGCGAGUCGAGCAUUCUUUGGCAUUCGAUAAUGACGAUGAGGAUAUGCAGCGGACCUCGCAUAGUGAGAACAGCAGGGCAAAGUCUGGGAGCAGUAGGGAAUAUCACAAGCGCCCUGAACUUGGGGAAGAAGUUGUACAAGAUGAACGAUCCAGGCGGUUAAGUGAUUCUAAGUGGCGCCGUGAAGGAGAAGAAAGUAAUUUCCGAAGAGUGGACGGCCAACACCAUGAAAGAAGCCGUACAGUUCCCAAAGGGAGGGAAGAUAUAUACCACCCUUACUCUCAUAGAGAUUUGGAUAGAGGAAGGAAUUUUGAGAUGGUGAGGGAGGCAGAUGUCUGGCAGAGGAGAGAAGAAGCCCUUCAUGGUAGAAGAGUUAAAGACGAAGAUAUCAGGCGAGAGCAGAGUUUGGAGGCAGGUAUGAGACACAGGAGUAAGGUUAGAGCAAGCGAUCGGACUGAGAGGGAUGAAGACCUUCAUAAGAAACGAGUCGACGACAGAGACUGGAGAGGCUCCAGACCAAGGGAGAGGGACGAUAUCCUGAUGAAUCGUCGCGAAACCCUAGAUGAUUCGCACACCAAGAGAAAGAAGGAUGAGGAGAGCUCGAGAAGAGUCAAACUUGAGAAGGAAGAUCUAUCGUAUAGGGCUAAGGAAGAAUCCAGCCGAAGGAAGAGAGAGAGGGACGAUGGAGUGGAUCAAAGGAGGAGAGAGGAUAAUACAAGAAUAAGGGAUAAAGUUGAGGACUACUAUCCUUCCAAGCAUAAAGAAGAUAGUUUGCAUCACAGGGAGCGAGAGGAUAGACAAAGGUCUAAACAACCUCACGAAAGUACAUCAACACAUCGUGAGAGAGAGGAAGGGCGAGGAGCAGUAAGGAGCGGACGGGCUGGAGAGGAUAAGCUAUAUGGUAGCAGUAGGAAUAAGGAAGAUUUGAAGCCUGUGGGGGAUAAGAUCUAUCAGGACAAAGAACGUAGACGGCAAAACGAGUCCGCGAAGAGAGAUCAAAUUGGGGAAGAAACUUCAAUGCAGCAUAAAGGGCGUGAUGAAAGAAUCUCGAGACAUGAUAGAGUAAGUUCUCAAAAUUACCACUCUUCAAGUGGGUCUGGCGGCCAUCAUAUGUACAUGGAACAGAAGGAGACUAUGAGAAAACGCAAGAGCUCUGAACCUAGUGAGCAAAAUUCUCAGCGGCCUGGAAAGAGGAGGCAUCAGGACCACAGUGCUCACCAAAAUGAGAAGGUAUGACUUGAUAAACCUCUGAUAACUUGGCUCUAUUUUGAUUUGCAUCAGUUUGCCUCUGAAAAUCUUGGACAGAAGGUAUUUGUGAGCAUCUGCUACGAGAAGCAGUUAGUCAUUUGGUAAAAAAGAAAAGUUCUGGAGCUUUUCUAUGAUGUGAAGCUAAAAUGAGCUUUUGAGCUCGAAAGCACGGCUGCUAUUAGCUCUAAUAGUUCUAUUCCAACCAAGCGAGAUUUCAAUAGGUAGGCUUACGGUCCAAAUAGGCUUAGCCAGCUCCAAUUCAAACCCUCCUGCUGCUGAGCAGAAUAUCAGUCAGGUGAUUAUAAUGAACGGAACUCUUUCUGCUGCUUUGAACAAAUCUUUGUAAACAGCAUUUCUACAACAGCUCCUAUUUGGUGAAAUAGGUCCUUGGUACUGAAAGGUUUUAAAAGACUACAGGGGCUUGAUGGAAGCCAUUGCUUCCUAACCUACUUGGGCAUUGGGAAUCUGGUCUCAAUGGGCUUUUCUUUAAAUAAAUACCCAUUUAACUCUUCCAAAUGAGGAAAGCAAACAGUGAUGUACUAUUACGAGUUCCUUUUUAUACUAUUUUUCAUAGGGAAAGGAGGAAUGUCAUUAGCUUUUUCGAUAGCCUUGAAUAGCUAAAUCUGGUUAAUGGAUUAAGUGGAUAAGUAUUUUAUUUAUUGAUUCCGGUCAGUGUCACAAUUAUCACCAGUUGAUUAAUGCUAGGGAAAUGCGAUUUCUUGAUGACCUUCAGGUGCUCAUAUUUCUUGUCAUAAAAGUAAGUGGGGGAAAAAAAACAGCAACUUUGAAUUAAUUGCAUGCAGGAUGAAUAAAUAGUGCCUACCAAAAACAAAAAAAAUUAAAACAACCAUUAUCGGAUAAUAAUUUUUAACUGUCUCAUGAAUUCCAUUACAUCUUGCGUCGCCUUGGUUGGAGCGAAUGAAGAUUGUAUAGUGACUUCUUUUCAAUUGUUUCUUUACUUUUUUAUGUAUAAACCACGUUACAUUCUUCUCGUAGUGCUGCAGUAAUAUGACUACACUUAUAUAUGGCAUGCUUAUGGUAAGCAGCGAGAAGAACUCCAAAAUUUUAUUCAACAAUCUCGUUAAUGCGUAACUUAUUUGUUCCUCACUACUUAACUGUACUUUUGAUCAGGGCAAUAGCAAAGGCCAAACCGACCAAGAAAUCAUCCCCUCAUCCAAGAAGAACCGUUCCGAAACUCGUGAACAAUCAGAGGCUCAUCUCCGUGGUCCAUUCAUGAAACAAGGGAAGGAAGAGCCCACCUCAGACGACGAUAAUAUAGGAGACUCUAGAAGGGGACGUUCUAAGCUGGAGCGUUGGACCAGCCACAAGGAGAGGGAUUUCACUACUGUCGAUGCAACAAAAGCAUUCACCACCUCAAGCAGGGCAAAGGAGGCCGAAACCCUAAACACCGAUGAGUUAGGAAAAACUGAAGCUAACGAUAAUAAUGCCGGAAGUUCCAACCCUAACCCUAGCGCUAAGGAUGGCGAUUUGGGACAGGUCACAGAAAAGGUAGCGGAGGACCGGGACCGCCACCUGGACACGGUAGCAAAGCUUAAGAAGAGGAGCGAGCGCUUUAAAUUGCCGAUGCCGGUUGAGAAGGAGACAGUGCAGAAUAAAGUAGCAGAGAACGAAAUGCCUAAACCCGUGAAUGAAGCUGUUCCACCCGAGAUGGAGGUUAAACCAGAGAGGCCGGCUCGUAAGAGAAGGUGGACAGGGAGUUGAUUAAUUCCUUGAGACCAUUGAAGAUAUUCGUCGCACUCUGACAGUUACAACGGUUCAUCUUUGCUCAUCUCUCAUCAGUGUGGCCUGCUAUAUACAGAGGAGAUGGCUGCUUUGGAGGAACAUUGCUGAGGCUUCAAUAUUAUUCAGAUUGAAGCUGAAACCGACCAUCCUGAGAUCAUAUCGAAUGACCGUGUUGUAACUUAUGCACCCUGGAUAUGUACUCUGGAUGCUAUCUUUCUUUCUUUCCCCUGAUUUUGUUUCUUUUUCCUUCUCUCUUUUUUGGAUCCCAACAACUUGUAAUACAUAUAAGGCACUAUGAUGCCGUUGAACCGCACUGGACAUUUAUGAUGAAUUGCUUCAAGAAAGGCGCGAAAUUGAUGGCCGACGCACUGCGACCUGCUGGUCCGAGGCAGCGAGAAUCUCUAUCCUGCUCCACAGGCGGCGAACCGGAGGAAACUCUGGCUUUUAUUGGAUUUCCUCCUUAUCGUUGCUGAUUCUUUUCCCUCUUUCGUCCUGCAAGAUUCAUGUGCAAGCUACAAUGAGUCAUUGUAGCUGGGAAAGAUUUCCAGGUGGAAAAUGCAGUAACUGGUUGUCAAGGUUCGGCGCAUCUUGAUGUGCGAAAGCAAGAAGCCGAAAACACGAAUCUGGAACUUUCUGGUCUGAGAUCAUAGGCCCCUGCGAUCCAUGUAACGAUUUGCAUGCUUGCGUUCAACUGUACACGAAAAUGCUUGAUGAAUGGGGGGACAUGCAUGGUCGAGACAUGCGCUCGACCGAAUGGGGGGAAAUCGGUUGGUUUUAUCUCCCGACGAAGUGAAUGUCGGCUUUCGGUCAUUCGAAAGCGAGAGCAUAUCUGUAGUUCGGAGGUUUUGGUUGCUGUUUGUCACCCUUGUGAUGGUGAGCCUGGGAGCUCAUGCUACUCUGAAUUGCUCCACCAUAUGUUUGUGCUCUUCUCACAAAUGCUUGUUUCUGUUGAUUUUUCCUGUUUCCUGAUGGUCUCUGCUUGUUUCCUUUUUCUCUCUGUUUGCAUGGUUUCUCCCUGGCUUGCUUUCACAGUGUAGAUGUAUAACAGGGAAAAGGAAGGAACCAUUUUGUGAUGUGAGUUCCUACCUUUGUAUUUUUCUUUUUAGGUCAUGUUUGAUUUGGGAUUUUUUUUUUUGUUUUCUUUUGCAGUGUUUGGUCUGGGAUAUAAUAUAAUAAUAAUGAGCAUUAUUCUGGGUAGGGUCUACGCAAAUUAGAAUUCGGAUCUGAAUAUUUUUUUCAUUUAUUUUUUUGAUGACUUGGUUAGGCUCUGUUAGGAUUAUUUCUUAGUCGUUUUCUUAAGUACUUAAAUGGUAAACAAAAUCAAGUUGUAAAUAAAUAAACAAAUGCCCUCUCUCUCUCUCUCUCUCUCUCUCUCUCUCUCUUCUGCAUCGUAAGUGCUAAUCAAUUAUCUAAUCAAUUAUUUUAAAAAUACGGUAGUAAGGAAGGACUAAGGGCUUAUUUAUUGCACUUAAGGAUUUAGUCAUAGCGUUCACCGGCUUAAAUUUGACUUAAUUCACAUAGAUGUUAGGUUUAUUAUUGAAUUUUUUAUUUUUGGGUUUUUUGUGGACGGCAAUUCUAUACAAUUUAUUAGACUCAUUCAAUUCAACUUAUUAGUCUUUUAAAUAUAUCGUCACUAAUUUCAUAAGUCUAUCGUCACAUGGUAAGAAGUGGGAUUUAUUUUAGUUAACAAUAAAUAGCCAACAUGAUUCAUAGUUUUUAAAUUCAUCACUUUUAAAAGCAAAAAAAAUCAUCUACCACCUUAGUCAAAUUUAAAAAAUACAAAUUAUAAAUGCUUAUAUUUACAAUUAAAGAUUGUUAUAAGCUUAGUUUCUCGAAACUCUGUGACAAUAUUUAACAUUUUAGUAGCCUAUAAUUUACGCUUAGUCAUCUAUGAUUUAUGAACAUAAUCAAUAAACUAUUUUAUUUUAAUAGUAAAUUCUUACGAUAAAACAAAAAUAAUGCCACAGCGGAUCAAAGUGAUUAAUUUUUAAAUCAUAUAAAGAUUAAGUAAAAAUUUUGGGCUUGAACUAUUGAAGUUUAUCCUUUUAAUUUAAAAGGAGAUUUUAAGCAAAGUAAUUUGGAGUGGGCUAUGCACCGAUGGAUGCCAAUGGGUCGAAACUGGAGCCCGAAUUCGACGAAUUUCAACCAAAAAUUUGAAAUUCAAAUCCGAAUUGAAAAACCAGUAACAAUUAUUUUUCUUUACUAUAUUUCAAAACAUAUUACAUUAAAUUAAUUUUUAAAAUACAAAUUCAAAUACCAUAUUUCAAAACAUACUACAUCAAAUUAAUUUUUAAAAUAUAAAUUUAAAUAUAACAUCAAAUAUUUAUAUAUUAUAUAAUGUAAAAUCUAUUCGGAUUUCGGACUGGGUACAAACAAAAUUUAUAGCCGAACCUAAAUCCGUCCAAUUCUUAUUUUCUAUGUUGGAAUAAUAAUCCAAACUUAAUUAAAAUAUAGUUAGAGAUUAAGUUUUAAAGUCUUUUAUUUGAUUAUAAUUAGGAUUUGUAAUUAUUCAAUGUAAAAAUUGGAUUUAUCAUUAGUUAUGAUUUGAUAGUUAUAUAAUUGGCAUGAGUUAAUAAGAAGAAUAAGCUACAGUAGAUAUGACUAUAUCGGUGUUGCUCAGAGUGCAAUUAAAUGCUUUUUAUUAAUAAAAUAUUUGUUUAGUUAUCUUCUCCUUUUACCAAUAUUUCUUCUUUAUAUUAUUUUGUUCGAUUUUAGAUUUUGAGUUCCAUAAUCGAUAUUAGUGUAAAUAUCGAUUUCAAUAAUUGAUAUUAGAGAAUCGACUGUCUUUGGCGCAAGUGACAAAGUGCUUGGUAGUUAGUACCCGAGGUCCCAAGUUCGAAUUCUAGUUAAUUCAAAUUUUUAGCUAAAUUUAUUUUUUUUAAAAAGUAGCAAAAUCGUGCUUUCAAUAUUUUGUACUCUUGUUCGAAACUAUACCUGCAUUCGGUCUUCUUCGGGUCGGAUUCGAUAAAAUUUCGGGUAUUCGUAUCCAUUUGGCAUCCACACUACAUGGGUUGAAAAUAUCAGGGCUUAAUUUAAAAAAGAGAUUCUCAGCAGAAGCAGAAGCAGAAGCAUCGCAAGCUCAACAAAAUGCCCUAAUUCUAAGAUAAAAAUGAAGGUGAGAGAGAGAGAGAGAGAGAGAGAGAGAGAGCUCCAUCGAUCGAUCCAUGUCGUCGCCUUAUUUCGAUCGAUUUUAUGCAAGUUUUUUCUCUUUUUUUUUUUUCUGAUUUUUGGGUGUUUUUUUUUGAAUUUUUUGGUGCGGGGAUCAUGAAGAUCGCGGUGGAAGGGUGCAUGCACGGGGAGCUGGACGCGGUGUACGCCACGCUGAGGCGCCUGGAGCAGGUCGAGAACACCAAGAUCGACCUCCUCCUCUGCUGCGGCGAUUUCCAGGUGAUUUGAUUUUUGAUUUGAUCUUUUCUUUUUUUUUUUUUUUACCUUCUUUCGGUGUGAUGAUGGGAUUGGAUGUGAAUAGCGCUAGGGUUCUUAAUCAGAGUUCGCAAUGUGAUUGUUGAGUAUAAAUGAUUUAAAAAAUUUUGAUUUUGAUAGUAGCUUAGCAGAAGGCCUUGAAUUCAAUGAUAAGAUUGAAAUUGUGAAGUGCUAGGGUUUUUAAAGUAGGGACGAGGGAGUGGAAUGUAACAUGUUUCGCUUGUUGUUGGAUGUAGUGUCGUUUGAUAAAUUGCUGUUUGAGUUAGAAUUCGCCUAAAGAGUGAAAAGUUUCAAAUUGGAGUUUCUUCUUUUGGGACUUGUAAUCUCGCUUGGUUCUUGCUACAGCAAAAGCCCUGUACUUUUCUGCUUGCCAAAUCCUUUAUUUGAUAUGACUGUAGCUGGAGGCAAAAGAAGAAGAAUAAGCUGGGCCAAUGAUUGUUUUGAAUGCAAGUGAAAUAAUGAUAGUUUUGCAUGAAUUAAACCUCCAAAAGCCUUUAGUUCACGUAGCUGUCGAGCAUAAAUAAUUAAAAGAACUGUUUNUUUGGUUGAAAUUUGCGUGUUGAGUUGAAAAUGUAAUAGAAGAAGAGGUGGUGGCGCGCCAUAUUUUUGCAUGUAGCUUCACAAUUACUUGUUAACAUAGUAGAUUAAGCUUUUAGAGGCAAGUGAUUUGAUUGUUGUUUUAUGCACCGUACCAGAGUAGAAGGUUUUGAGUUUAAUGAUGGGAUUGGAAUUGUAAAGUGCUAGGAUUUUUAAAAUAGCGUAGGAGGGGAGGGAGAGGAGGGAGUGAGAAUAUAACAUAUUUCGGUCUGCUGUACAACGUAGUGUUGUUUGAGCUAGAAUUCGUUUAAUUGAGUCAAAAGCUUCGAAUUGGAGUUUUUUGCUUUUGGGGCUCAUAAGCUCGUUUGUGCUCCCUGCUAUAGCAAAAGCUGUGGAAUUUUCUAUUUGCCAAAUGCUUUUUUUAUGUGAUUACAGCUGAAAGCGUAAGUGGAAGUUGGGCCAAACAGGCAGGCGUUAGGAUAACGAUCGCGUUGGAUGGAAAUGAAAUUAUGAUACCAUCACUAAUUGUUGAAUAUAUAUGAUUAGAAGCACUGUUUUCGAUAGUAGCUUAGGCUUUUAGAGAUGACUUAUUUGAUAGUUGUUUCUCGUGGUACCGAAGCAAAAGGUCUUGAGUCCAAUGAUGAGACUGGAAUCACAUGUUUCCGGGAUUUUUCAAAUUAGGGAAGAAGGAGAGAAGCAGAAGAUGAAUACAACAUGUUUGGCUUUGCUGUUGGGUGCAAUGUUGUUUUACAAACUACUAUUUCGUUUAGAAUUUGCAUGGUGGUCUCUCUUUACAGCAGAAUUAGAUGCUUUAAAUUAAAUUGAAGUUUCUUUUUUUGGAGGUUCAUGAUCCUGGGGCCUAUUCAGCCUUGUUGUAGUGCUAUUUGAUGAAGUGCCAUCUAAGUAAUGUUAUUAAGAGAAGCGUAAUAUUAAAAUACCCUAAACAACUUCUUUCUGUUGAAGAAUUAGAAGCAUCAAUUAGGGGCUUUUGUUUUUUAGACACAUAGUAUCAUUUCUUCUGUCUGCCAUAGUACAAGCCCUAGAAUUUUCUCGUUGUCAAAUUCUCACACAGAGGCUGCUACAAGCGAGGUCAAACAGACUUUAUUUUUUGGUUCCUGCUGUACAAAGAACUUUAGAAUUUUCUAUUUCCAAAGUGCUUCGCAGGAUAUGGUUGCAGCUGAAACUCGAACUAUAAGUGGGGAGAUGAGAAUUGCUUUGAAGGACUUAAACCACCAACACUUUCUUUCAAUGGAAGGGUGAUUCUCUAUUGCUAGAGUGUCUUGAGAUAUGAGAAAAGCAGUAGGAAACUAGCAGUAGAAGAAGGAAAAUGGUUGAUGAAGUGGAAUAGAAGAAGUGAGAUUGGUUUCUCUAUGGUCUAUUAUUUUCUUAGAAUGAUCAAAGUACGAAGUAGUAUAAUCUUGCUCUAGAAAACGGCAUUCUCCAGAAAAUCUAAUCUUUAAGAGUAAGAGUUGAUCAUUGAUUAACAUUUGUUCGUUUAUGAAUCCAAAUAUGGUUUGCGACUGAACUUAGCUCUAUCCUUAGUAAGAGUUGAUCAUUGAUUAACAUUUGAUCUUUAAGAGUAAGAGUUGAUCAUUGAUUAACAUUUGUUCGUUUAUGAAUCCAAAUAUGGUUUGCGACUGAACUUAGCUCUAUCCUUUCUGUACCAUUUGGCAUCUGAGUUUGGGCAUAAUAUGCUCUUCUGUCUUAAUUUUAAACCAUGGGACAUGGAAAAGCAAUGCGAAAUUUUGCAUUCUGAAUGAGAUUGGUCGCUUAACAUGUGUAGUGAUAACGUAGUUUUGGAGAAACAGGAUUGUUGGUUUUUCAUCAUAACUAAUAUAUAAAUUGUUGCCGUAACUAGUGUCGUUCUGCCUUGUCAAAUUUAGAAUAUCAUUGGUUUUCUGGUUAUUAUUUCUUUUCAUAGCAUGUGAAUAAAUCAUUUCUUUCUCUAAGCAGGCAGUUCGAAAUGAAAAUGAUCUAGAGAGCUUAAACGUCAAACCAAAGUAUCGCAGUAUGAACACAUUUUGGAAGUACUACUCAGGGCAAGAAGUAGCUCCGUAUCCAACCAUAUUCAUUGGUGGGAAUCAUGAGGCAUCCAACUAUUUGUGGGAAUUGUGAGUUUUAUUAUUUACUUAACCAGAUAGCUUUCAGAAAUGAGAACGUGAGAGCAUCAUGUUUCCUCUCGAUUUUUUGCACUACCUUUAUACUCUUAGAAUCAAUUGUGUGAGUAUUAUAUUUCAAAAUUGAAACUGAAUAUGGCUAGUGCUAGCCUUCUUUUGAACCACAGCUAUGUAUUCUUAUUUGGUUGAACGCGGAAAUCUUAGCAAGACAGUGUAGUUCCUGGAUAUUAGUUUAAAAUUCUUGUUGUCUUGUGCUUUCAUGGAUAAAAGUCGUUGAACUAUACGUAGCACUUAUGAUCACUUGGGAGAAGGAUUAAUAAGCAUGGCCUGUAUUAAAUGGAAUUGAGAUUCUUAGUUGUCAAAGCAAAUUGGCAAGAAUGGUCUUUAUUAGAUGGAAUUGAGAUUCUUAGUUGUGAAAAUUUAAUACAUUUCAUACUGGGGUUUGAACUUUUAUUUCUUAUUUUACUUUGAAUGCUGUAGUUAUUUUCCCUGUUGCUUCCUCACUAGGUAUUAUGGGGGUUGGGCUGCACAAAAUAUUUAUUUCUUGGGCUAUGCUGGAGUUGUUAAGUUUGGCAACAUCCGCAUUGGAGGGCUCUCUGGAAUUUAUAAGCCAGGACAUUAUUUUUUAGGCAAGUUUAACCUUAUACCUGCGCUUUGAUCUUCUAUAUAUAUUUUUUUUGUUAAUCUUCUUUUUUUUUUUGUUUUUUGAUCUCCAAAACAAUAAAUCCUUUUUUUAUUAGUGGGAUGAUCGGCAGGACAUUUCUCAGUUGCUUACUAUUUUAUUCUUUUUUCUUAAAUAUAAAUUUUUCCUUGACAGCUGAAGUUUCAUUACCCUUGACUUAUGAUAGUAUAUUAUUGUUCAAGCAGGACAUUUCGAGCGGCCUCCGUAUAAUGAUAAUGACAUACGAUCGAUAUACCAUGUGAGGCAUUAUGAUGUCCUUAAACUCAUGCACGUUGAAGAACCAAUAGAUAUUUUCUUGUCCCAUGAUUGGCCUCUAGGAAUCACCGAGUAUGGAAACUGGGAGAAGCUUAUUAAAAUUAAACAGCAUUUUACAGAAGAGGUAAUGUCAAUUAUGUUUAGCUACUUUCUAGUAUGGUUGAAGUUGCAGGUUUGCAUGCAAGUGAAAUGAUAUAAUAUAAUAUUAAUUCUCUAAUGAAGGGAGGAAAUUGUUUUUUUCCUGGCUUGUUGGUUUAUAUAUGUUGAAAUUUGAAAUUAGAACUUCGGUAGUGACUGGCUUUUUUUUUUCCGAUAUAGUUGUAAUCAUCGUUUACAGUUGAAUCUCUUUUGUUUGUAGUAAACCUUGCACUACAGUGAACAAUAAAUACAUGUUGCCUCAUAAAAGUGUACUAACUUGCUGUUCUUUUUGGAGUUUCUUGAGCCUCUUCAAGUUACCACAUAGUUCAGAUGAACAGUUUCAAAAUUGAAUUUACAUUCCUUUCACAAUUCUUCUUCACAAUGAAUGCCAUUCAUUGUUGAAACACACUCAUGUGAUGUAUUUAUUCAUCAUUUCAGUAAAGUUGAAUAUGAACUUGGUGAUAGUAGCUUUUCUUGUUUAUUUAUUUUCCCCUCUCAUAUAUAUCUGAUAAAGUUGACGUCUCACAAGCUUGUAGCUGUAGCAAUUGGCCGAGCCAAUUUCUGAUUGUUCUGGAUUUGAUGUUCUGUUACAUGAAUAAUAUCCUGCUUUUUCUUGCACCAAUUAUAUUGCAGACCUCUGCUUCAGGAACUCAUUUCUUAUAAUAUAUUGUUUGUCACAUUUCGUUUUUUGGGAUUCCUUUUUAGGUCUACAGUAGAACCCUAGGUAGCAAACCUGCUGCAGAGUUGCUGAACAAAUUAAGACCGCCAUUCUGGUUUUCUGCUCAUCUCCACUGUAAAUUUCCAGCAGUAAUUCAGCAUGGGAAGGAUGGACCUAUUACUAAGUUUCUUGCACUUGAUAAAUGCCUCCAUGGUCGCAGAUUUCUGCAGGUUAGGUCUUCAUUUUAGCUAAUUGCACAAGGGUCGCCGGCAUUUUUAGGAAGAUUUCUGUUUGGUCUGUAACCUUUCAAUUGAUAUAAUCGACUCCUUAACUUUUCUGUUAUUUUUCAGACUUACCAUUUUAAUUUAGUCCCUCCUUAAAUUGGAUAAAAUGCAUGAAAAUUAAAGAUACCCAAAUAAUAGCUACACAAGAAGUCUAAACUGACAUUUAUGCGAAUAAGUAAUCCAAUUUUAUGGUGGAAUUUAACUGAAAGGGUAAGAUUGUAGCAAAAUGCUCAGGUAAGGACCCUGAUCGGAACAAUUAAAAGGUUGGGGACCAACUUUGCUGUUGUGCUAAAAGGCUAAGGACCCUGAUGCAAUUUACCUGUAUACUUUUUGCCGAGACAUCUCACUUAUUAUAAUCGGCAAGAUAUGCGGUGAAUUGGAUCUAUAAUCUCAUUUUAGCCUUCAUUGAAUUUUUCAGAUUAUUGAUAUCGAAUCAGAUCCAGGACCUUAUGAGAUUCAAUACGAUGAGGAAUGGCUUGCAAUAACAAAAAAGUUUAAUAAUAUUCUUCCCUUGACGCGAAAAUAUUUUGAUGGAGGGUAAGAAUGUGUCAUAUAUAUAUAUUUUGAUCGCCCUCGUACUCAUAAGUUGUUUUCGAUGAUAGAGUUUUCGAAUCGACGAUCCAUACCGUCAAACGUUAUCUAGAGCAUUUAAAACUUCGAGAAAUCAAAUUUCAUAAUUUUUCGACAUCAUUUACCUUACGAUCAAAAGGUUACAAAAUUGACAAUUUUUAACUGUCAGUAUGGGAUAUUUGCUAGUUUAAUGGUGUAAAAGAAUCGGAAUCGGUUGAAUUUUUAAUAGAAAAUUCUAUUCACUAUCUAUAAAAGAUCAAUAACUCCGAUCUUAAAUUGAAGGAUCCGAUCAUCCAUUUUUAGGACGUCGUUCGAUUUCGACCGUUCAUUUUGUAUCCGCUUGAUGGAUUUUAUUAUGAUUUCGAAAAAUUACAAAAUUUAUUUUUUAAAAGUUUCAAAUACUCUAGAUCAUAUUUAACGGAGUGAAUCGUCAAUUCGGAAGUCCCAUCAUCGAAAACAACUUAUGAGUACGAAGGGCCUAAUACUCAUAAGAGUAUAGUAGCCCUACUCUAUAUAUAUAUAGAGUGGGCUGGUAUGCUUCUGGAAGCACGGAGCCCUCCGUGCUUCCAAGUUGUUUUCGAUGUUCGGACUUUCGAAUCGACGAUCGGCUCCGUUAGAGUUGACCUAGAGUAUUUGAAGUACCUAGAAAAUAAAUUUUGUGAUUUUUCGAUAUCAUUUGCCUAGUGAUCGAAGGGGCUCAAAAUCAAUAAUUUUAAUGGCCGUGGUGAGCCGUUUGCAAGUUUAACGGUGUAGAAAUAUCCAAAUCACAUGAAAUUUUGAUAAAUUUUUUUUUAUACCAUAUAAAACAAGAUCAUAACUUUGAUCUAAAAUUUUAAUGUCAUAUCAUAUUUUUGUAAGAUUUUAUUUUUAGCCGUUGGUUUUGAGCCACUUCAAUCACUAGCAAAUGAUAUCGAAAAAUCACAAAAUUUAUUUCUAGAUACUUCAAAUAUUCUAGAUCAAGUCUAACGAGCCGAUUGUCGAUUCGAAAGUCCGAACAUCGAAAACAACUUGGAAGCACGGAGCGCUCCGUGCUUCCAAAAGCAUACUAGACGCACUCAUAUAUAUAUAUAUAUUAUAAAUAGUAUAUAAUUAUAUAUUAUAUAUAUAUAUAUAUAAAAUUUACUUCAGUUUCUUGCACUCUCACGAUCUAUUACUAUCUAAAUCGAGAACUUAGAUACUUGCUUUUAGGGUUAAGCAACUUGAUAUUCAAGAUUGUCGGCAAUGGGUGAUGCGUAAAUUGGAUGAAAGAGGGGCCAAACCUUUUGAUUUUGUCCAGACUGUCCCAGCCUAUGAUCCUUCUCAGACCUUUUCCAAUCCUUUCCGUACUGGUACUUUUCAGAAUUUUUGUAUAUUUUAUCCUAUAAAUAUUAUGGUUAUCUGUUCUCAGUUACAUAGCUCUUAUUCGGUCGUUGCAGUUCUACAUUGUAUAGUUCUAACCUACUAGGUUAUUCCAUGUACACCAUGUUAUAAUUCUUGUUCCAUGCGCCUUCAUGCUUUUGUAAUUUUUCAUCUAAUCGGUGUAUUUCGCAUGAUUGUAUUUUUGUGAAAGUUUGUUCUUUCGGAUUAAAGUAAUUUAAUUGAUCCACAUUAUAACUCUCUCUCUCUCUCUCUCUUUCUCUCUCUCUCUCUCUCUCUCUUCCCUGGGAAGAUUUAGUAAGCUGGUCUUCUGCAUUCCAUUUUAGAUCUUGAAGUUCUGUUGCUGUGAACACUUACAUUUCUGCUAUACUCAGGUCAUUGUCGUAAUCCGCAAACUGAAUCCUUGCUGCAGUUUUUGGAACUCCCAUAUCUACUUGAUGGUGAGAAUGUAGCCAAUACUCCAUCGCAAAGUACCAAGCAGUUAAAUCCUACAGGUAGAGUUUUGUGAAAUGCAAUUGAACUAUCCAUUCCUCUCUCUCUUUCUCUCUCAUACACGCACGCAAGCAACCUAUGCCUUUUUCUCUUGUAUUUUUCUUCAAAGUCAGUGUACAACAGUCUUGAAAAUGAUGUAAAAUGGAUUGUUAGUGAAUCAGCACUAGCAAAGUAGUCAAAGGUCUUCCUCCAUUCUGUUGAGUGUCAGCAAAUUAGCUAUUUUCGUGAUGGAAAUUUAGAAACUUAGUAACAUAUUAACUUUUAGUGAUUAGUAUGGAAUCAGUAUAAUUUGUAUAUACUAUCUAGAGGAUUAAAUGGUAGCAGAGAUCUGAGGAAUUGAAAAUGCUACAUGAACUUUGAUUUAGUUGAAAGGAACAGUUAUAGGUGGGUCUAAUUCAGAUAAUAAUUUAAAAGAAUUUUUAAGAUGUAAGUAGAAUUAAAGGUAGGAGAAACUUACAAAAAAAAACCAUGGUAUAGCCCAAUUCCAAUUUGCGGCCAUGUGAUUCAAGAUGAAACACUUUGUCCCUGUCGUUACUUUCUUGGUCCAGUUAGGGCGCUAUUAAAAUGCCGUUAAAAGUAUGUGGUUUCCGGUUAGGGUGCUAUUAAAGUGCUGUUAAAAAUAUGUAGCAAAGUUGUACAAUGUUGAACUACAGUAUAGUAAGCGACAAAUUGGACUACACCACAAGGAGGGUUUUGUAGUUUUCCCUAUAUUACAAUGUGUUGAGGUAUGUGGUUGUCAUUCUCACCGAAAAUUGAAACAGCAACAUCAGGAGACGAAGUGCUAUUCUUUGAACUUCAGGGUGGAAAAGUCGAAUCGGGCUAUACGAAGGUCAGAAUUUUGGAGUUUUCCCUUGAAAUGUAAGAUAGUGACAAAAUGAUUUGUAUUGGGAGAAUUCGUUAGUAUCAUUAGCAAUUGCAAAGCUUCCAGACAUUAGGAUGGGAUAACUAGGAGUUGAAACCUCUGUCAAAAAGUAUAUGCAAAUUUGUUAGGAAACUAAAGCAGAUAAUAUGAGGGAGAAAAUGGAGACUUCAGAAUAUGGAGUUAAGAAUCAAAUAGAGUUUAGAAACGGUGAUGAUCAUUUGAUUAAUUUAAUGGAUCAUACCAUUUCCAGUUGUGCUUUUCCAUACAAAGAGAGUAAACAAAUAGACAUAUGCACAUGGUAAAGAGACCUCAAAUAAAAUUUAAUGGUGUUAUGCAUUUAAAAAAUAGAAGAGAGAGAACAACGUAAACUUUUGUAGUCAGUCCUGCUUUCGCCUGAUUGUACUUAGCUCCAAAAAUUUCAACUCUUGGCUAAAAGAUCUCUGGACUAUGUUUUUCUGAGGAAAUGGACCAUGUGAGUUAUACAUACAAAUCCUUAACAUAUUUCUGUUUAUUUCUAAAGACUAUUAGUGGACAUGAUGGCAGAUGCUAUCUUUAAAUGUGGAACGAAGGAAAUGACCAUGCGGACUAAGAUUUUGGGAUGAAGAAGGCCAUGCAAACAUUACUUUCAGCCUGGAAGAGGUCUCGGGAACUUAUAAUAUUUUGGGACAACAAAGGAGAUUUGAACUCAAAUUUAUAAAUAAUUUUACCUACCUACUUCGAAAAGCUAACUUAUUGAAUGAUAGAGGGCGACACAAAUGGGCAUAAACAAUUGGAAGUAUUUUACUUGGUUCUUUGAAACAAUUAAGUGAGAAGGAUUGUGGCUCUUCUAUAAAGGGCAACAGAAAAAGGCGCAAGCAAUUUGAAUUAUUUUACUUGCUGUUCAACAAUUGCAUUAAAUCUUGGACAGAAAUGGACAACAAAAAAUGGUCAUAUUGCACACAAUAGCUUCAUUUGGCAUGUUCGGAGAUAAAUACAUGAACGAUUGCCUUUUGUUGGAUUAGUCUCAGUGUUGUGCAGCUUCUUUUAGUUGCUUAUUGUAAUGCCCCGAUAGUCCCAUAUUGGAUACAUAAGGGAUUAUGUUUGGCUAAACAAGGACCAAGUACUCUCUUAAUAAUGAGUAGUAACUGAGCUUAAGCAUUUUUGGAUUGGCAGUUUGGGCUUAACAUAUUGGUGGUGCUAGUGGGUUGGGUUGUUACACAUCUUACACUAUUUCCUAAUGAAUGAUUUAAACUAAACUUUGCUUUUUAGGAGUUUCUGCUGGCAUUUCUAUUGGCAUCGUCUUAAAAGUGAUCUCAGUAUGCAUAUAGAUUCCUCGUAUUUUGUCUUUAAUUGAGUUUUGAAAGUUAAUUAUCUGAUGUGUAAUAGAUGCACUUGAUGACGACGAUGAUGUGGACGAGCUGGAAGAGCAUGCUGAUUCUGAUGAUGAGGAGUGAAGAGCGAGGUUUUCUCACAGGUGUGAUACAUGACUAACCCAAAUUUCUCCUCUGUCCUAUCAGUAGAACUAUUGACAGAAAGCACUAAUCUGUACUAACAUACUGUUGAAAUACAGAUGGAUUGAUCAUAGAUCAAAAAAUUCUGCCUCUUGGAUUGAUCCGACAACUUACAUACCUUACUUGAAUUAUAGCACUUUUUGAACUAGGUACCUACACUACAGACAUUUUGAUAUUACUACCUAAACAUAAAGUAUUUAUGAAAUAGGAAUUUGAUUUUACUAGCUAAUCUUAUAGGAUUUGUGACACGAAUACUUCUAAUGGAAUAUUCCAUUAUUUGAUAGUAUAUUCUGCAACUUUUUCGACAGAGACAUGAAGUUCUAAGAGACUGAAAUUUAUUAAACAUCAAAACAAAUGAAAGGCUAGUUAGUAAACUCAAAAUCUUUCUUGUUCAGGUGCCUGUCGAAAGCUGCGCUAUAGUUCAAAUAAGCUCUGCAUGCUAUUAAUAACCUUACGAAAAUUGCUUUAAAUAGAUGAGAAAUACAUCAGGUUGUGUAUUCUGUGAGCAUUAUGUCGAAUUUAAACAUAUUCCUACUUCAGAGUCUUUUAAGUGCCGUCGACAACUUCGCUUCCUUCUAUAUACAAUGAUCUCUUGAAUUUUGACUCGGAAAUUACUUCAUUGAGAGUCGUAUUUUCUAUUUCUUCAUUCCUUUGAUGCAUGAUGUUUAAACCAGACCACUAUGAAUCAGACUGACAUUUUCCACAAAUUUAUUUGAGGAGGUCUAACAUGCUACAGUUUUUCUUCUUUUAAGAACCCUUUGAAAAUCUUGUAACUCUUUAUUGGCAUGCUUGCUCAAGAUAAAGUGCUCCACUGUUGAAAAAUCUUUUACUGACUUUGGUGUUGUUGAUCAACCCACCACCACCCCACCCAAACAUAUCAUUUUCUGAUCGGCUUCAAUGGAGCUUCUACUGAAGUGUUGUUGGAUAAAUCUGUUCAGAAAAAAAAAAAAAAAAAGAAAUGAAAAAAACAACACUAUUAGCUUUCCAUCUAUUUGGAUCAUAUGCUCUUAAGACCUGUUUGGACAUCCGAACAAGUUAUCUGAUAAUAACCUGCGCGUCAUAUGAGGAUUUUCUCGUGAUUUCAAGCUAGGAUUUUCGCUACGAAUCAUGUUUCUUUCAGAAUGAUGCGUUCUGCCUGCAAGGUGAUUUAUCAUAUUAGAUGAUAAUAAUUUGCAGGAUGUAUAUAUAUACGUGGUUGUUGACGGACUCAUUAUCCCCUCAACCAAUUAUUACCAAUUAUUACCUCGCCUUCAAGCAAAUGAAGGAGAUACAAGUCCCAUUUGGAUGUCUGAACAAGUUAUCCAUAAAUAAAUUAAGGUGUUAUUUCUUUCCCCUUUAGUUUUGUGAUUAGAAGUUAGAAGUUCAAUUUUAGCUCUUUAGAAGGUUUUGAUAGGCCAUGAUUUAGUAGGACAGCAUAUUUUGCUUGUUAGUAUCAGGCAAAUUAUCUUAUUCUAAGAAAAUAACUAUAAGGUCGAAGGCCGAAUAUAGUAUGCUUUUUUAGAUAUCUGAUCAUACUCGUCGUCAACCAAGUAGUACAAUCUUUCUGAGUGAAUGAAAGAGAUGUAUCGAAUAAAAUACUCCUGCAUUUGUGUGGAUAUGGAUCACUCCAUGCUUAUCAAUGGUGAACUAAACCAAAGAUUCAAAAUAGUGUGACCCAAAUGUUUGACUACAUGUUCUUUUUUUUCGUCUCCGACUCUCUCUUUUCCAUUUCUCCUCUUUUUUUUUUUUUUUUUGUUCAAGCCUCACUAUUCCUUCCUUAUCCUUUUGAUCUUCGACGUUGUUUCAAACCGACACCACAGAAACCCUAGAGAAGGGUUCUAGAUGUUGUGGCUCAUUUGGUCAAACACUCGACCGAUAACUAGUCAACUUAAUUGUUAAUCAAUUUUCCUUGCCUUUGCUUUGAAGAUAGAGAUGCUCUGUGAUUGCUACGUGUGGCAACUUUUUUAGGUUGAGCUAUAGCUUUCAUGCUCGAAAUUAGGGUUUCUAGGGUUUCUAGGGUUUCUAUGUUCUCACAUGUGCCUUUAUAGUAAAGCAUGGUGGAGGGGGGGAAAAAGAGCCCUUUCCAUGUUCUUCAAAGAGGUAUCUUUUACUUUAUUUAGAUAGGAAUGUUUUGGAUUUAAAAAUUCAGAGGACUUUUUUGCACAGUAAUUUUAUUAAAAUUUUUAAUUUGCCAAAUAAUUCUUUCAAAGUUUUAUUUGGGCAACUAACUUGAAAUACAGUGAAUCGUUCACCGUCUUUAGAAAGUGGUGAAUGGUUCGUUGUUUUUAUAUUGUUAUCUUCUUUUUUUUUUUUAUGUUGUGGGGAUUUUUUUGAGGUUAUUAAGAUUGUAUGUGGAUUAUUAAUUUUUUAUUUAUGGUUAAAAUUAUAUAGAUAGAUUGUUAAGAUAUUUUAAGGUGUAAGGAUUAUAUGUGAUUUGUUGAAAUUUUUAUGUGGUUGUUAAAAUUAUAUAUGAGAAUAAGGAAAAACAAUAAAUCAUUCACUUUUUAUACUUAGAAAGAUGGUGAAUCAUUUACCGCCUCUAAUAGAAAAGAAAAAGAAUUAUUUCAACAAAUAAAUUUUUUAUAAGACUAUUUAGCCAAUUAUGAAUUUUUAAAGGGUUAAAAUGAAAAAAAAUCCCUAGAUACUCUAGAAAAAAGAAAGAAGGGAUAAUAUCUAAUAUAUCCUUCAAAAUUUAAAAAUUAUUGGGAUAAUUGCCUAUAUACAUCUCAAAAUUUCGAAAAUAUUUUAUUUACCUUUAUUUUUUUUUUCUUUUCAAUAUACCCAUCAUACGUUCUUUCGUUAUUCCAGAAUACCUCUACAGUUAUCAUCCGUUAAGUUAACUUUAGUUAAACUUGAGUUAAAUAUCUAUUAGAGUUAAAAAAAAAUCAAAAUGUUUCUUUUGCCUUUAACUUGUGGGCAAAUAAGAAAUAUUGGUGAUGUUAGAAGAGUAUAUUUGAAAAGAUCAAAAAUCAAAAUAUUUUUGGACUUAAGGGCAAAUAAGAAAUGUAGGUGAUGGUGGAAGGGUAUAUUUGAAAGGACAAAAUAGUAAUUUUAUAGAGAUAAUAGUUAUUGUUAAUCGUUCAUUAACAAAAUUUAACUCUAGUAUUUGAAAUAGGCUGAAACGUAAAUAAGAUAUUUUUAAUAUUAGCUUUCUAAGAAGGAUAAAUCAGAAAGUUGGAAACUUGGUCGGUCAAAAUUAUCUUUAUUGAUUUCUAAAAGAUUCUAGGGUUUACUAACGGGAUCUGGAGUUUAGAAGGAUAUUUUGAGAAUAGAGAGGUAAAUUUGAAAUUUUGAAUAGUAGUGAGGGGUAUAUAAGGAAAUUGUGAGGCGAUUUUGAAAUAGACCCCGCAACUUUUAUAUUUUUGCAUUGAUGCUUUUUUAACUCCGAAGUUUCUAAUUUGAAAUUUCUUUUCUCCGCUAAGUUAAAAGUUUUGUUAAAUUUCAUCGAUUAGUUAGCUAUUAGCAGUUAAUUAAUCUAGUUUUGUUUGCUACGAAGUGAUUAAUUAAGACCACUAAGUUUGUGGAGUUAUCAUUGAAUGUGAAAAAUUUGCAAUAUAUUUGAACUUAAUUCUUAAAAAUAAAAAUAAAAAGACUAAAAUAUAUAAAAUCUUUCUAUAAAUAUCCGCUUUGCACUUUAAUCACAUGCUUUUUAAAAGUCUUUAUUUUGUCCCCUUAAAUCUAAACACUCUUAUAAAUUUGCUACUAUUUCAUUAUUUGUGUGGAACAAUUAGGUAAUACUAAUAUAUUUGUUUUAUCCUUAAAUUUAAUGACAAAAGGUUAAUUAGUAAAUAAUUGAGGAACUCUUUCAUAAAGUUACCUGAAAGAAAAUAUAAAAUUCUUAUGCGUUUUUUUACUACUUUUAAGGAUAUGAUAAAUAUUUCAAUAAAUUUUUCGACUGUAUCAUACAAUUUAUGUAUAAAAUAGUAACGUAAUUGUAACAACGCUGAGUUAAGUGUUACAAUUUUAAAUUUUAAAGGAGGAAAAUAAUAGUUUUUUAAAAAUAUAGGGGGAGGGUAUAGUAAAAAAAUAAAUAAAUAUUUAGAGGAAGAUAUUCUGUAUUUUAGCUUUAAAAAAUUAGAUUGUAUCAAUCCAAAAAAUGAAAGUACUGGGGCCUAUGUGAGAAUGGCCUAAUCAAAACAAUAUAAUAGUUUUAUAUUAAAUAAAUAUUUAUUAAAAUAUUUGUUCAAAAGUUGCAAUAUUUUUUUAAGAGAAAUGUAAGCAAGCUAUCCACUUUGGCUCAUUUUUUUUGUAAAAAAAACUCCGCUAAAAAUAUAAAACAAGUAGGCUUUGAAUUUGAAAUUUCGGAUACAGACUCUGUUUGAAAAGGCACGCUUGAGGCGCGGGCCUCAGCGCCUCAGCUAUAGCGAGACGCAGCGCUAUUGCUGAGGUACGCGCCUUGGGCUUGAGGCGAGUGCCUCAGACGAUCGCCUCGCAAUAUUAAAAUUUUCAAAAAUUUUUUAUUCUAGUUUUCGAGUUGUCGGAUUUUGAAUUUGCAUAUUAUACUUUAAUCUGAUAAGAUACUUAAAAAAUAUUAAAAGAAAUUCAAAAAAAUUCAAGUUUUCGGAUUGUCGGAUUUUGAAUUUAUAUCUUAUACUUUAAAUCCGAUACGAUAUUUAAAAAAUCUUGAAAGAAAUCCAAAAUUUCUAAAAAAAUCAGCCGCUCGCCCCCUCCUUUCUGUCUCUUGUUCUCCCACAUCCUCUCUCUGUCGAGCAUCCAACAGCAACUGUGCUAGCAGCAGGAAUCAGCAGUUGUUAACCAGCGGUGGCCAGAACAAGCAACCAAUAGCAGCGGCAAUAGGAAAACAAGAAGCAACAGCAGCAAAAACAGCAGCAGCGUCAGCAAGAACAUCAAAUAAAAUUAUAUUCAUGCAUUUUUUUUUUACUUUUUGAUGAUUAUUUUAAAAAUUUUAAUGUAGAAUAACAAAUUAAAUUAGAUUUAGUAAAUAUGCGUUCCGUCUUCUUGAGACGCACACCUCGCAGUGCAUCUCUUCACGCCUUACAUCUUUUUAAACACUGGAUACCAACCACCAACCCUCAGAGGCUGUUUGACUUUUGAAAAAAGCAUGGCGAAAAGAAUUUCUAAGAAAAAAGUUUUUGUGCAAAAUAUCUUUUUCAGUUUUCGUCUGUUUGGUAAAAAAAAAAAAAAAGGAAAAAGAAAAAGACUAUUUUGAUUUUUUUUUUUUCAGAUUAUAUGAAAAACUAGUAUUUUUCUCUUUCAGAAAAUAAACAUAUUAGGUUAUUUGCGAAAUCUUAGCUUAUUUUUCUCAAAAUUAAAUGGGCAAAAAACUGAAAACUUUUUUUUUUUUUAUAUUUUUUCAAGAAACCAAACAACCUCUUAGUAAAUCGGGUGAUGCUGCUAAUUUAGCGUUAGUUCUGAAAAGCAUAACUCAACCAAACUAGGUCGAAAAUUUCAUUGAGUUCGGCAAUUUUUAUAAUAGGCAUGAAAAAUACUUUUCGAGAUCUAUGCGCCGAAUAGCAAAACUGUUUUAUCCGAGUUUGGAACCCGAAUUCAACUAUUUAGGCUGCUUUUUUGCAAUUUUAGGUUACUUAAUUUUGAAAACUUUCCUAUUUUUUAUCGGUUUAUAUUUAGAGAUGUAUUAUAAUUUAUUAUAGUAAGAUUCAGAUAUCGCCCCUAUAUACACUAAGUACUUUUUAGAGUUGAUUAAUAAUAAUUUUUUAUAUAUUUCUCUUUCCAUUCUUAUACUUUUUCACUUACUAUGCUGCAUUUUGGUCUGCGUCACUACGCCAGAUACAGAGACAGUAUAGCGACACAAUUUUGCUUUGACAAAAGAAGAAGGGAUCAAAGAGGAGAAAGCCACAAACUUAAUAAAAAAUUAUAUCUUUUUUUCUUUUUUCUUUUUUUUUUUUUCUUUUUUGAGGGGGGUGUCUGAUGAGGUUUGCCCUAAAUUUCCAUUUAAGACAAGCCGAAAGGUGCUCAGCACAAACAUUUGCUUUAAAUGGUAAAGAUAGAAAAGUUAGUGACAAAUUUGUCUCCCCAGAGUGGGUCCCACACUUUAUCUUCCAAUCAGAUUACUGUUCGGAGUGGGACCCGCAUCUAGCAUUAGUCUUUUUCUGUCACAGUUAUUCCACGUCAAACUUAUAAUAUUGUGUAGGUUCCUCGGCGCUAACCACUAAUACUAAAAAUUUGAGCAAUUAGAAAAGAAAUAAUUUAUUUAUUUAAAAUAUAUAGAUAUAAUGUCAUCGUGAUUCGACUCAAUCUGACCUUCCGUUAUUUUGAAAUUCGACUCAAUCCGACCUUCUGCUAUUUCGAACUUGAUUUGGUUCAACAUGAUAUAUCUUUCGUUUACUACACAGAGUGCUGACUCAUUUAAGCCACCGAUAGGUUAAAAAAAAUAUCUUAAAUGCUAUUUUAAUAUAAAAAUUAUCGCAAUUAUUUUUGUGCUUCAAACUUUUGUCCCAAAUAAGGGGUUUUUUUUUUUUUUUUUCUUUUGGUGAAAAAUGUGUUGGCCAUGCAAGCACAUUAUAAAGUAGAGCUGCAUGCUAUAAUUUGGAAUGCACAAAAAAGCUGGUAGAAAGGAGAUAAUUAAAAAAAUAUAUAGAUACGGUGUCACGAGUUUCGAUCGUAACUUGAUCCAAUCUAACUUUCCGCCACUUCGAACUUGAUUCGGUCCAGUCUAAUCUUUCGUUUACUGGAUAAGAGUACUCACCCAUUUAAGCCACGGAUAGGUAAAAGAAACAAAAGUGUCUUAAAUGCUAUUUUAAUAUAAAAAUUAUCGCAAUUAUUUUUGUGCUUGGAACUUUUGCCCCAAAAUUGGAAUUUUUUUUUUCUUUUUUUGGGUGAAAAAUGUAUUGCAAUGCAAAAGCACAUUAUAAAGUAGAGCUGGUAUAAUUCCGAAAGCACGGAAAUGUAUAAUUUUAUAUAAUUUUGGAUAAUUGGCUAAUCAAGUUAAUAAUCAAUACUAUCGGACAUGAUCUUAAAAACUAUUUUGAAAUUAAUAGAAUACCAUUUCAGAGUGCGUCAAGUAGGUACAAAAAUAAACAGUUCUUAUUAAAUAGUAUUUUAGAAAUAGAUGAUACUACUCUUCAAUUCAAGUUCUAAGUUAUCAAUCAUAAAUAGUAUAAUCAAACAAAAAUUCUGGCUAUCUGUUCUAGACCAAUAUUAAAUGAAUAAAUGUUGCAUGUGAAAAUUAAGUUUUUAGAUAGUUCGAAUAUUUAAUAUCAUGUCUGGUGGUGUCGAUCAUUAGUUCGAUUGUUCUAUCAUUGAAAAUGACAGUCAUCGUCAGCUCACGCACAUUAUGCGGUCCUCCCGUGAUAAUAUCUUAGUAAAAGAUUUGAAGGAACAACUUCAAACACUUUUCAAGGAAUCAAACACAAGGGGUGGUGUUUCUUUAAAAAGACUCUUUGAAGGAACAAAUUCAAUAUUAAUCCUCUUCAAAGCAUCAAGCGCAAGUGGUGGUGUGUAGAUGCACACGUUCACCUUGUUACAAACAUUGCUCAAAAAUGUUAAAAUGUAGAGAGAGAGAGAGAGAGAGAGAGAGAGAGAGAGAGUGGGUUGUUGAACUAAUUGAUGCGUAAAGUAUUAGGUUUCCCAAGUUUGGAGAAUAAAUGUAGUGUUUCUUUCUUUUUUUUUGUUCCCCUUUUUUCCUUCAAUUGUUGACUACCUUAAGCAAGCUGGUCCUCUAAUUCUGCCUAGUCAUGGAUGCUAUGAGACUUGGCUUCUCUUGUAGUGUUUAAUUUGUUUCAUGUUUUGUUGGUUUCAGUAAAUAGCUUUUCUACUUUGAAAAAAUACUAGUGCUUAGAUGUUUAAUAAACAAAAGAUCCACAACUUUUGAUGCUAUAGCAUGUCGAUAAUUAUUGGGUAAAAUGGGUCUAACUUUUUGCUCCGUGAUAAUUGGUCCAAAAGACUAAUAAAUUGAGUUACGUGAGCCUAAUAAGUUGAGUAAGGCUGCGGUCUGCAAUAGACCUAGCGAAAAUAUUAAACCCAACAAUAGAUUCAACAUCCAGAUGGGUUGAGUCGGGUUGAACUCCGUAAACGCUGUAGCUGAGCUCUUAAGUGCGACAGGUGGGCCCUUUCUAUCUGCACUUGCCUUUUGGGAUGGUUGGUUAGUGCAUGCUUAUGAUCCAUAGAAGAUAGUUUCAGAGCUCCAAAAAUACGAGCUCUAUGUCUUGCUUGGCUUUGUUGUCAUUCUUAUAUUCCUCAAACUUCAAUUUGUUAUAAUUUUUAGCUUAAACUUUCUAUAUUGUUGUAAUUGAGUCUCACAGAUCAAUUAAGGUGAUUAAUGCAUCACUGAUUUGGCGAUGAUAUGAUAGUGUUGUGGUUGAUAACAUGAUAACAACUAAACAGCCGCAUCAACAAUACAUCAUCAUUUAGUUAAUUAAAUUGGACUAUUAGGGGACUUGAUUGCAAUAAUUUAGAAAAUUCAUAACAUAAGUUACAACAAAUUAAAGUUUCGAGUACCAAAUUGUCAGCUUCCUUGUAGUUUGAUGGCAAAAAAAAAAACAAAAACAAUUUAACAUAAAUAUUUGUUUGGUUAGUUUUGCUUAAAAAAUACUUCUAUUAAAACUCCAACUUGACAUGUAAUUAUAAAUACAAUAUAAUUAAAAAUGCAUGUAGUUAUAAAUGCAGCAAUUAAAAAUAAAUGCAUCUUGUUUGAUGGCAUGCAGUGAAAACCGUACAACAAUAAAUACUUUAUUUAGUUGCAUAUAAUUGAGAAGUGCAUUUACAAAAUUUUAUUACUUUAUAUAUGUAAUAGUGAAAUAAUCGCUACUAAGAAAGAAGAUAUUUAUGUUUAAAAGGUGAUUACGAAAUGAAGCUUACCUUUUAUUUAAAGUUGCUCUCUCCAACUACUAUAGUUGAAACUAUAGUCAAUUUUGGUGUAGUUACAACUUUUGCAUUUGAAUCACUUUGUGCAAUUAUAACUAUAAUAAUAGUUACAAUAGUUAAAUUCAAAUGCAUCAAAUAAAAUAUCAUAUUUGAAUUUGUAUAGAAUUAUAACUACAAUGCAGUUAAAACUCCAAACAACUAAAUAGCCCUUUAGUACAUAGGCUAAUAAUUAAUUAGCCUGGCCUAGACAUGUGUGAAAUGAACCCAAGGGGACCCAAACAUGUGGGAGUUUCCGUUCUAUUCUUUUGUGUGACAAAAUUGCCUAACCUAGGCAAAGAGAAAGAAAGGAAACACAACCAUAGCAUAUAGGGCACCAAUCAUAAUGUAAGAAAUGUUAUUCAAUUGUUUGCCAUUAAGAGAUAGAUAUAUAUUGAGAGAGAGAGAGAGAGAGAGAGAGAGAGAGAGAGAGAGAGAGAGAGAGAGAGGAUGAGCUAUCUUGCAAAUAGUAAUAGAGCCUACUAGUUUGGUUUUGGACCAUUGUAGUUUAAAAGAACAUGAAGCCCUAAAAGCAUUGUUUAGCCUUGUGGGAACAAAAGAGCUAAAGUGUAGGCUAUAUAUGUAGAGAGAGAGAGAGAGAGAGUUGAGAAGAGCACAAGUGUCAAUGCCUAGAAGGGAAACUCACCCCUCCCUCCCAACCAUCUUCUUUGGAAGACUUGUUUGGUGGUGGCCAACUUCUACUUUGUUUUGGGCUUUUUUGCAUUGGGAUGGGAGAAGAUAAGGAGCACUUACUCUACAUGUGGUUUCUUGACAUGACUUGUUGUGGAGAUGGGAGGAGUAGGAGUUUUACUUGUUUUAGCCAUGUUCCAAAGCAACCCUACCCUAAAUAAAACAACAAACUAGUUGUGUACAAGUCCCUUUUAAAUUAGACAAAAGUUCUUGCUAUCCCCCCUACCAACACAACACUUUGCUCCACUAUCUCUCUCUUCUUCUUCUUCUUUAUUUUCCUUCUUAAUUUCUUCUCCUUCUCCCAUGACCCACCAAACUACCCUUUUCCACCAAUGAAAACCCUUCAUUGCAACAUUGCUAGUACUUAAUUUGAAGCAAGGAAUGAAAGAUCUAUUAUAUUAUUUGCCUAUUCUUUAUUGGUAAAAGAGUUGUUAAGAAACCGACACUUGUAACCCCGACUAUCGUCGAUUAUUUUUAGCUAAUAUUUUAACAUGCACGUAUAGUGUCGUGCCACGUGGUGCAAAAUCAUAAGCUUGGUGCUUAAGGGUGAUGAUACUCAGUCUCCCUUAAGAUGGUCUCCUUCUUUGUUGACAUAUGUCUUUUAUUCUUUGGCUCUUUUUGUAAAGCAGUGGGUAUAAUAUAUAUAUAAUAAUAUAUAUAUAUAUAUAUAUAUAUAUAUAUAUAUAUAUAUAUAAUGUUGGAUGGUUCGAAAUUACUCAUAUAUUAUCCUCAAGUUCGAGCUAUUAGAAUGGGAAUAACUAGUUCACUUAAAAUAUACAGACAAAGAACAUUUGCCAUGUAGGUAGAAUGCUGGCCUAUUCGUCGACAAUCCUCCUUUUUCUACGCCUGCACACAUUGCAGUAUGCAGGAAUCAAACUCAUGACCUGCUCUGAUAUUAUUUUUUGGAUCGUCAAUCCUAACUAUAAUUCUCAAAGCUCAAACUAUUAGAGAGAGAGAGAGAUCAAUUCAUUUGAAGUAUACAGAGACAACACUCAUAAAUUUCUAUUGUGACUUUGGUCAACGCAAUCUCCGCAACAAAGACAGGAUGCUGAUAUACUCGUGAGCAUAAAAUUAGUCCAAGAUAAUAUUAGCUAAGAUAACUCCUUGCAUCUUAAGUUUCAAGAGCAUCAAACUUUUCUCUCAUUGUUGGAUAUCACAUCAAUUUAUUAAAUAAUAUAUGGUUCUUAGGUUUUUCUAACACUAGCUUGAGAUUUGACUUUUGCCCUUUUUUUUUGACUUCCAAUUAAUUAAGUGGGGAUCAUCUUUAGUCUUCCAAACACUUCUUUACUUACUAAACUACUAAUGAUUCUUCAACUAAUUAUCUCCCUUAAUCUAUUACAUAUCCCAACUUUUGGCAUGCUAAGUGUCAAUUCUGUGUGUUAUGCUCCUAAUCACAUCCUAAUGUAGUGGGGAUUCCUUUUCUAGAUGGAUAAUAAUAUGAAAUUAAUCACCAUGAAGUGGAGCAAUUGUGUUGUCCUUGUUCUAAAUCUAGGCAAGUAUACACUUACUUUAAUCCGUCGACGAUGUCGGUUCUAAACUAUCUCAAUCUGAUAAACCGACAUUCUUAAGCUAGCUUUAUCCCUUAUCGUAAUCUAUAGUUCGAUCAGUGUUUAGUCGGCGUUGAAUUAUCAAUAUUAUCAUUGCAUGAAUAUUUUGGUACAAUUGACUUUGGCAUGAUGAUGGUGUGAUAAUCAUACUGUUUGUGUCACUAAUGAUAAAUUAGUCACGUACGUUCCACAGUUUUUCUUUGUGGUACCUAUAAAGUAACCUAUUUGAUUCCUACUUUUAAUACACAAUUAAUUACUCACCAAACUAAUUUUCAUUUCCUUUUUGACAAACAACUCACUUUUUUGUGUCAUCUCCUUUUAUUUUAUGAUAAUAUUUUUCAUAUAUUGGUGGCAUGAACAGUUAAAUGAUAACAAGGGUUAUAAAAUAAAGGAUAAUCAACAUACAUGUGGUUGACAUAUGUUUAUUGACCAGAAUAUACCAAUAUAUCUUAUUUAGCUUUUAAGAAGUUAAUUUUGUGAAGUGCUAAAACUUUGGUGACUUUUUUUUUUUUUUUUUUAAAUGUUUAGUGACCAGUUGAGGCAGACCAAAUUCAUGUUAUAUAUAUUAGACUGUUUUUCAUCUCAAUCGAUAAAUAAUAGUUAUUAUUAUUAUUUAUCAUUUUCUUAAGAGAUAAAAUUGAGAAUUUGUUAUACCAAUAGUAAAAGCUUGAAAUGAAAAUCUUAAGUUUUUCUAUCUUUUCAUAUGUUCUUAUGUUAUUUUACAUUAAUAUGGUAGGUAAAUUAUAAUUAGGAUACUUUAAAUUUAUACUCAUAAGCAAGAACCUCUUGGCCCCUCUCUCUCCUCACUGCUGAAUACAAAGUAUAAAGAACUGUUCUUUGAGAGCUUAACUUUUUGGAGAACAACGGUUGGUUCAUAUAUUUUAUCAUGGUAUUAAACUAGAAAAUCCUGAGCUUAGAUCUCAUCAGACCACGUUCGUAGACUUAUCAAAAAAUCUCGAGCUCAGAACAUGAGAAUUGUUGAAUAUAAUAUCAUUCUUUACGCUCUUCGUCAACUUAAGUAUUUAAAGAAAAACGAUUAUUUCACACUCUUUACCGCUCACUAUGGAAAGAUCUUACAAUUAAUGAACUGCAUAUCUACAACGAGUACAAUUACAGGUGUCUCAAAAUGUUGCUCUUAUAGGUUGCUGAUGUUUUGGCGUACUAAUGUAUCACGUAUAAACUGACAUACAGUAUAAACCAGCACAUUAGCGAUACUAAGAAGUAUUAGAAGAGCAAGAAUGGUACUAAAUUAUAAGGAGGCAAAGCGAAAGAGGAGAAAGUGAAAGGCAUGAUAAUUAAGGUGGACAAAUAUUGUGAGGGGAACUCCAUUUUCCCCAACCAACCUAAAAGAGUAAAACAUUAUAAGAUAAAGACACAUAUAUAUCAUGUAUCAAGAGUCUCACCUCAUAGAAAUUCUAUGAGGAAAACUCCUAGAGUUUUCGUCCAAAAGAAGAAAAAUUAAUUAAGGUAAAUUUGCAAAAAGACCCCUCAACUUUAGGGCAUUUCGAACAAGCUCCUCAAUUUAUUUAUUUUGUUAUUUAUUUAUUUUGUAAUUGGCUUCCUAAUUAACUUUUAAUUUUUCCUAAUUGAUUUACAAUAGUUCAGUUAAAAACUUUCACAAAUAUAAUGAGUCUAUUAAUUAGCUAACAGUUAGUUGUUUUAGUUUCCUUAGUUAGAAAAUGAUUAAACAUGAGAUGUCAAUGCAUACAAAUACUUGAAAUUUUAUCCAAACCCAAAUCUGAACGAAGCGGAUUUAUUCGAUACUAAACGGAUAUAGUUUCGGAUAUGAAUAUCAAAAGCGAAAACCCGACGGAUUUGGAUUCGAGUAUGGAUUUUGACUGUACCCGAUCAAAACUUGAACCCGAAUUAAUUUUACAUUAUAUAAUUUAUAUAAAUGUUUGAUGUUAUAUUUGAAUUUGUAUUUUGAAAAGUUAUAUUAAAUAUAAUAUGUUUUGAUAUAUUGUAAAAAGAAAUAAUUAUUUCGGGUUCGGGUUUCGGAUUUUUGGGCGUAUUGGGGUUCAGGUUUCCGAUUUGAUAGUUGGAUUCAUAUUUGGGUUUCUGAAAAUCCGCUCGGUAUCCAGCCUGUUGACAUCUCUAAAUUAAACCCAUCAAAUAUGGCUAAAAUCACUCAAUUCAAAAGAGACAAAAGUUAAGAAUUAUCCGCGAGAAAAAGUGAAGUUAAGGGGAAAUUUCAAAAUGCCCUAUAGUUGAGGGAUCUUCAUAGUAAAAGGAGAAGGAAAAGGAUAACUUUUAUCCAAAGCAGUAGUGCGGGCAAAUGAGCGAGUCGGCUCGUGUUCGGCUCAGCAUUUAGCUUGCUCGCGCUAGGCUCAAAAAUAAACGACCGAGCUUGAGUAGAAAAAAAAAAAUCGAAAUUUAUUUCAAGUCGAGCUUGAGUAUUACUAGGCUCACUUGAAUUAGGCUUAAAAAGCUCGAAUAUAUAUAUUAUUAUAUAUAAUUGAAAAUAUAUAUUAUGUAUAAUUAUAUAUAUUUAUAAAUAUUUAUUAAUAUUUAUAAUUAUAUCUAAUAUAUAUUUUAGUUAUAUAUAGUAAAAAUUAUAUAUAUUAUGUAUUUUAAUUAUAUGUAUAUAAAGUUUAGUUUAUUGGACUAUAUUUGCUGGUCCACAAAACUAAACUAGCGAAGCCCUAUCCUAAUUACUCUCUCCUGACCCCACUUUCUUUCACUUGCUCGUAGAGUCUUUUCCUCUAAAUCAACUUAUAAACUAUUUUUUAAUAUUAUAAUACCGUAUUCCAUGCAUUUAUUUUACAUGUUGAACCAUUAGACAAAAUUUUGUAUUAAAUUCAAGAUAAUAUUUUAUAAAAAUUAAACUAUAUAUUGUAUGAACGUUAAGAAUUUCAAGUAGUUCGUUUAGGGCUCGAGCACGCUCGACACGAAGUUAGGUUCACUCAAGCUCGGCUCGAACUAAUUUUAAGCUGAGCUUGAGUCUAAAUUUAGACUCGAAAAUAAUUUCAAGCCAAACUUGAGGUAAAAUAAGCUCCCUCGCAAACCUGAGGUAAGAUAAGCUCGCUCGAGCUCGGGUCAUUUCCACCCCUACAAAGCAGUGGGAGGAAAAGGUAGUAAUAAUAAGGGGAAAGUGUGGGACAAAGGAGGUAGGGAUCAGUAGUACUGCUUUGGUAAUUUCCCCUCAGUGGCACUGCUGAGAAUUUUGUCAUCUUGAUCGAUCUGAGGUAGACAAAAUAAUAAUAAGAGUAUAUAUAUAUUGUUUCUUCAGUUAGUAGCAGGCCCCUGGCCUUUUUUCACUUUUGCAGCACAUUAUUAUCUACAAAUGCUUUGUUGAAUAGAUUCCAAUCUCUCUCUCCCGUGCUUUCACUUUGUUUUCGAUGUUGAGUUACGUUCUCACAUUUUUGUGUGCACACGCACGCCACAUUAAGUGGUAUUAAUUGAAGAAGCAUGCAGUUAAAACUCCACGAAUACAAAGAAGUCCCCUUUGAUGCCCAGUUGUACAUACCACGUAAACCAAAAUAGGUGUACAUCUGCACUACAAAUCCUAAUCCAAGAAUGAAAAACAUUAGACAAAAUGAUUAUAGGGGAGAGACAGAAAGAAAGAGACGGACAGACAAACAGCUAUAUAUACAUAUAUAUAUAUAUAUUAUAUCUGAGACCAAUUAACCAGACUUCUUAAGCAGUAUACGAAACGAAACCUCUGAUGCUCUUACGAAAAGUACUGUUAUAUCCGGUAAGAUGAUAACACUUAUCUUAUUACAUAUAUUCCAAUAGUGAACUUGCGUGAGCAUCUAUCUACAUGUGUAUGUGAAAACUUGGAAGAGAGCAUUCUUGUGGCAAGUUGAGGAGGGAACAAAUGCAGCAGCAUUGAGAUAAGGAUGCCCACCACAAAUUGAUAGCAAAACCCCCACUAACAAAAGAUAGGGGGACAAGAGAAAGAAAGAAAGAAACUAUUGGCAUGUUAAUAACUUGAAGAAAAAAAAAAAAGAAUUUUUGGGUUCCCCCCUUGCAAUUACAUGCAUCUCCACCAUUGUAAAUUUUGGUAUAUAUGGUUCAUCAUAAAUAUUAAUUUCAGAGUGUUUUGGAUUAUAUUCCGCAAUUUACUAACCAAUAAUGAUCGGUUUAAAAACGUUUUCUAUGUAAGUUAGUGGUGUAAUCUUGUCAACUUCGAAUUAGAGCGCGAAAAAUUAAUCAAAGGAUUUUGAAAAUAUGUACUAAGUUGAUCUUUAAGCAAGCAAUAAUUGCACAUAUAUAUAUAUAUAGAUAAUAUAUAAUCAACCCUAAAUAAAAGAAAAUAGCAAUAAGAACAAAAAAAAUGCUAAAUAUCAAGAGAAACCUCCACAAUAAGUCCACUUUUUGGGCCGCUUUGAGAACUCUAGAAAAUUUUAUAUACUUUUCAAUGGACAUUAUAUUAUCCAUUUCACCAACUUGCUCUGAUUAUUAUUAUAUAUAUAAUUAUUAUUUUUAUUAUUAUUAUUAUUUAGAUGUAUAGAGCUAGGACCUCCUUUUUCAUGUUACACAAAAAAUACUCUAUUAAUUGUAGACUAUAAACUCUAUAUUUUAGAGCUAUAAAAAGAGCACCUAAACAGUCCAUAAUAAAAAAAUUUGUUUUCUUCAAUUAUACUGUAUUUACAGCGUUUUCGAACAGGUCCUUAAAGUGGGAAGGAAUUGGAUGAUGCUUAAAAAAAGGGCAUAAAUGGCUGGAAAAAUGAGGGAGAAUUUUGCAUUUUGCAUGGGCACAUGCAAGGGAGAUUUGGUUCCUUGAAAAAGCAUUAUAAUAAGAAAUCACAAUCCCUUCUUUUAGCUUUAGCUAGGAGAAUUAGGGAGAAAAAGAUUAUUCCUUAAUUUGGGACCAUCUAAUGGAAAUUCCAAUGAUAAAAGAAAGCAGGACAACAAAAUGAGAGAGAAAAAAAAAAAAAGAAGUUUGAGUGAAACAAAGGAAACAAAGCAAUGGUGAAAAUUCACCACACAUGGAGGGGCCACAUGUAGAAGGAAGUGUACAUAAACCACAUAUUGUUAGAUAACCAUGCACUUAUGAGGGGAGCUCUCAAUGGCGCCUUAUUUCAGAGCCUCCAAUCUGUUGCUACGUGUUCAUUUUGCUCUCAUCCAAAAGUUUAUUGGGGGUUUUUUUUUCAAAAAAAAAAACACUAACCUUUUUGAAUUUAGAGGAGAGGAUUAUAAUUCUUAGAUAAAUAAAAAACUAACACAUGACAGCAGAUCGGGCUCCUCAACAAGGCGUCAUUAGAAAGCUUCCUACUGAAUUUUUUUUUUUUUUUUUCUUAUGAGCACAUGUGCUCUUUCAUAAUUCAACUGUUUUUGAUUGGGAGUAGCUUCUGAAAAUUAAGUUCUUCGAUAGGACAAGCAUUGUCCCAUGCAUUUAACCCUCCUGGCUAAGAAGUUAUUGCUAGGAUCAGGUCCAUUGGACCAUUCACAGACUACACCAGAGAAAAAAUACGACACAUAAUUUUGAAUAAAGAACACUUGGGUUUUUACCUUUUUUUCUUUCAUACUUCUUUCCUCGCACAUCAAAUCGCUUCUGCUACUUAUUCUCUGCAUGACAUGCGUGACAGCCAGACAUCUCUUAGUCUUAGUCGAGAUAUGAGCGGUCGUGAUCACUCGUGCAACGCAUUGGAUUAAUUGUAGACAUUGAAAAAUCUAUCAAAUAUAGAUAUUUAUGAUGGCUUGAGCUGGUGUUGGACCGCAAUGAGUACGACUUAUUGAGCUUUUUGAUACUAGUACUACAAUAAAACUUUCACAAUAUUAUAUAUCCUUGUAAGCUGCCGAUAUAUAAGUGCUUCGAUUAGUUCGCAUUUACCAUUCAAAUUAUCAAAUCGAGUGACCGCCAAAUCAGCAAUCUAUAGGACUCUUUGAGGGGGGGACUCAAAUAACAGGUCUGCUGCUAUCACUGAUGCGUUAGUACAUACAACGUCAAAUUGAGUGACCUCUACAUCAGCAAUCUGUGAUAACUCUUUGAGAGGGGUGGCUCAAACCAUAGCUUCGCUGCCAUUAUAGAUUGAUGCAUUAGCACAUACAAUGUCGAGAAGAUGCAAUAUUUUCAUUAAGUUAUCCAGGACACAAAUGCACAACAACAAUCGGUGACUUUAAUUUAUUUAUUUAUUUAUGCAGCUCAGGCACCACACAAAUUGACCAACGCAUCUGCGAUCUCAGAGACCGCAUUUCUCCUUCCCUUUUAAUAUACCCAACCAUCACAUCACUUCCAAAUUCCAAAUCGACACAUGGCCACUGGCAUUUGAAGGGCUGUACUGCCUGCCCCUAUAUAAGCAGUUCCAGUGCUGCCAGAGGAAGCACAAGCCCACCAUCAUCAUAAUUAAACUCCCAACAUCCCUCCCAAAGGGAAGAAACUAUAUAUAUAUAUAUAUACACACACAUCCAAUCCAAGGCCAAAUUAAAAAUAACCCCACCAAAAGCUUAAAAAAAGGGGAAAUAAGAAAAAGGUGAUCACACAUCUCACCUCAAUGUGUAACACUUCUCCCUCCCCUCCUUUCUCCUCCACCCAAAAAUCCCAUCUCUUAAACCCUAACAAACCAUUAAUGGAGGAGGAGGAUCCUCCUCCCCACAAUGCUCUCCAUGAUGAUCUCAACCGUUGGCCUUCUCUCUCUGAGGUAAAUAUAUAUAUAUAUUGUCAUGCAUAUCCCAUCAUGUGCAACUUGCAUUAUCAUGUAUAUUCAUAUUCACAUGUAUCAUAUAUAUGUCCUCUUAUUUAUUAUAAUACAUAUAUAUAUAUAUAUAUAUAUAUAUAUAUAUAUAUAUAUAUAUANGAUAACUCUUUGAGAGGGGUGGCUCAAACCAUAGCUCUGCUGCCAUUAUAGAUUGAUGCAUUAGCUACAUACAACGUCGAGAAGAUGCAAUAUAUUCAUUAAGUUAUGCAGGACACAAAUGCACAACAACAAUCGGUGACUUUAAUUUAUUUAUUUAUUUAUGCAGUUCAGGCACCACACAAAUUGACCAACGCAUCUGCGGUCUCAGAGAGGGGGGGACCGCAUUUCUCCUUCCCUUUUAAUAUACCCAACCAUCACAUCACUUCCAAAUUCCAAAUCGACACAUGGCCGCUGGCAUUUGAAGGGCUGUACUGCCUGCCCCUAUAUAAGCAGUUCCAGUGCUGCCAGAGGAAGCACAAGCCCACCAUCAUCAUAAUUAAACUCCCAACAUCCCUCCCAAAGGGAAGAAACUAUAUAUAUAUAUAUAUACACACAUCCAAACCAAGGCCAAAUUAAAAAUAACCCCACCAAGGAAAUAAGAAAAAGGUGAACACACAUCUCACCUCAAUGUGUAACACUUCCCCCUCCCCUCCUUUCUCCUCCACCCAAAAAUCCCAUCUCUUAAACCCUAACAAACCAUUAAUGGAGGAGGAGGAUCCUCCUCCCCACAAUGCUCUCCAUGAUGAUCUCAACCGUUGGCCUUCUCUCUCUGAGGUAAAUAUAUAUAUAUAUAUAUUGUCAUGCAUAUCCCAUCAUGUGCAACUUGCAUUAUCAUGUAUAUUCAUAUUCACAUGUAUCAUAUAUAUAUAUAUAUAUAUCCUCUUAUUUAUUAUAUAUAUAUAUAUAUAUACAUAUAUAUAUAUAUAGAUGCCCCAUGCACGCGUAGCUUGUAGAUUCCCUCCUAGGACUAGUUCUUCUACUGUAUAUUUAGUUACACGUUAGUUUCUGUAUAAAUGUUUUUGAGUAGAGUUGUGGGAAGAAGCGCUAUCUAUUAAAAUUUUGUUUGUUCCAGUUAACUUGGUGGCGCUGCAAAAGCUCAACUAGAACCAAUUUUUAAUUUGCUUGCUUACAAACAAUUUAUAACAUAUGUGGCUCAUUCUAAUUGGUGUGGUAGAUUCUUUUUAAUGUAAGCAUAUGCACUCACUUGUUGUUUACCAAAAAUAUAUAUAUAUAUAUAUAUAUAUAUAUAUAUGUAUAUACUAAGGUGGUGGAGGAGGUGAGAGCGAUAGGGAAAAUCUCCUUGCCAACUGCGGCGACGGGACUAGUGCUGUACUCGCGGUCGAUGAUCUCGAUGCUGUUCCUGGGGGGGCUGGGGGAGACGGAGCUGGCGGGGGGGUCGCUGUCGAUCGGCUUCGCGAACAUCACGGGCUACUCGGUGCUGUCGGGGCUGGCGAUGGGGAUGGAGCCGAUCUGCGGGCAGGCGUUCGGCGCCCGCCAGCCGCGCCUCCUCGGCCUGACCCUCCAGCGCUGCGUCCUCCUCCUCCUCGCCGCCUCCCUCCCCAUCUCCCUCCUCUGGCUCAACGCCCGCCGUCUCCUCCUCCUCUCCGGCCAGGACCCCCUCCUCGCCGCCUGCGCCGCCUCCUUCCUCCUCGCCGCCCUCCCCGACCUCCUCCUCCUCAGCAUCCUCCAUCCGAUCCGCAUAUACCUCCGCUCCCAGAACAUCACUCUCCCCAUCACCGCCGCGUCCGCGCUCGCCAUCGCGCUCCACGCCCCGCUCAAUUACCUCCUCGUCUGCCGCCUCCGCAUGGGCGUCCCCGGCGUCGCCCUCGCCAUGACCUGGACCAACCUCAACCUCUUCCUAUUCUUAUUAGCUUAUAUUCUACUCUCCGGCGUGCAUCGCGACACGUGGGUGGCCCCCACGGCCGAGUGCCUGCGCGGGUGGUCGGCGCUGCUCCGCCUCGCCGUCCCCACCUGCGUGUCCGUGUGCCUCGAGUGGUGGUGGUACGAGCUCAUGAUCCUCCUCUGCGGAUUGCUGCGGAACCCGAGCCACACCGUCGCGAGCAUGGGGAUCCUCAUGCAGACCACGUCGCUAGUGUACGUGUUCCCCUCCGCGCUCAGCCUCGGCGUCUCCACGCGCGUCGGGAACAUGCUCGGGGCCGGGCGCGCGGCGGCGGCGAGGCGCGCGGCGGCGGUGGGGCUGGUGUGCGGCGCGGCGAUCGGCGUCGCGGCCGCAGGGUUCGCCGCCGGGGUGAGGGACCGGUGGGGGACGAUGUUCACCGGGGACCGGACGAUACUGCGGCUCACCGCCGCCGCGCUGCCGGUGAUGGGCCUCUGCGAGCUCGGCAACUGCCCGCAGACCGCCGGCUGCGGCGUGCUGCGCGGCACCGCUCGGCCCGCCGUAGGAGCCAACAUAAAUUUGGGCUCCUUCUAUCUGGUACAUAGUAACAAUGCUGAAUUAUUAAUAAUAUUUAUGAACGAUAAAAAUGUACGGCUAAAACUCUCCUCACUAUAGCCCCUUUUUUUUAGAUUUGGAUAAGAUUCUAAUGGAAUAAAUUAGGAAUAUUAUGAAAUUUAUUAGUAAUUUUAUUAAUUUUAAAGUAAUUAUUAUUGAUUAAUGAUGGAUAGAAUCGAUUAAUUAAAUGGUGAGGGUAGUUUAAAAGGGGCUAUAGUAGAGGGGGCGCCCACAUAUUUCUACCUAUUUAUUUAACAUUUUAUAUUCCCCUAGACGACAAGUAUUUCUACCUAUUUAAUAUUUUAUAUUCCCCUAGAAGACAAGACAAGUAGAAUUUGAAUUCAGAAUUUUUUUAAUAUAAAAACCUAAUCUUUUUUUAAAAAAAUUAAUAUUUUUUUAAUAUUUUAUAUUCGACAGGUCGGAAUGCCAGUGGGGCUCAUCAUGGGGUUCGCAGCGGGGAUGGGGUUCGUCGGGCUAUGGAUCGGCCUGCUGGCUGCGCAGGCGACCUGCGCCGUUCUGAUGGUGGCUGCAAUCUGGCGGACCGACUGGGCCGGCGAGGUGGAGAGGGCCAAACAGCUCACCAAAAAUUCAUCAUCUUCUUUUCCUUCUUCCGAUCUUUCUGAUGACAAUAAUAAGAAUUUUUCGCGCUAUUGUGUAAGUACUGAUGAUAUAGACAGUGCGGCAACUAGAAAUGUCAGUAGUGAUGAUUGUAAGUUGGAGGAGAUAGUUUGUGUUGGCGAGGAGGAUGAGAAGAGGGUUGCAUUGGAGAGUGAUCCCCUCAUUUGUGGGGAAAGAGUGGGAGUGUGUGAAUUUUGAAUUUAUGUAUUUUAUUUAAUUUUUAAUUUUUAUUUUAUUUUAUUUUGGGGGUGGUUAUGUUGUUGGUGAGGAUUUGUGCAGGGUAAUUAUGUUUAUUCCUCCUCCUUUGUUUUAUCAAUUGUUCUGUUUAGAUGAAUUGAAUUUUGAUAUGAUUAAAAACAGUAGUUUUGUAAUAUACGGUGCAAAUUAUUAUUUAAAAUUAACAUGAUCAGAAAAUUACUGUACUCGAUAUAACCUACGAAAAACGUAGGCAUUAAUUACUUUAAAUUAAUGGGACUUAAACUCUAUCAUCUUUUUUUAAAAAAAUUUUUGCCUUUUCUUUUUUCUUUUUUACUCAUUUACAAGUGUUACAAAUUAGGGUUUACAAAAGAGUAGAUAUGUAAGUAAUUAGAUACCAAUUUCUUCUAUUCUCUUCUACUAAAGCUUACUUAAUUUUAAGAGACAGGCGAAAAGGGCACAAGAGUGAUAUGAAAAAUCUAGCAUUGUCAUGGUUCUUAUUCUAAAGUAGAUGCUCUCUUAUUAUUCCCGCAUUUUUUUCCCAGUGUACUAACGGCUCAGGUGAAGAACGCAACUAAUAAAUUAUUAUUAAAAAUAAAAAAUAAAAAAAACUCAAUCUGAGCACUGCACCUUGCUACUGAUAAAAUUUGAACUACUGAUAAUAAUAUUAUAUUUUUUUUCAGGUAGAUCUGAUCAACUCGUAGGCUCAGUUGAGUUCUUGGCAUGAACCCUGACCUAUUUUUUGAAAAAAUAAAAAUAAAAAAGUUUUUAUCAGAUGCGUGUGUAAAGUACGAUAUUCUAAGUGAUAUGCGAUAAUAGGGACUUAGGGAGGAGUGCACUAAAAUUUUUUUUAAAAAAUACACGAUUGGGACAGAGACUUUACAACUUUACUUGUUAGUAUAUUUCGCACGUAACCUCUCGCUAUCUCGUAAGUGUCCAAACUUUUUAUUUUUCUUAUCGUUUGAAACAGUUUUUUUUUUCUACCAACACUAUUCAUGUAGUUUAAUUAAAUGGCUCAAUUUAGAGAUCAACUUAUAAAAAAUCGAUGUUACCCAAAAGAUCGGCCAUAUAAGAAUAGUAUAGAAGUAUAUCUGAUAUUUUUAUUCGUGUAUAUGAUGAUCGUGCAGAAUACGUAAAAGCAAUAAAUAAAACAUAAACCCCCACAAUAUCAAAUAUAUAAUAACACAAAUUUAGAAUCGAUACUGAUAUUCAAUAUCAUAUUAUUUCUUACUCACGUGCAUAAUAAACACGAAAGAACGUGAGAAUUUGAUAUAUAUUCGAAGUGACGGGAGCUUAGGUUUCCCCAUAACACCAUACUAAUUACUCAAAUGAGGUUUGCAGUGCAAAGUUGGUGAAUGGUGAGAGUGUAAAGAGGGGCAAUUGCAAUGUUAAAAAAGAAAAAAAGAAAAAAAAGAAAAAAGAUGGUAUUGUGACUAGUGAGGGAGCAGUUGGAAAGUAGGAAGCAAGUGAUAGGUACGGCUGCUGCGCCAAGCCCUUCAAUUCUUUCUCUCUUCCAUCGCUGUCUGCUGCAUGCUGACACCUCUGCCUGACAGCCUCUGCCACUGGCACUGGCUGACUGCACGGCAGCAAAUAUUGUGGGGGCCUGGAGAUGACUACGGGGUAACAGGAAAUAUGACUUGGGAUACGGCCGUUUUACAGCACAGUGCGUAAAAUUUGUUUUUAAAAAAUAAUUACUUAUAUAUUCUUAAAAAAAUUUCUGACUUUUCGAUUUAUUCUUUUUAAAAAAUUAAUAUUUAAAAAAAAAAAAUUUUACGUUUCAAUCUAUUUCUAAUAUACUCCUAGAGUUAAAAUCGGUUAAUGAACUCUGAUAUUUCUGUAAAAUUACUAUUUUGUCCUUUCAAAUAUACCCUUCCACCAUCACUGGUUUUCUUAUUUGUCCUUAAAGUCAGGGGCACAAAAAAUAUUUUGAUUUUUGAUCUUUUCUAAUAUACCCCUCUCUACCGUCACCAACAUUUUUUAUUUGCCAUUAAAUUAAGGAUAAAAUUGGCAUUUUAAUUUUUUUUUAACUAUAGUAGAUGUUUAACUCACGUUUAACCCAAAUUAACUUAACAGAAGAUAACUGCGGAAAUAUUUUGCAAUAACGGUGGAACAUAUGAGGGUUAUUUUAAAAAGGAAAAAAAAAAAAUAAAUCGAAUAUUUUCAAACGUAUGAGAAAUAUAUAGGCAAUUAUCUUUUUUUUAAAUAUAAAUUUAUUGUGCAUACGAAAUCGUCGCGCUCCUCAUCAGCAAUGAAAUGGACCGCAAUCACCGAAAGGAGGCGAUUUUUCGUACUAUUUGUGGGUAGGAUUUUUUUCCGGCACAAAUCCUACGAACAAAAUUAUUUAAUUAGAUGCAAUAUUUUGUAGAAGGCUGAAUCUUAGCCGUUGGCUGGGGUGUAAUUAGCAAAAAAAAAUCAGCUAUACGGUAUCAUCCAAUUUAGUUUAAUUCUCAUAUAAUUGUACUGGAUUCGUGUCAAAGUGACGCAGUAUAUAUUGAACAUUAUUGUAUAAUCCAUCAUAACACCGUCAUAUCACUUUAAUGUUAUCGAUGCAUUAGUAUUUAGUCAGCUAAAUUGGAUUAAUGAGACUUAAUUGCGACGAUAUCGAGUUAAAGUUUGAGAAUCAAAGUAUCGCGGAAAACCAAAAAGUAUAAUUUAGCCUUUAAAUUUACUUGCCCUAAGCAACUACGCAAGUGCCCAAACAAAGAUAAACCUAGAAGGCAUGGAAUUCAAAAUAAUAUAUGCUUUUUAUUCCUUUCAAUAUACAAUUGAAGUACAAGGUAGAACAGAGACUCAAGAAGAAAAAUGUGCUUUAAUAGCUAACUCCAAUAAUUUGGUCAAUUUUCUCAUCAGGCAUCAUACUAAAUUCUUUAGAUAUAAUUUUGGUUAAAAUAUAGAAAAUUUUUUGUAAAUAUUCAUUUUUUUUUAAUUUUUUCUCUAUGAUUUUAAAAAAAUUAUUANCAACUUGUAGGCUCAGUUGAAUUCUUGGUGUGAACCCUGACCUAUUUUCUGAAAAAAUAAAAAUAAAAAAGCUUUUAUCAGAUGCGUGUGUAAAGUACGAUAUUCUAAGUGAUAUGCGAUAAUAGGGAGGAGUGCACUAAAAUUUUUUUUAAAAAAUGCACGAUUGGGACAGAGACUUUACAACUUUAUUUGUUAGUAUAUUUGGCACGUAACCUCUCGCUAUCCCGUAAGUGUCCAAACUUUUUAUUUUUCUUAUCGUUUGAAACAGUUUUUUUUUUCUACCAACACUAUUCAUGUAGUUUAAUUACAUGGCUCAAUUUAGAGAUCAACUUAUAAAAAAUCGAUGUUACCCAAAAGAUCAGCCAUAUAAGAAUAGUAUAGAAGUGUAUCUGAUAUUUUUAUUCGUGUAUAUAAUGGUCAUGAAGAAUACGUGAAAACAAUAAAUAAAACAUAAACCCCCACAAUAUCAAAUAUAUAAUAACACAAAUUUAAAAUCAAUACUGAUAUUCGAUAUCAUAUUAUUUCUUACUCACGUGCAUAAUAAACACGAAAGAACGUGAGAAUUUGAUACAUAUAUAUUCGAAGUGACGGGAGCUUAGGUUUUCCCAUAACACCAUACUAAUUACUCAAAUGAGGUUUGCAAUGGUGAGAGUGUAAAGAGGGGCAAUUGCAAUGUAAAAAAAGAAAAAAAAGAAAAAAAAAAAGAUGGUAUUGUGACUAGUGAGGGAGCAGUUGGAAAGUAGGAAGCAAGUGAUAGGUACGGCUGCUGCGCCAAGCCCUUCAAUUCUUUCUCUCUUCCAUCGCUGUCUGCUGCAUGCUGACACCUCUGCCUGACAGCCUCUGCCACUGGCACUGGCUGACUGCACGGCAGCAAAUAUUGUGGGGGCCUGGAGAUGACUACGGGGUAACAGGAAAUAUGACUUGGGAUACGACCGUUUUACAGCACAGUACGUAACAUUUUUUUUAGAAAAACAAUUGCUUAUAUAUUUUUAAAAUAUUUCUGACUUUCCGAUUUAUUUUUUUAAAAAAAUUAAUAUUAAAAUUUUUUUUUCUACGUUUCAAUUUAUUUCUAAUAUAUUUUUAGAGUUAAAAUCGGUUAAUGAACUUUGAUAUUUCUGUAAAAUUACUAUUUUGUCCUUUCAAAUAUACCCUUCCACUAUCGCUGGCUUUCUUAUUUGUCCUUAAAGUCAGGGGUAUAAAAAAUAUUUUGACUGUUGAUUUUUUCUAAUAUAUCCCUUUCUACCGUUACCAACAUUUCUUAUUUGCCCUUAAGUUAAGGGCAAAAUUGGUAUUUUAAUUUUUUUUAACUAUGGUAGAUGUUUAACUCACGUUUAACCCAAAUUAACUUAACAGAAGAUAACUGCGGGAGUAUUUUACAAUAACGGUGGAAUAUAUGAGGGUUAUUUUUUAAAAAAAAAAAUGAAUAAAUCGAAUAUUUUCAAACAUAUGAAAAAUAUAUAGACAAUUAUCUUUUUUUUAAAUACAAAUUUAUUGUGCAUACGAAACCGUCUCGCUCCUCAUCAGCAAUGAAAUGGACCGCAAUCACCGAAAGGAGGCGAUUUUUCGUAUUAUUUUGUGGGUAGGAUUUUUUUCCAGCACAAAUCCUACGAACAAAAUUAUUUAAUUAGAUGCAAUAUUUUGUAGAAGGAUGAAUCUUAGCCGUUGGCUGGGGUGUAAUUAGCAAAAAAAAUCAGCUAUACGGUAUCAUCCAAUUUAGUUUAAUUCUCAUAUAAUUGUACUGGAUUCGUGUCGAAGUGACACAGUAUAUAUUGAACAUUAUUGUAUAAUCAAUCAUAACACCGUCAUAUCUCUUUAAUGUUAUCGAUGGAUUAGUAUUUAGUCAGCUAAAUUGGAUUAAUGAGACUUAAUUGCGACGAUAUCGAGUUAAAGUUUGAGAAUCAAAGUAUCGCGGAAAACCAAAAAGUGUAAUUUAGCCUUUAAAUUUACUUGCCCUAAGCAACUACGCAAGUGCCCAAACAAAGAUAAACCUAGGAGGCAUGGAAUUCAAAAUAAUAUAUGCUUUUUAUUCCUUUCAAUAUACAAUUGAAGUACAAAGUAGAACAGAGACUCAAGAAGAAAAAUGUGCUUUAAUAGCUAACUCCAAUAAUUUGGUCAAUUUUCUCAGGCAUCAUACUAAAUUCUUUAGAUAUAAUUUUGGUUAAAAUAUAGAAAAAUUUUUGUAAAUAUUUAUUUUUUUUUAAUUUUUUCUCAAUGAUUUAAAAAAAAUUAUUAUUUUACUUUCUCAAAAUUUCAAGCUGAUGUAUUUAGCCACCCCUCCGUUGGGGUUUCGUCACUAUUCUAUCCAUUUAUUAUAAUUUAUGCCAAAAAUGCUCUUAAAAAUAACAUAAGUAAAUUACAAAAUUAUUAUUAUUUAUAGAACAAGUAAGAUCAAUUUAAUCAUUUUGCUCUCUCCAUUAAUGCUGUAAUCCCUUGAAAAAUUUCUGAAACUUUUAAGAGGACAAAAUAUAAAUUUUUGAACGUCACGAGAAAAAAAUAAAAAAAGGGAUAUUUGCAGGAGAGUUUUCUGUAUUUUAAUCUAUUAUUAUGGUAAAUUGCAUUUUUGGUUCCCAAACUUUAAGGUGCGUGAUACUUUAGCCCUCGGACUUUAAUUUGUUGCAGUUUCUGACUCAAAACUUUUUAAAUUGUUAUAAUUAAGUCCUAUCAUCUAACUUAUUUGACUUAAUACUGAUGUUUCGCCGAUGCGUUAGUGACGUAGCAUCUUAGUAAUUGCAACGUUAUUGAUUAUUGCACUAUUAUAUCACUAUCAUGUCAACAACAUACCAUUAUUUAACUAAUUAAAUUACGUCGCGGGAUUUAAUUGUAAUAAUUUAAAAAAUUUGAGCCAACAAUCACAAUAAAUUAAAAUAUUGAGGACCAAAGUGUUCCGCGCCUCAAAGUUUGAGCAUCAAAAGUGCAAUUUAGCCAUUUUAUGUUAACUAGUUAACUUCUAGGCUUAAAUGGAUCAUAUUUUUCCUGUGAUUUAUUUGUUAAAGGAAAAUUUAUAGGGUUUAGGGUUAGUGAUCCCUGAGCUCGCAAAAAAUUUCACUUUAGUCCUUGUAUAUAUUCACAAGUAGAGGCUAAAUUGUUGCCUACAUACAGUGCAUCUAUACAUCUAUUUAUUAUGCACACUUAAUAAUUUUUAUGGAAGGAAAGGAAUAAAAUGAAACGUUAUUGAAAUUCCAGGGACUAAAUUAAAUCUUUAUUAAAAGUUUAGGGUUCCGGCCACCAAAAUUAGAAGUUCGGGGACCGAAAUGAAACUUGACUCAAAGUUGAGGUACUAGUAUUGCAAUUUAUCAAUGAUAAAAGUGUCGUGGCACUGGAUAAUGCCAAGCACUUGUUGGCACGAUACAACACUGUACGUACCGUGCUGUGCCAAUAUGUAUUGGUCAUAAAAAUACCUAUGUGUCGUCACACUGUGACGUGAUAUUAUAUUUAUUUUCUUAAGAACUAAUAUAUUUUAGCUGUUUAUUAUGUGUCUUAAUCAAAUUUUUUUGCACUUUAUUGAGGUAAUGAUUAGCUAAUUUUAAAGAAAAAGAAGGAUGUUGAGCCGUGUUAUCGACACGGAGGUCACAUCGUGCUGCUAUUUUGUUGACACGGUGAGUAGCGCCGGCAAUCUAGCUCGCCGUCGCAAGCCAGCUCGUGUUCGGCUUGACAUGACCGGAUAAUUAUGGUCAAUAAUUUAUAUAAGCGAGCCGUAAUAUCAAUGCUAUAUUUUUCCAGACUCUAUAGAUUCAAGAGCGCAAAGAAAUUAGGAUAAGUCGGUCCGUUUCUUAUAUAUAUAUAAUUAUAAUAUAUAUAUAUAGUUUUGCUAGAAUACUAUCAGGAGUAAACGAAGCCGUUGAUUACCUAUAUGUAUGAAUUUUAUAGCUUUCAAAUGGCGAUUCUGGCUCGUUGAACUAUGAUGCUUACACUUAAGUAUUUAGAAACAAAUUCUGAUAUUGCAUUAUUGUUUAAUGUCAGGUUUCAAAAUUUGUAUUGUAUUUUGAUGGUCGAUAAGAGGCGUUUUCUCGUUUAACGACGUAAAUAUUUAAAUCAAUUGAUUUUUGUUAGAAAUUCUUGUAAACUAUUUAAAACAGAUCUUUAUAUACUUUUGUUUGUUAUAAAACUCUUCUCAUUUUUUUAAAAUUUAUUCAUUUCAGCAUUCUUUUUGCUGUUCACUUGAUGGUAAAGAACAUUUCGAAAGUGUGUUGAAUUUGAUUUCUUAGAUAAUUUAAAUGUUUAGUUCAUUUUAUCGGGCCGGUCGUCAUUGGAAGACUUCUAUCAUCGAACAAUGAUUAGUAAACGGUCGUUUAUAAUGAUUGUAUUCUAGCUAACUCUAUAUAUAUUAUAUAUAUAUUAUAUAUAUUAUUAUUAGAGUUAGGACUGGCUAAUGAUUAGUAGCAAUCCUAUUGUACAGUUUUUUAGCUUUGGAUUAACUCUUUUCAUUAUUUUUAACAUUUGGAUUAAAUACUAUAACCAGUGGGGACAUCAUCCUGUAUAGGGUGGCACUCAUCUAACGCUAUUUUCUCUGACGUACAUUUUUAUCCAAAGGUUAAUAAUUGGAUUUAGGUCAAAAAACGUUUUACUAUUAAAUGUUAUUCAGCGCAAUUCUAGUAGUUUGUGUUUGGUAUAUAUUAUAUAUAUAUAUAUAUAUAUAUAUAUAUUACAAUUUUUACUAGGAUUUUAGGUCAAUCCAAAUAUAAAAAGAUCAAUAUUUUGUGAAUUUAAUUAUCAGAUUAAGAUUUUAAUUUUCUAAUUUUCUAAUUUUCUUCAACUUAUUUUUUUCACUUGCAGGACUCACAAGCUAACUUACUGUUCGCAAGCCAGCUCAUGUUCGGCUCGUUCGGCUCGUAUAUGAAUGAGCCAAACAUAAGCUGAAUUUUUCAGCUCGAUACUUUAAAUGAGCUGAACACGAGUCCCAGCUCGCUCAUGUUCGGCUCGUUAACAGCUCUAUCCAUGAGGCAUGGUGGGCUCAGCCCGUACUGAUAGGUAUUUAAAAUCUUGCAAUUUACGCUAGUUGUUACCGUCAGUCCGCUCACAAACUACAAAUGAAUACAAAGUUUCUAUUGCACUUUUUGAUUUUACUUUCAAAAAAAAAAUAGAAAGAAAACCUGUCCAUUUCUAGAUGCUACUAGAUGUAGAAUAAGAUGCCCUCAACUAACAAUAUUUGCAAAGCAUGUAAUGCAAUGCAAUGCAUCUUAAUAUGGAGUUGAGAACAAUGAGGUGUUCUCAGAACCUUAUGACAUCUCCAAACCAAGAGAACUUAUUCCAAGAUGCAGAUGCAGGAACAUCUACUAACAGCCCCAAAAACUAAAAAGAAAAAAAAAAAGGGUGAAAAGAAAUAAAGCUUACUGCGACCGAAUUAAUCGCGAUUUAUGUCUCCAUCUAGGAGAAAAAGAAAAAGUAAUAAGCAUAUGCUAAUCUACUUGGUGGCAAUAAGCGAACAAUUGGCAUAUUGCUUCGGUUAGGUUGCGAACGGAAUCUCUCUAUCUAGUAGGCUUACGACGCGUAAGUUCGAAAAUGUGUUUUUUUCCAAAAAAUUUGUAACGCCCCAAUAGUCCCACGUCGAGUGAAAAACUGAUUCUAAUUAGAAUAUAUGGGACCUACACGCUAGUAAUAAUAACUGGACUUAAAUAUUUUGAGCCGAUGGUUUGGACCGUUACAAUUAUUGCUAGUGGAUCGGGUCGUUACCAUUGGUAUCAGAGCCGAAUACCAGCAAGAAAUGUAAAAGCUAAGUGCUAUGCAGGACAAAGUGCUACACCAACGGAUUUGGUAGAAGCCACCUCUUGAACCCGUAAGAGCCAGCUUUACAAUCUCACAUAGCCUGAUAAUUCUGAUAUGUAUUUAUAAUCUGAUUUGGACUCGACAAGAACGUCAGGGACUAAGCAAGUCGGGUCGUUACAAGAUUUAUUGAGGGGGGAGGGUGCCUUCUACUGGUGCCGCAAAAGAGGUGGCUUCUGAAGCUGGGUUUAUGUCGGCAUUGCUACUGAGUCAUUAAACUCCCAUUUUAAACACUUUAAUCCCUGAGCUUUCAAUUUUGAUGUGAUUCCGCCGUCCUUAGGGCUUGUUUGGAUCACUUAGAAAAUAGUAGAAAAUUAUUUUUUGAGGAAAAAAAAUUUCCAGUUUCCAUUGCACGGACACAUAUUGGUAUGAAACAUACUUUUUCUUUAGCACCAAUAUAUUCUAAUUAUUUAUAAUAUAUCUUUAUUAAUUUUUUUGUAUUUUAUUGAGAUAACUACUCGCUAAUUUUUAAAAAAAUAGGACUGUGAGCCACGUGCCAUCAGAAUGGAAUUUGUGUCGUGUCGAUAUCUUGCUGGCAUGGUAGAGUACGGUGGAUACAGUCCGUGCCGAUGAGAACUUAAAUCCUUGAUUGAGAGAUGGAAAUAUUAGGUGAUAACUAUGUAAUCACUACAAUAAAAACGGUCUACAGCGAUACUUUUAAAUGUCGGUACAGGUAAAAAAAAGUACUGCCGGCUAAAUUACCGACAUUUUUAAAAAGUGUUGCUAUAUGUGAGGUCGCUAGAUAUAUAAUGACAGUUAAAGAGCGUCGUUAUAACCUAAAAAAGUGCUCAUAAUUUACCAAUAUUUAUUUAAGCAUUUAGCAGCCGUCGGAACUCUACCUCGUUGGCUGCAAUGGUGGAGGAGGACGAGAGGAAGGGAUCUUCGUCUAGAAUUUUAGUCGAUUGAGUGAGGGGAGAAGGAGAAAUGGUAAUCGAUUUUUCUUUUUUUUUUCUUUUCUGUUUGUAAUCGGGCCAAAUGGACUGGGUGGGAUGAGUUGAGUAGAGUAACAUUUUAUUUUUAGUUGGAUUGGACUUUAUAUUUAGACAUUAGUAGAUUUUUUAAAAGUUUUGGUAUAAAUUGGACACUUAUACAAAAGUGUCCCAAACAUGUGUCCCUAUAACCUAACUCUGUUGUAGUGAAUCUAGUUAUGGAAGAGGAUUAAAACCAUUAAUUUCACAGUUAUAGGAACUAUACAAUCCACUAUAGUUAGAAAAAUUCAAUGGAAAGGGCCUAGGUGGUAAUAAAAGACUAAGGACUCAUUCAUAAUAUUUGAGAAGGUGAAGGCUAAAGUCAGAAAGUGUUAACACAUAUUGCAAUUAACUAGCUUUACAAAGGACUCGAAAGUUCAAUGUAAACUUACAUGCGUUGGAUCAUUGGUGCUAGCCACAAGUUCAAAAACUCGAGCUGUUAGAAAGGGGCCGACAAAUUGACUUAAAAAUAUACAGACACAAUGCCUUCGGGCCUCGUUGCCAACAAUUCCCCCCCUGCACAAAUUGCAGCACGCGAGAAUCGAACCCGUGAUCUAUUCUGGUACUAUUUGUUGGAUCAUUAGCGCCACCCAUAAUUUCAAAAGUCUAAAAUGUUCGAAAAGAAGCAACCAAUUUAUUAAAGUGUACAAACAUAGCUCCCACAGAUCUCGAGUGUAACUUAGCUCACCUCGGCCUCUGCCGCCACGUAGGCAGAAUACCGGCCUACUUUCGAGCAAUAAAUUCAUAAAAGUUUAAGCAGUAAAGAAAACCAUCAAUAAAGUGCUCAGACCAAUCUAAAAAACUUUAGACUAGCAUUCUUAACAAACUACAAAAAAGAUGAUUUGAACAAUACAAUGCAGCAGUUACCUGUUACCUCUUGCCCAUGGAAAAUAGGGUCAGCAAAGGACAAUAAGUGCAAUAAGUUUCUCAACCUCCAAAUAAUUGCAUCCAUGGUUCACUUUCCUGAGAUGAUGAUACAAGUGCUUGGUUUCAGAUGAGAUGCAUCAGCAACAGUUGAACAUGAAUUAUUGUUACAGUACUCUGCACUCAUGACACAGCAAUAGGGAAACUCACAAUGCUGACAUUUACCUGUGUUAUCAGAUCUCAGGUAGAAUUAACCUUGAUACAGCUAUGUUCAGGUACAAGUCAUCAUAUUUACUUUGAUAACUAAUCGGUAGAAUAGUACAGAACUUAUCUGAACUAUGAACCGUCUUAAGUUGACUAUCAAACCUUUCAAAAUUUGCAUCUUAUCACCCAAUCAGUCGACGGCACUUUGACUUCAAAAUUUAAACUAAUUACUUCAAUAAAUUUAUAUUUGAAAUUAAGCGUCGUUGAACGACUCAAAUCGAACAAACUGAAAGGUUUGAUUAGUAAAAUAAAAGUUUUAAAGGUUGGGUAGCUAAAUCAAAAUUGUCCUUGUUCGGAUAAGUUUUAUAUUUUUUAACCAAAAAAGAUUGACUAUGUGGAAAUAUUGAAGGUUAGGACACAGAAUAUCUAUUAAUACAAAAUCCCUCCCAUGAAAUUGCUAUCAACAUAUGCUAAAGAAUUACCUAAAUUGAGAAAACUAAUCCAAGGCAAAAGUAAAAGACAAGCAAUCAAUUUUAUAAGCUGUAACAGUGAUCACAGAGCAGAAAUGUUGUCUCCAAGAUCAGAACACUGAACGCAAUAAAAUGCAGCAGAUGGGUAUUCUUUGCUAAGACUGUUCCCGUUUCUAUAAGAUCAAUUUUUUGGGUUGUAACAACCCAAUAAUCCCACAUUGGAUGAGAAAAUGAUUCUGAUUAGAAUAUAUGAGGCCUACAAGCUAGUAAUAAUAACAAUGUUUAAAUAUUUUGGGCUUUUGGGCCGGUGGUUUGGACCUAACGAGUUAUUAUUGCUAGCGGGUCGGAUUGUUACAAUUGGUAUCAAAGCCGUAUAUCAGCUGGAACUGUGAGAGCUAAGUGUUAUGCGAGGCAAAGUGCUACACCAACGGGUUUGGUGGGAGCCACCUCUUGAACCUAUAGGAGUCAUCUCUAGAAUCUCACAUCGUCUGAUAAAAUAAUUCUGAUUAGAAUAUAUGAGGUCUACAUGCUAGUAAUAAUAAUUGGGCUUAAAUAUUUAGACCGAUGGUUUGGGCCCAACAAGUUAUUGUUGUUAGCGAGUCGGGUCGUUACAUGGAUAAUAUAGUAUCAGAUAUACUACUACUAGGCCACCGUAAUUCCAAGAGAUCUUUGGGUUCAAUUCGCGCAUCCACCAUUUCAUAUUGUAGAGGUUUGUUUGCUUUCUCUUUUGUUACCUCUCCUAUCAGUACAUGUGAUGUGACAUAAUUCAUUUGAUUUUCACCAUACACGUGAGUGUAGGUGUUGCAACUAUUAUUGGACUAGUGCCUAUCAGAUUUUUUUUCCUCUCCUAUAAGUGCAUAUGAUGUGACAUAAUUCAUUUGAUUUCCACCGCGCACGUGAGUGUAGGAGUUGCGACUAUUGUUGGAUUGGUGCCUAUCAGAUUCUUAUAAACCACAUUGAUGCAUUAGCAGGAGCCACCGAUGCAUGAGUAUCCAAAAAAAAUUUAACUAGCUGAAGAGCCUGCAAUUCCAGUAAAGGAAAACCGAAAAGGAGGCCUGAAACACUAUAUUACUGCAGAUAUCAAGGAUUUAAGUACCGCCGCAUGGGCUCGUGCCAAACACUUGGUAACAAAAUACCUAUGUGCUGACACACUUUUGCAUGAAAUAUUAUUACCAAAUCUGAAAACAAACAAAAUUCCCUUCCUUUUAACUCCCGAGCUGUUCUAUUCUGAACAUAAUCUAUCAUACUUCUGUUCUGAACUUAAUUAUCGAUCGAGCAGCCCAUUGUUUGAGAUAAAAAAAUUUGAAUUCGAAUUCAAAUUGGGAUGUAGAAGGAAAGAAAAUAAAUUGUGAUUUGAUUGCUAUUUUCCUUAAAGGGCAAGGAAUCAACAAGGAAAGAAAAGAGAAUAUAGUAUUGCCUUAUUUUCAAAAUUUUUUGAAUCAUUUCCUAAAAUGAAAUGGUCCAAAAAAACCACUAUAAAUUGGAUCAUAAAAAAAAAAAUCUUUUAGGGAGGGAAGGUUUUAAAAAAAAAAAAAAAAAAUAAAAAAAAAAAAAAAAAAAAAAGAAAAAGAAAAAAGGAGAGAGCGGCUGCCAGGAGGUUUCCCCGCCAUGGCAUUCGCCAACUCGGCAUCGUCCGCCACGAAAGCGACGACGAGCAAGUGGAGGUGGAGGGAGAAAACGAAGACGAGGGCGCGGGGGUUAGAGGCGAGGCUGGCCGUCGCCGCCUCCGCCUCCACCUCCACCUCUGGUUCGUCCUCCGCCUUUCUCUUCGAAGAGCUCUCAGGCCAACAAAAAAAAAAAAAAAAAGAAAAAGAAUGAAAAAAAAAGAGAGAAAAGAGAAAGUAAAAAAAGAAAAGAAAAGUUGAAGCACGAUCACGAUGACGACGGUUACGACGAUUCUGACGACGACGACGACGAUGACGACGAUGGCGGUGGCGAUCUUGGCGACUUCCCCAACGACAAUCACGACGACUUCUACAACAAUAGGAGAUACGCAUGCAUAUGCAUAGCAUAAGUGCGAUCUUUUUGUUGGUUUGAUCAACCCGACCAUCUUCGUGAUAGGUUUCGAACCGAUCAAAUCUGACAUUAAAUUGUCACUUCCGCUGUGCGUAUGUAUUUGUUAAUCUCCAAACCGUGCGGUCAUUUUCGUGAUAGGUUCGACAUGGUCAAAAUAAUUGAUCGAACCGGACGUUUUAUCACGUAAACCGUGCGGCCAUCUUCGUGAUAGGCUCGACAUGGUCGAAAGCGUGAACCGUGCGGCCAUCUUCGUGAUAGGCUCGACACGGUCGAAAAGAUUAAUCGAGCGGCCAUCUUCGUGAUAGGCUCGACACGAUUAAACUCCACGUAUUUGAACAAAACGUGACAAUAAAAGAAAAUGGACGGAUUCUAUUUUGAUUCGUCAUUUUCGUUCGAUUCAAUCGUAUUACUCGACGUGAUCAAUUUCGUAUAUUUGGACUAAAAAAAAGAGAGAUGAAUAUAAAAAUAAUAAAAAAAAAGAGGAGUUAUUCCCUCUCCCCCUCCGACCGUCAACAAAAAAAAAGCAAGAAGAAAAGAAAAGAAAAAAAAAGAAAAAAAAAAAAGAAGAGUUGUUGGGUACCAACUCUCCCUCUCUCUCGGUUUCGCACACACACACACACACAGAGAGAGNAUUGGGUUUGAAUUAUUUUGAAAAUGGUUCAAUCCAUUAUGGGCCCAAUAAAUAAUUUCAUAAGCAGUCAAAAAAAAUAUUGCAGAGCCCAUAUGCAAAUUCGGGUUCAAGGCCAGAGCAUGUGAAGUCCAAGACUAAUCUCAGUCCACAUGCAAAUUCGGAUCCACAACGUGCAGAGCCCGAAACCCAGCCCAUAUACAGAUUCGGGCCCAGAAUAUUAAAGCACGAAACCCGUCUUAACCCACAUACAGAAUUGAGCCCAGAACAUAUAAAAUCUAAGAUCUAUUUCAGUCUACCUGCAGAUUUGGGUCCAAGGUACAAAACGUGUAAAGUCCAAAACUAAUCCAAAUCCACAUACAGAUUCGGGUCCAUGGCCCAAACCUGUAAAGCCCGAAACAAUCUCAACCCACAUGCAAAUUUGGGUCCAAAAGAAAAAAAAAUUCAUAUGAAUGGAUUUCUCAACCCAAAACCUAAAGAUCCAAAACCCAAAGUCCACAAAAUCCCACAGUCCACAAAUAAAAUCCCAAAAAUCCAAAAGUCCACAAAUAAAAUCCCAAAAAUCCCAAAGUCCACAAAUAAAAUCACAAAGAUCCAAAAGUCCACAAAUAAAAUCCCAAAAACCCCAAAGCCCACAAAUAAAAAUCUCAAAACCCAAAGUCCACAAAUAAAAUCCCAAACCCUAAGUUCACAAACAAACUCCCAAAAAAUCCAAAGUCCACAAAUAAAGAUCCAAAACCCAAAGAUCCAAAAUCCAAAGUCCAUAAAUAAAACCCAAUCAAAUCUACCAAACCUAUGUCAUCCAAAUACCUCCAACCCAAACCAAACGACCGAAAUGUCGCUAAACUAAACCCAUAUUCAAACGACCGAAACGUCGUUAAACUAAACCCCAAAUUCAAACCGACCGCCAUGUCAUUAAACUGAGCACCGAAACUCAAACCGACCGCCAUGUCAUUAAACUGAGCACCGAAACUCAAACCGACCGCAAUGUCAUUAAACUGAGCACCGAAACUCAAACCGACGCAAUGUCAUUAAACUGAGCACCGAAACUUAAACCAACCGCCAUGUCAUUAAACUGAGCACCAAAACUCAAACCAACCGCCAUGUCAUGAACUGAGCACCAAAAUUCAACCGACCGCCAUGUCAUUAAACUAAGCAUCUCAAACUCAAACCGACUGCCAUGUCACUAAACUGAGCAUCUCAAACUCAAACCGACUGCCAUGUCGCUAAACUGAGCAUCUCAACUCAAACUGACUGUCAUGUCGUUAAACUGAGCGACUCAAAUCAAACAGAAAACUGAGCGACUCAAAUCAAGCGACCGCCACGUCAUUAAACUGAGCGACUCAAAUCAAGUCGACCGCCACGUCGUUAACUGAGCUACUCAAGUCAAGUCGACCGCCACGUCGCUAAACUGAGCUACUCAAAUCAAGCCGACUGCUAUAACUCAGCUCAAACCGACUAAAUGACUGCCAAGUCCAUAAACUGAGCAUUUCAUCAAUGUACAGUGCGGGUAUGCCCCUGCUUAAGCCAUGUACUUGAAAAUUAUAUCAAUUCAAGUUCAUCUUUAUACUACAGUCUCUUUCUAUCAUCAGCAUUAAAUUUGGUCUCUUAAUCGAGGGUUCCUUAACACCGAAAGUGUGGGGUAAUUAACAGCAGAUUCUUGAGUCUGUUGGAAGCCAUGAACCUAUAAUCCUGAUUUCAAAAUAAAACAUAAAUAAAUUUUAUCUCUACCAUGAAUGACCACUCGCCCUAGAAACAACCUACGGCGGGGCCGGUUCGUUCGCGGCAGACACCCAUAUGAGAACUUUAGGACCAUACAUUAACAGAAAAGAUAACAUAUCAACAAUAUAUCAUACGAACAACUCAGCAACAUGCAGAUUGAGAUUGUUGAAACUGGUUCAGUUUCGUAUAAAAUUUUGUUCGCUACUUAGCCAUAAAGUGUAGAGAUCAAGCCAUCAAAACUGUGAUUUGAUCAUAAACAAUAUUGACAACUUCAGAAAGUAAGCGACGGAUGGAACAUUUGAGUAGACCUAUUGAGUAUUUAUAUGGUACUGUGAUAUAUAUGGUACUGCGAUAUACAUAAGAUAGGAAUUAAACCCUGUGAAGUUACGAAUAUUCAUGGAUAACUAAUAAGUUUUACAGGUUACUAACAAUAAAAACAUCAAUGAGCACACCACGAUACAUUAAUUCGAAACAAGAGUGAAAUUAUAAUGUCCUAGAAGGAAAUUUCAGAUCCUCGGUUGUGGUACAGCCCAACUUUGCUUUAAUGCCUCGUGGUUCAGCAAGCGGCACUUCACGACCAAUUAAAUUGAGAAUGUAACAUUCAUUUAGCUAAUUAGACCAAUGCAAAUAAGAAGGAAACCAAAGCAAUUACAUUAUCUAUAGUAGCUGACUAGCUCUUGAUAAGCUCCAUGACUACCGUUGAAUAUAAAAUAUAUAAACACUGUUUUUUGACAGCUUAAACUUUUGGAGAAAAAACGGUUGCUUCACAUUAUUUCAUAUAUGAUUUCAGAGCUGGAGGUCACCUAAACAAGGGGGAGAAGUUUUGAAUAUAAAAUAUAAAAACAUCAUUCUUUAGUAGCGUAAGAUUUUUGGAGAAAUCAGUUGCUUUACACUAUCUAACAAUCGUCAAGUGGUGAAUCACUGAAUUGUGACGAUAAUUAAAACCAAUCCCUCACAGACAACCUGAACAGCAAUCUGAUAGCAAUAAUCGCCGCAGUUGGUACAAUUGGAAGGUAAACUAUAGUUGGGCUGCACAACAAGGGAGAACAAAAUAAAAAAGAUUGUAAAAUGUAGUCCCAGAUUACCACUGUCUAGGGAGUGCUCAUAGAUUCAGCAGAGUUCUUCUACUCAAAACAAAGUCUAUAACAAUGUUCCAUCUUUUCUCAGAUGUGAUAUAUCAUGGAUCUAAUCUACCACUAUAGCAUUUGAAACAAACUAUUAGUAGCCAGCAUUUCUUAUUUUGGCCCUCCUUCAAUGAGUCAACUAUAUAUCAAACCACCAAUCUGUCCCACCAGCAAAUUAUAUCAAGCUAGAUUAAGUUUUCCAUAUCAUUUAUCAUCCAAAAAGUCAUAUCAAUUGGUUCGAAUACGCACAUUUUUAUGGACUAUUAUGAAAGGAACUUCAAGUAAAUUGGUGGAUUCAUAGAAAAUGGUGGGACACGUGUAUUCAAAUUUUCGAUUCAUUUUGAAAUUCAGUCUAAUGCAAUCGAGCAACAUUUCCGACUUAAAAUUUUGUCUCCUUUUCCUAUCAGGAAAUUUUGAGCAAUUUGGGAUCUAUAAUCAGAAUGUUUUUGGUCCCAUUCAAACAAUCGGAAAACAGCACAAAGGUUAUUGGAUCAUAUUACUAGUAAAGUCGCCAUACAAGCAUAAUAUCGAGCUUUUGAUUUAUUAGCAAGAGAAAAUCAUUGAGGACAUUAAAACACUUGUCCGAUGCGAAAAUCCUCAAAACUACCAACAAAUUAAACGAAGAUUGAAAAGCAAGGGAUAGAUUGUAAUCGGCAGAAAAAAAGGCGUUUGCCACAAAAAAACAAAAAACAAAAAACAUAUGUUGUAUGCAACAAUUCACCCAAUCCAUCUAUGCACUAAGAUUGAUCAUAUAUUACACGUGGAAAUGAAAGAUCGAUGUUAUUUCACCGACACGUGCAGAACUCACUCCUUUCAUCCCCCUUCUAAACUAAGACUAGCGUUGAUUACAUUAAGGCUCUGUUUGGAUGUCAAAAUAAGUUAUCCAGCGAUAUGCUAUUCAGUGCGACAACUUUUUUUUAUGAUUGGAAGCUAAUAAUGCGGUCAAACAUCUAGAAUGGAAUAGUAUAUUCAGCUUCAAGAUAAAUCACCUCACCGACACAAUAUGCAAUCCUACCAAAUACGGGCAUGAAAACCUUUCAAAAAGCAAAACUCAAACUCUUACCUUGCAAGUACACAAUAGUAACUUCAUAUUGAAUAAGUUAUUAUUGGAUAACUUACCCCGACAUGCAGAUAACACCUAAAGAUUAAGGGUGAAAAUGGUCGAAGACAGUCGGACUUUUGACAAAACCAUAUUUGCAUCCAUAUUUUUCUUUAGAUGCGGAUAGGUGAUGGAUGCUAAAUUUUUGUUAUCAUAUUUGCUUAAAGCGGAUUUGGAUUCAAACAUAAGUUUUUUUGUUUUCAAAUAUUAUUUCGAUAAUAAUAUAUACUAAUAUGCAAAGUCCGACUAUGGUGCCUUUAAAGCACCAAGGACUUGGUGCUUGUAAGUUUCUCAUCAUUAGAUCUAUUCCUUUGACCAAUUCUAUCCCUUAGAUUAUGAUAUUCCACCAACUACCUUCUCAACUCUAGGAGACCACUAUUAUCCUAACCCUACGAAUCUUCAUCCAAAGGCCGAAAACGUGCAAGCACCAAUAACUUGGUGCUUUUGAAAGCAUAGGAGCUUAAUUCCUAACAAGCAUAUAUAAAUAUGAACUAAAAUUAGCGAAUAAGACACACAAUUGAUUCAAAGGUUUGCAUUCGUAUUAAAACUUUGUAUACCUAUAUUUUAUUAAAUAAAAUUUAAUACUUUAACAAAUAUGAAUGAUUUUAACAUGAAAUUCAUAAUUUCAUGUUAAAAGAUGAACAAGAUAGGAAACCACUUUAUCCCCCUACAAUAUAUAUAUUAACAUCCCUCUUAUCUAUUAAGCGUGAAAACAGUAUAAUACGGUCGGAUUUUUUAAGAAACCAUAUUUUCAUCCAUUUUUUUUUAUUUUUUCCAGAUACGAAUAUGUGUCGAAUGCUAGAUUUUGACAUCCAUAUUCGCAUCCUAUCGAAUCCAUGUCGGAUUCAUUCGGAAUUUAUCCUAACCGCUUUUACCCCUACUAAAGAUUCAAGCUUAGCAUAAUCAUUUGAUAAAAAUCAAAAUUAGAGACAUUUUCUCCAAGGCAAAUUCCUCCCCUUUUCUUACUUUAUUACAACUCAUUGCCACAAUUUGCGCACUAUCUCGACGCCAAAAACAAGAUGGCCUUCAAGAAUGGAACAGCAUAUUCAGCCUUCUAGGUCAUUUUUUCCGAAAUAGAUAAACCACUUUCUAGCCGAAAUAUGUAGCCCUACAAAAUCAUAGACUCCGCCGCGACCUUUCAAAAAGCAAAGUUAAACUCCUAUGUUCAAAUAACACAAGAAAAUCGUCGUACCGAGUAAGUUAUCAUCGGAUAACUUAUCUCUGCAUCCGAGCAACGCCUAAAGAUUCAAGCUUUGCAUAAUAUUCAUUUGAUAAAAAUCAAAUUUUGAUAGAUACUAUCCAAGGCAAUUCCCUUUCCUUCUCACAAAUUCCGAUCUAUCUCGACUCCGAAGCCCAAGAUAGUCACUACCUUCACAGCAAAAAGACUCUACUUCAGUUGUGCAGAUGAUAGAGAUUUAGAGACAUCACAACAUGUUUUUCAAGCACAGGCGCCGGUGAGGCAUUUUAACAAACACGUAACAUGCGUGAAUUCGAACGGUACCGCGAAACAGAGAUGACCGGCUCUAGCGCGUGUGGCGAUACGAUCCGAACGCCGUCACCAACGUCGACGCCGACGCCGACCGGCGAAGUGCGGUGCCACCGACGCCGUCGUCGGCGCCGGCAUCUCCGGCACUUGUCAAUGGUUGGAGCAACUGAGCUUUUGUGGCUAGUGAGCUUGAAGCCUAACCGUGUCAAGUCGACUCAACUGAGUUUCACUUCAAGAUCGAAUUAUAAUACGAAAAGCAAGAAAAAAAAAAAAUUUGUAUUAGCCAUUUCAAACUUUGUUAGUUAAUUCACGAAUUAUUCGUAAAUUAUUCACGAAUUAUUAAAAAUUCGAAUUAAACGGUCCGUUUACGAAUUUUUUUCAAAAAAAUUAAAUUAUUUGCGAAUUUUUGGGCCAGGAGAAUAAUUCGCGAAUUAUUCCUAAAUUAUUAAAAAUCUGAAUAAAAAACUUAUAAUUUUUAUAUUUAAAUAUAAAUUAUCUUAUUAAGCCGAAUUUUUCAACCAAUUUAAAAAUUAGAAAACAAAUUUUGUAUCAAAUUUUUGCCGAAUCCGAAUUAACUAACUAUGAUUUAAAUUUAUCGAAUUUGAUUCACUAUGGGAGCCUGAAUACCAAAUUGUUGAAAGAUUAAAGCUGACAUGAUUUAUACGUUGUAGUAGGAUAAUUGAUACGGUGCGAAGGAGCCAGCUUUUUGUUAUUUUGCCUAGGAAGUUUCUCCUUAAUAAUAUUAAGUCUCUCUUUUGCGUAGAAUUAAGAAAAGAUUAUGGGGCAUUCUCUAUUUAUGAUUCUGCAUUCAAGAUCUUGGAUUAACUCAGACAAAGCUGCUUCUCCUGCAAUGGUUUUUGAUUAAAUUAAGGUUUAGUUUGGUAUUGAGAUCUAUCUAACGUUAUUAGAUAGAAUGGAGUUGAGAAAAAACGUGUAGAGAUAUACUUCUGCGUUCUUCGAUAGGACCGCAGAAAAUAUAUUGUAACCGACUAACCGCAAUAUGCUAAAACGUAAUAUUACGUAUGGAAACAAACAGAAUAUUUUUUCAUCGUCGUUUCUCACCGCACGCAACACAAUCUUCUCGUAAUCUCAAACGAAGCCUAAAAGUUAUUCAAAUAAAGCGCUAACCACUGUUUUAUUAAUAUCCUUCUGGGGAUUUCCUACUGCAGUACAACAAGAAGCCUUAAGAAUGGAUAUUUUGCUGUUGGAUUAAUCAUUUUCGCUAUUUAUAACACUCCAACAGUCCUAUAUCGGAUGAAAAGUCAUUCUGAUUGAAAACAUAAGGCCACACAGCCUAGUAAUAAUAACUGAACUUAAUUAUUUUAGACCGGUGAUUUAAGUCCGAUAAAUUAUUAUUGCUAGCUGAUUGAAUUAUUAUAAUUAGUGUCGCAAUUAAGGUCAGCCAAAAGUAUGAGAAUUAAGUGCUAUACCACUAGAGAUGUCAAUGGAUCGGAUUCAGAACGAAUUUUUAAAAACUCGAAUCUGACCAAAAAUCUGAAAUCUGAACCCGAAACAAUUAUUUCUCUUAUCAAUAUUUCAAAAUAUAUUACAUUAAAUUUAAAUUUUUAAAAUACAAAUUCAAAUAUAACAUCAAAUUUUUAUAUUCAUAUUAUAUAUAAUGUAAAAUAAAUUCGCAUUCAGAUCGGGUUCGAAUUCGAGUCGAGUACAGUUAAAAUCCAUAUCCAUCGGGUUUUUCUUUUUGCUAUCUAACUUCAAAAGUAUAUCCCGUUUAGCAUCGAAUAAAUCCGCUCCGUUCGAAUUCGGAUAAAAUUUUAAAUAUCCAUACCCAUUGACAUACCUAUAUACCAGAGAAUUUAUUAUAUUAUAUAAUUUUAAUAUAUUUAAUUCAUAAAUAUAAAUUAUAAUAAUAAUAUGUAUAACCUAAUAAUUAANAUGGAGAUUUAGAGACAUCACAACAUGUUUUUCAAGCACAGGCCCCAGUGAGGCAUUUUAACAAACACGUAACGUGCGUAGAUUCGAACGGUACCGCAAAGCAGAGAUGACCGGCUCUGGUGCGUGUGGCGAUACGCUCCGAACGCCGACGCCGUCGCCGACCGGCGAAGUGCGGCGCCGGCGUCGGCGCCGGCGUCUCCGGCACUCGUCAAUGUCAAUGGUUGUGAACAUCCGAAAUUUUAUCAGAGAACCCAAAUAGAGCCGAUAAAUCCGUUGAUAAACAAAUGGCUAAAUUACAUAAAACCCCCCAUACAAAUAUUCACUUUUUAAUUUUUUUCUUUCUGACUUUUAAACAUUUAUAUUUUGCCUUCUUAAAAAUUUAAAUUAUUGCAUUUAGUCCCUUUAAAUUAUUGCAUUUAGUCCCUCUCCGUCAGGUUCCAUUACUAUUCGUCCAAUUUUUGUAAUUUAUAUCAAAAGCAUCUUUCAAAAUAAAAGAAAUAUAUUAAAAAAAAAAAAUUUCUUAUAAAAAAAGUAAAAAUAAUUUGGCCAUUUUGUCCUCUCAUUAAUAUCGUAUCCCUCCUAAAAAUAUUUUUGAAAUUUUAUAAAGGUAAAAUGUAGGAUUUUGAAAGUAAUGAACAAAAAGUAAAAAAGCGAGUAUUUAUAGGGUUUUUUUUUUUUUGUAAUUUAGCCUAAACAAAUAUAUUUUCGUAUAUAGAUAUCAAAAAUGAAAAAUCGAUGGAUUUAAAUUCGGACAUGACUUUUGACUACACCCGAACCAAUACUGAAAAAAUUUAGAUUUAAUGCAAUAUGUUUUGAAUAUUAUAAAAAAUAAUUAUUUCGGAUCUGAGUUUAGAUAUGAAUUUUUAAAAUCCUUCAGAUUCUGAUUCAAGUUUGGGUUCAGAUUUGGGUUUGAUCGUUUAAAAACUCAAAUCCGACCUGUUGGCAUCAGUAGGUAAGUGAGAGUGAUUUUUAUUUUUUUCACCAUAACCUUAUAAAACUUUCUAACUUGCCAAAUAACCUUUCUAAAAUAUUAUUUGGCAAAUUAAUUUUCUUUUGGCCAACUUAAUGCCUCGAUGCUUUGUUGGACAAAAAAAAGAAACACAAGGAAUUGUUUAUCGAAAAAUAAAGAACACGAUUAAUCGUUCACCGUCUUUUUAUAUUAUUAUCGUCUUUUAACAAGCCACGAGGAUUCUUUUGAGAUUGUUGAGGUUGUAUGAAAAUUAUUAAAAUUUUUAUUUAAUCGUUAGACUUGUGUUGAUAGAUUGUUAUAAAUUUUAGGUUAUCGGGAUUAUAUGUGAUUGAUUAAAAUUUUGAAAAAACUUCAAAAACCAUUCAUGUGGUUUCGUACUUUUUCACUUUAGUACUAUGUAGUUUAAAGUGUAUCAAUUUGUGAUUUUAUUUUUCUCUUUUUGUCAGCUCCUCCGUUAACAUUUCGUUAAAUUAUAUACAAUAAAUUUGAGAUACCUCACCUAGGUUUAUCGAAUAUUCAGUUUAGUACAUUUUAGUUUUAAAUUUGUCGUUGAUUUACUGAAAAAAUUAGUAGAUGGGAUAAUAAAAAGAGAAAAAUGAAACUACAGAGCACUAAAUUGAUACACUUUAAACCACAGGAUACAAAAACAAAAAAGUGUGAACUCACAGAGUGUCGGAUUGUUGGCGCUAACUAUUAAUUCCAAAAGCUCGAGCUGUUAGAAAUACGCAACCAAUUCACUUAAAGCGUACAAAUAUAACGCCCACGAGUCUCGAUUGUGACUUGGCCCAACCAACCUCGCGCCACUUCGAGCAUGACUCGGCCUACCCAGCCUCACGUCAUUUCGAACAUGACCUGGCCCAACAUAUUCUCCCGCCACAGGAUAGAAUGCUAACCCAUUUAAAUCAACACAGAGGUGGUAUCUGAAGCUUUUUCGUAAAUAAUUUAGGGUUGCUCCGAGUUUCAAGUUCGGAGCACCUAAAUUUUAUCGGGUCUGACUCUCAAGUUUGGAGCAACUGAGUUAUUAUAGCUAGUGAGCUUGAAGCCUAACCAUGUCAGUCGACUCAACUGAGUUUCACUUAAAGAUCGAAUUAUAAUACGAAAAGCAAGAAAAAAAAAAUAGAAGAAAUAAAAAAUUUUAUGAUUUCACAAUGUCGCUUAGUGAUCUGAGUGGUUUUGAAUUUAGCUUGUAUUAGCCAUUUAAAACGUUGUUAGUUAAUUCACGAAUUAUUUACAAAUUAUUCGCGACUUAUUGAAAAUUCGAAUUAAACGGUCCGUUUACGAAUUUUUUCUAGAUAAAAUGAAUUAUUCGCGAAUUUUUGGACUGGGAGAAUAAUUCACGAAUUAUUCCUGAAUUAUUAAAAAUCUGAAUAAAAAAUUUAUAAUUUUUAUAUUUAAAUAUAGAUUAUCUUAUAUUUUAUAUUUUAUACCGAAUCCGUUUUUCAAGCCGAAUUUUUCAACGAAUUUAAAAAUUAGAAAACGAAUUUUAUGCCUAGUAUACCGUAUUGAAUUUUUGGCGAAUCCGAAUUAACUAACUAUGAUUUAAAAUUAUCAAAUUUGAUUCACUAUGGGAGCCUGAAUACUAACUAAAUUGUUGAAAGAUUAAAAUAGCAGUAGGAUUCUCUUUUGCGUAGAAUUAGGAAAGGAUUAUAGGGCAUUCUCCAUAUGAUUCUGCAUUCAAGAUCUUGGAUUAACUCAAACAAAGCUGCUUCACGUGAAAUGGUUUUUUUUUUUUUUUUUUUUUUUUUUUUUGAAAGAUAGGUAGCACCCUACCCGCUUCGUUUAUAUCAUUUAGUAAUAAACUUAGCUGGAAAUGUGAAUCAAGUAAAAUUUGAACUUGGGUCUCGGAUACCAACCACCAAGCCCUUUGCCACUUGCUCUAGGGACGGUCGGUUCCUGAAAUGGAUUUUUGAUUAAAUUAAAAGUUAUUCAAAUAAAGCACUAACCACUGUUUUACUAAAAUCCUCCUGGGGACUUCCUACUGCAGCACAACAAGAAGCCUUAAGAAGGGAUAUUUUGGCUGUUGGAUUAAUCAUUUUUCACUAUCUAUAACACUCCGAUAGUCCCACAUCGGAUGAAAAAUUAUUCUGAUUGAGAAUAUAAGGGCACAUAGCCUAGUAAUAAUAACUGAACUUGAGUAUUUUAAGCCGAUGGUUUGAGUCCAAUAAAUCAUUAUUGCUCGCAAAUUGAAUCAUUACAAAACUGAAUACCAACCAAAAGUAUGAGAAUUAAAUGCCAUACCGCAAAAUUAGUGAGAGUCACCUCUUCGACCCACAGAAGCCGUCUUAGGACGGAGAGAGUCUAUAACACUUCAAUAAAUCCCACAUUGUAUAGGCCACGCAUUCUAGUAAUAAUAACUAGGCUUAAAUAUUCUAAACCGAUAGCUCGAACUCAACAAAUUAUUAUUGCAAACGGGUUGAUAUUAUCCAACCGAAAAUAUGCUUAUUGAAGUAGGAGCAGCAGUUGCAUUGCACCAUGCCAUAACAUUAUGCAAGUACAAAAAUAAAGGUAAAACUGUAUGCACCCCUCAAUGACAAGCCAUUUAAAGUAGGUCCCUUAAUUUCUUUAACUAGUUUAAAUUUGCAAUUAGAAUGAGUUGAACAAACAUUUUGCAAAAUUAAUGAUUGAAUUGAUUGAAAUGACUAUCAAAACAAAUGAAGAUGAAGAGGUAUCAUCGAUCGAAAUAAAUUAUGUUCGGGGAUCCAUUUCAAGAUGUCCUAUAGUUGAGGGGAUCUCCAUACAUUUUUACCAAAAGAAAACCAACUCAUCCACAGCUGCAGAAGAACAAGACAGAAGGCAACAAAAUUACAAAAAGGAAACAAGACAUAAGGCAAGAAAAAAAAAAGUGUAUAUUAAUCAGUUUACGUAUAUUACGUAAAAAAAGUGCAUAUUUCAACAGACCCAAUCCCUAGAUUGCAAUAUGUUGAUUGGAUUGGAUUAAAAACUGAGCCACUAUAGCUGUUCAAGAGGGAUCACCUUAAAUCAUGGCCCAAGCAGAUUACAACAGUAGGUAACAGAACAGCUAGUAUAUCCAUACAACAAGUAAAGCAAGUAUAUAUUCAUUUGGAAAUAGAAGCAUCAUUUAAUGGAGCGCUGCACGCUCAACAAGAUCAGCAUAUUGAUCAGAGACAAAGGACUUCACCUUCAGGACUGGCUCCUUACCAUCUUUGUCGGGAGAGAAAGAUUUGAUCCCNNNNNNNUUUUAAUUUAUUAUUUAUAUAUAAUAUAUAUAUUAUAGCAAAAUAAAAAUAUAAAGGCGAGCUCAAUUAUAAAAAAACUCAUUUAUAUGUAAAGUUUCAACUAUUAGAUCAAAGUCUAAUGGAUAAGAUUUUAUAAAUCUAUUUUUUAUAUAUAUAUUCAAUCUAAUCCUUUUAAUUUAUUAUUUGUUCGUUGGCUAACUCCGAACACGAGCUGAAUUUUUUGGCUCGGUACUUUAACGAGCCAGCUCGUGUUAAACGAACCGAACAUGAGCCGACCAAGCUCGCUCGUGUUCGGCUCGUUUACACCCCUACAAAUAACUAUAACUAAAAACUAGUUUUAUUUUCCUAUGAACCAAACACUAAAAACCGUAAAAUAAAUUUUCCACGAAAAACUUUUUUCCACGGAAAUUUUUUUUUCCCAGAUUUACAUAGAACCAAACAGCCCAUAGUGGAAGCCACCUCUUCAACCCAUAAAAGCCAUCUGAAGAGGGAGAAAGUCUAGAAUACUUCAAUAAUCCCGUAUUGGAUAGAAAAAAUUCUUAUUAAAAAUAUAAGGUCACGCAAUCUAGUAAUAAUAACUAGACUUAAAUAUUUUAAGUAUUUUAGGCCGAUAAUUUAAAUCCAACGAAUUAUUAUUGCAAACUGGUUGGAUCGUUAUAUUAUCCAACCAAAAAUAUGAAUAUGCUUAUUGGAGUAGGAGCAGCAGUUGCAUUGCACCAUGCCAUAACAUUAUGCAAGUACAAAAAUAAAGGUAAAAACUGUACGCACCCCUCAAUGACAAGCCAUUUAAAAUAGGUCCCUUAAUUUCUUUAACUAGUUUAAAUUUGCAAUUAGAAUGAGUUGAACAAACAUUUUGCAAAAUUAAUGAUUGAAUUGAUUGAAAUGACUAUCAAAACAAAUAAAGUUGAAGAGGUAUCAUCGAUCGAAAUAAAUUAUGUUUAGGGAUCCAUUUCAAGAUGUCCUAUAGUUGAGGGGAUCUCCAUACAUUUUUACCAAAAGAAAACCAACUCAUCCACAGCUGCAGAAGAACAAGACAGAAGGCAACAAAAUUACAAAAAGGAAACAAGACAUAAGGCAAGAAAAAAAAAAAAGUGUAUGUUAAUCAGUUUACGUAUAUUACGUAAAAAAAGUGCAUAUUUCAACAGACCCAAUCCCUAGAUUGCAAUAUGUUGAUUGGAUUGGAUUGGAUUAAAAACUGAGCCACUAUAGCUGUUCAAGAGGGAUCACCUUAAAUCAUGGCCCAAGCAGAUUAUAACAGUAGGUAACAGAACAGCUAGUAUAUCCAUACAACAAGUAAAGCAAGUAUAUAUUCAUUCGGAAAUAGAAGCAUCAUUUAAUGGAGCGCUGCACGCUCAACAAGAUCAGCAUAUUGAUCAGAGACAAAGGACUUCACCUUCAGGACUGGCUCCUUACCAUCUUUGUCGGGAGAGAAAGAUUUGAUCCCGAUGACUGUUGCCAAGCCUAUAAGCAUAAUUCAAGUUUUGAAUCCAUUAGCACACUGAAAAACUAUGUAUUAGUCGAGCAUAAAAAUAAAGAUUUUGACUGUUAAAAUACUUGUUUUGACAAAUUUAGCAGUUAUCCAUAACAAAAGAUCAAGCUCUUACGGCAAAGUUUUAUACUCAUGCCACUGCUCGUGGAGUGACCUUUCUAUUCUUAGUUCAUUAGCAUUCAAUCCUCGAUUGGGACUUGAUGACAAGUAGGAAACUUGCCAGUGUUCUGGAAAGACUCGGAGAUACAAGCUAGGAAAUCAAGCUCAGCAGCAAAGAUGACCCCACUACAAACUGAACUUGGUGGCGACGUUCGUACAAUGUAUAAACAUAAUAACAUGGAUAUUACGCAGGGGAUAUUCCCGAACAAAAAAAAGAAAAAGAAAAAAAGAAACAGCUUGUGCGCUCACUAAAUAUGACUGUAGUAGCUGAUCAAAAUCCCUCAGAUAGUUGGCAGGAAUAAGGAAAGUUAACCUAGUCCUCAAACCAAAAUGGACUCUUGCAAAAUGCUACUCAAUGAAGAUGCUUCACACUUCUGACCUAGAUAGCAUGCUUUAGAGAACAGAAUAAAAACCUAAGAACUAUCUAAACACCAAACUAACAUAACACAAAUGUAUUCCCAUAAAACUGAAGAAAAAGUAUUUCACAAUUACAUAACAAAUUUGAUUGUGACAGAGAGCUGAAAACAUCAGGACUUUGCUGAAGAUACAAUCUAACGGCAGUCUUCUCUUUUCUAUUUUUUUUCUUGGGGUUACGGUGUAGGUAAAAAAGGGUAUGGUAUCAAUGAUUGUACCGGUAGCAACAAAUUGGAAGGAAAGUAACAGAGGCAGUGCUGUUCUCUCUUCGUUCUAAUUGUUUCCAUGAAGAAUUGAUAAUGGUAGUAGUGGUCAUGGCAACUGUGGUGAAUAGGAAGGUAAAAGGAGAUUAUCAGAUGAUAAUGAUGGUUGAAGGAUUCCUCAUGUAAAGUUUUGAUAUUAGGAAAGACUUGUUGUUUAACCUCGUUUUAAAAUCAUGUUUCUAGCUUGUAUCAGAAAAAAAAAAUUUCUUUUGUUUCAAUCUUACUGGUAAAACAAUCCACCUGGACUACCAUAAAAUUUGCAACAGUAUUACAAUUUCCUUCCUUUCUUCCUAUCUUCAUCACUAUUAUAUUUUUGAAUUAUUUGAUAAUUUGUAGCAAGAAUAAUAAUACUAACAAAGAUAAGAAACUAGUAACAGUAAGCCUUUCUCCCUUCGCACUCACAUUUUUCUUUUUUAUUUCCCCUCUUCGUUAUACAAGGCAUUUUGCCCCUCUUCGAAGAUGUAUAUUUGCAUACGCAUAUUUACAAAUACAUGACAAUGGUUGAUUUUUCAUGCGUUAAAAAUAACCAUAAAAGAGCAUUCACGCAAAAGCACAUAUAUUCGUGAAGUAAAUGACGAAAAAAUGAAGUAGGGCAACUCAGAAAGAUAUGAUACAUACUAUUAUGUAUACGUCCAUACAGAAAUCUUUCCCCGCGCCAGUACUCCAAAGGUCUUGAUCUAACUCUAGUGCUUCGCCUUACACCAGAUUUCCACAAGAGACCAGCAUCUAAAAAUGAAACAAAAGGCAUGCAUUAAUCACCAAAAUAUCAAUACAGUACUCAAGCAUAGCCAUACAUACGCUAUACAAUAAAGCAGACUACAUUAGUAUGAUCCAGGACAGUACCUGCAAGACUUUGUCUUCUUGAAUUCAACUUUGCCUUGUUUUGUUUUCUCUGCAAUGUUUUUCCUUUCCUUGCUCUAUUAGGAGAUGCUUCAGAAACUGCCUGGAGAACCUGCACCUGCAAAACCAGAUUACAUAAAUAGAAAUGAUAGUUAUUCUCUCAACGAGAUAUUUCUCAAAUCUUUACACAGCAAAAGCAAAAAGCAGACUGCCCAUCUAAUGAAGUUGCAAAAUGAACUAAUCAUCUAGUAUAAUAAGCUCAGACAAAGCUAUAAUUUGAACAUCAGCAUUUUCACAGGCCUGCUGCAAACAACAAAUCAACUCAAAGUAUCUCUCCAUUCAAUACAGAUUAAGGUAUCAACAUAGAAGAAUGAGACAGAUUAAAGCAAGAGUGAUUUGCCAUGCAUAAACUGACUCACUGGUUGACAGAAUUGCAAAAUAAAUAUUCUUCAUAGGUGUCGAAUUAGCAAAUGCACCGAUCAAAUCAUCUCAAGCUCAAUGUAACAACUUCCUGUUGUUACUCUCUGUAUAAAAGCACGCAAAGAAAAGCCAAGAAGCAAAUUAUACAUCUUUAAGCUGACGCAACCAAAGAAUGAUUCUUUCAAUAUUAAUAAGUUCAGAUGUAGUAAUUAGUUUGCUAUGUCCAUGCAAAGAAUGGCGAAGACACAGCUAGAGGAAAAUAGCACCCGGCACAUCGAUCGAACAUGCCCACAUUCAGAAACAAUUAGAAACUAAACUUCUAGAUACAGUUCCAGGGCUAAUCUUAUGCAUCAAUAUGUGCUGCCAACUUAGCACAUGUAUGUUAUACACAUAACAUAGUCACAUGGUGCAAAGAUAUUAUAUCAUGAAGUUGACCGCUAAAGCUACAUCACUCUUGGACUUAGACACAGUAUAAAUUAGAGAAAUUAGGGGUCAUAAACAGAUAAAAUAUAAUAUAAUAUAAGAUAAGGCACAGAAGCUGAAACUAGCAUUCUCAUGCAAAAAAAGCAAAUGAGUGAAAGGACAAGUUCCUGUCACAAAAAGAAGAUUGAUGCACUAAAUAAUGAUAAUAAUGCACUAGAGAAUAAUAAAAAUAGUGGAAACCAUCAAUUACUUUCUUCUAUAACUUGAUUACAAUCAGUCCCUAACACCAAUCAGUACAAAAAGGAUGUCAUUAAACUGCAAGAGGAUAAUACCUCGUAUUCCUAAUGAGAAUGCAUGACCUUGCAAAUUCUAGCCUGAGCCUCAAAAGUAGCUUAAAAGAGGGGAAACAGACUUUGCAAAAUAUUAAAUGGCACACCAUGUCCUAUCUAUGUUAUUUUAUAAUCAUCUUUAGGAACUACAUAAGAGACCAAAAUAUUUUCCUUCACCAUAUCACUUCUAAUGGGUAAACCGUAGGAAAAAAGACAAGAAAAACAGGUGAAGAUAUAUGACAAGAGAGAGAUGACUACGUAUUUGUGAAAAGCCAUGGAACUAGGAAGACAAAUAAAGGGUUUUGCCCAGACCGGGAAGACAGUUCUAUAACUUAUAAUAAGUGACAGGUAAAUAUCAAUUACAAGUGACAUGCAGUGUUUGAAAAGGCACGAGGUGCGGAGAGGCGCAAGACUCUCCUGGAGUCUAAGCGCGAGGCGCACUGCGAAGCUUGUGCCUCAAGAAGACGAGGCACACAUUUACUAAACCUAGUUUAAUUUGAUAUUCUACAUUAAAAUACCCCAAAAUAACAAUCAAAAAGUAAAGAAAAUGCAUGCAUAUAGUUUAAUUUGAUGUUCUUGCUAACGCUGCUGCUGUUUUCGCUGCUGCUGCUUCUUGUUUUCCUGCCUACGCUGCUGCUAGUUGCUUAUUUUGUCCACUGCUGGUUUGUUGUCGCUGCUUCCUGCUGCUAGCACAGCUGCCGAUGGAUGCUCAACAAGAAGAGGAUGUCGGCGAACAAGAGACGGAGAGGAGGGAGCGAGCGGUUGAUUUUUUUUAGGAGUUUUUUUGGGUUUCUUUAAUAUUUUUUUAAGUAUCUUAUCGGGUUUAAAGUAUAAGAUGCAAAUUCAAAACCCGACAAUCCAAAAACUUGAAUUUUUUUUGGAUUUCUUUUAAUAUUUUUUAAGUAUCUUAUCGAAUUAAAGUAUAAUAUGCAAAUUCAAAACCCAACAACUUGAAAACUUGAAUCAAAAUUUUUUGAAAAUUUAAAUAUUGCGAGGUGCGCGCCUCAGCAAUGGCGCUACGCCUCGCUAUUGCUGAGGCGCUAAGGCCCGCGCCUCGCCCCUCGGUGCCGAGGUGCACGCCUCAGGCGCGCCUUUUCAAACAAUGGACUGACAGGUAAGUCGCUAUUUGUGAAAAGCCAUGGAACUAGGAAGACAACUAAGAGGUUCUUAUCAAGACUGGGAUGACAAAGUCUUGGCACCAAGUAGCACACCUAUGCACAAAAAGAAUGUCGACUUCAGGAAGAAGUCUACCACCAAGUGAAUUUGUCAAUCCCUAUAAUUCAAAAACAAGACGUCCUACAGACACAAAAGCAUCCGCACGACCAAUAGAUUGUACAUAGAUAUAGCCAAGAUUUUAAGGGCCAUAGCACAUCCCGUGACAACCAUAAUUAGCCGAACAUGGCAAAGAGCCGUGGUAACAAGUGGCAAGCACUGUAAGGCUUGCCCUAUGCAUUCUCCUGACAUUUUUGGGGAAAGAAUGGAAUAAAACUACCUUAAUUACUCACAAUAUUUUGUCAGCAUGCUGCAUAUUUACUUUAGACAAUAAAAGAUUUGUUACAUUGCCAUAUUCGCCCACAACAUAAAUUCUAAGAUUCAAAUAAUUGAAAAGCUACUUCAACACGUUGCUCCCCCUAGGUAAACAGGUUACUAUUUCAGAGGUACUCCCUUAUGUAAACCCAAAAAUUCAGAAAGAAAUAAUGCAAUAGAAAAGAAAUUAGAGUAGGCCCCUAGCCUCAACAAAGAAUCCAAGUACAAGGCCCAGAACAGAGUGUGUUUUCCAAACACAACUGCUUUAAUGCUUUAGAUACCUCAAUAUAUAUUUGGAGCUCUGCUCCCCGAUGCACAAAAAUGACAGUGGGAAUCUCCCCUGAAGUGACAGUCAUUUUAGCAUUUGAAUCUUAAAGGAAAAGCACUUUUCAAGCUAAAAUGGCAUCCUAAAGCAUGCAAACAUUUGCAAUUGGAUAACUCAUUCCCAGAACUAGGGCUAAGAUUACCAGAAACUCUCUGCAACUUUUGAAUCACUGUAUAAUAAGCAAUAAAAGAAAAACCAUGUUCACCAAACAAUACUAAAAGCUUUUCAUGAAAUAGAAGUGCCAACCUCAUUAUUUUCAUCUGAGACAAUAGGUGGAUUAUCUGAUCGUGCAUCCAUUUGAUGGACAGUCACUUGAUGACUUGAAUAAUCUGUUGAAAUAUGAUUCAUCACAUUAGAGGAAAAAUAGGUAAUAAAGGCAAAAAUCAAAGGUUCAACUCAAGGAUUGCUACACUAGUCAGCAUGGUUUUGCACAGCCAGCAUGUGCUGCCCGCACUGCUCUUGCUGAUAAGCCUGUGCAACCUGUGCCAACUGUGCCAGCAUAUAAAUGGGGUGCCUGCCGGUAUGCAAUGCUGUGCCGAUGGCACACUAGCAUGCCCUGUGUCAGUGGCACAAUAAUCCUUGGUUCAGCUAUUGCAUUGUAAGUGCUGAACAGUAAGUCUAAUUAGACAAUUAACAGAAUCAGAGAAGUCCCAUAUACUGAUAACACUUUCGAAUAGUCUUUUACCUAAGUUUCAUUCAUCAAAAACGUCCUAAGAAUCACGACAACUCUGACCCAGAAAAGGAAAAACCAAAUGGAAAAGAGGUUUUCUAAGCCUCGAUCAAAGCCAAGUUUUGAGUGAUAAGAUUCUCAAGCCAAGCACAACAUCAAAGUAUUCAUGGAAUGACUAUAGAGUAUUUACAUUCUAUUCACGUUUAAAUAUCAUGAUGAAAAUAUACUAACAUAUUAGCUGCGUAAACUACAAUGCACGUAGGUCCACACCUUAAAGGCCUUUUGGGACUUGCAGCGCAAAAGGUGCUAAUCUAGCUCUCUUGAUAGUUGAUGCAAUAAUGAGUCACACCUUUUCACAUACUGUUCAGAUAGAGGGCAUGAAGAACAGAAAUUGUACAACAGAAUAUAUUUAAUCCAGUUUAUUGAAGUUUGCCAAUUAGACCUCCAUCAGAUUCCUUUACAGUGUCCCCAGAUUUUGUUAUUUAAGAAAGACCAUUCUCAAUAUACACUAGCUGUAACUCUAAUGGCAAGCCCCUGAUUAGUGAUCUUUUAUUCUUGCUGAGUUCAGAAAAUAGCCUAUUGAAAUCUGAAGGUCAAUUAUUUUUCUAGUUGCCAAAAAAUUUGAAAAUCUAUUUGAAUCCAUUCCUGUAAGGUUAAUAUGAAUAAGCAAACCAAUGAACUGAUAUUUGAAGCAAUCAAGAGGGAAACUUCAACUAUUAAUAUUAUUUGUCAGUCUCCUUUCCAACUAUCUCUUAUUAAAAGCAGCAGAAGAAAAUGAGGCUCUUCCAAUAAAAUUAGAGACUUGCUUUUCCAAAUGGUCAAGACGUCAAAAGAGAGGAAAAGAAGGUGGAAAAAAAUGUGAUCCUAUAAAAACACUAUAUAUAAGCAACAGUGGAAAGAUUUUCCAUUGUUUGCCUACGUGUAAAUCAUGCAAUCAUCUAUGCUUUGUAGUGGAGAAAGCACAAAUCCAUCCCAGAACUGCAAGAAAUAAGGAAUAGUUUUUCUAGGUCACUAUCUCUCAAUAAUCUGAUGAUGCAAUACUUUGAAGCUAAGGCAUGUAACCAAAGCAACCAUAGAGUAGCAGAAAGAUAACAGAUUCUUUUCAUAUUAAAUCAGAACAGUAGUGUAGCGUUUCAGCACUAGAUUUGUAUAAUGCAGCACAGUAUCAUGCUCAUUGGAUGCUCAAAUCCUUGCUCCAACCUAUAUUCAACACAGACAUAUAUUGCUCAAAUAAAAUAGUGAAUAUUCUCUCAAAAAUGAUUUGCACAAUCACAAACAAAAUAUAUCUGCUUUACUCAGACUUGCACCAGCUUGAUACCAAAAAUUACAUUUCUUUCAAUUCCAGUGAUAUACAUUUAAGUUAUAUAAGCAGCUUGCAGACUUAAAAACGGGAUCUUAGUUGUAUAAUAUCAAUUUCACCUGAAUAUAAAAAAAAAAAAAAAAAAAAAACAAGUCCAAUGCUUCGAUACACCCCUCAAUUUCCAGGUUUAAGAAGAGAGUUUAUAGUUUAACUGAUUUAUAAUUAUACAUUGUGAUGACAAUGCAAGAUUUUAAAUAUACAUACUAUGUUGCUUGUAGUUGAUUUUUACCAACCAGUAACCUGAUACUAGAAGCAUCUCCGCAAGCCAAAUUAAAACAUUAUAUACUCAUCAUUGUAUUAAGUCGUUUUCUGUAACAUGUUAUAUUGUCAUGCAAAAUACUUUAAUAAAAUCCACCAUGCAUAUAUUGUGGAAAAGCUAAUCUGAAGUUGAAGUUCGGACAUCAUCUACUGCCAUUGCUUAAUCUAAUAUAUGCAGGUCUCCUUUUCUAUUAUCUUGUUACUUGCACAGGAAGAACUAAUAAAGAAGAUUUUCUUAUAUGCAAGAGUGCUUGCCAAGCUGUGUAGCAGCUAUUCAAUACUGUCUAAAAGAAAAAAGCACCUCAAAUUGUGCCAGUAGAGAAAAAACCAAAGAUACCAACCUUUAGAAGCUUCGUCAUUUGCCACCGGUUCUUGUUCAGCAACGUUUACCUGUAAGUUGGAUAAGAGACUCAAAGAUCGUUCCUUUUACAAUCUUAGCUAACAAGUACUAUGGCACUUGCCUUCUCUCUGGAAGCACCUUCAGUUCUGUGUUCAUUCUCAUUAGUAGUAGUUUCGCCAGUAACCCUAACUGGAACACCAUUUUCACCACCUGGACUAGACAAGCCUUCUGUUCCAUCAAUAUUCAUAUAACUAAAAGAUGGCUCUUCAACUUCCCUAGUUGGAUGAUCAGCGACUAAAGCCUCUAACUUCAUAUCAUUUACCUGAAAUAUACAAAACUUGAGCAACAAAAGGGAAACUAAAGAUCAGAUUUCAGUUCAACAACAGAUAUACAUGCCUGUUCGUCUAUACGGCCACCAAGCUCAGUAGAUAUAGACUUGUUAUUAUCAGCUUCCUUGUAGCUAUGCUCUGUGCUAUGCUGAGGUGUGCACGGGGAACUUGUUAGCUUUUCUUCAGUCGUGACCUUAUUGAUCACCCUAUCUGCCUGAGAAAGUGGAACAGACAAUUUUCCAAGCAAACUUGAUUUUUCUCCAUUUACCAUUAUAGAAGUAGAGGCAUCACCAGAAGUCAGAACCCUACUACCAUGGCCUUUUGGGUGUGAAGGAGAUUUCUUGCCUCGGCCUACAAUACUUGGAGAAGAAUCAUUACAAUAUGCUUCAUCAGGAUUGAGGGACAUUGUGUAUAAAUCAGCUCGUGGAUCUUUUGGCGAAAUACGUUUUUGCAAGGUUGAAAUUGCAGCAAGUGCACUCCUAGCUGCAUUUGUUGAAGAUAUUGGAAUUUUGGGGCUUCUUCUCAUAGCUUUAGUGUGUAAUGAUCCAAUAUUAGGCAAGUCUGGAAGGCGUACUUUUCCCACGUUAAUUGAUUUAAUCUGCAAGCUCUCCCUCAAUAAAGCUGCCCCUUCAUCUUCAUCCAAAUCCUUGAAUGAAGAUAGUAAAUUGUCUAGGAUACCAUUGACAUCCUUCUCCCUCUCAGUGACAGAAUCUGUACAAUGAACAACUGAUUAGGGGAAGGCACCUUCGCAUUUAUCCAAUGAUUAUAACAAACAAACAGUUAAACCUUUUCUUUCUGUUGCAUCCAAGAGAUUGUCAUUUACUGAAGAGCCAGGACGGUCAAUAUCUUUGGAACGUAUGUUGUCAGUUGAAAUGAUGCUAGUCAAAGCUUCCGAUGAGCUAGAAGCCUUUCCAUCAAGAGAUUCAUCUUGUGAUACUCCACGAGCUCUAAAACUAUCCACUUCAGCAGUGUAAUCAUACCUGUAGCUAACUUUCUUCCUGAUACAGCACAAAGAGGAGAAACAGAUAAAAAAAAUAUUAGUAGACAAUUAAGGAAACAAAAUAAAACAUUUCCAUUUGCAUUUGCAUUUCUUGUUGAUCAAAUCUAGAACCCAAGGUUUAAUUAUAAGAAUUUAUGAUUUUGGGGAUUGUUAUAUAAAUUUCACUUUCCGUGAGUUUUAAUAUAAAUCAAUGUGUUGAUUCAAAGAUAAUUUAGGCCUGUAAAAAGUUUACAGGGAUUUGGAGUGAAAACAGGUCAAAAACUGCGUUUCUAAAAGAGGGCUAAACCGAAAUUCUCUCCGCAGUUUGCACUCGGUUAUGACAUAUUAUGUGAAUCUUUAGAGAGUUUCAGGAAGAUGAAAGAUGCAGUGUUAAAGCACACUCGAAGACGAAUGUUUGAAACCAAGUUUCACCAAAAAAAGGAAUUUCGGGCGAAAAGUUACGGGAUCUUGAAAACAGUUUACGCGCAGUUUCUGCUGCGAGCUGACCCUCAAAACACAAUUUCUGGCAAAGUAUUCCACGGAAUUUGGAAGUAGAAGAUUUUAUGGAAUCUACACUCUGAGACAAACUCAUUGGACCAAGUUUCGCUGGAAUUGGACUUUCCAUUGCGAAACCACCACAUCUUGAAGUUGAUCCUUCGCACGCAGCCUCCUCGAUUGCUGCAGAAACUCAAGUUAGUUUCAUGUUUUCACGUGUUUGUCGCAAAAAUUAAGGCGCUCGAUUGUGAGGCAUCGUGAGGAGGACUUCUCCAAGGGCAAUCGUAAUAUAUUGAAUUUCAAUAUACUGAACUGAAUUUUGGCCAAAUUAGGUGAAAUACAAUCAAGAAGCAGAUGUGAUAGUGUUCGUGGUGGGUUCUAAGAAUUUCGGAACAGUUGAAACCGAUCUGUAGUUCCGUGGAGCGAAAACGAAAAUUUCGAGAUUAAGUGAUCUUGGGCCAUCAUAAUCUCAAGAUCUAGACCCUGGAGGAAAGCUUUGGAGCCUGAUGUUAUCAUUGGAGGGCCCCAAACAUCAAAGUCCAAACCUUUGCGAGGGGNNNNNNNNNNGGUGGGGGUCGGUGUUUGGAGGCGAUUCGGACCUUCGUCACGAAAUGGCUGAAAUCAAGGUUCCGAAUCCAAAUCGUUGCUGGAGGAUUCGGACCCUGACCACACGCAGCUUAGGCAAACGUUCAAGAUCUGUACUGUGGAGAGAGGAUCCGGACUCUCCGCAGUCUAGGAGCAUUGUAGGACAGAUUUAAUUCUUUUCAUUUGGGAGACUUGGCUAUUGUUACAACACUAUAAAUAACACCACCAGCCAUUUCCUCACUUCACCCUCACAAAGGAGAAAACUCUUCUCUUCCUUUCUCACCUAUUUCUCUGCCUCUCUCUAGAAAACUUCUCCUAAACUAUGGAGCUUGGAGGAAAGCAAGCUAGGAGGGGAUUUAGAAGGGAGGAGCAAGCUUCUUGGGCAAGAAGAAGUUUUGGAGGGGCUGAGGGUGAUGGUGAGUCUCUAGGAUUUUGGGUUAGGGUCUUGGAUUUAACCCCUAAGAAAUAGAAUUUUAACAAACCUUAGGCUAAUUUAAGCUACAAUUAUAAAGAUUUGCCAUCAGAUUUGGGUUUUAUUGUAGUUUUGGAAGCCCUAGGUCAAAAUUUGGAGUUAUUAUAUUUUGAGGGUUUAAAAAUAUUUUUUACCUUGGGAACUCUAAUUGAAGGUUAGAGAAACUCGUGGGGCAACAACAAGUUGAGAAACAACAAGCUUUUGGCAGCCGAUUUGAGGAUUAGAGCAAACUUUGAGAGUUUUUUGGCGGAUUGGCUUGGAGAGGAGCAAUUUUCUAUGAGGUCCUAAUUGCAAGCGUCUACAAACAAUUAGCGGUAAAUCGAGGUGGGUUGUACAUUAUCAAAGUGGAUUGGUCACUUUGCAUUAUCUAAAGUAAUAAACUAUAUUGAGUUUAUGUAUAUAAUGGAAUAGCAUAAUUGGUAAAAUAAUAUACAUGAAUUGUAUUUUACUUGAGAUAAAUUGCUACCAUGAUGCAAGGACUAGACAUAUGAUGAAUAAUAUUUAACUAGGUUUGGACAGCUAGGACAUUUUCUAAGGGCAACAAAAGUUGGACAUGCAUGUAUUAAUAGACCUAGUGUCAUCUAACAUGGGCCAUAGUCGGAGUAUUGAUGAAAGCCAGCAAAGGCAAAGCAAUCCAGUUUGUUUGAAAGCUGUUCUAUUUCAAAGUAGCAAGUGUCUUUUUCUUUUCCAAGUAACUAAGCUCUCUGUCCCCCUUAGGAGAGCCAUCAAGGUUGAUUAUGAUCUUCAAAAAAUAAUCCUAAUCUAAAACAAAUCCCACGAUUUUGGGGAUUUAUUUUCUAAUGCAAAUACAUCUAAAAAGAAUCCCAAACCAUAUCCCUAAUUUUUAGGGAUUUAUUCCAUAUAGAAAAUCUGAAAAAUCUAAAAAGAAUAACCCAAACAAAUUAACAAAAAUAAUAAUUCCAUAAAUUAGAAAAAGAAUAAAAUCUAAAUAACUCAAUCAAACCUAAUACAAGAAAUUGACUUAAUUAAAAAUAAGAUGAUUCGACUAAACCCUCUAAAUGUAGUUCUGCAUCACACUAACCUUUCCAAAUGUCAUAUUUUUUCGGUUAUGAAUAUGCUAGAACUAAGCACUUAAAACCUGUACAUUAAAGGAAUUCUAUGAGAUGAACACUAUCGUCGGUAACUACAAUUGAUAAUUGUAUGAUCCAACAAAUGAUGUUUGUAUGAUCCAAUUAGGCAACUAUAAUUGACAUUUGUAUGAUCCAACCACUCAAGUGGUAUUAAAUGGUAGCCGAUAUCAACAAAAAAUGGUGCUACUAUGGCACGCCAUGUCAUUGAAAUGUCAAUCAGCACUACCAUGAAAUAUUACAUUACUUGAAACACUUCACAAAAUGAAGUCUUAAUCCAAUAUCAGAACAAGAAAGUAGUAGAAAAUACAGAAUAGAGAAUAGCAUCAAACCUCUGUUAGAAUUAUCACGUGUAUCAUUUUAAAGACAGUCACUUGCCAACGUAAAGAAACUUAUGGACGGAGAAAUGCAAAAGAGACUGAAGAUCACGCCCGAUAAGAUGAAAAGUGAAGACUACUGGUAAUUAACAUUUUUACCUCCAUAACUAUCAUAGAGUUGAUAUCCAUAUACAAGAGAAGUAGCAGCAUACUUCUAUUAAUUAAAAGAGAAAAGCAUUUCACGAAAACAAGAAAAGGCAGAUAAAAGAAGAUAACCAAGUCCAUUAGUUGGGACUAUUUGUGCAUACUAAAACCGAAACUUAAAAAGAAAAGUAAACUCCAGUCAGGAAGAAUAAGCAUAUGAAUAGAAGGUUGUUUGCAUAGUGUCCUUUUUUUUUAUGAAAUAUCUAAGGAUGACUAACUCGCUUGAAAAAACUGGACAAAUAGUCAAACAAAGAAGUAAAGCAUACCGUAGUAUUCCCGGACGUUGCUGACGAGUAGUUGUAGUCUGUGAAUUCUGCUCUAAAUCAGUGGAAGCCUCACCCCUCAGUCUCUUCAAUUCUUUCUCGGCAUCUAAUUUCAAAACAAAUAAGAAGAAUUCUGAUGAUUCUUUAUUGUUACUAGCACAAGCAAAACAGAGAGCACUUUCCAUGUUGGUUAGAUGAUUACUUUCAAGCUUCUCAACGGCCCAAAAAUACUCUUCAGGAUCUUUGAUGCAAUCUAUGCUCGAAAAAUCUACAUUUUGCGUGGAAAGACUGCAAAGAAGAAGAACAUAGAGUUUAUGUUAGUAUGUAGACCACUGUGCUUACAAGUUAUAACAGGCAAGUAAAUAGCAAGACAUCUAUGGAAAAUAUCAAAUCACUUCAACAUGCUUACAACUGCAUAGAGACAAUUAAAAAUGCCGGUAAACUAAAAGAGAGCAAACUGAUGGUAUUUUCCUGCCAAUCUUGAAAUUAUGAUUGUAUGCAUCUAGGACAAACAAUUUGUUCGUAGGCGUUCUUAAAGUACAUAAAUCGAGAGAAUUGUUCAUGGAUGUUCUUACGGUAUAUUCAUUAAAAGACACGGGAGCAAUUACCCAUCGAACAUCAUCAAGCAAAAUGGAUAACGCUCAAUUGUCUAGAUCCCACAAAAUAAUGGCAAGUAACAAAUCCUUUCCUUCGCCAGCCACCCAACAUCGCACACGAAGCAUGCCCAAACAGACACACAAAGUGGAAGAAGAAGAAAACACAAGCAACUCAGCUCAAGUGAGAAAUGACAUUUGUACAAAAGCUUGUCAACAAGUUGAUUACCUUGGGAUGGGCUUCAAAGAAAAUUGAGCUCGUUUACGACCCAAUGCGGGCCUUCGCCCAUGGUUAUCAAGCUUGCCAUUCGUGACUAUAGCCAAGUCUCCAGCAUCUGCAUGCACACUUUUAUUGUUUGAAUAGCUCUGGACGAUCAUUCGCGCCUGUUCCAAAAUGUCUGUUGAACCUUCCAAUGCCUACUCUCACAUAAAAAUAUAAUAGUUGCCUUAGAUGAUGUGGCACAAAUAAUAAAAGAUAUAAUUUGUCAAAUAAUAAAAAAUAUAUAUUGCAAACAUGACUCUCUGAACAUCAACAAAAGGAUUGUUUGUGUUGCCCAUGCUGACUAAACCAUACUGUGACAACGCAUUGCCAAUACGUGGAAGGGGGUUGCUUGGUUACCUAAUUGGCUUAUUCGUAAAAGAACCUUUGAACAUCUAAUUGUAACUUGGAACGCGUGAUCCAAUUCAUGGAUCACUAGCGAAUUGGAACGGCAAAGCAAGCAAUCCCAUCACUAGCGAAUUGGAACGGCAAAGCAAGCAAUCCCAUCCUAACCUCUUCACUCUUUUGCUGAAAUCGUAUUGAGAGCAAUAUAUAUGCAUGUACAUAGGUGUGUAUGUAUCCGAUAGUUCUAUUUAUCAACACUUUGUGUGUCAAGUAAAGGAUUUCUAUUCUGAUAAAAUGCAUCACUGAAGAGUACCCCCAUCAUACCAUCUUUCAGAGCAAGUGGCAAUCUGCGAUCUAAUUCCGCUUUUGUGAACCAUAUUGAUCUGUGUUCUAGGUAACCUAGGGUGGUUGUACCAAUACGAUUAGAAUAAUUGGUUCUUUUGAGUUUUUUCUGAGGUGGAAAGGCUUGCAUUUCUUUUCCUUAUAUAAAUUUUGUAUAUUUGUGGAUCUAUAGUUGUACUAACAUUUGGAGAAAUUAAUUAGUUUCAUUGCAUGAUGGACCAAAUUUUAGUUAGAGGAUACAUCUAACAUAAAUACUUCAUCUUAAAAUAUACAUAAAAUAAUCUUUUCAAUUAUUAAGAUGUUCCUAAUUUUAUUUUUUACUAUACUGUGUCAGAUAUGUCACUAGGCUUUUUCUAUGACAACUAGAGACUUUAAAACACACUAAAAUGCCAUUUUUUCAUGAAAUUUUUAAAAGAAAACUCAUGCCAAUGUGUACCACUGGCACGAAAGGUCCUGUCGCCACCACCAACGUGCUACUGUGCUGUGUCGUGCUGAUGGCACACCAACACACCAUCCUUGCAUGAAACGUAUCCUCCUCUACUCAUUAGCAAUUGGACGACAUAAAAUGAACUACGGAGAAUGCAUUAGUAAUGAUUGAGGGCCAAGAAACCAACUCAAACAUACAAUGAGAAACCAGUCUAUAUACAGCAUAAAAACAAGUAUAUAAAGACUAACAAAUCAGGCACAAGCCAUCAAAAUGCUGCUACUCCAAGAAUCACAAAAGAAAAGCAUAUAUUUUUUUUUCAUCUGAGCAGUUCGUAAACUCUUUUAUAUGCUAAUUAUGGCCGCCAACAUAUUUUUCACCAGUCACCACUGCAGCACGUGCCAAGUGCUAAAACAACGCCUAUUUGAGUUCUUUUACAAUAAAAUCCUUUUGCCCACCCUUUUUUACAAAAAUUCAAUUAUGAGAAGAAUAAGAAUCUUAGUUUCACUUAGCACAAGAAAGUGAGAACGGAGGAGGCAGCCAUUACUAUGAAUCUAUGAUAAGACAUUGAAUUGAGGCAGCAAGUGUUUUGGAUCCAAAGAAGGAAAUAUUAUGCUGAACUUACUUUUGAACAAUAGUGGACAGAAAAGAAAGGAAAAAAAAAGUUGCAGAAUUUAAUAUUUUUAUUCAAUCAACUUAAAGAAUAGAUGGUACAUUUAUAACUUCGCUGGUAAGCAAAAAAUGUGCUAAUCAAGCAAUUCUACACUUGACCAUAUAGUGAUUGCUUUUCUGCCCAACAAAUGCUUUGCCAUAGUAGAGGCCUAUGCAAACACUCAGCAUGAGAGGUCAUGCUAUUAACAUGCAAUAUCAUGCCACUGCCAGCAUGUGUCAGAACUAGAUUAUCAAUAUAAGAAAAAAAGACAAUGUCCACUCCAAAGGUUCAAAUGAGUUAUCAUGUUACCAUAUGUACUCUAUUAAAUUAACACAAUGAUUAGAAGAUCUGGAAAAAAUUGGCCAUGAUUUUUCAUGAAUUUUAGCAAAUCAAGUUUAACAUACUUGGAUAGAAAAAAUGGAGGGUUACAAAUGAGGCAGUCAGUUCUUCUUGAAAAAUCACUUUUCAUUUCAUCAAAUUUAAUCAUUCAUAUACAAAGACAAUAAUUCUUCACAUAGUUUAAAAAAAGAAAAAUGCCAAAGUUGAGCUGCACUAGCAAUAUGGCAGGUCAGCCAAGACAAUACUAUGCCGGCAUUAUUUGCGACCCUACAAAAGUCCUACCAAUCUAAGUCCUUCUAUACUAGUGGCUACUCUAAUUGUGUACUUCAGAAUAUCGCACCAAUAUCCCAAAAAGCGGUCCAUGCGGCCGCAUAUGGGGUGUAGUAUGCAGCCGGACCUCUAUGCAACCCAUAUGCGUCGCAUAUGCAGCAGGCGGCCACAUAUGUAGCUGCAUAUGCGGUAAAGUUUUUUUUUUCUAACAUGAGAUUGAAAUACAAUGUUGAAUGAGAGUUUGAUUAAUAAUUAUAUAUAUACAUAUGAAUAUUUUUCAUACAAGUUUAAUUAAUAAUAAUCCACAUAAAUACAAUUACUUUUAUAUAAAUAUAACCUAACUUUCUCUCUUCUUAUUUUAGUAGGUUUAUUCUUAAUCUAUCUAAUAAACAUGUUUAUAAAUAUUGAUGAAUAAUUUUGUAAUUGUUAGUUGUUAUUUUUUUAAGUGUUGGCCUCUCAAAAGAUGUGAACGGCAAUUUAUUAAAAACUUUAUUAUUUUCAUAAAGCUUAGCGUAUCACUUAUUAGAACACUGAUUAUUGUUUGACAUUUUUGUGAUUUUGCAUCAAAAUUCUAUUCAUUUCUCUAUUUAAUAAUUAAGAGUAAAUUACUAAUUAUUAGUUAAUAAUACACAUGUGCAUAUGAGGUCAUUUUCUUGGAAUUAAUUAUUUUAAUUUAUGAAUUCUGAAUUUUUUUACUUUUGUUAUUUAGCUUUGUUAGGAAGCAUUUAUCUAUAUUUUUAAUACCUAUAGAUAUUUUAUUAGUAUUUUAAUAAAUGGACUGAAUACCCAUCUGCACAGGUACUGCAUAUGCGCUAUGCAGUAGAUAACCGCAUGAAUAUCGCACAUAACCUUUUGGAAAAUUGUAUCACAUUGAAUAUUGCACUAAUUUUCUUCACUAGGACAAUCUAAUAGCAUCCGCAGCAAAACUUCAUAAUGACUCCAGCUGACAUAUGGAGAUAAUCAGAAAUUCACUAUGAAACAAGCUAACAUUUUAGCCAACUUAUAUAGCUCAUUGUUUUAGAUCAUCAUCAGUUUUAAAAAGCUUCCUAAUUACUGAGUGGCUGUUUUAAGCCUCUGCGAAUAACAGACCAUGUGCUUACUUUGUAUUAAUAAAACAACCAUAUUUCUUAGUUGACCCAAGGAUAACAAACUAACUCAAAGUACUUUACUUGUUAAAAGCUGAAAAUCUUUUUUUCUUUUUCGCUAGUUCGCUAGCCUUAUAACGAUGUGAUUACAAUUGAACUUCUCCUUUAUUGUCUUUGAACUUUGAUACAAAUAUUUUGAAAUGUACUCUAGUUCUUAGUUUAAAGGGCCUUGAACAUGCUCGCAAACAUUCCUAUGACUCAACUGCUUCAACAACUUAAUAGAGAGACAACAAUCCAGCAAUAAGGCUUGCUUACCACUCUUAUCAUUUUUACGUGUUUUCAAAGACAGCUUCUAUGUGAAGCAGCAGCAGGUGGACUUACCUAAUUAUUCAUUGCUAUUUAGCGUCUGAUACACCAAGGCUAGACGCAAAAUGGUGUCUUUUUGAAAAUAAAACAGAGAAGCAAAAGAAAAUUUAUUACAAAAUUUUACCUCAUGCAGAUUGCCAGCAAUUUGCUGAUAGCAAGACUCCGUUGCAGAGAAUUUGUGUUUAAAAAUACAAAAAAGCAGCAGCUGUAGCAGCCGAGGCCUAAGAUGACAUAAACUAACAGAGAAAGCUACUGAAGUAAAUGCAACCAAUUAACAACACGCACCGAGACUUAAUAUUGAAACCAAGUGUAACAGCAAAAUGAUCACAGUUCACUAGAAUUAGAGAAUCAAGGACAAUUCAAAUCGAUUUUUUACCACCCAACUUCACCAAAAUCAGGUGAAAAAAUUCUACAACAGGUCCCCCAAACUAGAGAAUGCUCUGCGAAACAAAUCAAAUCGAUUUUUCACCAAAUAACAUCCUAAGAUCGAUCUAAACAAGGAAAAGGAUCGAAGAAGGGUUUGUUUAGAAGUAGAAGCUGUACGAGGAGGGGUCUAAGUGAGCAAUGUACCACGGAUUUGAGGAGGUUUUGGAACGACUCCGCAUCGUGGGGCUUCGAGGACGAGGGUUCGGCGAGGGUCGCGGCUCCAAGCGUGCGAGGGAGGAGAGAAAGGGGAGAGAGGUCGGCGAGGGGAUCGUCGCCGUCGAAGUGGCGGAUGUCGACUGCCAUGGAUCACGGGUGAAAAACCCUAGAUCGGAGGUGGGGGGAGAGAGAGAAAUAGAGAGAGAGAGAGAGAGUGAGACGGGGAAGGGUUCGGCUGUGAGGUGGAGUGGGCGUUGGAUUUUUUUGAAUGAUACGCUCCGUUUUCAAAAAGGACGCGACUUGUUGGAACACCACCGAUUUUAUUUUAUAUUUUUAUUUUUAAAUUUUUUUUUUGCAUUCAGUCAUUAAAAAAAAAAAAAUCAUAAAUGAUCUCACAAAAUUUAUAAUUAUAAAACUGAACUUAUUUUCACAACGCAAGUCACAUCAGCGACUGGCUGAAGUAGUGGUAUAAAUCAAAUACAGUAUUCACUGUGUUUAAGCUAAACUGUACUGCAAAACUAUUUGAGUUCUUCUACGCAGCAGGACUUGACUGUUGUUCAACAUGGUCAAGCACAGUGAAUAAUUUAUCGUAUUAGAAUAUAGUGAAUCACUAAUUUUUUUAAAAAAAAAUCAAAUGGAUAGAAAUUAGCGUUUAACUAAAAAAAUAUUUUUUAGAAUAUUUUUGAAAAUCAACACUCAUUUUGUAGGAAUGAAAAUAGGUGGGACAUAUAUUGGAUAGUGCCUAAUUCAUAUCCUAUCUAUAUUUUUAUGUCGAAUCUAUAUCCAAGUUUUAAUAUUAAUCAUAUAUUAAAGUUUAUAUUUCAUAAAAGUAAAUUCGGAUACAAAUUAAAUAUCAAAUAGAUGCGAAUAUUAAUUACGAAUAUUAAUUGAAAAUUCAAUCCCACUUUUAUUUCUAAACGGACUCGAAGUCCGAGAAAAAAAUUUAAAAUAUAAUAAUUAUAUUACUAAUAUGGUAUGGUGUUUUCAACCAAUCAAAAAACCCUUCUCGAGUUCCCUCAUCCUAUCAGUAAUUUUUUAAAAAUAUUUUUAUUAUAUUUUUCUAUCAAAUAAGAUAUUUGAUUGGUUAAAUAUAAAUAAUAUGAUGUUUUGUUAGUUAAAAUUAUUAUUAUUAUUAUAUCAUCUUUUUUUAUUUUUGAAUUGUGGAACCAAACGUGGUACGACAGCCCUUCUCAUGAUCGGGCCUUCGGUGGGGCCCACAACGCGCGAGCUGGCGCGAGCAGGUGGCGCGGGCGGGUGUAGGAAGGCGAGCAGGCGCGAGUGAGGGCGAGCAGACGAGCGGGUGCGGGCGCGCGAGCGGGCGAAAGCGAGCCAACGCAUGCAUGACCCGGCGCGGACGCUAGCUCGCGCGAGGCUGUUUUUUUUUCUUUGAAUGUUGAGUUUGAAGGCUGGUUGUUGACCUACUCCUCUGAUACGUCUAAUCGCCAGGACCUCUUUCGCUCUCCGCUCUCGUUCCUCUCACUCUCUGCUCUCGCUUUUCAUUAAUUUGUCGCCUUCUUGCUCUGCUCUCGCUCCUCGGUCCGCUCUCGCUCCUCAUUAAUGGCGGGCGGGAUCCGCCGCUGGGUGGCAUUUCGUGGGCUUCUGGCGGCUUGCGUCAUGUUGGGGGUCCGAUCUCGGGUAGAAUCAUUGGCGGCAUAGUGGGUGGGAUGGUCGUGUCAUGCUGAUGUCCCCGCUCUGCAGCCGAAUUGCGGUAUCUUUCCUCCCUUCUGCACCUUUCGUUCGAGCGUCAGCCGGGUGGCGGUAUCUUGCCUCCCCUCUGCACCCUUUGUACGGGUGUAAGUUGGCAUGCCGGGCGGGAUGGACGCGUCAUGCUGAUAUCCUCUCUCCGCAGCUGGAUGGUGGUAUCUUCUCUCCUCUCUGGAUCUUCCGUACGACCGUUAGCACCCGGUGGGUUUCUGUUAGGUUGUGUCAUACCGAUGGUUCGAACUCGAGGUUGGGCUAGCGCGUCGUACGUUCGUCCAUGCUGCCUCUUCAUGUGGUUGAGUUGAUUCGACCGGUGGGUUUCUGGUACUUGAGUUUGGGGUGGCACGUCAUGCGUUUGCACGUCCCCCCUCUUCGUGUGGUUGCGUUGAUUCGAGGAAGGAGGCGGUUGGGUUAGUCGAUCGCAGUCGGUCCUGCCGUACGCCCCCCCCUCCCCUACUCCCUCCCCUUCCCGCCUCCCGUGCACUAGGGGACCGUACGCCCUCCCUUCCUCCCUCUCCCCUGCUGCCUUUGCUCAAUUGCUUAUAAAUACAAGGAUUGCUCUAGAAUUUUGUGGAUUUUCAUGUGCUUUUCCUCUUCUGUUUUCUUCCUAUAUCCUCUAUCCUCUAUCGUAUAUCCUCUAUUACUCUAGGGUUCGGUGUUGUGGGUUUUCUAUCGAAGGGCUAAGAAAGGUGGGGCUUUUGUUCGGAAGGCAUUUCACUCCUGUGGGUUCUUUCGCAGAGUGCUAAGAAAGUUGCAGCUUUUGUUCAUUGAAGCCUUGGUUGUUGUGGGUUAUGGUUGGUUUCCCUGCCAUUUGCGAGCUAUCGUAGCUGAAAGAUGGUUUCUGUACAAUUUGUUUGUUUUUUUUAUUGCUAUGUUUUUUAGGUGUUUCUCUAGUUUGCUGAUUUAUUUCUCCAUGCGUUUUGUUUUUUUUUGUGAACUAUUUUGCUGCAGUUAUGACAUCAGUAGUUGUUACCGUAUAUUUUCGUGAAUUGUUACGCGAUGUGUGCCAAAAGUAUUCGCUCCCGGCUCCGAUGUAUGGUGUCCCGGUUGAAAAUGAUGGAUUGAUUAGUGUUAAUGUUGAAGUUGAGAUUCCUAGAGGUGAAUCUGUUGCUGAGACCAUUAGAAUUUGGGGCAAUCCCUUCUCGGAUAUUGAUCAAUCUAAGGAGGAUGCUGCUCGGCAUGCUGUCGCAAAAUUGCAUGACGAGUAUGCUUUUGAGGUUAAGGAUGCAAAUUUGGAGAUAAAAAAAUUUACGAGAGUUUGUAUGCUGAGCUUUUAGUGGACCAUACUGUGGUCCGCGAAAAAUAUAAGCAUUUAAAAACUGACUACAAUUUAUUAAAGGUUUAUUAUAAUAAUCUUAUGUCUGAGAAGGAGCUCAUAGUUGCUGAGAGGCGUGAGUUCAUGGGAAACAUAGAAAAGUGUUCUGAGGUGCUUCAGCGGCAUAGCAUUCGUGGCGUUCACCCUGCGAGCAGUGGGGAGGGGUCUGGUGAAGACUCGGCGACGCCAUUUCGUUGUUGCUUUAUUUUGGCAGUUCUCAGAGGUUUUGGGUAUGUACUUAGGAAAAAACCUCCUAUAGUUAUAUAGUAUACUGGUUUAGUUUUUAGCAGGGCUUUUCAGGAAGAACUAUGUGAAGUUUAUGUUAUGAGUUUUUGUUCUGGUGGAAAAAAAAAUGUUCUUCCUGUACUGCGUAAUGAUGUUCUUGUCUUUUUGGGUGGCCUUAGGAGAUAGGAGAUUAGGCAGUAUUCUAUGGAGCUUUGGGCAUUUUUCCUCUCUUGCUCAGAUAUGGUUUUAUGCUAUAUGUAAGCUGCUAGUUUUAAGUCUGGUUUUAAAUGAUAAGCGGUGGUGAAAAAAAAAUGUGGCGUCCUUGGAAUGGAUGUCUUCCUUUUCUUUGAUGAUUAGAUACUAAAAUACUAUUGCAGAUUGGGCCAGAAAAAAAAUAUGGUGCCCUUGAGAUGGAUGGCUUCCUUUUCUUUGAUGAUUAGAAGCUAAAAUGUUGUUGCAUAUUGGAUGGUCCUUCGGCAACUAUUGCAUACAAGCAAUUCAUUGGUACAUUGCAAAUUGGAUGGCCGUUGGGCAACCAUUGCAUUGCAAAUGUUGUUGUAUAUUGGAUGGUUUAUUUUCACAUAAGUAUUAUAAAAGUUUUAAUAAAUUUAUAGAUGUUUAAAAGCGUUGUUUAAAUUUGAUAGGCAGGUGUAAGAUUGGAGUUUAACUAUGAGUGUACAAGUAGUAUAUCUGAAUUUUUGGAGCUCGGAAUAUUGUAAUGCAUCUAAUUAAUUAUUGUCCUAUGUUGAAGAUUUUGUGGCAUGCAGAUACAUAAUCGCCUUCACAAAAAAAAUAAAAAAAUUUAUUACAGUUAUCCUUACUUAUGGCAAUAUUGGUCAUAUCUUUUUCUCCUUUUAUGAAAGUAAGGUUAUCGUGACAUGGCAGUAUUGGUCAUAUUUUUUCCUCCUUUUGUGAAAGUAAGGGUGCGAAACGAUUAUAAUUAGUGCACAGGCUUUGGAUCGUCUAUUAUGUGGGGAAGAUAAUAUUUGUACUUAGGUACGGGUACCAUUACAAAGUAGCCUAUAAAGAAAGUACGGGUACCAUUUCCCAACAAUUAGCAAUCGCAACAAAUUCGGACAGAUUUGUGCUGCCACCUGUUAUAAAAAAUAUCAUUGGUCAAUCUUAUAUUUUUCAAAUAGUGUCGGAUAAUCGUAGGUCUAGUACAAAUCUCAAGUCAUUUCGUGUCACAAAAAUUUUUUCUGUUGACUUGGAAAUCAAAGGAAAAAAUAAGAAAUGCGAAAACCGUAUUCAGGAAAUUGAAGAAGAAAUUGUUGAAAGUACAAUUGUUGUUAAACAAAUCGAUGACAUUGUCGAGGAAAUAUUUCAAACCCAGCUGCCGCAAUCAAUGUAAGAAAAAAUAGUAUUAGUUAUUAGAAUCGGUUUUUUGAUAUAUAUUGAUGUCUUUAAUUUUGUAUUAGAAGUUCACAAUCAAGUGUAGAAACAUUUAAAUUGAGAAAGGGAAAAAGACCUUUUAGGUAACAAUAUUUUUAACUUUUUCAUGUAACAAUUCUAGCAUUUUUUGAGUUUUUUUUUUUUCUCCGAUAAAAAAUAAUACACAUUCCUUUUUUUUCCCCUGUUGUGUCGACCAUUCUGGAUCAAAUGAAUAAAUAUGAGGUUUCUACUUUUUAAUGCUUAAUUCGUCCAACGAGUUGUAUGGGAGGUAAGGCGUUCUGAUAAAAGACCCGGCUUUGUUACUUUUCUUGGGAGCCCUUAGAGGUUUUGGAUUUGUCCUUACAGUUGCAUAAUAUUCUGAUUUUAUUUAUAAAAGAAUUUUUGUGGAGGAACUUUGUGAAAUUUGUGAAGUUUAUGAACUUUUGUAAAGGAACUUUGUGAAUUUUUGUCGAGGAAUUUUGUGGAGGAACAUUCUAGAGGAACUUUGUAGGAGGACUUUUUGGGAUUUUACUAUCUCAUUAUUCUCCUCUCUACUACUUUUGAUUUUAUGUGUAUGCUUUGUUGAAUAUAACUUUUGUGCUGUCUUAGGUUUAUUCAUUAUACAUGAAUGUCACUUUUGUCCUACCUUUAGUUUUUUGAUUUUAAAUAUAUAUUUUGUUGAAGAUCACUCUGUUAUAUGUAUGUAAGAACUGUUUGAUAUGAUUCAUGUUCCAUAGCCAUUCAGUGCAGAAAGGUUUUUUUUCCCCUGGCUUGAUAAUCGCUAUGAGAAUGUGUUGCAUAACUAUUUGUCGUAAAAAUUUAGAUUUUUUUUUUUUUGCAAAUCUUCUCCAGGUUCGCAAUGCAUAAGGUACAUUGAUUUUAUCUUUAUCUGAUUAUCUUUAACCAUGAUUUUCUGCAUGCAUGAAUAGUGUAAUGUUUAUGUUGAAUGGAUAUUAUUAGGAUUUUGUUGUUAUGAUUAGAACUUCUAUUUUAGUUAAAGGAAUGCAAAACUGAUUCCUACACCCGCUCAUACACCUGCCCGCUCAUGAAUCUCGGAUGCAUCUGCCCAUACCCCGCCUAUCUAAAAAAUGUGGGCCCCAUCAAAGCUCCCGGUUAAGGAGAGAGCUUUCGUAUUGUUUUAUGUUCCUCCAAUUCAUAGUUAUAUAUAAUAUAAAUAAGUUCAUAUUUAGUUCUUCAUUAUUAUACAAACAAUCUGCCUUAUAUUAACUUUUAUUCUUAAUAUUUAUACUAGGUUUUUAUUCUACUAUAUUGUAUGCAAAUUUAUUUUAAAUUUUCUAUCCAUCAUAUUAUGUUUAUUUUCUAACCAUUUUUAGUAUAUUUUCUAUUUCGUAUAUUUUAUAUUUUCAUAUGUUCUGAAAAUUAUAUGUUUCUAAAAAAAAAAUAUUAUGAAUAUGGUUGUAAUUCAAAUAUUAUCUUCCCGUAGCACGGGCCCGUACCUAGUGAUUAUUAUAAUAGCAACUUAUUCCUAGUCUCACACUCGAAGUCUCCAACUGCUGGAAUUUUCCUACGUCGAGUUCGAGUUGAAUAUGAAUAUAAUAGUUUUUUUAAAAUUUCAUAUGUUAUGAAAAUUAUAUGUUUCUAAAAAAAAAUAUUAUGAAUAUGGUAAUAAUUCAAAUAUUAUCUUCCCGUAGCAUUGUGUCGAAGUCUCUAACCGUUGGAAUUUUCCUACAUCGAGUUCGAGUCGGACAGGAAUAUAAUAGUUUUUCUAAAUUUUUUUUUAACUUGACAUUUCUUAAUAUAUAUUUCUCUCGCACGUUAAUUAAUCAUCACUCCUAAGUUCUUCUUCGCAUCGCUUAAUUUGAUUCCACCUCCGCUUCAUCCCCGCGUCUCGCUGCAGCUGCGGUAGUAGCUUCUACGACAUCGUUGUUCCGUCUCCUCCGCAGCCCUACGACGCUUGUGACCUCCACAUCGAUCUUGAAGAAGAAGCAAGCACACCAUGGAAAAAAAACCUCGUUGUCUCCUGGCUCCCUCCUCCAGAGAGCUGGGUAAAGCUGAAUGCCAACGGUUCUUUCGUCAGCAAAGACUCGAGCGAAGGCGCCGGCUUCGUGGCCACAGACUGCAACGGCCACUUCCUCUUUGCUGGAGCUACGGAUUGCCAGGGCGUUGAUUCUCCGUACUCGGAGUUGUGUGGCAUCCGAUCCGCGCUGGCGGAGGCAAAAAAGGCUGGCUUGCUGCGUGUCAUCUUGGAGAGCGACUCAUCCUCCGCGAUCCACCUCGUUGGCGGGGGUAUCAAGAAUGCGCCCCGGGGAAUGAAAUAGUUGGUGCAGCAGUGUCAAGACCUCAGCGACAGCUUUCCUGAAAUCAUCAUCCAACAUACGUACCGAGAGGGCAAUAGCGUAGUUGAUCGUUUUGCCGUGGUAGACCGCCAAUCGGGACGAACCCAAUUCUUCGAGCAUUUCAUCGAGCUGCCGAACGCUGUCUGUCACCAAAGAUAAUGUUGUCUUUGAUAUGAACGAUGACGCUUUUGUGCGGCCUCCUAAACUAUAGUCUAUAUAUAUAGUAUCGUGUACUAUAUAUAUAUAUAUAUAUAUAUAUAUAUAUAAUAAUAUAUAUAUUGACUAGUAUUCUUCUCCUUCUAAAAAAAAUCAUACAUAUAUAAUUUGUUUAGAAAUGUUUCAAUACACGGGCUCAAUUAAAUCUAGCCAUUAUAUUUAAGGACAAAUUGACUUUUAUAUAGUAGUUACCUACUCAACAGUUACCAUUGAAAAUUAAUAGUAAGGAUAAUAUUGAAAAACAAAUACAAGCUAAUUACCAAAUUUGAUUAACCUUGCACAAAUAUUUUGUUCCUUAUUUAAUUUUGUUACUUACAAUUAAGAUAGUGGCUAAUUUGAUAAAUAAUAAACCUUUAUAAAAUUUAAUUUGAGCUUAAACUUUAUAAUUGUAUAUAUUAAAUUCAAAUUUAAUUUUAAUUUUAAUUUUCAGAAAGAAAAAAUUUAUGUUUAAAUGAAUAGUAUAUUAUAAUUCAAAUUGUUAAUUUGAUAUUAAAAUAACAUGAAAGUUCAAAUAUAUUAACUUAUUUUAAAUUGUAAAUUAUGUUGUACUCAUAAAGGUAACUUUUAUUAUUUAUUUAAAUUAAAAACUUCUAUUUUUUAAAUUAAAUUCAAAAUGGACAUGAAUUUCUCUCUCAACAAAAAAAAAGACAUGAGUUUGGAGGAAAAUGGAAUGCUAUGGAUGGGAAAUUUAAAAAGAUGGAAGAGGAAGAUGGAAAAAAUAAUCUAUCACUUAAAAAUUUUAAGUAUAAAUUAGCUAUUAAGCAAUGGAAAUGGAUUUCUCUCUCAACAAAAAAAAAAGGGAAAAUGGUUUCCAACGAAGAUGGGCUGUGAUGGAAAUUUUUCAAUCGAUAAGAGGGGUGACUAGUACCUAAGGCAACAAAAGCCAGUUACCCUCUUAAAUAAAAGACAUCUCCACCAUCUAUUUUAAAAAUUUUAAGAGCUGAGAUCUUAUGGCGCAUAAGAGUAUUGCUUUAAUUUGUUUUGUUUUAUUUUCAUCAGUUCAAUUCUUUAUCUAUAUCCGUAUGAUUUUUAUUCAUCAGAAAUAAAAAAUUGAGUUCGGUCGAAUUUGAUUUCGACUUUGGGUCAAUUCUGCUACCGUAUUUGUUUAGUUUUAUAUGAAUAUUCAUUGCUAACGUAUUUAGUGCAGAUUAUUCUGCUAAGGAAUUGUGCUACGCUUGACUAUAUAUUAUGUUUAUUAGUAACUGUACAUAGCAGUGGUGUAAACUAGUUAGCACACGAGUUCUUAGUAAGCUAUAUAUUCGUGUUCAAAUUUGCAAGUAUUUGGUAAAAUUGUACAAAACUUAUAAAAAAUAUAGACUAUUUUGAUUUAGCUAUUCAACUUUUUAAAAUUUUAAUUUGAUUUGAGUUAGUCAACAAUACUUUAACUUCAAAAUUAGAAUGCGACAUUUAUCUUUAUAUAUCUAAUUAGUAUACUUCAUAUAAUUUUGGCAACUAUGAAUUCGUUGGAAUAAGUAAUUAGUGUACUCUUAAAAGUUACAAUAUCGUUGAAUAACUCAAAUCAAAAAAUUUGUAAAGCUGGAUAGUAAAAUCAAAAUCUUGAAAGGUUGGAUAGCCAAUUUACAGUGAUCCAUUAUUCAGGUAAUUUUUGUAUAUUUUUACCAAACAUUUUCUUAAUUUUUGCUGUAAAAUAUGAUCUGAAAUUACUGUUUCAUUAUGUCAUUUUAUUUUAAAAGUGCUCCUUGUGCAAAGGCAAUGUGAAAUAAAAAUAAAAAUUCACCAACCGUAUGCUGAGUAUGCAUGUCUAGGUAGAGAUGUCAACGGGUUGGAUUUGAGGCGGAUUUUCAAAAACUCGAACCCAAACCCGACUCCAAACUCGAGACCCAAACCUGAAUCCGAACUCGAUGGAUUUAAAAAUCCAUAUCCAAAUCCGAACUCGACAAAAAUCUGAAACCCGAACCCGACCAAAAAUCCCAAACCGAACCUGAAAAUUCGAACCCGAAACAAUUAUUAUUUUUUUCAAUAAGUCAAAAUAUAUUACAUUAAAUCUAAAUAUUUAAAAUACAAAUUCAAAUAUAACAUCAAAUUUUUAUAUAUAUUAUCCAUAAUGCAAAAUAAAUUCGAAUUCGGGUCUGGUUCAGGUUCAGGUCGGGUACAGUCAAAAUCCAUAUCCGAAUCUAUAUCCGUCGGAUUUUUAUUUUUGAUAUCCACAUCCGAAUCCAUAUCUGCUUAGCAUUAAAUAUAUCCGCUCCAUUCGGGUUAGGAUUCGGAUAAAAUUUUGGAUAUCCGUACCCAUUGACAUUCCUAUGUCUAGGGGUUGUAACGUGGAAAGCGCAUGCCUGGAGGCAAGGAUGUAAAACGGGCUGAACGACUUGCGAGCCGCCGGGACCAGCAUGGCCUCGGGCCGGGCUGCAGCCUGGCACCGGCGGUCCGGCCUAUACCAUGCCCAGAAGCAGCCCACAGCAAGGCCUGAAACCCAAGAAACUUAUCUUGGGCCUUGGGGUUUGAGCUCCCGGAGAGAACGGGCCCCAAGAGCUCUCCUCCUAACGUCUGCGGGUAGGCCCACUAUGGACCUUGGGAAGCGUGAUUUUGGCCGACUAAACAAUUUUGAUUCAUUAGUCCAAAACCCUCUUUCAACUCAUUUUUUUUAAAAUAGUAAUAAUUUAUAUUUUUUUAUUAUUUUUUAAUUAUUUUUAUAAAUUUUAAAAUCGUUAAGCAAAAUAUGGAUUUAAGAUAUAAAUAAUUUAUUGAUCAGAUUUUUAAAUUUUAUUUUUUUAAAAAUAAAAAUUAAAAACUUUGAAAAUAAAUUUUUAAAAAUUAAAAAUUAAAUUUUAUACCGAAAUAGUUUCUUUUCUCGAAAAUAAUAAAAGAUGUUUUUCAAAAUUUAGUUCUCAGACGAACGCAAGGCGUAGAUUUUCUAUGCAAAUUGGCCUAAAUAUUAUCCCUAUCCCUGAUAAUGCAAUAAAUAAAAAACAAAACCCCGCUCCGACCCUUCCCUCCAAAACCCUUCCCCUCACCUCGUCUUCUCCGGCACCGAUGGCUUCCGCCGCCGACGCCUCCGGGGAGGACGCGGCUGCGGCGGCGAUCUUGCCGCCGUACGAGCUCCGCGCGACGCUCUCCGGGCACAAGCGCGCGGUCUCCGCGGCGAAGUUCUCCCCCGACGGGUCCCUCCUCGCCUCCGCCUCCGCCGACAAAACCCUCCGCAUCUACUCCGCGCACUCGCUCUCCCUCCUCGCCGAGCUCUCCCCCGCCCACGGCGAGGGGAUCUCCGACCUCGCCUUCUCCUCCGACGCGCGCCUCCUCUGCUCCGCCUCCGACGACCGCUCCCUCCGCCUCUGGGACCUCGCCGCCCCCGGAAACCCUACCCUCCUCAAAACCCUAAUCGGCCACACCAACUACGCCUUCUGCUGCGCCUUCAACCCCCAGUCCAACCUCGUCGCCUCCGGCUCCUUCGACGAGACCGUCCGCGUCUGGGAGGUGCGCUCCGGGCGCUGCCUCCGCGUCCUCCCCGCCCACUCCGAGCCCGUCACCGCCGUCGACUUCGACCGCGACGGCGCCCUCAUCGUCUCCGGCAGCUACGACGGCCUCUGCCGCGUCUGGGACUCCGGCACCGGCCACUGCGUCAAGACGCUCAUCGACGACGAGAGCCCGCCCGUGUCCUUCGCCAAGUUCUCCCCCAACGGCAAGUUCGUCCUCGCGAGCACCCUCGACAGCACCCUGGUGAGAACCCAAUCUCGACAUUUUGUCUCUUUUCCUGUGAAUUUUGCUGCUUUGAGUGUGUAAUUAAAAGUUAGUGUAAUAGGGGCCAAAUGUGAACUAUGGAUCAUAAGCAGCGCUGCUGUGAACACACUGGAUUGAAUUAGGAUAGUUUCAGGAAUAGCUGUUCUACUAAUCACAACAAACACUCCCCCAAUGGCAAGUUUGUGCUCGCGAGCAUGCUCAACAGCACCCUGGCGAGACCCUGAUUUUGACAUUUGAUUUUCUGUGAAUUUGGCUACUCUGAGCGUGUAAUUGUUAGCGUAAUAGGGGCCCAAUGUGAAUGGUGAAUCAUAAGAAGCGCUGCUGUGAACAUGCUGGGAAUAGCAUUAUCCCUCUUUUUAUCUCCGAAUUAAUCCACUAAUCACAAGGAAUGCAUCCUAGCGAAAUUCUCCCCCAAUGGUAAGUUCGUCUUCACAAGCACGCUUGACAGCACCCUGGUGAGACCCCGGUUUCGACAUUUUGGUUCUUUUCCCGUGAAUUUUGCUGCUUUGAUAUGUGAUUAAAGUUAGUGUAAUAGGGGCCAAAUGUGAACUAUGGAUCAUAAGAGGCGCUGCUGUGAACACACUGGAUUAAAUUAGGAUAGUUUCAGGAAUAGCAUUAUCCCUCUUUUAUCUCCGAAUUAAUGCCCUAAUCGCAAUAAAGUGAACAAACGUAUCCUAGCGAAAUUCUCUCCAAAUGGCAAGUUCGUGUUCGUGAGCAUGCUCGACAGCACCUGGUGAGACCACAAUUUUGACAUUUUCCUUGUAAAUAUGAUUAGGCACAUGGAAAACAAAAAGUUGGUUCUUUGAAUAACCCUAGAUUAUGUUUUAUUUAGUCAGGGGAUAAUUCAGGAUUAGCUGAACUAGGAUAAUUAGGUAUAACAAUUAUAAAAGUAUCGAUAGCACUUUGUUAAGACCCGCUGGACUCGGUGAUUUGAUACUAUUGCUUUGUGCGAGUAUGUAAUUGUGUGGGAUUAGGCAAAGUAAAAAAAAAAAAAGAAAAAAAACGAAAGCCGCUUCUUUUAAUUUCCUAUUAGAAGGUGAACCCUAUAUUAAGCUUUUGUUUAGGGGAUAGAAUGUGACAAAUAAAUCAUUAGACAUUAAACGUGGGUAAUCUCUUUAUAUAUUUUUUGCUUUGUUUGAGUUUUUAAUAGUGUGUGUAAAAGUUGCUUCAUUUUUUUUUCUGUUAGAUGUUGAACACUAGAUUAAAUGUUGGUUAGGGGAUAACUGGGUAGAAAUUAAGCACUCCAUUAAUGAGGCCAAUGUGACAAAUGAAUCAUAACAACAGCUGCCAUGGAAAUAUCGGAUUGAACUAGGAUAAAUGGAUUUAGCCUGAUCAUAAGAAUGCCGGAUAGCACCAUGGUGAGACCUGCUGGGCUUGGUGUUUUUGACAAUUUCUUGGUUGAUCUAUUGUUUUGCUCGAGUGUAUAAGCGGGUGUGAUUAGGCAAAGGGGAAUAAAGGGGGGAAAAAAAAUUGGUUCUGUGAAUUUCUGGUUGGAAGUUGAACUCCAGAUUGAGUUUUUUGUUGGGAGAUAAAACGUGACAAAUGAAUCAUAAGAACAGCUGCUGUGAAUAUAAUGGAUCAAAUCAUUAAGGAAGGAUGAUUUCAGGAAUAGCUUGUCCAUCCAGCUGCUGGAAUAACACUAUUCCUCAUUUAGGCCCCACUUGUCCUGAUAACCACAACAUUUAUCCUUUGUCGUUUUGCUGUUGUACGUCCAAUGUAAACCCAAAAGAUAGAAUUGAUAAUCCUGCAAUCAUUAUAGUUGUGCCAGCAAAGUAAAACUAAAUGUGAGAUAGACUUUGUUUGUUGUUAUAUCCGAAUAAUGGGAUUGCUCAGAAAUUAUAAGUUAUUCAUGCAUAACUGAUCCCUGAAUCAAGAACGUACAUUGGAUGAAUUUUGUAGGUUUUAAAGAUUAAUAACUGGAAUAGUUAGAUACAAUUGGAAUGCUGGUUGAAAAUUCUUGUUACUUGUUAAAAUCUUAGGGAAGGCAUUCCAUGAUCGAGAACUUUUAUUUCGCAUUGUUGGACCUUUUUAAGGGCACUGCCUGCAUUAACUCUUUGUAGUAUAUGGAUGUUCAAGUUUGUUAUUGAUAUCUUCUUUCGUUCUUAGAAUCGGGGAAUAAUAUGUGGCUCGGAACGGGCCAACGUCAUAGGCUCAGAGCUUGGACAAGCUCGUCUUUUUUUCUUCCUCACUGAAAGUGAGAAACCAAACUCUAGUUGAACAAAUUUUGGUGUUAACUUUUGUGAUAUAUUAUGAGAUGAACAAAAAUUAGCAUAUGCACUAGUAAUGUGAAUUGGUUUUCUGGACAUAUUUAUUUUAAUAAUUCAUCAUAUUCUGUCAUUUUUGCCUUAAAAAUGUUAUGGUAUGAAUUCGUUCUUAUGACAUCAGUUGGGAAGGCUAUCUCAAUUUUCAUCAAAAGUUUAUCUGGAAACCUCAUCAAGUUGUCUAGAUUUUUAUUGAAGUAAUGCAGUGCUGGAGCAAACAGAUACCAUGUUGGUGAUAGUUCCAUUCAACAUUAGCUCAUAUUGCCUUUGCCUAAUCGUUAUGCUUUUGUAGACUUGUAGUACUCAAGUAAGUGAAAUAACUGUCAUAUUUCACUGAAGGAGUAAAAGUUUGGUAACUUUCUUUUUCUCCAAAUCUUAUAAGAGCAAGAAUAGUGGUGGUGUCCUAUCACCAUAUACAAUUCGAUGGAAAAAAGUUCAAAUCCUCCUUUGUGUUUUAGCUCUAACUCUAUUUCAAGACCUGACAAUCGGCCUAACCACAUAAGUAAGGAGAGUUUAUAGAUAGCAUUCCAUUUUUAGCCAUAUAAGUAUGCUGCUAUAACACCUCAGCUGUUUUUGAUUAUUUGAGAUCAAUACUGUACCAAUUUAUUUCAGUAAUUUUAAGUGCACAAGAUACAGUUCUUGUUGAUAUUUGUAUUGUUUGGAAAGCAUUCAAAAAAGAUACUUUCCCAAUAUAGAUGUUGCUGAUACAUGCCUGCCUAAACUUUCUAUUCAGCGGCUCUGGAAUUAUUCUGCUGGGAAAUUUCUAAAAAUAUACAAUGGGCAUGUCAACAAGAAGUUCUGCAUUCCGGCUGCAUUCUCGAUUACGAAUGGUAAGUACAUUGUGAGCGGCUCGGAGGACAACUGUGUGUACUUAUGGGACCUUCAAACGAGGAAGAUCGUUCAGAGACUGGAGGGCCACACAGACACGGUCAUCGCCGUUUCGUGCCAUCCCAAAGAGAACAUGAUCGCGUCGGGUGCGCUAGGUAAUGAUAAGACGGUUAAAGUAUGGGUGCAGAAGGAAGAGGAUCAAAUGAUCAAAUGGAAGAGUAAAUAAGGUUGUUUCCUCUUGCUUUCCUCUUGACUUGGUUAAAGGUUUUGAGCUUUUGUUCUCCUUUUCCUUUGUAGAUUGGAAAAAUGUUUCCUUAGGUCGGCUAAUCUAAUUUUUGUCUACAUAUGGAACUAGGCAUUUUGAGGUCACUGGAAGCUUUGAAGAAUCACGCUUUAUAAGAAAUCCGUUCUAAUACUAAAGUCCAUUAAGAACCAUUUUCCUAGAUACGAAACUAGGCGAUUUUUGUCAAAAUUUUUAUGUCACUGGAUGCUUAGAAGAGUCACGCUUGAUAGUAAGUCAAAUUUAAAUAGUAAAGUACCAUGUAGGGGGAAUAUACUACCCUAAAAGAAAUCAGAUUUAGUAAGAUUUGACGACAUUUAUAAAUUAAACCCCUAGAUUAUUGUUAUUAUUAUAAUAGAGAGACUCAACAUAGCGUGCAAGUUACUACUAAAUUUAACUUGUUCUGACAUAUUCAAACAGCCCUAAAACUCUGUAGAAUGGAUUAGCUGUUAAUCCAUUAUGAAUCUUUCUUUUCUUAUGUCAGAUUAAUUCUAAUUUUUUUGUUUUGUGAUCUAAACUCGAUAAUUCCUCUAAUUUUUUUAAUUUGUCACAGAGCCUGAGUUAUUUCAAUUUUCAAGUAGUAUUUAUUCUUUUCUUUUUUUUUUUUUUUUUUUGGCUGCAGAAUUUGGUUUUGCAUGUGAUGUGGAGGCUAACAGAGUAACUUGGACUUCCUCUUUGAGUGGAUUUGAUUGUUGUCUAAAGCUGAAACACUGAGGCAAAAAGAUAAGCAACGCUUAUCUUAUCUACUAAAUGUUUCUUAUUUACAAGAUUUUCAGUUAUUUCCAGCCUUAGUUUUCAUGUGCUCCUUCCAUAUGCGGAUAUGCCUUCCCUCUUUAUUUGUGUCCAUCAGUACGGGCCGUACCCACCAUACCGUAUCGUACCGAUAAGAUAUCGGCAUGAUACGACUCCAUGCCAAUGGCAUCGCUUAAAACCCUUAUAUGCCAUACCGUACUAUGUCAGUAAGUUUUCGACACAAUUGGGUGCCAUAAUUAAGUGUUAUUAUUAAUCUCAUCAUCUUUGCCUUUCUUGUCAAUCUUAUUUGAGGUAGAGCCUGUUUGACCCAGAUAAUGCUUUUAUAGAGGCUCUAGAUUCAGAGCUUCUCACUGCCGCAUAUAUAAGCAGACGCUUUUGUGGGUCUCAAUAGUUCGUUUCAUCUUUUUUCCACACUAAAAGUUUCUAACAAAGAGGCGCCUUUGCCUACCAGAUUCCUUCCAAAUAGAGCAUGCCCCUAUCAUCUUUAAGCAUGAUAGUUUCUUUGGGUCAAUUGCAAGUAUGGUUUCGUCCUCGAAGUUUUGAUUGUAACGCUUUGGCAUUUGGAGAUCAACUCUGAUUUCAAUUUCAUUCUCAGAGUAUUUGUUUUACCACGUAGUCUCUGAGCUUCGUCUUCUGCUUCAAUUUUUACUUUCCUGAGAUUUUUAAUUCCAACAAAACAAAUUCCAGCGAUGAUUCUGACGGUAGCGUCUUUCUGAGACGGUGGGUAAACAAAAUGGCUUGAAUUUUUAUGCAGAGUAAACAUCUGAGCCUAAAUUGUUACAGUUGAAAUCGCGAGGACAAAAUUGAUUUGUAAUUAAUCCAACGUUUCUCAUGUCCUGGUGACCGAGUUUCGAUAGUAAACAUUUUCCUGAGCCUGAUUUGGUCCAAGAUACAUCUUUCUGAGAGUUUUUACUUCAAAAAUGUGGUGAUGAAAGAUUGUGAGAUUAUAUUUUAGGUAAUAAGAUACAGAACGUAUCUGAACUGUGGGCCAGUUUGAAUCAGCUGUCAAAACUUCCAAAAUUUCGAGUUUAGUAUUUAAGCCUUUCAAUUUGUUUGAUUUGAGUCAGUUAACAGUAUUUUGACGUCAAAAAUUAAAUGUGUUGUUUAUUUUUAUAAGUUUAGUUAGGACACUUCAUGCAAUUCUCAUAACUAGAAACUCAUUAAAGUAAAUAAUUAACUUAAAAGUAAAAAUUUAUAUAAUUUACCUGAACUAUGGAUUAUUUUGAUUUCGCUAUCUAAUCUUUCAAAAAUUUGAUUUUACUAUUCAAUCUUUCAAUUUGUUUGAUUUGAGUUAGUCAAGGAUAUUUUGACUUCAAAAUUUAAAUGCGUUGUUUAUUUUUACUCGUCUAAUUAGUAUACUUCAUGCAAUUCUUACAACUAUAAAUUUAUUGGAGUAAGUAAUUAACUUGAAUUUCGAAGUCAAAGUAUCGUUGAUGGACUCAAAUCAAUCAAAUUGAAAGGUUAGCUCUAAUGUCAAAAUUUUGAAAGAUUGGGUAGCCUAUUCAAAAUGGUCCAUGAUUCAGAUAAUUUGUGUGUGUUUUCACCUCUUUGUUAAUUGUUAUUGUGCUUGCUUUAUUCCUUAAUAAGAAAAAUUAAUACAAACACUUUCCAUGUUUUUCAUGACUUUUUUAUGAAAUUGUUCUUCAGUAGUUGUCAAUGCGUCGACACACGCAAACACUGAUUGCUAGCUCUUACUUGACUGUAUGCUUUUGUGCAUAAAAUAAUAUAAGGGUAAAAUGUAUGGAGACCCCCUGAACUUUAGCUUGUUCGCAAAUAGGUGCUUGGACUUUCAAUUCUGAUAGAGAGAUUUUUAAAAUUUUAUCAAAUAGUUUAAUAGACCUCUCUCUUCAAUUAAACUAUUUUAUAAAGUUUGAGCAGUUUUUUUUUUUUUUUUUUGCCAGAAUUAAAAGUUCAGACGUCUGUUUGCAAAAGAGCUAAAGUUCAUGAGGUCGCCAUACAUUUUUGCCAAUAAUGUAUAUAUCAAAUAAUCAUAAUGUUAACUGAUCUAAAUUUGCUUACAUGGUAAUUUGCUUAGUUACUUGAUUUUGAUUUUUGAAUUUGAUUUGUGCCCUGGAGGGUUAACCCCCAAAACCUCUUGAAAUCCUUAAAAAGGGGAAAGUAAAGGGAAAAAAGUCUACCCUGAACUUUAGGCCUCGUUUAGCAUCGUUGUUGUUUUUCUUCUUUUCUCUUUAGAAAAUUUAUGUAAAAUAGUGUUGGAUCGGUGACCCAAACUAUAUUCCAAAAGUUCGAGUUUUAAGAAAGAUAUAAUUAAUUCAUUUAAAGUUUACCGACACAACUCUCAUGGGUCUCGUGAUGCUGGUUUUUUUGAGCCACCAAUUCCUUGCCCCCUCUCCCCUCCCCUCCGAGCACCUAAUCGUUGGCUCUAAUCAUUAAUUCCAAAUUCAAGCCGUAACUAAUUCAGCGUACAGGCAGUGUCAAUAGGUCUCGAUUAUGAUACCGUUCAAUCAGCUUUCUGCCACUUUGAACAUGACUCGAUUUAACUUGACUUUCUGUCAUUCCAACGUGACUCGGCCCAACUUGACUUCCUGUCAGCGGAUAAAAUGCUGGUCUCUUUAAAUCAACAAAUAGUUUUGAAGGAGAUAGUGGAUUGUUUGUAAUCCUUUCAUCUAAAUUAUUUAUUUGGCAACAAAAAAAAAAAAAAAAAUCUUGGAAGCAACUUAUUUUGUCUUUCUCAUUUUUUUAAAACAAGUUUUUCUUCAUCAUUUGAACGGAAUGCAUUGCAAGCUAACCAAUAAUGACAAUAAAAGAAAAUUGUUCUACCAAUAUAUCAAAUUAUACAGAACGAAACAACGAUUAUACCAAUGGGGACCUUAGCUCCUCAAUUUUUGCAAUUAGAUCUUAUAAAUUUUAUCAAAUAGUUUGAUUCGUUUUGUGUCGUGUUGUGCAUAUAAUGUAUAUGAUAGAAUAGGAUAAAUAAAUUUCUUUAAUUGCUAUAGUUUAGGGGAAUCUCUGUAUAUUUUCCCCAAUAAAAACUGUGAAGUGCUUUAUUAGAGUAUAAGUUGCAUUAUGUAUGAAAUAGCUUUGCUUUGUUUGUGGUGGUUAUUCUAAGUUUCAACUUGGUUCAAUCAUGUCAUUACUUUUACCUUUAAAUUAUUAGAAUUAUAAUACUUCCAAAAGUAAAAAAAAAAUAUUUAAUUUUAUCCUAUUUUUGAUGAUGAGAUGUUCUUAUCAAAUGAUGAAUGCAAUUAAAUACGAUCCAAACUACUUUUUAAAAGUUAAAUUAUAUAAUUAAUAUUUGUCAAUUUUAAGAUCACUAGAAUACAAUACACUGAUAUUUCUUUUUUUUAAAAAAAUUCAAAUAUAUUAAAUCAUGUGCGUAAUCACUACCGCAUUUGAUUAUUUAAUAGGCCCAGAAAAAAAAAUGAUUACCACAUGAAAUUUUUUUAUAUUUUAUUUGAAAUAAUCGCAUAUGAUUUCUACAAUGAUAUCAAAUAACAAAUAUAUUUCUAUAAAAUUUAAAUUAUCAAAUUUAUCUUUCUAAACGUCAUCCCGUUUGCAGAUAUAUCUUUCUGUUAUCAAAAUUUAGAUAAUUUAGAAAAGUUAACCACAGUUAGUUAAGGUGUAAAAUGACUUUUUUUUUAUUUUUAUUUUUUUUAAUCUCUUAUACAUAUAAUUUGUAUUCUAAUGUUGAGUCCCAUCAUUUUUUUUGCCCUCUUUUUUUUAUCCAUGGCGACGAUGAGAUCUACGGUUGCGGCGACAUCGAAGGCAAGGCUCUCGAUCGCGGCAAAUAUGAGGAAUGUUGCACGUGCUGCGGCGAAGGCAAGGAGAGAGAGAAAGAAAGAUAGUUUUUUAUAGAUAAAAAUUUUUAAGGGCAAAAUAGCCAUUUUACGUUUUAAUUAUUAAAAAGAUAAUGGUGAAUCAAACGGUAAGGACAUAUAUGAAUCAACUAGAACUCUUAGAGGGAUAUAUUUGUAAACCAGAAAAUUUUUAAAGGAAUAAAAUUGAUAACUUAAGUUUUAUUAGGGUAUAUUUGCUAUUGGUUAAAUUACAAAAAAUUCACUGUCAAUACCCACUUUUUCACUUUCCUCUCUGUCAUUAAAAAACCUACCCUUUGUUCUCUUAAAAAAUAAACAAAUAUUUGAUUUGACCCUCGCCGUAAGUGUUUCUUUGGGUUCCGUUUAUAUCAUAUUUUUUAUACCCAAAAUAUUUCUGAAACCUUCAUCCUUUCUCAUCCUCGGCUGUGCCACGUCGCCCUCCGCCGCCGCGCCCUCGCCGACCUCUCAGUCCAUGCCCACACACACACCCUCACUUGCCUCCGCCGCCUCACCCUCGCCCCUGCCCACCUCUCCGUCCAUGCCCACUCCGAAUAUGAUAAAUACUUUGGUCAUUUUGUUACAACGGUUUGUUAAUUUUUUUUAUUUUUUAAGAAAGUAACAUGUAGAUUUUUAAAUGACAGGAGGGAAAAGUGAAAAAACGGAUAUUAACAGAAAAAUUUUCUGUAAUUUAGCCUUUGCUAUUUGAUAUCUUUGCAGGUAUCUAUAUAAAAUUAAUCCUUUAUAUUUUUAUUUAUUUUUAUUAUUUUUUAAUUUUAUUUCACGUGCCCCAUGCACCUAUAUCUAUUAUAUUAGUUAACUCUAGUAACCUAGAGUGAUCAUUAGGUUGAAAAAAAAAGGCCAAGGUAGGAAACGACAUAGUGGGACCCCAAAAGGAAUCAAGUGGCCCAAUUAUGCUAUCCACCUAAAGUAUUAAGACAUAUAAUUAAACCAUCGUAACUUAGCUGAUAAGACAUUUUGAUACGAAAGCAUAGAUUCUGAUAUAUAACCAAACCGCCUUAACUCAGUUGGUAAGAUAUUUCAAUACGAAACUAUAGGUUUUGAGUUUGCUUUGACUCGGUAGUCAAAUAAAAUGUAGGCAUUCUCGGCAUUUUUGUGCUUGGACCGUAGGGCAGUACUAUGAGUACCUAAACUUUUUUUUUUUUUUGGGAAAACUUUAAAAAUCCCCCUGUGGUUUCGUAGGUUUUUAUUUUGCCCCCCUGUGGUUUAAAAUGUAUCAAUUUGCCCCCCUAUGAAUUCUUUUUUCUCUUUUUCUUAUCAAUUUUAUUAUUAUUUUUUUCUUAAAUCAGUGAUAAAGUUAAAAUUAAAGGGUACUAAAGUGAAUAUUUGAUAAAUCUAGAUGGGUAUCUGAAGUUUUUUGUAUAUAAUUUAAUAAAAUAUUAACGAAAAAGCUACCGAAAAGAUAAAAACCAAACCACAGGGGGACAAAUUGAAAUAUUUUAAACCACAGGGGGGCAAAGCGAGAAAAUACGAAACCACAGGAGGGGUUUUUGAAGUUUUCCCUUUUUUUUAUUUUUUAUUUUGAACUCGUAUGCAGUUAUUAUAACUGAAUUUAUGGGGCUGUGUAGUUAUACGUAGUUAUAAUUGUGCUAUAAUUUUAAUUAUAUGAAAAUUUAAAUUCGGCGUUUGUUUUGAUACAUUUAAAUUUAACUAGUAAGUUAUAAUUGCAAGAGAAAAUUCAAUUACAGCAGUUGGAAUUACGUUUAAAUUGACGUAGUUUUAACGGCAGCACUUGAAAAGAAGGUAAACUUAUAUUUCUAAUUAUCUUUUAAAUAUAUAUUUUUUGUCCUUGCUAUGUAGGGGUAAACACAUCAUCCUAUAUAUAAAAAUGAUAUCAAUUCGUAAAUGCAUUUCUAAAUAGCAUGCAACCAAACAAAGUAUUUAUAGCUGUAGUAUUUUUUAUUACAUCCACCAAAUAAAAUGCAUAUAAUUUAUAAUUACUGCAUUUCUAUCCACAUGUGCAUAUCUAGUUGCACUGUAUUCAUAAUUAUAUCGAGCCAAACAUCGUCUGGUUUGCGUUAUGUAAUAUUUUCGGUUAUUUUGACAUAACCAGAUAUUUGAGAUUUCUGAAUCAGAUUACUAUUGCAUUAGAGCAUUUGAUUUAAUGGAGUAAUAUAAUGCUGGAUUAUAGUGUAUAUACAAUUACUAUGCUUGGUUCAUUUUAUAAAAUUCAGUAACCUUGACAAUAAAAUAUAGUCCAUCCCACAAUUGCCUUCAUAUUUGACAAAAUGUAAAAUUCAAAAAAUAAAUAUAAAAUUUUAAAAUUUAAAAUUAAAAUUUAAAAUUUAAAAUAUGAUAAUUCAAAAUUUUAAAUUAAAAUUUUUAAAAAAACGUAUUAAAAUUUAGUGUUUGUCUUUUGAUAUCGGGCCGGGUGGGGGAAUGUAAGAUAACCCGCCAUAAAUAAUAAUAAUGAGACACUUCUCCUGCUUGGUAAUAUUUUUAAAAUAAUUCUGCAACAUUUUAAUGCUAUAACCCGCCAUAAAUAAUAAUAACGAGACACUUCCCCCGCUUGGUAAUAUUUUUAAAAUAAUUCUGCACCAUUUUAAUGCUAUAUUACCGAUCACAUUACAAACUAGAUAAAUAAAAUACAAUAAUCCUGAUAAGAUUGACCGUAAUUCUGGCAGGAUAAUCCGAACCAGUUAAAUUAAAAUGGUUGGUAAUUAAUCAAAUCAAGAAAGUACAAGUAUGAUUACGAAUUUAAUAAAUUUCUUAUCGGAAUCCCAAUCGGAAAUUGAACCUAAAAUCGAACCCCGAAAAAGAAAAAAAAAAUUUAUAAUUUUUUUGUGCAAGUAGAAACCUGCUUUAUUUAAUAGAUUUCGAAUCAAAGCUAAAUUUACCAUCUUGAACUAUUAGAUUUUGGUACAAUGCUCUCAGAUCAAAAUAUUCACUAUAUUUAGUCAUUAAUAUCUCGAGAUUUUGGAUUUUAUUUGGUUAUAAUUUUGUCCACCGGUGAAGUUGGUAAUAUCUCAAGAUACAAUUAUAUGAUUUUGGGUUUUCAAAACUAAGAGCUUACAAUUGCGGUUUUAAACUUUAAUUUUUUUUUGGUUUGUGGAUUUGGUAUUGGUUUCGGAAUUCGGCCGAGAUUAUCGAAUUUAGUUAUCAGAAGUGAUUUUGAAUCUAAAGUUACUUUUGAGUUCAGUAGAGCGUUUGAGAACGACAGAAAAAAAAAAAAAAAAUCCGAUUCCACUUUUCAGAAUCAGAAAAUUGAUUUUGAAGGCCGCAGAAUCAGAAAUAGAAAAGAACUGCUUCUUCAAAACUGAUUCUGAUCUUGAACUAAAAUUUUAAAUUUUUAUUUUUAUUUUAGAUUCAAAGUAUGAAUUUAACAUUAAAUUUAAAAUUUAAAAUUUUAAAAUUCAUAUUUGAAUUUUUAAAUCUCAAGUUUUCAAAUUUAAAAUUUAGCUUUUAAAUUUUAAGUUUAAGUUUCAAAUCUCAACUUUUUAAUUUUAAAAUUCAAAAUUUUAAAUUUGAAAAAUCAAAAAUUUAAAUUUUAAAUUUAAGAUAAAAUUUAAAUUUUGACAUUUCAGAUUUUAAAACUUAAAUUUAAAAAUUUGAAAGUUUCAAAUUUAAAAUUAUAAGUUUUAAUUUGCAAAUUUCAAAUUUUAAAUUUUUAAAUUUUGAAAUUCAAAAUUCUAAAUUCUAAACUCAGCCAAACGCUCUACAGCGUUUUACCAAAAUCAAUUCUCUAAAUCAAAAUCACUUCUAUGAAAAUCACUUUUUCAGAAGCUAGGUCAAAUAGGCCCGUUGAACCCUUUGAAACGGAACAGAGAGGACACCUUGGAGAAAUAUGAUUGGUUUGUUAUUGAUGACGUGGUGCGAGUGCGACAGUGUAAAAUUUCUCGCCAACCAUAUCGGAUUCGGAUCCGAUCCAUCCAAGUUCGGCCCAUUUCAAGCGGAUGAACAUAACGUAACGUGUCUUAAAGAGGUGAAGCUCCAAAGUAUUAUAAUCUUUUGUUUCGAUCUAUAAAAGCGCAUGUGCUUUUUUACAUGCUAUAUAUAUUUUUUAAACCAUAUUUUUUUCAACAUUGGGAAGUAACCAUGAAAGUUGGAAAGGACCCAAAUGUUUUUAUUUUUAUUUUUAUUUUUUAUUUUUUUCCCUCGAAAAAUGCGGAAAUAAAUAUUAAACAAUUGGAUAUGCACAUGAUUAGUACUAAUCCCUAGUAAUCCACCCGUGAGAUAUAUGCUGUAGAGUCACAAGAGGAAUCUUAAUCAAUUGCAUAAAUAUAUUUCUUUAUAUAUAUAGUACAACUUGUGUCUUCUUUUGUAAAUUAAAAACAAAUAAUAAUAAAAUUUUUUUUAAAAAAAAACAAAUUGCGUAGGUGAUCUCGUUUUGAUGAUCUUGGCACGUGCUUAUCUAAGUUUGUUCACGGUUAAAUUAUAAAAAGCCCCCUUAUAUUUUAACGCCGGUUUGAAUUACCACUCCGUGUUAAAAAUUGCUCAUUUAUCACCCUACAUUUUGUGAUUAUUUCAAAAAGAUUAAAAAAUUUAUAAAUUUGACAAAUUAAGCUGUGAAACUUCACUAAAAUAAGUUGGCAUACCACAUUGUUCCAUAUCUCAACAUAUAUUCAAUUUGCAACUCAAAAAAAUUUAAAAAAAUUUAGAUAAAGGAGAUCUCUUAUUUUGUUAAUACUAUCAAAAUUAAUAGUUCAGUGAGCAAUAUUUUAUUCAGUUUUUAUGAUUAUAUUGCAUUGAUUAUAGAUAACUUUAUUUGUAAAUUUAAUUUUACAAAAUUUUAAAGUUGAAUUUAAUAAUUAUCUUGGAUAGCUGGAUCUAUUUGAGAUAACAACAAAGUGUAGAAAAAUAAUUGAUACAACUUUUUUAUUCAUAAGGGUAAUUGAGACAAACAUUAAAUUGCUAGGGAACUUUUUAUAAUUAUAUAACUAUAAUUAUUUUAUUUUUUAUUAAUUAAUUAUAGAUAUCACCGCUGUUUGUUUGAUAGAAAAUUAGUAACUUCGUAACCAAAGUAUCCCACUUUUACUAUUAAUUGUUACAUUACCACAUGAGAGAAUGAAAAAAAAAGAUUACAAUAGUUAAUUUUUUUACUAUUUUUUCUAUCUCUUUCUCUUGAAAUAAACUUGAUGUAGAGCAAAGUCAAUUAUGACUUAAUGAGAAAGUGAAGUUAUAGACGAAUUUAGGCUUCGUUUGGGAUUGCAGAGAGACAGCCUUACGUGCAGUGAGAAAAUACGUUAGAAAAAUAUCAUGUUUGUUUCCGUACUUAAUAUUACGUUCCGCAUAUUGCGAUGAAAACAUCUCCUUUAUUUUCGGCGAAAUAAAGAUGCGACUUUUUGGUCUAAAUUAUACGGCUCAAUGACGCCAUCCUACUAUGCUAUAGUUUAGUAUUAUUUUUAUUUGCUAUACUGUAUUAGACUUUUUUUUUUUCAAAAACAUUAUCAAACUAUCAUCCUGUUAUUUUUUUUAUAUUAUACUUUAAAUUUAUUUUUAUUUUCUAUUUUAUAUUCUCUAUAAUAUUACUAAACUAUCGGUGUCUCGCCAAUCUUUAUACUACUAUUAACAAAUUGAUAAGUUUACAUAGAAGCUGAUGACUGUAUUAUAAAGCAAUGAUUUAAUAGUAUGAGAAAAGCAAAAUGAGCAAAAUAAAAUGGUAUCAUUCAAAAUUUCUAUCUAGUUAGUUUCAACUAUUUUUAGUUCACAAUUUCUAUUUUUUUUUAAUAUCAAAAUAGACCUAAUAUAAGCUCCGUUAUGUACAGGGAAGUAAACAGAGCGAGCCAAGGGACGGGAGUGGUCCCCCACCUCCCACUUCAUUUUCUACUAGGUCAGGGCGAGUUAAUUUUAAUCCUAUUUUUGGCUUCCAUUUAUCGCUUCAUUUGGGGUGGAUCGGAGUGGCAGUGCACUUUUGGCGGACGGAUCGGGACGGAUCGAAGGAAAAAAAGAGACUUCUGCAUCUCGCUCCGUUUACUUGAUAGAUUCAGAGUUGAUUAUAUCUUUUUAUAUUUUUGGGAAAACUUUAAAAAACCCCCUGUGGUUUCACACUUUUUUAUUUUAGUAUCCUGUGGUUUAAAGUGUAUCAAGUUAGUACUCUGUAGUUUUAUUUUUGUAUCAAGUUAGCACCUUGUGGUUUUAUUUUGGAAAAACUUCAAAAACCCCCCCUGUGGUUUCGUAGUUUCUCACUUUGCCCCCCUGCGGUUUAAAAUAUAUCAAAUUGCCCUCCUGUGAUUUCGUUUUUAUCUUUUCGGUAGCUUUUUCGUUAAUAUUUCAUUAAAUUAUAUACAAAAAACUUCAGAUAUCCAUCUAGAUUUAUCAAAUAUUCACUUUAGUACCCUUUAAUUUUAACUUUAUCACUGAUUUAAGAAAAAAAAAUAAUGAAAUUAAGAAGAAAAAGAGAAAAAAGAAACUACAGGGAGGACAAAUUGAUACAUUUUAAACCACAGGGGGGCAAAGUGAGAAUCUACGAAAACACAGGGCGGGUUUUCUGAAAAUUUUCCUUUUAUUUUUGUAUAAAAUUAGUACCCUGUGAUUUUUGAACCACAUGAUACUAAAGUGAUAAAGUGCGAAACCACAGGGUACUAAAGUGAUAAAGUGCGAAACCACAGGGUACUAACUUGAUACACUUUAAACCACAUGGUACUAAAGUGAAAAAGUGCAAAACUACAGAGUACUAAUCUAAUACACUUUAAACCAUAGAAUAUUAAAAUGAGAAAAAGUGAAACCACAAUGGGGGUAUUUGAAGUUUUCCAUUGGAUUAAGACCAAACGUCACUUUUUUCCGCACAAAUUAUAACCAUUCCAUAAGCCGGCCUCUUUUAACGAAUUUGAAACUUUUUGAUCUGAAGUGAAAAAAGUAAAAUUCAGCUAUUAUAAUACGCUAGACCAUUUCUUUUUUUCUUGAAAACUGGCCUUCCUGUGCGUAUAUACAUAGAGUGUGGAGCUACUGUACUAUUGAAAGUAUAGAGAAUUUUAUAUUUUCGAUUUUUUGACCCUUGGAUCAAGAAUUAUACGGUUGGGAUGAUUACGGACUCUGCUAGAGUUUAGCAGUACUCCUAGGAUUGAGUGGUCCUCACAAAAUAAUAGUAUUAAUCCAAAGAUUAGAAAUAAUUAAAUGGACUGAUUUAAGGGCAAAAAAGUCGGAAACACCAGAUCUUCUAUGUUUUCGAUAGCAUAGUAGCUCUACUCUACUCUCUCUCUCUCUCUCUCUCUCUCUCUCUCUCUCUCUCUCUCUCUAUAUAUAUAUAUAUAUAUAUAUGUUAAUUUUGGACAUUCUUUAGUUUUAAUCAACUAAAUGACACAUUAGCAAUUCUGAUAUAUGCUGUUACCGAAAAGAUUAAUCUAAAUAAAAAUGGAUAUGAUCAAAUUAUGUUCAGCCUCGAUCUAGCCAGAUUUGCUAANUAUAUAUAUAUAUAUGUUAAUUUUGGACAUUCUUUAGUUUUAAUCAACUAAAUGACACAUUAGCAAAUCUGGCUAGAUCGAGGCUGAACAUAAUUUGAUCAUAUCCAUUUUUAUUUAGAUUAAUCUUUUCGGUAACAGCAUAUAUCAGAAUUGCACCAUCUUAAUUAUGACAUAUAUUCAUAUUUAUUAUUUUGUUACCUUCAGUCAAUUCACGUGGCAUAUAUAACUCAUCUGAUAUUCAUUAUGCCUAUGAAAGGAGGUGGUAGGACAAUUUCUAAGUCAUUUUUUAUUAGAUCGAUCUUUUAGCUAACAAUUGUUUAUUAUUCACAAUAAUUUUUUAUUAUAAAUUCUUAAAUCACGAUGUAGGUUUAACCCUUAGGAACUUUGCUCUAUUUAGAAUAUUGUAGUAUUAAUUUGCAACUUGCUACUACCUUAUAUUAUCACUAUGUGCUUUAAUAUUUCAAUCUACAACUAUACAUAAGCAUGAUGGUAUGAUUUAAUAUGAUUAACCCCCCAUCUUCAUGGAUCUCAACCUUCUAAAAUAAUACAAAAAAACCUAAACAAAAAUAAAAAAAAGAACUAUAUAUUAGCUAAUGCCUUACAUAAAUUAUUGUACAUGUCACAUAUAGUCAUAUGCAUGUCCAUCAAUUAAUUCUCAUACACCAGCAAAAAAUUGGUUGUUCUAGCUCUUUUAUACUUAUUUGGUCUGAUUUUUAAAAUAACUUUUUUACUUGGAAAGUUGAUGUUAAUUAAACACUUAACAAAUAAAAAGAAUUAGGUUUUAUUUAGACUUUUUGCCUUUUUUUAUUUUAGUAAUUAAAAAUUUUGUGUGUUUGGUUGUGCCAGGGGAUGGAUUUUCUUACUCUUUUAGGUUGAGGAAAUAAAAGAACAAAAAUUUAAUAUGAUAUCUUGAGAUAUAUAGAAGUGAAAAAAAUAUACUAAACAAUUAAUGUAGAAGCAAAAAAAAAGUUAUAAAUCAAUUUUUAGUUUUUAUUGUCAAACAAAUUGCUUAGACAUAUGGACUGCAAGCAUUCUGCCAUUUAUGCACGUACCGUGUUAAAAACAUAUAAUUUUUUUUUUCCCUUUUAACAAGCCGAGAAAUAAAAAAGUAUUACGAGGAUUGAACCUCUGAUCUCUCAAUCAGCAACGUAGAAUAUCAACCAACUGCAUCAGAUAGUGCUGACAACAACACUUACAAGGCAGCAAGAAGUUAUUGGGCAGUGAAGCCAAAACAAGCCAUAAUUUGGAAUCUUUUUUUUUUUGAGAGAUAGGUAGCAUGCUACCUGCUUCGUUUAUUUCAUUUAGAAAUAAACUUAGCUAGAAAUGUGAAUCAAUUAGGAUUCGAACUUAGCACCUCGGAUACCAACCAUCAAAUUCUUUGCCACUUGCGCUAGAAAUAAACUUAAUUUGGAAUCUUAAGAAAAAGUUUUGCUAGCUCAUGAAUGACAGAAACACUUAAUAAGUUGAAUAAAAAAAGAAAAGAGGUUUUAAAACACUAGGAAUUAAUGCCUCAAGAUUCCUUUUGAUUUUGCAUAUCUUAGAUGCUAGAUCAUAUCAAAAACUAAAUGUGGUUGGGUCCUUGUCUUUCUCUCACACAAGAAAAAGUUGGGUCCUUAGUUUUUUUGGUUUAUAAGAUAAGUUUGGGUCACUAAUUUGCCAUGUUUGAUGUUUUUUUAAUCUUUUUGGCGUAACUUGAGACGAAUGUAGAGCUGGUACACGAGAAAACAAAAGAAACAACAGAAUAAUAGAUAUAAAUUUAUAUACGCCUAAAAAGAUGAAGGCAAAAGUUCGUGGAGAAAACUGGAAAAAAAAGCUUCUACUAAAUCAUACAAAAAAGAGAAGCUAACAUAAAAUACACUAACUUAGUAGUGUUAGUGUCCUAGCAUGCAUGUGGUUUGUGAUAAGAUAUUCAUUAUAACAACAAUGAUCAUAACAUGCUUUUUGAAACAAUUAUUUUUCUCACUUUAAGAGACCAUUAGCUUGGCACCUUAAUAAAUGCAAAACCCCCCAUGUGAAUGCAUGUCACAUUGUGUGUGGAAUAGCUGGCUAUUGAUCUCACAAGAUCUUGUUGGAUAAGUGGGAGUCAUAAAAUUAACCAAACUUUAAUCAUGUUUUUUUGCAAAAAAAAAAAGGAGAUUUUAAAGUCAUAGUGACAUGAUGGUGCCUUUUUCUAACAAACUCCUAACUUUAUAUUGCUUUUUCAUAUAUAUAUAUAUAUAUAUAUAUAUAUAUAUAUAUAUAUAAAAAUAAAUAAUUAAGAGUUAGUUUGGUAAUGUCGUGGUUAAAAGCAUUAUUUUUAUACUCUCAAAAGCACAAGAUAUGGACUUAAAUUAAAUGGUGAUGUUAAAUUAUAAAAAAACUGUCUGUUAUCUAAAAAAUGUAAGCCAGUAGAGAACGAUAUUAUUUAUAUUUAUAUUCAACACCCUUCUCUAAUACAAUAAGAUUAUUGUGGCAAUUACCACUGAAGAAGAAUGUGUUAGAUCCCCAACUUCAAUCUCAGCACCAUCAAUGUCAUUCUCUGCACUUACAGCCACUUCUACCUCGCACGUGACGCCUACCAUCUCUUUUGGAGCAUUCUGCAUAUGUGGCAUUGGCUAUGGCCUGAUACCAAGCUCUUCCAGAAACUUGGAAAGACUGUGUAUGUUGACAUAUUGAUCGAGGGCAUUUGAACCAAGAUCUUGGACUAUAUAAGCAAAGAUGACUUUAUUGCAACUGACAUGACAUAUUCCGUCAAAACUGAUUAGAAUUUGGAAGAAUGAAACCUAACUACAACAAAAUAUAAAGAUUAGCGAGUAAAAUUGCCAGAGAGAGUUAGGGAUCAAUGGUGCAAUUAAAUUUUUUUAUUUUAUUUUUAUAUGGAGGAGACAUGCAUGGGGACCAAUGUUACAUCAUGCACAUGAGAUCAAAUUUAAUUUACAAAAAUAAUUAGAAAAUGAAAGCAAUGGACUCCAUUAUGUUUCCCCCUCUAAGUGAUAGACUAGGGUUUUGUCCUCUUCUCAUAUUAACAUGUGCUUAAUUAAGAGACUCAAUUAUUUCAUGAGGCUUAUAAUUUUAAAAUAAUUAGCUAAUCACUCCAUGAUAGAUAUAAUAAAGAGGAAAGAGAUUUGAAAGAUCCUUUCAUUUAAUUUAAGGCCCACUCAACCAUUAAUCACAAUUAUGUUGUCACAUCAACCAUUUAAUUAUUAUAUUAUCCAUAAAAAAUUAAUAAAUAGUGUUGGUAGAUGCCCUGGAUUGAGAAUCUUUAAUUUGUUUUUUUUUUUUUUUGUACAUAUAAUAAUACAAGUUGCUUCUAUGAAACAUUAUACAUGUGAACAUAAUAUUAUCUUGGUAAAAAUGUAUGAAGACCCCUCAAUUAUAGCCUAUUUUGAAACAGUCCUUUGAAAAUUUUAUUGAUUUUAUUGAUUACUUUUGCAUAUCUAAUAAUAAUUUUUAAUAUGGUCUUUUUGCAUAAAAAAUCCAUUUAUUUUGGGCUUUUGCAAAAUCGGGUCAUUUUUUUCGUUUUUGCAUAUUCGGUCCGCUUUUUUAGCAAACUGACCAAAAUACCCUUAUAUAUUUUCUCGUCUUCCUUUUUUUUUUUCUCGUUCCUUUUUCCUACUUUUUUUUUUUUCUCUGUCCUCAUUUUCUUUCUUUCGAACAGAUACGUCGUCGUGCCGCCUGGCUCGGCCCGUGCUCGGCUCGUCGCCGCGCUCCAUGGACAGCCGCCCACGGGGGCCGUGCUGGAGCGGAGCGACCCGGAUGUGCCGCGGCCGGGCAGCCGUCGACCAGUGCGUCCGGCGAGGGCCGGUGAGUGCGGGCGGCGGCGGCAACGGCGGGGGGAAGGGGCGGGGGCAAGGGCGAGGCCCGGGCGGCUGCCGGCGCACCCCGGGAUCCGCGGCUUGAAGACCUGCGCGUGAGCUUCACCUGUCCGCUCGUCUCCCACCGUCGACAGACGCCCAUGGGCGGAGCUCGGCAGGAGCUAAGGAAGCUCCACGCGCCCGGGGCGGGCCGGCACGUCUGGAGGAGGGGCGGCGCGAGUCGGCGGAGGCAGAGAAGAAGCAGAGAGAGAAGCAGCAGGGGGGCAGAAGGAACCGAAGAAGCACAGAGGAGCUUAAAAAGAAAAAAAAAAGAAGAGAGAGAGGCAGAGAGAGAAGCGACAAGAGGAAGAAGAAGAGAAGAAGUGUUAAAAAAGGGGUGGAAAUGGUGUAGAUGGUCAAAAUAGAUAAUACUGUUAAUGGUACAUGUAAUCGUAUAAUAAGUGUCAUGGUGGCAAAAUAGUGUAAUUUGUAAUGUGUAAUAGUUCAAGAUGGUGUAAUGGGGUAAUGGUGAAACAUUAUAAUAGUGUAAUGUGAAAUAGGAUGUAAAAUAGUGUAAAUGGUGGUAAUGGUCCAGAUUUGCACCAUUAGGCCAGAUUGGCAUCAUUUAAAAAAUUUUACAACUAUUUUUUUUUUCCCUCUUCCUUUCUUUUCUUCUUCUUGCCUGCCUAGAUUGCACCUUAGCUUUAUUUUUUUUUUCCUCCUUCUCUUCUUCUUCUUCUUUCUUCUUCGACGGAGGCGUCGGAUCGGCGGCGGGGGACGUAGGGGGAGACGGAUCGGGAGGCCACGAGGCGCAGCGGAGACGAUGGGCGAUGGGGCUUCAAGGUGCGGCGGCUCAGGGCCGGGGGGGCCUCGUUGUCGUCGUCGUCACCGGGCAACUAGUAGGAACGCGUAGGAACGCGCGGCGCCGGCACCUAGUAGGAACGCGCGGCGCCGGCGCCUGGUAGGAACGCGCGGCGCCAGCGCCGGCGCGGUGGUAGUCGGGCUCGAGGUCGGCGCGGGGGAGGUCGACGAGGAAGUAGAGCUUCCCCGGCUUGAGCAGGGCGUCGGGGUCGAGCGGUCGGGCCCGAAGUCUGACGCGCUUGACCUCCUCGGACUCGAGUACGGCGAAUCUCGGGUGGUCUCGGAGGUCGACGUCGGCGCCGAACUCCAGCAGCAGCUGGACGAGGUUCGGUCGGCCCUGCGCGAUGGCCGAGUGCAGCAGGCCGACGCCGGACGCAUCGACGGCGUCGGCCGGGCGCCACUCCGGGUCGCUCCGCUCCAGCACGGCGCGGGCGGCGUCCAUGGAAAAGAAAGAAAAGAACGAGAAAAAGAAAAGAGGAGAGAGAAAGAGGAAAGAGAAAAAUGUAUAAGGGUAUUUUGGUCAGUUUGCUGAAAAAACGGACCGAAUCUGCAAAAACGAAAAAGGUGGCCGAUUUUGCAAAAGCCCAAAAUAAGUGAAUUUUUUAUGCAAAAAGGCCUUUUAAUAUUUGCUCAACUAAAUAAAAUAACUCAAAUUUAAAAAAAGAAUAGAAGUUAAGUUGUGUUAUAUGCCCUUAUAAAAAGAAAAGUUAUGGGAAUUAAAAAAAAGUUUAAAUUAAAAGAACAAACUUUCUUUUCUUUUCUCUCUUUUUUUUUUUUUUUAAUUGCAAAGCACUGAAUUAUUGUGAUCAAUCAAAAUCAACCUAACUUAGUAAACCCCCCCCAAAAAAUAAGUUUUAAAAAUAUUGAGUAUGGGCCUAAUUAAACAUGGCCUAUAUUUGAGGGGUCUCCAUAUAUUUUUACCUAAUUUUUCUUAAUGAGCAUACUACAAAUAAUGUGUGAACAACCUCCCAUCUUCCUGGGAUCUCAAGCUCAGGUUAAAAAAAAAAAAAAAAUCUUAUUGAAGAAAAAUUUAUAUAUAUUUGACACGUGCCAACGCAUUGGAAAAUGGGUCAAAGUGAAUUAAUAAAAAUAUUUAAGAUUAUAUACAUCAUAUAAAUAUUUUUGGUACAAUCAAAUGCUCAAGAUCUUCAGAAAUAGGGAUGCAGCCAGUGGGUACAGAUACUUAAAAUUUUAUUUGAAUCUGAAUCCGAAUGAAGCAGACUUACACGAUGCUAAAUGGAUAUAGUUUUGAAUAUGGAUAUUAAAAACGAAAACUCGACAAAUUUGAAUUUAGAUAUGAAUUUUGGCUAUACCUGACCCGAACUCCAACUAUCCGAACCCAAAUUGAUUUCACAUUAUAUGUUGAAUUUAUAUUUUAAAAAUUUAGAUUUAACGUAAUGUAUUUUGAAAUAUUAUAAAGAGAAAUAAUUAUUUUAGGUUCGGAUUCGGGUUCGGUUUCAAAUCUUUGGUCGGUUUCGGAUUUGGAUAUGGAUUUUUAAAAUUCGUCGAAUUCAAAUUCGAAUUCGGGCUUCGGAUUUGAUAUUCGGAUUCGGGUUUGGAUUUUUUAAAAUAUGCCCCGAAUCCGACCCUUGACAUUCCUAGACACAAAUCAACUUCUCCAUCAUACAUGUCACAAAAAAAAAAGUUUGAUGAUGUUUCUUUUGAUUUCUCAUAUCUUACAUACUAAAUAAUACUAAGUUUAAUCAUCAUUAAGAUUAUGGUUUUUAAAAACGCUACGUUCCAACAAAAAAGCUUAAACUUAGUUUCGUGCCCUAAUUUCAUACUUUAAAUUACUUAGUAAUAAGUUACUGUUGGGAAUCCGGCCGGUACUCGCCCCGGUACUGGAUCUUGUAAAUCCGCAACACGCUCCGAUACCGACUGCUGUGGAUUCAGUACCGAUUGUUGGGAUUCCAUAACGGAAGCUUCGAAUUGGGUUUUUACCAUAAACCCGUCUCCUCAGCGAAAGCUGAUACAAUCACAAAAGAGAGAAAAAUAUGCGGGUAAAAUAAGAUUCAUUAAAUAAGAGAAUAUUACACCUGACUCCUCUUCUGCACAGAGUAGGUACAACCCGAGCCCUCUUUCUGAAUCUCUCCUACCCUUCUCUCGUCUUCUAUACUCUCGGAAGACAUCUCUCUUAUCCUGUGUAUCCGUGCAUAAGGUAUACCAAUGACCCACGGCUACGAAAGCCGCACAAGUCCUUUUGCACCCAUGCACUAGGUGCAACCAAAAUCAUGAUUAUCUUGGCCAUGCCAUAUGUGUAUGGCUAAUCCAUAGCACCAUCAAAAUAAUAGUACAUAUGCUAUAUUUAUAGCUUACAUCAAAAGCUACCUAAAUCCUAGUAUAAUUAGGAUUCCUCUCCGAUAAAUAUUUAAAUCUAUAUUUAGUUUAUCUCCAAUAGAUUUAAAUAUUUAUCUUAAUUUAGUUAGAUUUAUACUCUAAUUAAUAUUUAAAUUUUAAUUUAUCUUUGAUAAAUUUAAAUAUUAAUUCUUAUCUAACUAGGAUUCAACUACAAAUCUACCAAAAUCCUAACCGUUACAACCCAUUUUCUCAAAAAAGAAAUCAUAAUUUUUAAUAACUCUCUUUUUAAUUUGAAUUUAAAUUCUCCUAUCUAUUUAAGUGAACUUGUCAUAAAGUUUUAUCACUUCAUUAAUUGCCAUCAUGUGACAAUUGUUUAGGUGUUGCAAUUGCAAUUACUCUCAUGAUAAAUCCUAUGAAACAAUGAAGAAAAAUAAAAACUAAUACAAUUAAGGAGGUGCAUGUCAAUCAAAAUUUUAUAAAUAAAGUCUAUAUUUACGGCAUUUUUUAGUCUUAAUAACUUUGUAAGCUCUGACACGCACAUAUUAUAUUCUUUCUUAAAGCAACUUAACUUUGGUACUUACUGGUCUAGAAAAAUGGUACUUUACCUAUUAAUAUAGUUGCUUCAAUUCAUACAUUUUAAUUUGGAAAAACUUCAAAAAUCUCCCUUGUGGUUUCACUUUUUUUUCACUUUAGUAUCCUGUGGUUUAAAAUGUAUCAAGUUAGUACCUUGUGGUUUAUCACUUUAUCACUUUAGUACUCUAUGGUUUAAAGUGUAUUAAGUUAGUACCCUGUGGUUUUGCGCUUUAUCACUUUAGUACCCUGUGGUUUCUCACUUUAUCACUUUAGUACCCUCUAGUUUAAAACCACAGGGUACUAACUUGAUACAAAAUUAAAACCACAGGAUAUUAAAGUGAUAAAGUGCAAAACCAUAGGGUACUAACUUGAUAUACUUUAAACCACAGGGUACUAAAGUGAUAAAGUGAAAAACCAUAUGGUACUAACUCGAUACACUUUAAACCACAGGCUACUAAAGUGAUAAAGUAUGAAACCACAGGGGUUUUUAGAAGUUUUUCCUUUUAAUUUUCAAGAUGUAUGAAUAUAAAUACAAAAUUAGUUUUUUUUUUUUUUUUCUUUAUAAAAGAUCAUGCAUGGUCAUGUGGCCACAAUACUAAACCACCAAAUUAGAUCCUAUUAAUUAAUAUAUUAUUACACCUUUUGAUCCUUUGACCACAACAAAUACCAAUGGGAUUAUAAAUUAUAAAUAUUGUGGGGUGUAGCUUAUUAAUUAAUUUAACAAUAAAUAAAUGAUGUGUCACAUUUUUGUCCCCAGCAGAGGAAUGAUCAACACAAUAUUAAAUGCAUGGUAUCCCAGAUUUUUUGGGAAAUGUAUUAUUGCUUACUCCAUCCUAGGGUAUAUUUUUGGUUUUCUCAAAAACAAUGGAAAAAAAAAAAAAAACAUGGAUUGGCUAUUACAAGUUGUUAUUUUGAGUUUAAGUGUUAGAUUUUGAAGUUGAAGGGAUUAAAAAGCAUGGACACAACACUUAUUGUCCAUUUAAAUUUAUAUAUUUAUAACCCUUUUCUUUUUUUUUUAUAAAUUUAACUUUUUAAGUCAUAUAAGGGCAUAAUUUAACUGUUGCAACAAAAAUAAUACUAACAUAUUUUUCUUAUAUCCAUGAAAUAUAUUAGAGUACUUGGAUAAUAACUGAGGUAAAAGAUGAUGAUUUUAUACUCACCAGAAUUAUACAAAACUGUCCAUCAAAGACAUAAAAAAGCGCCCGUUAUAAGAUUAAGUAGGAGAUUAGGAUUAAACCCAUUCAAAUACAGUAUUAUAGUUUUCCACAUUAAAUCAAUAAUUUUACAAAGAGAAAUGCUUUGGAUUCCCUACUAUAUAUACCCAACUAUAUUGCUGAUGUAUUGGUGUUCAUGUACGAAGGCUUUAGAUUUUACAGUUUACGGUUUAAAUAUAAUAUUCAAAAUUUACUUAUGAUGUACAAUAUUUUGAGAGAGCCGUACCGUGUAGUAACUGGUUUAGAAAAUAUUGAAAGUUCGGAAUCAAACUUUGAUAAUAUGUGUUAGUAGCCGAAUUUUCCGACCCUCUGGACCGGUCAAAUAUCUUUCUUGGGGAGCGCGUCGGGGUGAAGAACGGCUGCGAAUAGUGACCCUCGAAGUUUGCGUCCUUCAACAGAUCAAGCGAUUCGGCUGAUGAGGGAUCGGAUCAGCCGGGUUUGAAAACUCUACAGUAAACUCGGUUCGGCUGGAUGAGCCAAAUAUACAGACUGCACAGAAAUUAGGGUCGGUUGAAGGGCCGAAUGAAAAAAGCACACAGUAACUGGUCGGCUGAAAGAGCCGAAUAAAUGAAAUACACAAUGACUAGUCGACUGAAAGAGCCGAAUGCCUUUAUAUAAUAAUAAAAAAUAUGUGUCCGAAGGGCUUACAGACUCAGAAAUAUAGUUUAUAACAGAGUGAUGCCCGUGGGGCAGACAUACUCUGCAAAUGUAGUCUACAACGAAGUGAUGCCCGUGAGGCAGACAGACUGCAGGGUUCUACUUAGCGAACUACUUCUAGAAAAGCAGCAAAUGCGGAAAAGAAAAAGAUUACAUUUAGACUACUUCUAGAAAAGCGAUAAAAUGCAGAGGGAAUAAGGGUGGUCUUCUCGUUCAGGAUGGAGAAAGACCUCUAUUGCAGGCUUCAAAGUUACUAUUUAUAAUAUCUUUAAGCCCACUUUAUUGGUCGGUUGAAAGUAGUGGGGGGAGUGGUUGUAACCAUAAUCGUGGAAGUUACAUUAAUUCCUUAUGGAAGUUACGUUAACUCCUCUACGCCCCGCUUCUCAACCGUUCCCGCCUAAACGCUCUUGACCUUCAGGCGCCUUAUUGCCGACUCCUGGUGUACCACGUAUCCUUAUUUUUUUCGCUCAUACGUGGUUUAAAUCGGCAUGUCUCAAUUUUGACCUCAACAAUAUGUAACCCAAAAUAUCGAUUUUCUAGAAAACUAAGAAGUUUUUUUUUUUUUUUUUUUUUUUUUGGUAACAAAAAAGUUAAAGCAUCAAUUCUAAAUUUGCUUGGUGUGAUGUUCAACCAAUGAGAGGAGGAGUUUGGGAUGUGACCUUGAUAGUUCAUUCACCUUCCAAUAGGAGCAACAUGCAUGUGUAACACACCUUAACAAUAUUAUAUAGGGAUAAUUGCGUCUAUACCCCCCUCAAAACUUCAAAAAUAUUUUAUAUAUCGAUCCCUACUUUUUUUUUUUCUUUCUAAUAUACCCCUCAUAUAUUCCUCCGUUAUUCCAAAAUAUUCCUACAAUUAUCACCCGUUAAGUUAAUUUGGGUUAAAUGUGAGUCGAAUAUCUAUCAGAGUUAAAAAAAAAUCAAAAUACCUCUUUUUGUCCUUAACUUAAGGGCAAAUAAGAAAUGUUGGUGAUGGUAAAAUGAUAUAUUUGAAACGGUCAAAAAUUCAAAUACUUUUUUGUGUUUCUAAUUUAAGGAUAAAUAAGAAAAGUUGGUGAUGGUAGAAGGGUAUAUUUGAAAGGGCAAAAUAGUAAUUUCAUAGAGAUAACAGCUAUUGCUAACAGUUUAUUAACAAAAUUUAACUCUAGGUUAUAUUGAAAAUAUGUUGGAACGUAAAAAAGAUAUUUUCAAUAUUAAUCUUCUAAGAGGGGUAAAUCAGAAAGUCAAGAACUUUUCAGGGGUAUAUAAACAUUACCCCUAUUAUAUAUAUAUAUAUAUAGAAUGGUCAAGGGGAUGUAAUUAAUGAUGAAAAAAUUAAGGGUUAAUUUUGGGUGCAUGGUACAAAUUAAUGUGAGUUAAUGAGAGAACAUCCCUCUCAAUAUAUAUAGCUUUAUUGGUAGCCGAAAUUUUGGAUUUAAAGUACAUUGUUUUCAAUCAUUGAUCUUAUAUGUAUAUAUAUUGUCAAUGACUCAAUAGGUGUUAACUCACCACUUAAUCACUUCUAGAAGCAAAUUUUCUACAACCCUAAAAGCUUUUUAUUUUUUUCAAUCAUUAAUCUCAUUGUCAAUGACUUAAUUGAUCCUAGGUCAUCAUUUAGUACUAAGUGCAAAUUUUCUGCAAUCCCAAUGUUAGAAAUUCUUGCACAUCAGCGAUCUUAUCGGAAUCCAAAAAUAUUAUUAAAUAUAAAUAUAUAAACAUCGUUCUUGUUACGAUAAGUGUACAAACAAAAUAGACAAAUCAUAAAGUAGUAAAAGAAAAUAGAAUACAAGAAUUUAUCCUUUGUAGUAAAAUACUACGAGGGAGAAGGAGAGAACUUCAUAUAUAAAUAAAGAGUAAAAAAAGAAGUACAAUUUGACUCGAUCCAUACCACAGGGUGGAGACAUCCCCUUUUUCCUUUCAAAUCGUUUUUCAAAAUUUGUCACACCGUAAAACUGUCAGUGAAUCAGGGGCGCAUCUAACCGUUCUUAACAAGAUGUACCCUUGUUUCAUAAAUAUAUAUAUAUAUAUAUAUAUAAUAAUAUUUUUUUAAUAUUAUUUAAUAUGGUAUCAGAGCUCUGAUAUUAUAUUAAAUUAUACAAAACAACUACUGUACUCCAAAAUCUUUAAGCCAUUAGAGAACGAUAUUUUUAAUAUUUAUCUUCAACAAAUAUGAAUUCAUUUCAGCAUAUAACAAUAAUUUUGUUAAUGGUUAAAAAGUAAAAUUCAACGUACAUUUGCUAUCAAUCUCAUGUUCUCCAUUUGAUAUCCAGAUCAAUCAGUGUGCAAGAUUUUUUCAUACACGAGAUUGCAUGAUUUUUGCACCCCUUAGCACUUUUCAACAAACAUUUAAUUUAUUUAUAAUGGUAUAUCUCAAACUUUUAGACGUGUCUAAACCAUAUAAAUCGCGUUUAAUAUGCACAAUAUGAAUCACGUUUAAUAUGCACAACAACUUUUCUUUUUUUUUAUUUUUUAUUCUUUCAACUUUUUGGGGAGUUUGGAGCUUGGAUCUUUACAUCCUAUCUGCAGAGUAUUAAUUGUUCUUGUUGGAAUUGAAACCAAAUCCGCUCUUUAAUCAAACUUUUUUUUUUUUUUUCGUGCCUUACCGCUAAGAAUUCCAAUGGUUAAUUUCGUGCAAGAAACAUGAACUUAUUAUAUAAACAAGAUAAUAAUAGUACAUAGAUUGUUGGGGGAAAUUAACUAGUAAAUUAAUAUUUCAAAUAGGAGCUAGGCUGAUAUACUAUCAGUAAUACGGAAGCCUCCGUGCUACCGAGUUGUUUUCAAUGAUAUAGCUUCCAAAUCGACGAUCGGCUCCGUUAGAAGUAUUUGGAAACUAAAUUUCAUAAUUUUUCGGUAUCAUUUACCUAUCAAACGAGUAGUCUAAAAAUGAACAGCUGAAAAUAAAAAUCUCAUUAAAAAUGAUGAUAAAAGAUUUGAAUUUGAGAUCAGAGGUACUGAUCUUACUCUAAAUAGUGAAAACAAUUUUCUAUAAAAAUUUCGUCAGAUUUGGAUUAUUUUACACCGUUAAAUUCACAAACGCAUCACAUCUACCAUUAAAAAUAUCAAUUUUGAGACCUUUUGAUCACUAGCCAAAUGAUAUCGAAAAAUUAUGAAAUUUAGUUUCAAAUAUUUUUAAUAGAGUAGAUCAAAUCUAACGGAACCGAUUAUCGAUUUGGAAGCCGCAUCAUUGAAAACAAUUCAGUAGUACAGAGGCCUCUGCGCUACCGAUAGUAUACCAGCCUAGCUCUUCCAAAUAGUAUUCUUGUUUGAGUAAUUAAUUAAUUUACUUGCAUUAUUAAUUCCAGCCCCUUUCUGAUCACUGCUAGCUGUUUCUGAUUUGUGUUUCUUGACAUCUCAGGCCACUUCCAUGUGCAGUAGACUGUGGGAGUGCAAAAUUGCCAAGAAAAGUUAACAAAUCAAGUUACCCCACACCAACACUUCUUGUGUAGUAUGUACUCUAUUGCCUCUUAAUUGCAAAUGGUCUUUAUUUUUUAUUUUUUAUUUCUUUUCUUUUUGAGAGAGAGAGAGAGAGAGAGAGAGAGAGAGAGAGAGGUGGCAAGCUAUCCGCUUUGUUCAAUCUUAAAAAAGAGCAUUAUUAUAUUUUUUUUUGAGAGAAAGAUCGCAUGCUACUCGCUUCGUUUAUUUUAUUUAGAAAUAAACUUAGCUGGAAAUGUAAAUCAACUAGGAUUCGAACUUAGGCCUCGGGUGCCAACCAUCAAGCCCUUUUGCCUUUUGCGCUAGAGACGGUCGGUAAAAAAAGAGUAUUGUUAAGGGUACCUCAGUUGGGAUUUCAUGUAAUGUUGUAUAUGACAUGGCAUCAUCAUUAUUAUACUCUAAACAUUAUUACUAGACCCCAAACACUAUCAAUAAAACCAAAGUACCAUUAUUACACCCUAGACUUUAAACUCUAGAAGGAAGUCUAUUAUAUAUAUAUAUNNNNNNNNNNUAUAUAUAUAUGUAACAUUUACACUACAUCAAAUAACGAGCCAAUCAUAUCUUUUUUUUAAAAAAAAAAUAAAAUAAAAAUACUAAUAACUAUGAUGGGAUAGACGAACCACCCAAAGAAAAUAAUCUGAUUAGUGAUACAUUCCAAUGCAUCAACAGUAUUAUAGAGUAUAGAUUUUGGAAUACAUUGAGAAUUUCUCUUGAAGAAAUGAGCCCAAUGAGAAAUGUACGUGAAGUAACUAAGUUAUAAACUUGAGAUCUCGGAUAUUAGCCAUCAAGCUCUUAGCCAAUUAUGGAAGCACCGCAAGUAAAUAAAUAUUUAAGGACAUUUUUUCGAUCGGUAUUCAAUGUUGCUAAAUAGUUUACCGUCAUAUUUGAAAUCUUUGGCAAAUAAAAAGUCGCUAUAUAUAUACUGACGUUUAUGCCAAACAUUAGUAAAAUAUAUUCCGACGCUUUAAAAGCGUCAAAAUUUUGAAAUAUCCUAACACUUUAAAGCGUUGAAAAAUUAGAAUAGUAGUAAAAUUUAUCGUUCAAUAAAUUUGUUUGAUCCGAUAGACAGUUUUAUGAUAAUAUUUUUUGCGGCAUCAGUAUUUGCUAUAUUGUAGAAAUACUUGGAUUCUAACCGAAGUAUAUUAUCUACUUAUAUUAAGGUGGAUUGGUGAUUGAUACGAUAUAGUUGAGCUAGAUUUAUUUGGAUCUAGACAUUAUUAAUUACCUUUAUUUAUUUUUUCAUUUGUGGACUUCACCAUUUUAGUUACUUGAUUCAUAUAAAUAUAUUCUAUUUGCAUGGGAGUGAUAAAACCCUAACUUAUGGACUUUUUUUUUCUUUUUUUUUUUUCCUAUCUUGAAUUUUUUAGUGCUAAAUUCCAUGGCCAAAUUUGAUCUAAGCGAAUACAAUGGAUACAUA
rnacentral:lncRNA from 1 species